rnacentral:lncRNA from 1 species
CUGCAUUUCGAUAUCAAGCCCCAUAAUGUGUUGCUAGACCAAAACUUCACUCCAAAAAUUUCUGAUUUUGGUUUGGCCAAGUUAUGUUCCAAGGAUCAAAGCUUGGUGUCCAUAACUACAGCUAGGGGGACCAUGGGCUAUAUUGCACCUGAAGUGUUCUCCAGGAAUUUCGGAAAUGUGUCUUACAAGGCAGAUGUCUACAGCUUUGGAAUGCUGCUGCUUGAGAUGGUAGGAGGAAGGAAGAAUAUUGGUUCAACCACGGAGAACACUACAAAUGAAAUCUACUAUCCACAGUGGAUUUACAAUCUUCUAGAGGAAGGGGAUGACCUACGAAUCCGUAUUGGGCAAGAAGAAGAUGGUAAAAUUCCAAAGAAACUUGCUAUUAUAGGGUUAUGGUGUAUCCAAUGGCACCCGUCGGAUCGUCUUUCCAUGAAAACAGCCGUUCAGAUGUUAGAAGGAGGAGGAGGAGAAAGCUUGACCAUGCCGCCUAAUCCCUUCAUGCCUACAGGUCCUACAACUAGAAAUGCAAGACGCCUAGAGCGAGAAGCAAUUGCUGAAUUAGAGUAAAACGUAUAUGACAGAUAUGUAGAUUCGUAUUGAAUGUGUAAUGAUUCAAACCUAAAGGGAUAUUUUGAUAACCAUUUCAUUUUGGCACCAAACAAAAGAAAUUUGUUUCCACUCCAUGUUUAAGCAAUAGAUGCCGAUUAUUGUUUAUCAUUUAUUAAAUUUUAUUUUUGGUUACGGUAGAAGCCUAGAAGGCAAUCGAGCACCGGACUUACCAAAUUCUAACUCAUUUCUACACACCAAGAGCUUGAUUUCGGUUCUUAUUUUUACUAUUUAAGCUAUAAGCCGUGAUAAUAAUUAGAGCACUAUCAUUUGUUGUGAGCUUCAACUGGUUAUUUUGUAUGUUUUAAACUUUUAAUUAGAAUUUAUUUUUCACUUAGACUUAUCUUUCCGUAUGGCAUGCCAUCCCAACCCUAGUUUUUCUCCUCGCUUGGAGUUUGGGAUACGAAAACUUGCCAAACAAAGUAGAUUGAUUAGUAACCGAAGCUAAUUAUUCGACUGAAUAUUGUUUAGAAUUUUAAUUAACAGAAACAAUAUGAAUCUUUUUUGUUUGUUUUGAAAACUAGAGAUUAAAUUGUUACUUGUUAGAAGUAGAGUGAUUGGUAGACAUCGAAUCCUUACAUAAGUGCAUAGGCAUUAUUGCGUGAGGAUGACGUGAGGGCAAGGGAAGUAGCAGCAGACCGUGUGGGCUGCUGUGGUUCAUCUGCUCGGGUGACAGGAUAGCCUUUUUGACGAAAUUAUAAAGCGCAUAAACUUUUUGACCAAGAGAGUGGUCAACUAGGGGUGGGCACUUGAAAUCGAAAACCGAAACCGAAACAUGAACCAAAUCGGACCGCACCGAACGAUUUGGUUUUGCGGUUUUGAAACCGAACCGCAUUGUAGGAAACGGUUUGGUUUUGGUUUUGGCUUUUGAAAACCGCACCGAAACCGAAACCGUAUCUCAAAUUAUAUGCCAUGUUUUAAUUAGUUGUUUGUUAGAGUCCAUACAUUUAGUAUGUACAUGUCAUAAUAAUGAUUAUUUUUUCCAAGUUAUAUCCCUCAUCAAGCUUGGCAUCUCAAUGUUUCUUUACAGGAAAAGAAGAAAACUUUGUCACAGUUAUAUCCUUAGAACCCUAAUUUUCAAGUUUAGAAUGAUAGCCUAUAUAAUAUAUUAAUCAGAAAUGCAAAUGAAAACUCAAAAGGAACAAUGAGCAUCAAAUAAGAGUAGUCACAGAAGGAGAGAUACAAGACCGAAUCUCUAAUCAAGUAAUAAGUUGCAGCACUUCAUUUGGGUACUUUUUCCUGCUCACAGAGUUUAUCACUUGUGCAAGAGUUUAUCAUCUGUGCAAUUAGCUAGCUAGAGUAAAGAAAAGAAUUCUCAUGUGGGUGGUUAAUUAAUGUAUGUGUGGAAAAUGAGACUGUGGUAUGUGUAAAUAAGUAUAAAUUUUAAAUUGUAGAUUUUUUUUUCUAAAAAGCCAAACUUAAACCGUUUGAAACCGCACCGAACCGAUCGGUUUUGACUUUAAAACCGCACCGAACCGCACCACAAAAAGUUGUGAUUUCGGUUUUGGUUUCACUCAAAACCACACCGAACCAAACCGUGCCCACCCCUAUGGUCAACAAAUGGGACAUGGAUUCGUCGAAUCCAAAUCCUAAGAAUUCAUUAAUCUAUAUUAUUGAAAUUUGAUCAAAAGAUUAAAAUUAUUAUAAUUUUAAAAUAAGCUCGUAUUUGUAACUGUUGAAUCAACCUUUAAUGAUCCAGAUUGAUAAAUCCUUAAGAUUAGGAUGUAUGAAUCCGAAAAGGAUCAAUGUCCCAAAAAAUAUGCAACGUUUUGCAAGGGUAUUAAAUUUAUGAGUGGGAUAGACACAAAUAGCAGACCGUGUGGGGUGCUGUGGUUGAUCCACUAGGGUGGCAGGAUAGCCUUUUUGACCAAAUUAUAAAGCAGACUUUUUGACCAAGAGGGUGGCCAACAAAUAUGCAACGUUUUACACGGUAUUAAAUUUAUGACUGAGGAUUUGGAUCCUCUCCUGAGCUAAUGGAGAUGAUCUUCCUGACCAACCAUUAUGGGUUGUUGGAUUUUUAUCCAACGGUUAUAAUUAUUAUAACUUUAAAGGAACUCCCUUUUUAUAACCGUUGGAUAAAAAUCUAACAGUCCAUAAUGGUUGGUCAGGAUGAUCCUCUCCAUUGGCUCAGGAGAGGAUCCAAAUCAGAUGGACACAAGUAGCAGACCGUGUGGGGUGCUGUGGUUCCUCCACUAGGGUGGCAGGGUAACCUUUUUGACCAAAUUAUAAAGCAGACCUUUUUGACCAAGAGCGUGGCCAAUAAAUAUGCAACGUCUUGCACGGGUAUUAAAUUUAUGACUGGGAUGCACACUCAUCUUCUUCCUCAUUCGUUGUUUAUGUAAAAAAAUGUAAUAAAUUGUAAUAAUGAUCUUUCAACUUUAAUUAAAUUGAAACAAUAGUUUUUUAAUUAAAAUUCAUUAUUAUUAGUCUAUUAACUCAUUAAAACGUGUAGCUAUAGUCAUUUUCGUCAACUCCUUCAGAAUUCUGUCAAAAUAAGUUAUGUUGAAAGGACCAUUGCUAUAAUUGGGUUAAAGUUAGGGACCAUUGCUAUAAUUGGGUUAAAGUUAGGGACCAUUGCUCUAAUUGAGUUAAAUUUGAGGAAUCAUUUCUCUAGUUGGAUUACAGUUGAUGGAUCAUUGAUACAAUUUUUCUUAUUUGAUUUUUCAUUGUGCCCCUUGAUUUAGCCUCAAGUGCAUGACAUGUGACUAUUUUGACGGAAGUUCUAAUGGAGUUGACGAAAAUAAUCAUAGUUGCACGUUUUGAUGAGUUAAGAGACCAAUGAUAAUGAAUUUUUAGUUGAGGGAUCAUUGCUCCACUUAGAUUAAAAUUAAGAGAUCAUUACUAUAAUUUACUCUGAAAACUAAAGGCCUCCUAUUUUAGUUAUGUUUGUACCAUACUUGACCAAUCCCAAAACUACUGAGCACCGGUCAACGUUAUACCAUCAAGGAUCCAGAAGAGUUUCUCUCAAACCAGGAGGCCAAUCACAACACGACACAUGUCGAUAUCAAAAGCCAAUCAUAGCGCGACACGUGUCAACAUCAGAAGCCAAUCACAACACGACACGUGUCAAUGUCAGAACAAAACUAAAAACUCUCUUCUAUAAAAGGAGAUCAUUCUCCCUCAAUAUUUCCUAAUGUUCUUUGUACUAAAUCAUUCACUAGUACUGACUAAAUGAGAGUUUGAACCUAUGUACUUGUGUAAACCCUUCACAAUUAAUGAGAACUCCUCUACUCCGUGGACGUAGCCAAUCUAGGUAAACCACGUAUAUCUUGUGUUUGCUUCCCUGUCUCUAUCCAUUUACAUACUUAUCCACACUAGUGACCGAAGCAAUCUAACGAAGGUCACAAACUUAACACUUUCUGUUAUACCAAAGUCCUCACUGAUUUUGUGCAUCAACAAGUUGCAUUGGAGAAUCCUUUCAACCAUCCAAAUCCAAAACAUGGAUCUAAGGAGCCAAGAAACAAAGAGGAGUUCGUCCAUAUUCAUGGAUACAAGAAGCUAUGAGCAAGGGAAUGAGGACCUCACUUUGGGUGACUAUCAUUUACUUCUGCAAAGAGGACCUACAAAAAUAUAAAGUCAACUCACUUUGCUUUGAAUUUGAGUUGAGUCUUUGACUAACUACUAGACUCUGAAUUUCAUGAGUUAAGUUUUGUUUUUGAAUGCAUAUAAGCAUGCUAGAGCCUUUAAUUGUUAAUUACAUGUAUAUGUGUUGCUCAAAUGAACUUAGUUUAUCAAAUUUUUCUCUCAAGACCAAGGUAUUAAAUAUCGAUGAUAUCGGAAAUAUCGGUAGUCCAAAAACACGGAAAUAUCGAUGGAAAUAUCGAUGGAAAUAUCGGGAUAUUAUCGAUAUCGAUAAAAAUAAUAUGGAAACCACGGAAAUUGUAAGAAAAACUUGGAAAUUUUUAUUGAAACUUUGCAGAAUGUUUAUUUAGUCAAUUAUCUAUUAGUUUAUCACAAAAAUUUGGAAGGAAAUGCAUUGCAUGAUGGAUUUAACUGAUUUAAGUUGAUUAUAUAGCGAGCUGGCAAACAUUGUGAGUGUAGAAAAUAUGUAGUAAUUAAUGAAAGAAGUUUAAACACACCAUAAUCAUUUAUAUAUAAUGAAUUAGUACAAUAUUUUACACUUUAUACAUUGCAUGGUAAGAUACAUGAGUGACUAAGUACCACAUAGAGUUCCUAUGAGGUUCAAAAUUUUCACUAUCUUCAUCAUCUCUAUGUGUAGAGUAAGUGUAUUGUGAAGAGUAGUCAGCAACCAUGGCAAUGGCUUUCAAGAACCGAAAUCCAAAAGUCAAUAGGAAACCGAAUACUUCGGUAUUUUUCGGGAUUUCGGGAUUACCAAACAAAUGGGAUUUGGAAACCAAUCCCAUAUCGAAAAUUUCGGUAUUUUUCGGGAUGGGAUUCCCGAACUUCGGGAUGGUUUUGGUUUGGGAUUUUUCGGUUUGGGUUUGGGACUUUUUCGGUUUGGUUUGGGAUUUUCGGGAAUUUUUUCCAACCCUACAUGUAAGUGACCAAAUAAAAAAUAGAAAAAUUAAAAACCACAUGCCAUUGACUAAGUAAUUAAUUGACACAAUUUAAAAUAUAAUACCACAAAAAAUUUGGAAUAUGUGCAAAUUUGUUUCUUGCAAAAAGAAUUCAAAACAAAACCAUAUAUAUAAAUAUUUUAGCAUGUUUUCACAAAAACAUAAGUGGUAUAGUGGUCAAGGCGCUGAAGGAGUUAGAUGGGAGGGGUUUGAAUCCCUCUAUGUGCAUGUUUGAGACUUUUCAGAAAUUUUCAAAUAUUUUUAGGUUCAUCUCGCGAUAAUAUCGAUAUUAUCGCGAUAUAUUAGCGAUAAUUAAAGGAAUACUCGUGAAAUAUCGUUAUAUGAAAAAAACGAUAAUAUCGGCGAUGUUUCGCUGAUAUUAUCGAUAUUUUCUUCUAUGUUCAAGACCAACUUCUAUGGCAUGCGUGGUGUGUUUGAGACUUUUCAGAAAUUUUCAAAUAUUUUUAGGUUCAUCUCGCGAUAAUAUCGAUAUUAUCGCGAUAUAUUAGCGAUGAUUAAAGGAAUACUCGUGAAAUAUCGUUAUAUGAAAAAAAACGAUAAUAUCGGCGAUAUUUCGCUGAUAUUAUCGAUAUUUUCUUCUAUGUUCAAGACCAACUUCUAUGGCAUGCGUGGUGUCUCAUGCCAAUCACACAAAUGUUAUGUAAAAAGAAUUUACACGUUGUGUUGCAUGAUUGACAAUUAACGACACAAUAGUGUUAUAACCGUGUCAAUGUUAUGAAAGUUUUUAUGCAAAGUCACUUGAUAUGCCGCAACAAUUAGUAAACAAUAUUAGAAAGACCUAGAGGAACCCACAAUUAAUUCCAAUUCAUUAAGUAGCUCAUGUGCAAGCAAAGUAUGGGCUUCCCAUGGGCAGGAGCUGGAAUUUACCCAUAUUUGGUAGUUAUGUAGCAUUAUACGAGGAGCCUGCUCAGCAUUCAAUAUGUUCACCCACAUGAUGUUGAGUGUAAUCCUUCUUAAGGUUCAACGAUAUUGUUUCUAUUAACAAAUAUAAAUAAAAAAAUAAGCGAAAUACUAGAGAGAUUACACGUUUAUAUUACAUUGUUGUACCAUAUUGUGAUAUGGCUGUGUACAUACCACGUCUUGUAAUGAGUUUAUCUCAUUAGAUGUUAGACUGUUGGUUAUUUGUAUUACUUAUUACAUCAUAUGGUACAUCAAUGUGGUAUAAAUAUGCAAUCUCUCCAACAUUACCCUUAGGAAAAUUUUAUUUGAACCCAUCUAACCUCUUUCUACACCCAACUUAAAUUCUAAAUGUGAAUUGUCUAUUUUAUCCUAAUGCAUAAUUACCAUCAAGUACAAGAUGAAAUUAAGAAUAAAACUAAAAUUUAUCAAUAAACCCAUACUCAAUAAUUAAGUUCUACCAUCACACAAUUUUUAUCCUACAUUCAUUUUGAAUAAAUUCCUAAGGGCUGCAAUAAAACCCUACGAUCACCUAAUAAUCAAAUCCGGUUGCUUUUUGUUUCCUCUCUAGCUUCAUGUUAACUCGAUCAGUAAAAACAAAGUAUUCAAAGUAUUCAUGUAUAAAAUAAGCCAACUUGGACUGGACUUGCUAUAAACCUAAAAACAUAAGCAGAAUCCCAGUUGCUAAUUCCACAAGAACUCGACUUGCGACCAUUCAAAACCCAAUAAAAAUUCAAGAAAACCAGAACUUACCAAGUGAACGUUGACGGCUGAGCCAGAGCAGCAACGACGAAAGGAAGCAUUGCAGAUAAGACCUGAGACGACGAGCCGUCGGAAGCCCCUUUGGAUAUUUCAGCUGAUGGGUUUAUCCCAAACGACAGCAUCAACGCGUUGCCUUCCUUCCUCUGCGACCCGACUCUGCUGAUGUGCAAUGUGCUUACUCUUGUAAUCACUCCAUGUGCCAUGUGCAAACAAUCGAAGCACAUCGAGGUAGACAUAAUUUUCAGUUCCUUCAAGCUGCACAUAUUCCACAGUAAAAAAACAAAUGCAUAUGAAACAAGACCCUAUAACAAUCAACAAUUUUAUUUUGACUUUGGCUGCAACAAAAUUCUGAUUAUACAUCCUUUGCUCAAAUCCAGAAACUACACCACCAAAAUAUACACAGAAAAAUGAAACUUCCACAAUAAAUAAAUAGAAACAUGGGAACCUGAAGAACAUUAGGGACAUCGAUAAUUUCCGAAAAGGCAAAAAGGGCAGGGUGGGAGGUGACUUCUGCGACGAGGGGGCCGAGGGCGGAGCCAUCGAGUGAUGAGGCUUGCUUCACGAAGUGAUCAAAGGCCUCCUCUUGCUUUUGCUUUCUAAAAGGGUGUAAAGAUGAAUUUUUAUAUAUUGAAUUGAGUUUGUGAGGGUAGUUUAGAUAGUAAUUUGGGUUUAGAGAGAAAUUGAUUCUUUAAUUAAAAAUAAUAUGGGUGUAAAGAAUAAGUUAGGUGUAGCAAGAAGUUGUAUGGGUUCAAAUAAAAUUUCCCUUACCCUUAUCAGAAACCCUAAAAGACAAGAAAUGCUCUAUACUAAGACGUGUUUAUCAAACCGGAAUGAAAGUGUAGGAAAUGGAAUUGCACGAACUCCAAGUCAUUUUAGUGUUUACUAAACCAGAGGGAAUCAACAUUCAGGUGGGACCCACCCAAAAUCCGGAAUACAAUUCCUUAAAUACCCGGAAAUGGAUUCUUGACUUGGGAGGUGGGAAUUGAGUUCCUGAAAAUAGAUUCAUCAGGGAUCCAAGUUUUCUACCCAUACUAUCCUCAUGCUUUUUUGGUAAACCCAAAUAUCCCUCACAAUUUCACCUCCCCAGUUCCAUGACCAGUGUAUAGACCCAUCUCUCUUCUCCCCAAUCCCACCAUUUCCUAACAGAGGAGCUUCGACUCCAGUGAAAUCCCGACCCCUUUCUCCUUGCCCCGUCGCCGCAGACUAUCCAAAAUACAUGCAUGAACGCACAAAGAGAGGGGAAAAUGUAUGGCGUGGCCGCAUGGUCAUCUAAAAACAGGGGGUGGGGACGGUUGUGAUAGGUGGUGAGGAGCUGGGUUUGGGGAUGUAGGGGGGAGAAGAUGGCAUCGCAGCUUUUUGUGUUUUGGGUUUUUUUAUGUUAUUUUAUAUUUUUAAUAAAUUUGUUAAUUAUUUAUUUUGCUGAAUAGUUAUGUUUUCAUGUAGCUAAUUGGAUUUUAUGAGCAUAUGUGGUUAUCAAAAUUAACCAUUAACUAGCAUAUAAAAAUAUAAUUUAUAACAAGGGCAAUUUAGUAAUCAAAUAGGUUUCAAUUCCGAUUCAUGUGAGUGAGUAAAUAAUUUUUAUGUAAUCAAUAUCAUUUUUAUUCCGAUUCCAGAUAGUUUAGUAAACAGAUUCAACAUGAAUCCAAUUCUAAUUCCACUUCAUUCCAUCUUCUUCUCAAUUCAAUUCAAUUCCUCAUACUCUGAUUACGGAUUAGUAAACGGGUCAUAAAACGGAAAGAGAAAAACAUUGUUCAUAACCAACAGUGUUUUUACUUUUUUGCCCUCAUUUUUAAUGUUUCUGUGUUCCCACUUUUAUGCCUCUAUACAGUGAAAUCCCCAAUUGCCCUAUGGGCAUAGGUGUGUAAAAAAAUUGUUUUGCACACGUGGCAUGCUAGGGAGAUUUCUCUGCUGCACCGUUUCCUUCCAGCUCCACUCCGAAUCGAUACUGAAUACUGCUCAACCAAAUUUUUUCAUCAUUUCAUUCCGUCCUUGUCAACCUCUUCAUUCUUGCUCCACCAUGAAUCGAAACAAAAAAUUGCUCAUCCAAAUCAAUUUCAGUUAACUCAAAUCCCUAAAACCCAAAUUUCUCCAGAUCUUUGGAUUUAGUUUACUUUUUGUUGUUGCGUAAAGCUUAAAUUUACGUACAAUUUUUUUAUUUUCUUGAUUGGAAUUUGGAAAGAAUCAAUUGUUCUUUGAAGGAAUUACAGAAAAUUGGAAAGGGGAAAUGGGAAAUGGGAAAGCGAGGAAAUGCGGGCAAAUGGGUUUUGGGAAAAUGACUUUUUUUUUUGGCAUUCGCUUUUGGCUUUCAUCCUUUCUGCGUUUGCUUUUCCUCAUUUUUUUUCUCAAGAACCAAACAUAAAAUAAAAAGAACCUAGAAAAAAGAAAAGGAAAAUCACAAGAUUAAGAAUCUGGGAUUGCAACAAUGGAGCUUCUGUGCCGAAAUAUCAAUUGGGUUCCGUUUGAUCUUCGGUGCUUCUUCUGCAUUCAAAAAGUUGGGGUUUUUUUGCGUGAUGGGAACACAUUUCCAAAUUCGACCUCAAUCCCAAAGGAACCAUCCACCAAAUAACCCUUCCUCCCUUUCUAUUUCUCUCUCUGUAAUUUCCCCUGACCGAAUCACACAAUCCAACCAACUCUCUGUGUAAGGCUGCCUCACAAAUUCCAUGGAUUUCAUGGACUUACCCUCUCUAUGAGCCUCCCUCGCCGAAUCCAACUAAUUUCCUUAGGCCCGUUUGGGAUUGAGGUGAUUUUAAAAAAAGCAAUUGUGAAAAAAAGCUGAGGGUCAUUUUUGUGUUUGGUAAACUGAAAAAAAAUGGCUUAUUUUGAAAGCUGCUGUGAGAAUAAGCUGAAAAUCAAAGGAAAAGCUGAAGCUGCUAUUUGCUGCUUUGAAAAAAAGCCAGUUUUUUCAAAGCACACGGAGCUACAAUGCUCCUUUAAUGAAAAGACACACUAUCAUCCUGCUUUUUUUUCCAAAAGCACUUUCACAAAAAAGUUUACCAAACACUCUACUGGCUUUAUUUCACAGCCGCUUAUUCUCACAGCAGCUUUUUUUCAAAGCACAGCAAUACCAAACCAGCCCUAAUUCCAUCGAUAGCCACACCCACCCCUCCCAACUGAAAAUGACAAUAAUGCCCACCCAACUUUUAUUCUCUGCCUUUAGAUCUCAAAUUAAAAUGGGUAAUAAAGUCCUUUUCACACCAAUACCCGCUAUUUAACAGCUCAAAUGUACACAACCCAAACAAACACAUGGCCUAAAGGGCCUACCCCAGACCCCCGGCCCAAAAAUAUAAAGGAAAACUAAUGAAAAUUGCUUGAAAACUUUGAGUUUUAAUGAUAAGGACAAAAUAAAGGGUAAAGUGAAUAGUACCAGGAUUGACUUUUUAGUGUAAAAAUGUGGUUUUUCGUUAAAGUGAACAGUACCGGGUGCUUUUCGUUAAAGUUCCCAAAAAAUAAUUGGAAAAAGAAGUGGCAAUUUGGUAAAUAAAAUGUUACCUUUUCCAUUGCCCAUUCCUUUUGGAAAAAGAAAUGAAAUUAAAACUCUUCAUUUAAAAUGGUCUUAAGCCAAAUUGUAUUGAAUGUGAAGCAGAGGGUAAGAGGUGUAGAUUGUAGAACAAUUACACCUAGAGCGAAAUUGAAUUUGUUGACAGGAGGAAACCAAGUAAGGAUAACGCGUCUAAAUCUUAUUUCGCAUCUAUUCUGCUCAUGAUUUUUCUGCUUUCAUGUAAUUAGCGGCUUAUAUUUGUGGUAACGAUAUUGAUUAAUUUCGAGAAAUGACAGUCUAAUUUUCGCAACUGUCUUUUGCAGGUAAAACAAAGACGGUCUAAUUUUCGCAACUGUCUUUUGCAGGCAAAACAAUGACAGUCUAAUAUUCGCAACUGCCUCCUACAGUUAGAAGCAAUUGUUGAAUUAGAGUAACACUAGAAAAUGCACCCGCGCUUUGCUGCAAGCAUUGAAUAAUUAGUCACAACAUUCAUGAAUAGCAUUCCAAUAAAGCAACUAAAAAGACGUCGUAAUACGUAAGAACCAUCGAAGUCAAAUUUUGCUUGCUAUAUAUGGAUAUGCAUGCUAUAAGAAACAUCUAUUUAUAGAUUGUAUUGUGUCAUCAAUAUCAUAGUUGCAAGUAAUCAGCCUACUACAUGGAAGAAAAACACAGAAAAGGGAAAGUAGAAAAGUAGAAACAUAAUACUUGAGUACCUGGCAAGAAUAGUAAGUUCUUGAAAAAAUUGCUAAACCGUCUAACAAAUUCAAUCGUUAAACGUUAUACUGUAACCCAAGACAAAAAUAAAGUAUAUUGUUUGUUUACAAAUCAAAACGAAGUGCUGCUACAAUCCUCAACAGCUAUGAAUCAUUUUCAAAUAAAGAUACUCAGAUUUGACGGCACAUCAAAUAACCACCAAGCGAAGCAAAUUACGCCAUGUGCUAAUAAGAAACUAAAACAAAAGCAAGAUUAAAUAUCGAAAUUUUUUUAUAAGGCAUCAAUUGACAAAAUGCUUCUUAAUGUGGUCUUCCAAGAAAUGAAUGCAGCUCACAAACAACUUAGAAAUCAUUGUCACCUCAAUCUUACUAAAUAGAAGCAUAAAUGGACAUGAUAGCUCCCUAAUUUUGUAAUAGAAACUCUAACAAAGAAUAUCAGGCUCCAAAGGCCCUAACUUUUCCUAGGCAUAAAUCUAUACAUUGCAAGUUUAAUUCCAACGAAGCAAAUAUGCGUGCAAAGUAAAAGGCAUCAACACUACAUGUACUGCUUACAAUCGUCUCAAGUUGCUGACAACAACAACAACAACAACAACAACAAAGCUUUUUCCCACUAAGUGGGGUCAGCUAUAUGAAUCCUAGAACGCCAUUGCGCUCGGUUUUGUGUCAUGUCCUCCGUUAGAACGCCAUUGCGCUCGUCUCAAGUUGCUGACACAAUGUUUAAAAUAUUCCAAGACUCAAAGAUUUUCACACAAAUAGAGCACCUUACCAAAACAAUAACCGAGGUUGUCGUAUUUGAAUCAAGCAGAUGCUUUGCAAGGCCUUCUUCAAUAUCGUCUCAUAUUCCCUUUUCAUUUUUCGUAUAUGAUACAAUAAACUAUUCAAAUCUAGACAUAAAUAAGAGAAUCUGCUACACCCUACUAUCACAAUUGUCAGUCCUGAACAAUAAUGCAAGUCUAGUGGCAAAAACCACCUCAAUGAACAACUCACACACACUGAUCAUACAUCUCUAACUCUCUUUUUCAAAUAACACACACUCUGAUCCAAAACAGGGUAAAUAAAAUGCACAUCCUUAUACAUUUCUAACUUUCUUUUUCGAAAUCCAAAAUAGGGUAUUCUAACUCUCUUUUUCAUUCAUUUCUUACAAACCAAUCAUACAUUUAAAAUAGGCUUUGAAUAAAAAUAGGGUAUAUAAUUAUAUACCUCAAAAUGCCUAGGAACCAACUUCCCCCUCCAACGAUUCAAAUUCUUGAAAUUGCCAACACAGUAAAUCCAUUAGUACUAUAUAAAUGAAAACACAAUUGAAACCCAUCAAACAAAACAAUCCCACAAUUUAAAUGAUUCAAUCCUACUACAAUUGAAAUUCACAGAAAGAAUGAAAAACCAGAACAAAACUGCAGCACCUAAAAAGUUGUCAUACAAAAAAACAUGGAAUGUAAAAAUAUGUUAAGAAAUCUAGUUCGUUAAUUUCCAGCUGCUAAGUGGCAUUAUGUAACUUUAGUAGUAUAACUAAUUAACUACUUAUCUGGUGGGUUGCACUUCUAUCCAAUUGGUAAGGAAAGGAAAAUAAAAAUCAACCCCUUGGUCUUAGUUGUGGCUGCAAAGUGCAGGCCACCACCAAGUCUCAGUGUUUGUGUUUUAGCAAAACACUUAAAUAAAUUAAAUUCUGAAAUGUAAAUUAUAUUCCUAUAACUUUAAGAUGCACAUAUAGUAUUGUUGAAGUCGAACUGAAAGCACUGACAAUUCCAAGCAACAGAGCAGCAAUUAUUAAGAGCCAAAACUCAUUCCUAGUCUCCUCAUCCUGGUACUCAACUCUAAUCUUCGGUCAGCAUCAUUGACUGAAAUUAGGAGAGAAAAAGAAAAGGAAUUUCAGAAAUUGUCUAUGAAGCAAAGGAUACUGCAGUUACUUCAAGACAUGUAAAUUGCAUAUGUAUAAAGUAAUUUUCUACAUAAAGGAAUGAGGCAUAACUUUCUCUCUCCUCUUCAAACCCUAAACAGUGCAAAGCCACAAACUUUACAGAGAUUAGAAUGAGAACUGGAAUUAAUAGAACAAUGACUGAAAAGUAACAUACUUGAGGAGUGAAUGAUUUAGUGUUUCCAUCAUCGGAACGCCGGAGUAAGUCGCUAAGAGAGGUCGCAAACAGCCCAAAGGGACAAACCCAGACCCCCGGCCCCGAUCCAUACCCUUCCCCCUCAAAUCCCGACGGCCCCCAUACUUUUCUCUGACUGUACACCCUCUCCCACUCAUGAAAUCGAGGAUCUGCAGCAAUGGUACUGAGAUCCCCACUCCUCCCUCUCCCUUUCUCUCUGUCGCUCUGUCUCCCUCUCCCACUGUCUGUCUAUCUUUAUCCCAGAGCGGCAUGGUCUCCCAUCCCUGAAACCCUCACCGAAAGGUGGCAAUUUUGUAAAUAACUUGAAAUCCACCAACAGCAGGAGCAGAGAAUUGAAACAAACAUUUAGGCUCGUUCGAUAACCAUUUAGGCCAAAACUGAGCACACCUAAACCAUUCCUACUCGUGCCAAAUGUUAGUGGGGAAGCAAGAUGAUGACUUUAUUGUUCAAAACCAAAAGAAAAAAAGAGAGAAAACAAAAUAACAAAUCUAAUGGUUGUAGUGUAAAAGCUGAGAACGUAAAUAAACAUGCAGAGAAAAAAAUUGAAGAUACAAAGUAGCUGCAUCAUGAAACACUUACUCCAAUUAGACGCAAAAAGUGAUGGUGAUGAGAAGAGAGAGAAAAUGCAAUCGUUUUGAUUUUUCUGGCUUUUAAAGGGAGCAGCUUUCUUCGACCACCCAAAAAAGGAAGCUGCUUCGUAUGGUUGUGAUUUCCUGAGUGUAUGUGAGCGGGUCUAUGGCACUUGCACUUUUUGUGUCGGUUACGGUAACCGGGCGAGCUGAACACGGCGGCAUGGGACUGAAUUCGGAGAGGUGAGAAAAAUUAAAAACACAAAAAGAAGGUGUUCAUUUUGUCACAUUUUUAUUACUAAAAAUUCAAUAAAGUACAUUCAUUAGUAUGGUAACUUAACUAUUUAAUUCCAUCUCAUUAAACUAAAAAAAACAAUUACAAAAAAAUAAGGGAAACCUUGUCCAAAGAGACCUGAGAGAAAGUGACGACUUCUCCUCUCAUUCCACUCCAUACUUGAUCUCUAAAGUCCAUUUGGCAUGUAAUUGAUGUUCAAUUUCAAAUUUAGUGGUAGCAAUUAGCAAAGCUAAUGAAAGAAUCAAAUAAAAUGAAAGAAAAAGCAUCAUGAAAUAAAUCAAGAUGAAGAAUGAAAUUUUGGCAACUCCCCAUUCUCUUCUUUUAUAUAAAAGAUACAUCCUAUUUGUAGUGAAAACAGGUCCCGACAAGCCCAUUUAUCCUCAAGAAGUAUUUUCUAUGACUUUAAAAACAUAAUCUGUGAAAUUAUCUCUUGGCAGAGAACAACAACAAAUCUUCAUGCAUAGCUUGUAGAGAAAGACAUCAGGCAUACAAAAGAACACGCAAGCAUAAAAUAAACGACGCAGGGAAAACAAAAAAUACAAUUAAAUACGCUGUCAAAAGAACAUGAAUAAAUGAAAAUUACAAAACAAAGAAGUGAUGAGAAACCAAAGUACCCAUUUCAUAAUCUAAUUGUUUUUUAGUUUGCUGCCAGCCAUCCCUGAGUAAUGCAUUCACUUCUGAACCCCAAACACACUGAAACAAAAAUUCACACACAUGAACUACAACUCCGCUAUGUAACAAGAAUUAAAAGCAUCUCAAAACAAAAUGGCAAACUAUAAGAGCACUGUAAAAGUAAAAUUGCAAGAAAUCUAAUACUUGGAGGGCAAGUACUAAUCAGACGAAAAUGAAAGAUUGAACUACUUCGCGUGGAACUGUGCCUUGGUUUUUUCCCAUGCUUACAGGAAGCUUUGCACUGAGCCCUUAUAGCCCAAAUUUUCUCUGAAGGAAAAAAAAACACAAUUUUGAAAUAAGAUUUUCAUAUUAUACCUUAAAGAGAAGAAUUAGACAACAAAAAAGAGAAGAAUUAGACAACAAAAAAGAGAAGAAUGAGUACUAUUCAUCAUAUAUUGUUAGAGUAUGUGGUCCUCUGGUCCAAUGGUCCUGCAGCCAUAUUUACUUUAUAACUCUUUCUUUUAGUCUUAAAAACAUCUUGGAUCUCAAAUUAACAUGUUAGCUAUGCGUUAGAACAUAUUGGGUUCAAUCCAUUGUCUUGAAUAUCACCCCCAGUCACAGCUGUCUCUUCGGGGCAUACAGAAGGCCUGAGAGGCAUUUGCAGACAUUCAAUAUCUGCUCCAAGCAUUUCGACAACUUUGGACAACGAAGGGCAAUCACUUGGUUUCAUUUGAAUACACACAAGGCGGUUAUAACCAUCUUUCUUAUCACUUUCUUUUCAUCCUCUGUAACAUUGUCUAUUUCCAAGUCAUUUCCCACAAUAUAUUGAUCAUAUACCCAUAACGGGAAAUAGAUUUGGCUUGGAUGCUCUACCGUUGCAUUCAAAUUCUUCCUUCUGCUUGCCAUUUCCAUCAACAACAUUCCAAAACUAUAGACAUCGGCCUUGUAUGAGACACCUCUAAUAUUUUUGUAGAACAACUCAGGAGCAAUAUAUCUCAUUGUACCCCGUGCUGCCGUCAAAGAGACAAUGCUAUUAUCUACUGGAUACAAUUUUGCAAGCCCAAAGUCAGAAACCUUUGUGUUUGCACUCAAAAUAUACCCAUUUUUACUUAUUUGGGCAAUUUGGGUAAAAUAUGGUAUUUGAAGGAUUAAUAUGCAAGAAAACUAACUUGGAAAGAUAUUUGGCUGCAAGUGGGGGGGGUUUGGCACUAUAAUAUUGUUUUUCCCAUUUGUUUAGGUGGUGGAGGUUUGUCAAGCCUUUGUUUAAUCAAGAUACAUGCAUGUAUUGCAAGUGGAUGGGAGAGCUUUCGGGCAAGAACGUGUAGUGAAAGAAGCUAGUUUGCUUCUUUUAAUUAUUUUAUUGCAAGUGGGAAAAUACAUGUGGUGGAGAUGCAACUUGCUUCUUUUUUAAUUGUUAGUUUAUUACAAGUGGGGAAACAUGUGCUAAAAACAUGUGGUGGAGAUGCAAGUUUCCCUUUUAAUAUUGUUUCUACAUGCAAGUUGGCAAAUGCAAAUGCAAGCUGCCCAAGCUUCUUUCGGGCAGGUACAAAGAUCUUAGCAAGGGGGCUCUUCCAGACCUCUAUAUAAAGAAGCAGAUGGAGAAGGAUUAUGGACACUCAAAACAACCAAUCAAAACUCUACUCAAAUUAGCUCAUCAGCUUCCUUGUAGACAUUUAUUUUUAGCCAAGCAUCCUUUGCUUUUCUUGUUUAUUAGCUCUGCUACUCACUUGUAGUAUCGAUCUUAUUUGUAGCUUUUAUGUACAACCCUCUUUCAGUCAUUUAAUCUACAAGCAAUCUGCAAUAUUAGUCACUUUCCUCUGUCAUUUAUAUUUCCAAGCAACCUUGUCAUUUACAUAUUGUUCUAUCUCUCCAUAUAAGUAAAGUCCUUAUUUUUAAGGCAAACAAAGAACCUUAAUUUGAGUAACUCUCACUCAAUGGCACAAUCUCUUGGUUCGAAGUCAAUCUCAGGCGCAACCUCAAUCAUUCAGAAUCUGUCUACUAACGGUAUCUAGUAGUGGCAUGCCCGCACCCCACCAAUCUCGUAUGUGAAGUAAAUCCCCGGCUUGCCCGCAAGGCGCCAUGGCGAAUUUAGGGAGCAAACAUAUUUUGGCACACCCGGUGGGAUACCUUAAAUAGAGUUAUAUUAUGAGCAAUCCUUAUGUUCAUGAUUUUUCUCAAUAUGCUUUUUCGGAGUAUGAGGAGGAUGACGGUGUUGAAGAGCGCCCAAGCUAUGGCUAUCACAUAGAGCCAACCUAUGAGUUGUCAACUUAUGGGUACAUGGCUGAAAAGUACUCAAGUCCCAUGGAACAUGAUUGUCGGCCAACUAAUGGCCAUCAAAUAAAUAAUAAUCUUGAAGAUUGGCCAACUUAUGGCUAUGAUGAAGGUUAUUAUUCUUUUGAAGACAAUCAUAUUCAUGAAUACUAUGAUAGGCCAACAAAUGGCUUUGAGUAUCAAAAUGCUUCCAAUGAGUACAUAGAGCCAAUAUAUGAGAUACCAACUCAUGAUCAUCCAGAUGAAAAGCUCUACAAAGAGGAUGUGGGCAAAUUAGAGAAGGUGUCCAAACUCCAUGUGGCAAGCAUCGAUAUGGUGAAGAGGUGACCAAGUGUUUUAGAAAGGUGGAGGAAAGCUAUACCACUUUUGGAGAAACUUUGAGAAAGUUGAUAGAUCAAAUGUGUCAAAUCCCCUCUACAAAGCACACUCACCCUACUACAACCAAGGAAGAACAAAUCAUACACGUUGAUGAAGGCCAAACAAUGGCCCCACCCAAUGAAAAAUCCAUGAAAAUGGAUAUGGUUGUAGAAGGCCAAGCCGACAUAUUGAAACCGAUAACGGCUAAGAUGGAGCUUAUGGCUAUUGUAGGCCAAACACCAACGCUCGGGGGGCUCGAACUCACACCUCAUGUGGAGCCCGAAGAAGAAGAAAAUAUUUCCCACUCUCUUCUCCGCCAACACAAGCAUGUCAUCCAUACCAAGAUCUCAAGAAGGGCAAAGCUUGGGAUCAAACAUAAAUGGCCACCUCCUAUUGUUUCCAAGCUAUAUGGUAUGGCUAAUUUAAAUGGUGGAUCUAAUCUCUCUACACUCAAUUUUAAAAAGAGAAAAAGAUUUGAGUGUUAAGAGAUAUCUGGGCAAUCAAGGGGCUUAACCAAUAUGCCCAAGUGGGGCUUAUUUUGUUGUUUCCUCUUUUGCCUGAAGUUGAACUCCCAGUCUUCCUUUUCUUCUUUCCUUCUCUCUUUCCUUUUCUUUCUCUCCUGUUUCCUUUUGCCCGAAAGUAGGUGCCAAAUCCCUCCUCUAUUCCUUUUUCUUUAUUUCUUUCUCUUUGUCUUAUCUUGUCUUUCACUUUUCCCAAAAGGGCUAUAUAUAUACAGAGAGCUUAAGGGGAGGGAUCCCCAUUUUUUGAAAAAAAUGGGGAUUAGGUGUGGGGCCCACUUCACAUUGAACUUCAACAAUCCGAACCGUCUAUUUUGUUAGUCUCGAUUCAUAGAUCAUCCUUGCAAAAAUUCAAUUCAAUCCGAAACCAUUUGCCUAUUUAAUUAUCAAGAUCAAAUUUCAUUUUUUCUUAUAUAACAAAGUAUUCGUUUAUUUCAUUGAACCCAAUUAGAUGUCUUAAACAUUUCCAAUUUAGCUAAUAUUUUGCAAGGAUGAUCUAUGAAUCGAGACUAACAAAAUAGAUAGUUCGGAUCGUUGAAAUUCGAUGUGAAGUGGGCCCCACACCUAAUCCCUAUUUUUUUCAAAAAAUGGGGAUCCCUCCCCUUAAGCUCUAUAUAUAUAUAUAUAUAUAUAUAUAUAUAUAUUAUAUGUGAAAAGAGGGGAAUGGAAGUACUUUGCCCGAGUGGGCUUGUUAUAUAUAUUAUUUUAUAUAUUAUAUUAUAUUAUAGUUUUGAAAGUCAUUCAAAAAAAAAAAAAAAAAAAAAUCUGAGCAGUUUGCCCGAUUCCCUUUUCUUCAAAAUUUGCCCAAAUUGGUUCUUUCUUUUACUUUGGUCUGUGUUACCCGAGAGGGCUUUGUCCCUUUUUGUUUCUCUUGCUUUGGUUGCCUGACAGUCUUCCCUUUUAUUUGUUCUUUCACUUUUUCCAGCCAACCCAACAGGGCCUUUAAUUUCCUUUUUCUGUUUGCCCGAAAGGGCUCUGUUUUUUUGUGUGUUUCUUGUGCUGUUACAAAGAAAAAGAUAUAAAAAUUAAAAAUUCCAAAAAUCACAAAAACAUUUUGCUUUCUUGCUUUUGUUUUUUCUUGCUUUCUUUCCUUUUUUGUUUUCUUGCUGGGGAACUUUACAGAAAAUAUCAAAAAGUUGGGCAGCUUGUGAGUAGCCAUUUUUACCUUUCUUUCCACUUUUCUCUUAUCCAAUGAGUGUAUUUAGCCCGAACCCAAAAGUUGAAAUUAGAAAACCAUCUAGUGGCUGUACCCAAAUUCAUGGAAUGAGGAGUUUCAUAAAAAGCCGAAUCUAUGGCUUUCUUGCUGAAAAGCAUGUCAUCUGUGUCUCAAUGGCUAUUGCAAGAAAGCAUGGGGCUAUCUUGCCCAACUGGUGGUGCCCGAUGGAACCAUAACCAUGCCUGACGGUAAUGACGUCUUCCCUACUCACCACCAACAGACUCUGCAUGUCUCCCUAACGCUCACCAGUUCCUACAACCAAGGGUCGGGCUACUUUGACGACUACCAUUAGAGGCUACAGUAAGAGCUUUUGAUGUGGCUACUAUUAAUCACUGGAGACUAGUUUUCAUGGGUAAGAAAAUAGAAAAAUGGAGCUGCAUCUAAAUGUGAAAUCCGAAAGCUGGAGGAAGAUGACAGAAAAUUAUGUUGCUGUUGCCCGAGGAUGCUACAAUCUUGCCCGAUGAGCAUGACAUCUUCUCUGUUGCAAUUUGUUUAGAUGUUGUCAAUCAUAUAUGGGGCCCCAUGCUUGAUCUGGCAAACGUAUUUGAAGUGUUCAUGCCACUACAACCAGCAAUAAAUCAAGACCAGAUCUCUGAAGGAUUCUGCAGAUCGGUCGGUUCACUCAGACAUAACCACCUCCCUCCGAGCGGAACAAAAGCAACAGUGCAAAGUAGACAGCAUUACCUUGAUUUGGGAAGCAGAAUUCUGAACCUCAAGCAGGAUCUCUUGAUACGCAGGAGUUGGAGUAAGGAAACAAUGGCAGCCAACAUAAUAGCCGCAGCUUCGAAGCCAGACCUACCCGGCCUUCGGUCGUCAUCUUUAACCCCUUGGAGCUUCACCACUGGUUGAAGGAAGUAUGCAGAAAUUUACCUUUGCAGACGGAGCUUGGUUUACAUUUGCCCAGUUAAAAAGGAGGAGGAAGGGAUUGGAUCUCCAACAAACACUAAUAGCUUUCCGUUCUUUCUGCAACAAUCAAUUUUCAUGAUCCGUGGACUUGGGUUAUUUUCUUCACGCACGCACAAGGCAUACCCUUUCAUAGCUCCAGGAAAAAUCACCACUCUCUUCUCAUUUGACCAGCAGCUCUCUCUCUCUCUCUCAGACUUGGAUUAUGGUUGCCGCACCUUGAUCUUUAAGUGAUACCUCGAACAGAGAAACAACUUCUCUUUUGGAGAAGAGGAAAGGCUAGAGAACGACCCACGUUCAUCUUUUUCUCUCUAUCUCUCUCUCUCUCUAUCUAUCUCUUUCUUUUUCCUUUUCUUUUUCUUUUCUCUUGCUUUCUGUUCCUUUUCUUUUUCUUUUCUCUUGCUUUCUGUUCCUUGUCCCUUUCUCAAGGUAUGUCCUUCACUUGGCCCGAAAGGGCAGCAUACUAUAUAUAUUAUAGUAUGUGGCCUAAGAAAGAAAGUCUAGUCCUUUUUAUUAUUUCUUUUCCUCUUAUCUUUUUGUCUCUCUCUCUUUCUUUUCCUUCCUUUCUCUUUCUUCCUGUCUAUUUUUUCUUUUUGUUUUGAGUUGCCCGAAAGGGCUUUAUAUAUAUAUAUAUAUAUAUAUUAUAUUUGAAAAAGGCAAAAAGAAAAAGAUAAAAAAUAAUAGUUGCCAAAGUUUAUUUAUGUUUUAUCCUUCUUUUCCAGUUGUCCGACUUCGGGCAUUUUCAGUUUAUUAUCUAUGUAACCAGUGAAGAUGCUCUUAUGUUUUUUGGUAUCAACAAGAAGGAUGCACAAGUCAGACAACAUUUUUUUCCAAUGCUAGUUGCACUACCAAUUGCCUUGCUCCUCUUGCCAAAGUUUAUCAACGACGGCAGGACCGAAGAGGUAGACGUGCCUCUUCCUUCGACAUCAUUCUUGGCAGCAUUAGAGUUGUAAGUUUCACAAACUUUGCUCAAAUUUGUAAAACUUGGGGGGCACUGUUUGCACUCAAAAUAUGCCAAUUUUUACUUAUUUGGGCAAUUUGGGUAAAAUAUGGUAUUUGAAGGAUUAAUAUGCAAGAAAACUAACUUGGAAAAAUAUUUGGCUGCAAGUGGGGGGGGGGUUGGCACUAUAAUAUUGUUUUUCCCAUUUGUUUGGGUGGUGGAGGUUUGUCAAGCUUUUGUUUAAUCAAGAUACAUGCAUGUAUUGCAAGUGGAUGGAAGAGCUUUCGGGCAAGAAUGUGUAGUGAAAGAAGCUAGUUUGCUUCUUUUAAUUAUUUUAUUGCAAGUGGGAAAAUACAUGUGGUGGAGAUGCAACUUGCUUCUUUUUUAAUUGUUAGUUUAUUACAAGUGGGGAAACAUGUGCUAAAAACAUGUGGUGGAGAUGCAAAUUUCCCUUUUAAUAUUGUUUCUACAUGCAAGUUGGCAAAUGCAAAUGCAAGCUGCCCAAGCUUCUUUCGGGCAGGUACAAAGAUCUUAGCAAGGGGGCUCUUCCAGACCUCUAUAUAAAGAAGCAGAUGGAGAAGGAUUAUGGACACUCAAAACAACCAAUCAAAACUCUACUCAAAUUAGCUCAUCAGCUUCCUUGUAGACAUUUAUUUUUAGCCAAGCAUCCUUUGCUUUUCUUGUUUAUUAGCUCUGCUACUCACUUGUAGCAUCGAUCUUAUUUGUAGCUUUUAUGUACAACCCUCUUUCAGUCAUUUAAUCUACAAGCAAUCUGCAAUAUUAGUCACUUUCCUCUGUCAUUUAUAUUUCCAAGCAACCUUGUCAUUUACAUAUUGUUCUAUCUCUCCAUAUAAGUAAAGUCCUUAUUUUUAAGGCAAACAAAGAACCUUAAUUUGAGUAACUCCCACUCAAUGACACAAUCUCUUGGUUCGAAGUCAAUCUCAGGCGCAACCUCAAUCAUUUAGAAUCCGUUUACUUGCGGCAUCUAGUAGUGGCACGCCCGCACCCCACCAAUCUCGUAUGUGAAGUAAAUCCCCGGCUUGCCCACAAGGCGCCAUGGCGGAUUUAGGGAGCAAACACUUUGCUUUAAAGUUCUCAUCAAGAAGGAUGUUAUGAGGCUUGAUGUCGAAAUGUAGAAUUUGCAUUUUGCAACCUUGAUGUAGAUAUUGUUGACUUUUGUAUUUUAGGUAGGAUCCCUAAUUGAUAUGUAAUCCCAUGUAAUCACUUGUAAUUAGUUUUUCUUUCCUUUUAUGUUAGGGUUGUACACCUAUAAGUUCCUCUUAUUGAGAAGAAUAUAUCAUCAUUCAAAGCAUUCUCUUCUUGGCACCAGAGCCUAGGUUUUGAAAAGAAAAAAAAAAGAAAAGAAAGAGGAGACGAGAUCGUGCUCUGUACGGAAAACCAUAACUACCAGCCGCACAGCCAGUUGUGCAGCGCCGUCCGACCAGCAAGCGACGCCGUCGUUUCUGACCCGAGAACCCGAACUACCCGCCAUGCACCCAGGUGUGCAGUGUGCCGAUCAACCAGCGAGCGACGCCGUCGUUGCUGAUCCGAGUUCACCGAGCCACUCCCUGCAUCUACCACCACGAACCGAGAUUCAACCCACUGCCUGAAAUUUGUCCCAGAUUUCGGCCUGUGUAUCUGUUUUGCGUGCCCAGAUUCGAUUGAACCGAGUGCACCCACUUCACAAUGGCUCCCUGUGCUUGUCCUUUUUCAAAUGGAUUUGACCGAACCGGACAUGAGAGUAGGACCGAUCGAGACCAGUUCAAGACUUGUGAUCCCCACUGUAACAAGUCGUGUACCUCGAUUGUCGAAUCGAAAAUAGAUUCUAAUAUAGGUAACAAAGGUAAGGCUUUAAAAGUUUCUGCAUCUGUUACGAAUAAUACAUGGAUAAUUGAUUCCGGUGCUACUGAACAUAUGACUUGUGAAUCUAGGCAGGUACAAAUCCUAAAACCACCCACCAAAACUGUUGUGAGUGUUGCCAACGGUAAUGUUGUUCUCAUUAUUGGAGAAGGCACUGUCUCCCUGUCAAAUACCCUUAGUCUUGAUACCGUGCUUGUUGUUCCUUCUCUUGACCAUAAUUUAUUAUCUGUUGCUCAAAUAACUGUCGCCCUGCAUUGUCUUGUGAUUUUUUGGCCUUCCUUUUGUGUUUUUAAGGACAUUCGGACUCACAAGACGAUUGGUUAUGGUAUUAGGAAGGGGAAGCUCUAUUACUUGGAGCUGACAUCAAACAGUUUUCGAAUGUUGACUCACGCUCUUGCAGUGGACGGAAAUUCGGGGGAUAGGAAUAAAGCUUCGGAGGUUUGGUUGUGGCAUCGUCGACUUGGACAUGCUUCUUUCGGCUAUCUACGGAGGUUGUUUCCUAGCCUAUUUGUUAAGCAUGAUGUUUCUAGCUUUAAAUGUGGUGUUUGUGAACUAGCUAAAAGUCAUCGUGCUUCGUUUCCAUCCAGUUUGAAUAAAAGUUCUGUUCCAUUUAUGAUAAUUCAUUCUGAUGUUUGGGGUCCAUCUAAAACUGCUACAUUUGGUGGUGCUCAUUGGUUCGUUACUUUUAUUGAUGAUUGCACACGUAUGACUUGGGUUUGUUUGAUGAAAUCCAAAGGUGAAGUUACUUCUUUGUUUCAACAGUUUUACAAAAUGGUACAAGUACAAUAUAAGUCACAAAUACAGGUUCUCAGGAGUGAUAAUGGUGGCGAAUAUGUUAACUCUGAACUUCGUGCCUUUCUUGAUCAUCAUGGGAUUGUUCAUCAAACUACAUGUCCAUAUACUCCACAACAAAAUGGGGCUGCCGAAUGCAAGAACCGUCAGCUUCUGGAGGUUGUUCGUGCUUCUUUACUCGAGGCUCGUCUCCCGUUAUCCUAUUGGGGAGAAGCUCUCACCUCAGCUGCGUAUCUCAUUAAUCGUGUUCCAUCCCGAUCGGUUGAUUUUCAGACACCCCUUCAGGCAUUUUCUUUACAUGUUGAUGCUCCUGCAUUCCCUAAUCUUCCACCUCAUGUGUUUGGAUGUGUGGCCUUCGUUCAUCUUCAUAAACAACAGCGAAGUAAGCUUGAACCUCGAGCCUUACGAUGUGUGUUUGUGGGGUAUGCAUCAAGGCAGAAAGGAUACCGUUGUUAUCACCCACCGACGAAUAAGUUGUUUGUCACUAUGGAUGUUGCGUUUCAUGAGAAUGAUAUGUACUUUGCCAAUCUCGAGUCUUCACUUCAGGGGGAGAAUCAGAAAGAAGUUCAAACUCUUGAUUAUACUAUUCCAGAUAUAGAUAGAGUGAAUGAUUUGGAUUUAAGUGGUGAUGUCUUGGAAAUAAGUGGUGAUCAUUCACACGAAAAUAAUGAUGUGAAUGAAUUGGAAUUAAGUGGUAAUGUCUUGGAGACAAGUGGUGAUCAUUCACAUGGAAACAAUGUUGAAAACCUUGAAAGGGAUGAGUCGACAUCGCCAGAUAACUCACUGCCUGAUAGCUCACUGCCAGUUUCCUCACCACCGGACAACCCUGUGUCGCCAGCUACCUCACAGUCGAUCUUGAGUCCCAAUAACCAUAAUCAAUCGUCUUCGAUCCCGGAUGCACCACCACCACGUCGUCUCCCUGAUCGCAUCAACCGAGGUAUUCUUAAACUUACUUAUGAAGCCGACCCUAAAUGCAAAACUAGGUAUCCGGUGAGUAAGCCCAACCCUGAGUCUAAUGUGUUAUACCCGUUAAGUAAUUAUGUGUCUACCAGUCACCUGUCAGAAUCAAAUAAGUCAUUUGUGCAUCAAUUAUCUACUGUAUCUAUUCCUAACAGUGUGUAAGAGGCUUUAACUGAUCCACGUUGGCAAGUAGCAAUGAAUGAAGAGUUGAAGUCUUUGAAGAAGAAUGCUACCUGGGAGAUCACAGAUUUGCCAGCUGGCAAGAAACCUGUGGGAUGCAAAUAGGUCUAUACUGUGAAAUACAAAGCAGAUGGGACGGUGGAUCGUUUCAAGGCAAGACUGGUAGCAAAAGGAUAUACUCAAAAAUAUGGAAUCGACUACACAGAUACAUUUGCAGGAGUAGCCAAGAUCAACACAGUUCGUGUUUUGUUGUCCUUGGCUGCAAAUCUUAAUUGGCCUUUACAACAGUUCGAUGUGAAGAACGCCUUCUUGCAUGGAGACUUGACAGAAUAAAUUUAUAUGGAUCUUCCACCGGGAUGUAAUGCUCCAGAUAAAUACAAAAGAAAAGUGUGCAGAUUGAAGAAAUCUUUGUAUGUCUUGAAGCAGUCCCCUCGAGCAUGGUUUGGAAGAUUCACAAAAUCUAUGAAAGCAUUUGGUUACAGACAAAGUAACUCUGAUCAUACUUUGUUCCUGAAAAGACAGAAUGGGAAGCUUACUGCACUUAUUGUGUAUGUAGACGAUAUGGUGGUAACAGGUAAUGAUCCGGAAGAACGUGCGGCCUUGCAAAGAUACCUGUCUACAGAAUUUGAAAUGAAUGACCUUGGAUCCCUGAAAUAUUUUUUAGGGAUUGAGGUGUCGAGAAGCAGUUCUGGAAUUUUCUUGUCUCAGAGGAAGUAUAUUAUUGAUUUGUUGCACGAAACUGACAUGUCAGCUUGUCAGCCAGUAGCUACACCAUUAGAAGAAGGAUUGAAGCUUAGUGUUGAUCCUAAUCAAGUACCAAUUGACAAAGGAAGAUACCAAAGGUUAGUAGGCCGUUUGAUGUAUUUGGCACACACAAGACUGGACCUUGCUUAUGCCUUGAGUGUAGUGAGUAAAUACAUGCAUGAUCCUGGAGAACAACAUAUGAAUGCCGUGACGAGAAUAUUGCGAUAUUUGAAGGGAAGUCCGGGCAAAGGAAUUUUGUUUAAGAGGAAUAAUCACUUUAGUGUUGAAGGUUAUACUGAUGCAGACUGGGCAGGUUCCAUUGAUGAUAGACGCUCAACAUCAGGUUACUUUACGUUUGUUGGGGGUAACUUGGUUACAUGGAGAAGUAAGAAACAGAAUGUGGUUGCCCGUUCCAGUGCAGAAGCAGAAUACAGAGGUAUGGCUUUGGGGAUUUGUGAAAUUUUGUGGCUUAAGCUUCUGUUAAGCGAUUUGGGUAUACAACAUGAUCAGCCCAUGAAAUUAUUUUGUGAUAAUAAAGAUGCUCGUGACAUUGCACAUAAUCCGGUACAACAUGAUAGAACAAAGCAUGUUGAAGUUGAUUGGUUCUUCAUCAAAGAAAAAUUGGAAGGGAAAAUAAUUGAAGUACCAGCGAUAAGAACAGAAGAUCAGUUGGCAGAUAUCCUCACAAAAGCUGUUUCGAGUCACAAGUUUUCAAGUUUCUUACACAAGUUAGGCAUGAUCGACAUAUAUUCACCAACUUGAGGGAGAGUGUUGACUUUUGUAUUUUAGGUAGGAUCCCUAAUUGAUAUGUAAUCCCAUGUAAUCACUUGUAAUUAGUUUUUCUUUCCUUUUAUGUUAGGGUUGUACACCUAUAAGUUCCUCUUAUUGAGAAGAAUAUAUCAUCAUUCAAAGCAUUCUCUUCUUAUAUUCGAUCCCUUGACUCCAAGAGAAAUCUUGUACAUAGUCUUGAUAGUUAAGGGAGACUUCCUUAUUUGGAAUAAAUGUAUUUAUCAAGAGAGUCAUUAGGUAUGAAGUCAUAUAUUAGAGCGCUCUUUGAUCCCUCGACACAAUAUCCAAAAAGUUGCACCACAUUGGCACGGUGAAUCCUUCCGAUUGUAGCUAUUUCGCUAAUGAAAUCUUGGCCAUCAGCUUUGGGCUUGCCCAAAACUUUAACUGCUACAAAUCGGCCACUGCGUAGCUUUCCUUUAAAUACAAAGCCAAAGGCACCUUCGCUCAACUUGUCCUUAAACCUGCAAGUCAUUUUCUUGAUGUUCGAGUAAGAGUACCUUAUAGGCAUGAAGUUAUUGCAUUGCAAAAAAUCUUCUAUUGUGCUAUACAUUGAUAAAUGUCUUUUGCGCCAUGUAGAUUAAAAAUGCAGUCACAACUACAACUCCAAAAACAAAUCUGGCUAGGAAAAAUAACCCUGCAUGCAUUGACAUUAGUAUGUUAGAUCCACUGUACUACUUUUUCUUCCCUUUCUUUCCAAAUUACUUUGUCUUUGAUGUAAUUAAAGAGAGAAUGGGAAAUCUACAUAUGCUGAUAAUACAAUCUCGUAUUAGUUCUUACCGAUGCAUAUGAGUAUAAACCAUCCACGUACUGCAACAUAAUUAAUCGACAAUGAGUUUCAAAAGUGCAUAAAGUGAAGAAAAAAAAAUUUGAAAAAAAUCAAAGGGUGCCUCUAUUGACACCCAAAUUUUAGUUAGUUUCACUCAACUAAAAAAAAAAUUCAUCGAACUUUUUAAUUUGCCUUCGAAAUUGAGUUCACCCAACCCACCAACCAGCAAGCACCACUCAACCAAAAAAUGAACAACACAAAGAGCUGGCAUCGACGCUGUCGAUGAAGGAGGGACAUGAGGAUGGUGUAGUUUCGUCUGGCGCGCGGUAGUGGUUUUGUCUGUUCAUUUUCUCUUUCUUUUGGUAGGUGGAGGCUGGUGUGGAUUUGGGCGAACUUAAAAAUGAGGGGAAACUAUGAAGUUUGACAAAAUGUUUUAGUUAGGUGAACUUAACUAAAAUUUGGGUGCUAAAAAAGGUACCCAAAAUCAAAAGGCUUUUGUUUACCCAAUGCUAUGUACAGGUUUGACUUUUGUUUAUAUUCUUGGAUCUGUUGCUUGGUUGUAUAAUUUGGAUGUGGUUUUGUUUCAAGAUAAUUUGUUCUUCGUUUCUUGAGGCUUUUGUGUGUAGAUUUGAAACCGUUUAGCUUUCAAGCCGUUUAUACUCAAGGUAAAUAAUUUCGUUUUUUUCUUUUUAACCUUUUUUGUAAGAAUUUUUUAUUUAAUUUUGUGAGAGUUGUGUUUUCUAUAGUAUGAAAAUUGAAUCUUUGUGAUCUUAUAUCCUUAGAUAUGUUGCUUGGUUAUAUGAUUUGGCUGUGUGCAUUGUUUCAGGACAAUUUGUUCUUCGUUUUUGGGGCUUCUGUGCGUAGUUUUGAAGCCUUUUGUAGUCAACAUAAAUAAUUUUAUUUUUCUUUGUUUCUAGUCUUCUUUGUAAGAAUUUCUUAGUUAAUAUUUUGAGAAUUAUGUUUACUAUAGUAUGAAAACUGAAUCUUUGUGAUCUUCUAAGUGAUGUAACGUCAUUGCACCAUGUAUGACUGCCAUUAUCGAACAUGAAAAGCUUUUUUAUUUCUGUACUCCGUCCUUUCAUACGAUCUGCCUCAAAAAUGGUUUCAUUACAAGUUCUAACAUGAUUUUUGCGAUGUCUUAUGAAAAAACAAUGUCCACCAAAACAAUAGGAAAACGUCGCCGUCUGCUCUUCUUGGCUGAGCUUCAUGACUGGCCGAAUUCCCCUAUUCCCUUCCUCUUAUACUUUUUUGUAUUCGUUCACCAAAACAAUAGGAAAACGUCGCCGUCCGUUUGAUUGACGGCGAAAGAAAAAGACAGAGAAUAAAAGCCUGACGGAAUAUUGCGAUUUGAGAAAAAAAAGAAAGAACCACGUUGACAUAAUAUACUCACAAUAGGUGUACAAGGUUAAUAAAGCUUUACUGUGGUUCCAUUUUUUUGCAUACUUCAAAGGCUCUGAAUUGCUAAUGGAAUUAGCCUUUAGUUUUAGGAAGAAACUUGGAACCCCCUCCGUCCGUUCUAUCCCCAAUGGAAUUAACACUUGGAUAGUACUAUGACAAUGUGUCAUUAUUUGAUGCAUACCUGUAUAAAUUUAGGCUAAGUGUUUUAUACACAAAUUGGUACAGAUUAAGCUUCUGGGAGCAAAAUCAUAUACGGGAGAGCUAACUAUACAAUGAUACAUUCUUAUCUGUUAAUUAUCUUUGGUUACCAGCUAUCCAUGUUGCUGACAUAUUAAAUUACACAACAUCUAUUGUAAUUUAUGUCUUAUUAGUAACAUAAUGAUCUGGUUUCAAUUUGCUACAGGCAUUAUUUCCUGACAAUAGCUAUGGUUUUGAUUAUAGCUGUGACUGAAAAAUUAUUCCGAAACUAACAUUUGAGGAAUUCAAGGUUUGUUAGUUAAUUUGUACAUCAGAAUACCAUGACAAACUGUGAAGUUGUAAUUGUUGACCUUACAAUGUAUCUUUUUUGGUUUGGAGCAUUAGACUUAUAUGUGCUACUUUCACUUCAUGAAGGCUAACUCUUUAUUUUAGGCCUUAGAAUAUAAUUUCUUGGAGAAUCUACAUUGUUGUUGAUAAUUUUUUGAACAAUAUUAUCCCCAAAAUUUCUCCGCAUGUUACCCUCAACGUAGACAUCAUAUAACCAUCAUUGAACUUCUGAACCAAAAAUUUGAGUUUUGUGAUUAUAACUAAACAUCUAUAAACACAUGAUACAGAUUGAGACGAACGUCAAAUUUAAAAUGGCAUUAAUCAGGACAGCUGCAAACUCUGAUUUGCGGCCUUUGAAAUGGAGAAGUUACUUCUUGCUUCACUUCAGCAGCAUAGUCCAGCUUCUAAAUUCAGUUCUCAGGUAUGAGGUUUCUCAGUUACCUCUUUUUUGUAAUAAAACAUUUGACCAGUACUUGCCAGGAUAUCCAAUUAAUUAGGUCAGUUUUUGUCAGCCGUAAUAAUUUGUUUUUGCAACUUUAUAUGUGUCUCUGUCUCCAAAUGAUGAUCUCUUAAUUUGCUUCUAUAGCUUUUGUAAUAUGAUGAUCUCUUAAUUUGCUUUUGCAUAUCUUCUUUGCUUCCUCUGCUAGCUCUAUAUGAGAUUCCAUCUCCAAAUAAUUAUUAUUAUUUCCUAUUUUUACAGGAAGCAAAUCAUUGAAUACACAUGGAAAAUUAAAAGGGUUUUAGUUUUUGGAUUAGUUUAAAUUUUUUGUUUGUUAUUGCUUGUAUUGCUGUUAAAUAUUUGAUGGGUAGUUUGAAAUGGGGAACUUGGUUGAUCGAGUAUUAACUUUUAUUAAAUUAAUAUUCUUAUUCAAUAUUGAAUUAAGACUCCUCUUAUUAAAUUAAGACUCUUAAGGCUCUAAUCUAAUUUUCAUGCUCAACAUCUCCUCUAUCUUUCUACAAUUGGUAAAACUUUUGUAUUAUUAUUCCAAUUUUGGUUACUGGGUUGUGGAAUUUUCCAUUUUUUUCUGGGUAAUCAAUACUAUAUAUAUGCAUGAAAAGUAUAAACAAUAUUUUGGGUCAAAUUUAGUUGUUUAAUUUUUUAUUUUUUUUGUGACAGUGAGAUUAUGGUAGGAUUUCGUUUAGAUUCCGUGGCCCAAUGGGAGUCUCUGCUUUGAUAAGAUUGGGGUUGAUGCCAAGAAAGCCUUUCUACUGUGGACGCCGCAGCCGCCUAGCGCUGUUUUCCAAAAUCCUCUCUCACUUGGGUAAGCAAUUACGACUUUUUGGUUCAGUUUUUAUUAUGCCCAAUUUUGUAUUUAAACUGAUUUGGGGUUACUGAAAUAGGCAUGCUUGAUGAGUGCUGCAGAGCUGCCAUCCCUGAAUCAGAAGAUGUUCAGAAGGAAGAAGGAAGAACAAGAAGAAAAAGAAGAAGAAAGUCGUGGAAUAUCAAAAGCUUUUAGCUUUGUGAAGGUAUGCUUUUUCCCAACUCAUCUCUUGCUUUUGUUGCACUGAAUUGGUAGAUUGGGUUCAAAAUAUAUAUAUAUGUGAUUUUUUGUGUAACUAUUCUUUACAUAAUUACCAAUUGGAGGUGAUUUGAGAUCAUGUAACAUUUCCUCGCCAGAACCGAAGAUUGCCGUCGCUCAAAGCUGCGUUUCAUGAAACAAGUUCAUCUCCUGCCAAUUUUGUGUACCCACUUUUUAUUCAUGAGGGUUGGUGCUUGCUUGCAACAUAAUUUGGUGCUAUUAAGUUUUGCGGUUUUACAAUCUGUUCAUGCUUAAACCUCUUUCAAAUUUUCAUUUCUGUGUAAAUCUAGCAGGUAGGUCGACACACCUAUCUGGGCAAUGUCGGGAUGUCUAGGCUUGGGUGGAGACAUGGACUUAUGAAAGAGGUGAAGUAGCUUAGUUCGAUCUCAUUAGCUCUUAUCUAAAAAGUUCUAUUGAUUUUAUAAUCAAAGAUACAUAUAUUAUAGAAACAUAGGGUAUAUCAUUAAUUUCUUGAUGUAAACAAUUAUAACUUGAGCAACCAUUUAAAGUAUUUUGGUAAUCAGCAUACUUAAACUUAAAUGUGAUAUAUCCGUUUAGUUUUUUUUUUUAUACAGUGAUAAUACUCAAGUAUAAUUUACAUCAUAUAUCUUUUGAAGUACAUGAAACUAUGAAGAAAAUGAUAAACCAAAUCCCAUUCCAUCUCCGUUUGCUACUGCACAAUCACAAUCCAAUUCCAACAUGGAAUCCUCAGACGACAUGCCUACUGCAGAACAAGUUUCAUCUUGACUUAACUUCUAUUUAGUCCACUUCUUGUUUAGAUUGUAAUCCUAGUUCUACGUGUGUUUGUAUAGUACUCCUAUAAAUAUCAAUGAACAUCGCUCACUCUAAUUAAGAGUUGAGAUUCUGCAAAUCAUAUUUACUAUCUUUCAUGGUAUCACGAGCCAGGGUCUAACGACAACAGUUCAUGUUAUAAUUUUUUUCUCUUCUGCAGAUCCUAAACUAUGGCAUCUUCUUCCUCCUCCGCUGCUCCCUCCGUCUCAAAUUUUCUUACGAUUAAGCUCGACCGCAACAACUACCCUCUUUGGCGUGCUCAAUUUCUUCCCUUGCUGCGCAGCCGCAACUUACUCUCUUAUGUUACUGGCGAAACUCAAUGCCCCUCUGCCUUUCUUCUUGAUGACAAUGGUAAAUUCACAGACAAAGUCAAUCCAUUAUAUAAUGAAUGGAUCCAGACUGACGAGAUGAUCCUAUCUUGGAUUACGAGUUCUCUUACUCCCAAGGUUCUUGCUACGAUCGUCAACAAAAUUGAUAAAGCCUCUGCUUGGUCGUCAAACCCGAAUUAAUCUGAUUAUGGGGGUUUUGUUUUAUAUCAAUAUAUUGCAGCAGAAGUCGCACUUUGAAGAGUUCGUGCUGCACAGAAAGAUGAUGAAAUGCUACCUGUUGAGUCUAUCAUUGCUCCAUUGGAGACAGAGCUGAAGCUUGCUGCAGGAGUUAUACAUUUGUUAUGCAAUAUGACCCCUUUAAUUUUAUUUUAAAACUGAUACAAAAAUACUACAAAAAUUUAUGUAGUAUUUUUGUAUCAGUUUUGAGUGUCUAUUUUGGCUUCCAUAUUUCGUCUGUACAUGUGAGAGGUAUAGUGUUCAAUAUGUAUUUGGUUUCUAUAUUGUUAAUGGAUCUUCUUUUUUUUCUUUUUUUUUCUUUUUUUUUAAAGAUAACCAAGUUGCAGGAUGACAGCAGAACACUUGAUCUGCAGGUAAACCUUCAAUUUCCAUAUGAAGUUUGCAUGUUCGUUGUUUCUGGAAUUUGAGUUUUUAUUAUUUAUCAAUUCUAUCACAUAGAUUACGAUUUCACAUAUGGGAUUAUUAAUGGCAAUUAGAUGAUAGAAGAAUUGGGAUUGGAAGAAGAUAUUGAGUUGUUUAUUUAUGGGGAUUAGAAAAUGAUUAUCAUACGAGUGAUAUUUAUUUUUGUGUGGAUUGUUAAUAUAUAAAACUAUAAGCUUUUGAGAUUGGGAGACAAAACCCACACAUUCAAAUCAGACAAAAUAAAUAAAAAAUUUAACUGACUUAAAGAUCAAACUCCAAAAGGGUAUUAAAAACAAGGCUUAUUUGAUCCAUUGAGUGUGAAAGUUUUGAGCUUUGAAGAAGCAGAGGAGGAGAGUUGUUAACCAAGCUGCAUUAUCCAUGUAUUAGGAUGUUGAAGGUAGGCAGGAAAAUUACUUUUUGACGCCAUAUCCAGAGGAGCAUAACGACAGGCCUGCAUUUUUGCAGCAAUGACCAAAACAAGUAGAAGUGAAGGCUUGACUGUUUGGGUAUUCAUCCUAAACCUAAUUAUUCUUAUUUAGGUUUAGGAUAAAUGAUUGAGUGUGUCUCGAUGAUUGUAUUACUAUGUUUGAUGAAUGAUUUGAGGAGUUGGAAAUGGUUUAUUGCUUAUCUUUUUUUUAGGUGUGUACUUUGGUUAUUUCCGAGCUUUUCAUGACUUUUGAUACCUAAUAGAGAAUAUGGAAACCCCAACUUUAAUUUUAUGAAUUGGUUUUGGUGCCUAAAAUGAAAUCUAGCAUAGUGAAAUCUUGCAUAAUGAAAUUAUGACAAAUUUCCCUUCAUCUUUAGAUUUUCAUUUAAUUCAAUUCGUAUGCAAUUUAGGGUUAUUCAAUUCAUGAGUGAUCAAAUUAUGUUUUUAAUUCCUUCUUUUGAUUUACAGUUCAACAUUGUCGUACAAAAUGAAAAAGGCGCCAGUAACAGAGUUAUGGAUUUGGAUGCCUUUAGUGGAAUAAAACUGAAUUUUUUAACUUUGUAUAGUUGUAAACAUAAAAUACUCCAUGAGAUAGACUCAUAGCUUUUGAAAACAAUCCUUGAGGAUGGCAUAACAACAUCUCCAACUUUUGUCAUGUAAUGUAUGAAUGUCAAUAGCACUUCGUAAACAUAUGGAUGUAAUAUAUGUAUAUAAACACUCUUUAGCAUGUAUAUUUUUCAAAACUUUCUACAUCUUCAACAAUGUUUCAAUGAUUUCUUGAUGUAAACAAUGAUAAUUUGAAGAACCAUUUAAAGUAUUUUGGUAAUCAGCAUACUUAAGCUUAAAUGUGAUAUAUCCGUUUAUUAUUUUUUAUACAGUAAUAAUACUCAAGUAUAAUUUACAUCAUAUAUCUUUUGAAGUACAUGAAACUAUGAAGAAAAAACCCUAAUUAAUCUAAUUAUGGGGGUUUUGUUUUAUAUCAAAAUAUUGCAGCAAAAGUCACACUUUGAAGAGUUCACGCUGCAUAGAAAGACGAUGAAAUGCUAUCUGUUGAGUCCAUCAUUGCUCCAUUGGAGACAGAGCUGAAGCUUGAUGCAGGUGGUAUACUUUUGUUCUGCAAUAUGAUCCCUUUAAUUUUAUUUUAAGAUAGAUAGGGUUGAAAAAAAUUUAUGUAGUAUUUUUUUUUUUCAGUUUUGAGUGUCUAUUUUGGCUUCCAUAUUUGGUCUGUACAUGUGAGGUAUAGAAUGUUCAAUAUGUAUUUGGUUUCUAUAUUGUUAAUGGAUCUAUUUUUUUUUUUAGGUAACCAAGUUGCAGGAUGAAAACAGAACACUUGAUCUGCAGGUAAACCUCCAAUUUCCAUAUGAAGUUUGCAUUUUCGUUAUUUCUGAAAUUUGAGUUUUUACAGGAUGAAAACAGAACACUUGAUUUGCAGGUAAACACUUGAUUGGUUAUUUCCGAGCUUUUCACGACUUUUGAUACCCAAUAGAGAAUAUGGAAACCCCAACUUUAAUUUUAUGAAUUGGUUUUGGUGCCUAAAAUGAAAUCUAGCAUAGUGAAAUCUUGCAUAAUGAAAUUAUGACAAAUUUCCCUUCAUCUUUAGAUUUUCAUUUAAUUCAAUUCGUAUGCAAUUUAGGGUUAUUCAAUUCAUGAGUGAUCAAAUUAUGUUUUUAAUUCCUUCUUCUUUUGAUUUACAGUUCAACAUUGUUGUACAAAAUGAAAAAGGCGCUAGUAACAGAGUUAUGGAUUUGUAUGCCUUUAGUGGAAUAAAACUGAAUUUUUUAACUUUGUAUAGUUGUAAACAUAAAAUACUCCAUGAGAUAGACUCAUAGCUUUUGAAAACAAUCCUUGAGGAUGGCAUAACAACAUCUCCAACUUUUGUCAUGUAAUGUAUGAAUGUAAAUAGCACUUCGUAAACAUAUGGAUGUAAUACAUGUAUAUAAACACUCUUUAGCAUGUAUAUUUUUCAAAACUUUCUACAUCUUCAACAAUGUUUCAAUGAUUUCUUGAUGUAAACAAUGAUAAUUUGAAGAACCAUUUAAAGUAUUUUGGUAAUCAGCAUACUUAAGCUUAAAUGUGAUAUAUCCGUUUAUUAUUUUUUAUACAGUGAUAAUACUCAAGUAUAAUUUACAUCAUAUAUCUUUUGAAGUACAUGAAACUAUGAAGAAAAAACCCUAAUUAAUCUGAUUAUGGGGGUUUUGUUUUAUAUCAAAAUAUUGCAGCAAAAGUCACACUUUGAAGAGUUCACGCUGCAUAGAAAGACGAUGAAAUGCUAUCUGUUGAGUCCAUCAUUGCUCAAUUGGAGACAGAGCUGAAGCUUGAUGCAGGUGGUAUACUUUUGUUCUGCAAUAUGAUCCCUUUAAUUUUAUUUUAAGAUAGAUAGGGUCGAAAAAACUUUAUGUAGUAUUUUUUUUUUUCAGUUUUGAGUGUCUAUUUUGGCUUCCAUAUUUGGUCUGUACAUGUGAGGUAUAGAAUGUUCAAUAUGUAUUUGGUUUCUAUAUUGUUAAUGGAUCUAUUUUUUUUUUUAGGUAACCAAGUUGCAAGAUGAAAACAGAACACUUGAUCUGCAGGUAAACCUCCAAUUUCCAUAUGAAGUUUGCAUUUUCGUUAUUUCUGGAAUUUGAGUUUUUGCAGGAUGAAAACAGAACACUUGAUUUGCAGGUAAACACUUGAUUGGUUAUUUCCGAGCUUUUCACGACUUUUGAUACCCAAUAGAGAAUAUGGAAACCCCAACUUUAAUUUUAUGAAUUGGUUUUGGUGCCUAAAAUGAAAUCUAGCAUAGUGAAAUCUUGCAUAAUGAAAUUAUGACAAAUUUCCCUUCAUCUUUAGAUUUUCAUUUAAUUCAAUUCGUAUGCAAUUUAGGGUUAUUCAAUUCAUGAGUGAUCAAAUUAUGUUUUUAAUUCCUUCUUCUUUUGAUUUACAGUUCAACAUUGUUGUACAAAAUGAAAAAGGCGCUAGUAAUAGAGUUAUGGAUUUGGAUGCCUUUAGUGGAAUAAAACUGAAUUUUUUAACUUUGUAUAGUUGUAAACAUAAAAUACUCCAUGAGAUAGACUCAUAGCUUUUGAAAACAAUCCUUGAGGAUGGCAUAACAACAUCUCCAACUUUUGUCAUGUAAUGUAUGUAAAUAGCACUUCGUAAACAUAUGGAUGUAAUAUAUGUAUAUAAACACUCUUUAGCAUGUAUAAUUUUCAAAACUUUCUACAUCUUCAACAAUGUUUCAAUGAUUUCUUGAUGUAAACAAUGAUAAUUUGAAGAACCAUUUAAAUUAUUUUGGUAAUCAACAUACUUAAGCUUAAAUGUGAUAUAUCCGUUUAGUAUUUUUUAUACAGUGAUAAUACUCGAGUAUAAUUUACACCAUAUAUCUUUUGAAGUACAUGAAACUAUGAAGAAAAAACCCUAAUUAAUCUGGUUAUGGGGGUUUUGUUUUAUAUCAAAAUAUUGUAGUAGAAGUCACACUUUGAAGAGUUCACGUUGCAUAGAAAGACGAUGAAAUGCUAUAUGUUGAGUCCAUCAUUGCUCCAUUGGAGACAGAGCUGAAGCUUGCUGCAGGUGGUAUACUUUUGUUCUGCAAUAUGACCCCUUUAAUUUUAUUUUAAGACAGAUAGGGUUGAAAAAAAUUUAUGUAGUAUUUUUGUAUCAGUUUUGAGUGUCUAUUUUGGCUUCCAUAUUUGGUCUGUACAUGUGAGGUAUAGAGUGUUCAAUAUGUAUUUGGUUUCUAUAUUGUUAAUGGAUCUAUUUUUUUUUUAGGUAACCAAGUUGCAGGAUGAAAACAGAACACUUGAUCUACAUGUAAACCUUCAAUUUCCAUAUGAAGUUUGCAUUUUCGUUGUUUCUGGAAUUUGAGUUUUUGCAGGAUGAAAACAGAACACUUGAUCUGCAGGUAAACACUUGAUUGAUUAUUUCCGAGCUUUUCACGACUUUCGAUACCCAAUAGAGAAUAUGGAAACCCCAACCUUAAUUUUAUGAAUUGGUUUUGGUGCCUAAAAUGAAAUCUAGCAUAGUAAAAUCUUGCAUAAUGAAAUUAUGACAAAUUUCCCUUCAUCUUUACAUUUUCAUUUAGUUCAAUUUGUACGCAGUUUAGGGUUAUUCAAUUCAUGAGUGAUCAAAUUAUGUUUUUAAUUCCUUCUUUUGAUUUUCAGUUCAGCAUUAUCGUAUUUUGGAUGCCUUUAGUGGAAUAAAACUUAAUUUUUUUAACUAUGUAUAGUUGUAAACAUAAAAUACUCCAUGAGAUAGACUCAUAGCUUUUAAAAACAAUCUUUGAGGAUGGCAUAACAACAUCUCCAACUUUUGUCAUGUAAUGUAUGAAUGUAAAUAGCACUUUGCAAACAUAUGGAUGUAAUAUAUGUAUUUAAACACCACUCUUUAGCAUAUAUAUUUUUCAAAACUUUCUACAUCUUCAACAAUGUUUGAAGCCCCGCAACAAUGGGCGGGUACACUUGCUAGUAUACAUCUAAAAUUAUAAGACUAAAUCCUUUAGUUCUUGGAUUCAUCUAAGAACUACUUAUUCCAGCAGAUGUUAUGCUUGCACUACUAGAAUUUAUGGCUUGCCCUGUCAACUAUUGCGCGACAGAAGACUUCGUCGGUUUCACCUUUUUUAACCGACAUAAUAUAAGUUUAGUAGGGCAAAAUCAGUCAACAAACUGGGUUGACUGAAUAGAUUUACAGGAUGUCUAGAGUUCGUAGGUUAAGACAUCAGUCGUUGGGCAAACAUUUGGAGCGAAGAUGUGAGUGUUUUAACUGACGAAUAAGCUGGUCGUCAUGUAGAUCUUCUUUCCCGACUGAUGGUUCAACGAGUAGCUCUUUGGAUAACAAUUCAUCUUCAAGGGGAACAGGUUGCCCCUCAAAUGAAUGGUUAGAGGCAAUUGUGAGACUAUAAUUUUCUAGGGCCGGAAUAUCUAUAACCAUCCACCAAAUACCCCUUCUUCCCUUUCUAUUUCUCUCUCAGUAAUUUCCCCUGACCGAAUCACACAAUCCAACCAACUCUCUUUAAGCCUCACUCAUCGAUUCCAUGGAUUUCAUGGACUUAUCCCACCCUCUCUCCUUCCCCCUAUAUAUAGCAAGUCCCCUUGCCUCAGUGUCCCUGGCAACAAAAUUUAUGGCGUGUAUUCGGUCUUUCAAUUAUUUGAAAGCUUCCCUGCCUUGCAGUCUUGUACAAAGGCGUAUGGUGUUUCAUUAGUUCCAUUUGGUGGUUGGGUGGGAAAUGAAAUUAAAACACUGCAUUUCCAAUGGUCUAAACCAAAUUGAAUCAAAUGUGAAGCAAAGGGCAAGAAGUGUAGAUUGAAGAACAAUGGCACCAAGAGCGAAAUUGAACUUGUUGACAGGAGGAAACCAAGUAAGGAUAACGCGUCUAAAUCUUAUUUCGAAUCCAUUCAGCUCAUGAUGUUUUUAAUGAUGAUGAUCGGUAUACUUUGCUACAUGCUGUGAUUUUUCCGCUUUCAUGUAAUUAACGGCUUAUAUUUGUGGUAACGAUAUUGAUUAAUUUUGAGAAAUGACAGUCUAAUUUUUGCAACUGUCUUUUGCAGGCAAAACAAAGACGUUUGCAAGGGUGAGUUAUGUAGGACCAAUGUUUAGCUUUGUUUCAUGUCCAAAUGACACUUGAGAAUAAAUGUUUACUCAUGGAUAAUAUCUAUCUAUUUGCAGGAGCAACCCUGGGUUUAUUUGUUCUUUUACUACUGGUCAUUGCCGCAUAUCACGCCUAUAGCACUGACAAAAGUAAAAAGAAAAUCGAAUGAAAUUUGGUAAGUUUUCAGCGGACUACAAAGAUCUUAAGCCAAGCAUAUAUUCCCAUUCAGAUAUUAAGAGGUUUACAAAUCAAUUCAAGUACAAGUUGGGCCAAGGAGCAUACAUAAUUGUUUUUAAAGGAUAGUUUUUUUCUGAAUGCUUUGUUGCCAUGAAAGUACUUAACAUUUCCAAGGGUGACGGGGAAGAGCUUGUAAAUGAAGUGGGGAACAAUGGGCCAUAUUCACCAUGUCAAUGUGGUUCACUUGGUUGGUUUUUGUGCUGAUGGAUUUAGAUGAGCUCUGGUUUAUGAGUUCUUUUCCUUUGGUUCACUCCAGGAUUAUAUUUCAUCAGUAGAUAGAUUUCUUUCCUUGGUUGGCAUAAGUUGCAAGAUAUUGCUAUCAGCAUAGCCAAAGGAACCAGGGAUGUGAUCUACAAAUCCUCCAUUUCGAUAUCAAACCCCAUAAUGUUUUGCUCGACCAAAAAAUCACGCCAAAAAUCUCUGAUUUUGGUCUGGCCAAGUUAUGUUCCAAGGAUCAAUCAAUGUGACUAAAGCAAGGGGGACCAUGUGACUAAAGUACCCGAAGUGUUUUCCAGGAAUUUCGGAAAUGUGUCUUACAAGGCAGAUGUCUUGAAUGCUGCUGCUUGAGAUGGUAGGAGAAAAGAAGAAUAUUGGUUCAACUAGAGGACACAACAAAUGAAAUCUACUAUCCAAAAUGGAUUUAUAAUCUUCUAGAGGAAGGAAAUGACCAACAGAUCCCUAUUGAGGAAGAAUGUUAUGGUAAGAUUCCAAAGCAACUUGCAAGUUUAGGGCUCUGGUGCAGCCAGUGACACUCGGUGGAUCGGCAGUCCAUGAAAACGGUGGUUCGGAUGUUAGGAGGAGGAGAAAACUUGAUGAUGCAAGCAAUCCUAAAAGCCUCAUACAGUUAGAAGUAAUUGCUGAAUUAGAGUAACAUAUGUAUAUGUAUACGCACCAACACUAGUCGUUCUUAGAUGAAUCCAAGCCAAACAAUUACAGACAACAGUUAUUCACUAAAUCACUUUAAGGCAAGAAUUUAAUUAAUAAUACAUUACUGCACUUUCUUAACCAUUUGACCAUCACCUAGCAGACAAUGAACACGUUAGCUCCGCGUUAGAACAUCUUGGGUUCAAUUCAUUGUCUUGAAUAUCACCCUCUGUCACAGGCGUCUCUAGGGGGCAUAGAGAAGGCCUGAGAGGCAUUUGCAGACAUUCAACAUCACCUCCAAGCAUUUUGACAACUUUGGACAUCGAAGGGCGAUCACUUGGUUUCAUUUGAAUACACCAUAAGGCGGUUAUAACCAUCCUUCUUAUUACUUUCUUUUCCUCCUCUGUAACAUUGUCCGUUUCCAAGUUAUUUCCCACAAUAUACUGAUCGUAUACCCACAUUGGGAAGUAGAUUUGGCUUGAAUGCUCUACCGUUGGAUUCAAAUUCUUCCUUCUGCUUGCCAUCUCCAUCAACAACAUUCCAAAACUAUAGACAUCUGACUUGUAUGAGACACCUCCAAUAUUUUUGUAGAACAACUCAGGAGCAAUAUAUCCCAGUGUACCUCGUGCUGCCGUCAAAGAGACAAUGCUAUUAUCUACAGGAUACAAUUUUGCAAGCCCAAAGUCAGAAACCUUUGCUUUAAAGUUCUCAUCAAGAAGGAUGUUAUGAGGCUUGAUGUCGAAAUGUAGAAUUUGCAUUUCGCAACCUUGGUGUAGAUAUUCGAUCCCUUGAGCCACUCCAAGAGAAAUCUUGUACAUGUUCUUGAUAGUUAAGGGGACACUUCCUUCUUUGGAAUAAAUGUAUUUAUCAAGAGAACCAUUAGGCAUGAAGUCAUAUACUAGAGCGCGUUUUGAUCCCUCAACACAGUAUCCAACAAGUUGCACCACAUUGGCAUGGUGAAUCCUUCCGAUUGUAGCUAUUUCGCUAAUGAAAUCUUGGCCAUCAGCUUUGGGCUUGCCCAAAACUUUGAUUGCUACAAAUCGACCACUGCGUAGCUUUCCCUUAAAUACAGAGCCAAAGCCACCUUCGCCCAACUUGUCCUUAAAUCUGCGAGUCAUUUUCUUGACGUCCGAGUAGGAGUACCUUAUAGGCAUGAAGUUGUUAUUGCAUUGCAGAAAAUCUUCUAUUGUGCUAUACAUUGAUAAAUGUCUUCUGCGCCAUGUGUAGAUUAGAAAUGCAGUCACAACUGGAACUCCAAAAACAAAUCUGGCUGGGAAAAAUAACCCUGCAUGCAUUGACAUUAAUACGUUAGAUCCACUGUGUACUACUUUUUCUUCCCUUUCUUUCCAAAUUACUUUGUCUUUGAUGUAAUUAAAGAGAAAGAAUGGGAAAUCUACAUAUGUUGAUAAUACAAUCUCGUCUUAGUCCUUACCGAUGCAUAUGAGUAUAAACCAUCUACGUGCUGUAACAAAAUCAAUCGACUAUGAGUUUGAAAAGUGCAUAAAGUGAAAAAUAAAUAAAUAAAUAAAAUCAAAGGGUGCCUUUAUUGACACCCAAAUUUUAGUUAGCUUUACUCAACUAAAAAAAUUUUGUCAAACUUUUUAAUUUGCCGUCGAAAUUGAGUUCACCCAACCCACAAAGCAACAACUACCACUCACCAAAAAAACCAACAACACACAUCCACCAGUACCACUCACCAAUAGAAAGAGAAGGAACACACAGACCCACCAAGGAGCCGGCAUCGACGCAUCUACGAGGGAGGGACCGGAGGGUGGUGUAGUUUUGUUGGGCGCGCGGUAGUUGUUUUGUCUGUUCAUUUUCUCUUUCUUUUGGUAGGUGGAGGCUGCUGUGGAUUUGGGCGAACUUAAAAAUGAGGGGAAACUAUGAAGUUUGACAAAAUGUUUUAGUUAGGGGAACUUAACUAAAAUUUGGGUGCCGAUAAAGAUACCCAAUAUAAAAAAUACUUGAGCGUAUAGACUAAUUAAAUGAAGUUGAUCUUACCGAUCGGGUGGCUGUAUGAUGAAUACAACUUGCCAGCUGCAAUAGAUACCACAGAAAAGUGAGCAAAGACAUACAGUUACUAGGUUUAAGAAGUACAGAUAGAGCACACAAAAAUAAAAGAAGCUUUUGGAGAGAAACUUCUUACGCAAAUAUAUGUAUUCAUGACCUACAGUGAAAAUUGUGAAGAAGAAUACACAACAUUAGCAAUAGCUCACCCAGUCUUCAGAAUUUAAAAAAAUCAAGUUUGUCGAUCGAAAACUUGUAAAUAAAACAAAAAGAGGACCCCUUACUGAUUUGUUGCCAUAGAUAUUGAAAGAAACCUACAAGAACAAAGAAAGAACAAGACCACAUGCAUUAGCAUAACAAGUGUGAGGUGUAUAAGUCGUUAGAAAAUAAAUUUAGAAUUCUAGUGCUGUCAAUACAUUGAUAAUAUAAUAUAUAUGUGUUAUUUUUUCUGAAAAUUUAACUUUCCCCCUCCAAACUCAUUUUUCUAGCCUCUAGCCCAUCAUAUAAUAUUUAUCCGAAUAAAACCCAAUGAUUAGGAUCCAACUAAGAAACUUACCAAAUUAAGUUUGUGUGUCCAUUUUUAUAUUUUUUGGAUCGCUAAUAUACCCCAUCUAAGCCAGUAUGGAAAGUUCUUGUAAUUUUGUUUUAAUUGAUCACGUGCAUUGAAUUUGGCAAGGUCUUGUAGCCAUGAAAAAUGGUUCUAGAUGGAGGAAUUAAUUGGGAUUUUUUUUUUAAUUUUGACAACAAAUUUCAAUUUGAAUAUACCUAAUUUAGUGUUUAUUUUCAACAAUAUCUAUUGUUUAAUUUUAUGAAAAUAAUUUACCUACUAUGAAAAUUAAUUUUAUGAAAACAAUAUCUAUUGUUUAAUUUUAUACCUAUAGGAUAAUUACAUGAAAAUAGUUUACCUACUAUGAAAAUUAAUUUUUUCAAAACAAUAUCUAUUGUUUAAUUUUAUGAAAAUAAUUUACCUACUGUAUAAUUACAUGAAAACUAAUGUGCCUAUUUUUUAAAUUUGUUACAAAAUUAAUUUACCUACUCUUUAUGGUAUUAGUAAUAUAUGUCCGUACGUAUUUGAUCUAAUUAGGUUUUGGAUUGGAGGAGUUGACACAAAAUUAUAAAUAUAUUAAACAAAUUUAUCUAUCCUUAAGUUGGAGGGGAAUUGGCCUGCACAUUGCUACGGUAAACAAAUGCCACUCGAUUUCACGUUAUUUACAACAAAGCUAUCAGAUUUGGGUUGGGUUGGAGGGUAAUUUUGUGCAUAGGGUUUAGGUGCCCUCCUAUAUAUGACCCUUGAUUUUACUUUAUUUACACCACUGCCAUCAAAUAUGUGGCUGAAUUGGAGGGUAUUAUUAAAAGUUAGGAGGAUAGUUUUGUCCAAGGGGUGGGGGCGACAUUCGCAGACAGGGGGCGAUGGGAGCCAUGCCCAUUGCACAGAAACAAAGGGAGUGAUGGGGGAAAUUACAGACAGAAAAGGAAGGGAUGGGGGGAUUUGAUGGGUGGUCACAGAGAGAUUGGGUGAGGGAUGUGAGGGGACAUUACAGAGAGAUAAAUAAAAGGGAGGGAUCGGGUGAUUUGAGGGAUGGUCAGAGAGAGAAAUAGUGAGGGGGAUGUGGGGCUGAUUUUCGGUUCCUCCUUCCAGAUUUGUUCCGUAAAACCUGUUGGGUACAAUUCAAUCCCUCCCCCUUUCCCCUGAACGAAAAAUUCGAAACCUACAACUCAAAACUCACUCAUUUGUCGCCCCUCCUUGGCUUUCCGCUUUAUUCAUCUCCCGGUGUUUCUUUCUCUCCAUACGAUUCGAUUUCGGUGAGUUCUUCGUUGCCCUCAUGAUUUCCCAGUUUGAUUUUUUGAGCGUCCUUAGUCGUUGUUUUUAUCUGGGUUUACUGCGUUGUUGCUUUUAGUUUCUGGAUUUUUAUUUUUUCCGCGGUUGGAUGAAUCGUGGUUAAUAAUUUCACACCAUGGGAUUUUCGCACUUCUGAUGGAAUUGAGCGCGGGGAUUCGGGGUGGGGUUUUACUGAUAAUUUGUCUUCAUUCAAAUGAAUGGUUAAAAUUUCUGAAGUGAGUGUGCAGGUGGGCCCGUUCACUAACUAAGCUUUCAAGGGAACCCAUCAACGGUUUGUUUGCUGGGGGAAUUCGGAGACUACCAGUGUAUGAUUUAGUUAUCAUUUAUUUUUUUACUUAAUUUUAUCCAUAUAUAAUAUGUGGGUAAAUUUAUACUAAACAAUUGUGAUAAGCCAAUAUGCCAUACGACUUUGAAAGCAUUGAUUUUGUGUUUAGUUUGCAUUUUUGCAUUGUGAAUGUUGAAUUUUGUAUUUAAUUUGGAUUUUGUGUUUGAAUUUGUAGCAUGAUCUUCCGCUGCAGCAUCCAAAUUUUGCAUUUGUAAAUUGUCAAAGAAAAACGAAGUAUGAGGAAAUUAUAGGAGAUUGUGUCGGCUUUGGCCAUGAAGGGUAUCAGCAGCUUGUUCCCCCAUACAGGUGAUUAAUCGUUUUUCAGUCUCUGUUCUAUUUGGAUGAGAAAGUGAUUGAAAAAUAUGAUUUUUUAUUUGUUGGUUGAUUUUGUAUGGACGAUGUAUUAAUUUUAUUUUUUUUGGGAUUUUGUGUAUUGGGUAUUGUGUAGAACCAGCAAUGCAAGAGCAGGAUCUGAUCAGUCACGCCCGAAAAGGGGUUUGUUUCUCAAAUCACAUUAAUUAAUUAGAUUAUUAACGUGCGUUGGAAGGCUCUUCAAUAUGAUUUCUAAUUUCUCCUUUCCAGCAUUCUCUUUUUGGUUUUUGGAGUAUGUAUGUGAUUUGUAUUUUUUUAUAGAAUAAAAAUUAAUAAAACACGAGAUGCAGCAAUUAAUUUGCAUCCUUAUGACAACACAUAUGAAAGUGCAUUCAAUUUCAAUGUGCGAAUGUGUGACAGGAUGUGCCUGCCUCCUUGAAAACACUUUAUGUGAACAAGUGUGAGGUUCUACAUAAAAACAGGGCCAGUAAUACCCUGAACGUGGAAUCCUUACGAGGAUCUCUUGAAAAACUGACAAUAAAUGGAUGCCCGGGUCUCUCAUUGUUACUAGAGUCGACGGAGACGCUGCCGUCGCUUCAGAAGCUUGAUAUUGAUAGUGUUGGUGGGAAAGAGUUGUUGGCGCAAAUGGUGCACAACAGCAAUCGUCUUCAAAGUUUGACUUUAUAUAAAUGUUACUCACCCUUGUCGUUCCCUACAAAUGGUCUGCCCACCACGCUGACGUCACUGAGCAUAACAGAUUGCAAGAAAUUAGAAUUCCUAUCACGUGAGAUGAUGGCCAAAUUGACUUCCCUUCGGUCUUUGCGUCUAUCCAACAGCUGUGAACGCAAAGGCUUGAGUAUUUGCAGUUUAGUUUUUUUUUUCUUCAUUUUAGAGAUUUUUCUACUGUUUGGUUUUUGGGUUUUGUCUAAUUUUUGUGGUCUGCUUUAUAGAUUGUUCUCUUUGGAAGCUUCUUUCCAGCCUUGACCUUCUUCUUGCCUGGUGCCUUCUCAUUGAGUAUUGGAGGAGCAUUAAAACACAGGUGUGUGUGUGUUUUGUCGACGUAAGAGAUGAACGACAUAAAAACAUCCAUCUCUGUAUUUUUUUGUGCUUUUUCUAACCCAUCAAUUUCUUUUGAGUCAACCAAAUAGUCCCAAAUUGCAACUUAUGUUGUGAGGUAUUAUUGUCUAAAAUUAAGUAUGCAUGUAUAUUUUAUGUUUAUGCCCGCGCACACCUCCGCAUGGUGUUAAUCUCUGUGGGUCAUCUAUGUAUAUGUAGAUAUAUCUAUAUGUGUAUGUGUGGAAUGCAACAUAUCGGAUUUAGGUUAUACUGUGCAUAGUUUUAUUGCCUGUUAUUAUCUACGAUAUCACUAUGCCAUUUCUAUACUGGCUCUGAAAGUUAUUCAUGAGCUUAUAAGCACUUACCAUAAUUUAAGCAGUCUGUUUUGGGUUCUUUUUCAUUAGGUCAUUAGCUACAGAUUAAUGGAGAAACGAGGACCAUGCCACUGAUUUGGGUUCUUUUUCUAAUUUUCUGAUUUUGGGGUUUUGCAGGGAGUACUGAUGUACUGAUUUUCUGGGAUUUUUUUUUGUCCUUGCAGGAUUUUUGGUCUUUGAAAUGGGUAUGUGUUGUUUUUAAUGUUUCAGUUCUAGCGUGUUCCGUUCUUCGUUGCUUCGUGAUUCUCAUUUUUCAGUGUUGGGUGAUGGAAAUUUGUUAAAGUAGUUGGUAGUUUUUUGAGAAAGUUGGCAUUUUUAGUUAUAUUUUCUGUUUAAUCCUAAAUGUAAGACUGGAAAAUCAUUGAAAUGAUGGUUUUUUAAAAACUCAUAAUUUUUUUGUUCUGGGAUUUAAAAGCAUCUUUUCCAGAUUGGUUACAAGGGUUAUGUUCUCUUCAAUUGGUUCACCUAAUUUUGAUUAGUUUUAAGUUUUGUCCUUUUAAGUUUGUCUUUUAAGUUUUGUUCUUUAAGUUUUGUCUUUUAAGUUUUGUUCUCUAAGUUUUGUCUUUUAAGUUUUGUCUUCUGUGCUGUAAUGAGAGAUUUCUGUUGGCUUUUCGGAUUUUGGCAUGGGAAAGUUCACUUAUUUGUCUAAUUAGAUUGUGUAUGCCUUCGAUUCUUUAUUUAAUUGUUCUGUUUGCGUUCGGGUGUGAUGAUCUAAAUUUCAUAUGUUUGGAAUUAUUUACUUAACACCAAUUUGUUACAUUCAGAUCUCCACCCCACAUUUCACUAGUUGAAAUUCCAUAGAAGUCGGUUACUGCAGAUUGCGUCUACAAUUAGAUCAGAGAUCAACUGCUCUUUUGUUAUCCUGCAGAAGAUUGCUUUUGGGAAGGAUCUGAAGUAGUUUCUCUCUGUAUGUUUAUUCCCAUGUAGCUCUGUCUUUUCUAAUUGUGUUGAUAUUACACUGUAAUUCAUGAUGAUGAUUUAAUUGUUUAUUGAUUUGUAAUUGAUUGUGAAUAAUGUGGCAUAUAUGAAUUGCAAUCUGUGUUUGUAUGAAAGGGAUGGCAUAUUAUGUUGCUGACUUAAUUGUUUAUGUUUUUCAUAUUUGCAAAUGGUGUUAUGAUCAAUUAGGUGAUUGCUGACCUGUGACUUUGUUUGGAGCUCAAAUUUUGUGAGCAUUACAUUGGAUUGUUUUGAUGUUGUUUUGGUUAACAAUGCAGCGAUAGGAGAAACAAAGAGGAUGACACUUAUAACUGCCCUUCCCCAUCGGCCGUCUUCAAAUUUGGAUCACAAGAAGGGAGCAACAUAGGUGUUUUCCUUCUUCAUUUAGAUAUGGUUAGUGUAAAUAAUUGGACAAAAGAGCCAAACAAACCCUGUUCUCUCAAAUGGAGUCGAUGAUGUGGUCGACGGCCACCAGCCCCAACUCAAGAGUUUGGCCUUCAUAUAAUUGGAUUGUAGUAUAAUUUUAUUUUGGUUCAUUUCUUUUUUCCUUUAUAUAAGUGCAGGUGUUGUGAUGUUUUGAAUAAAGGGUGAUGAAAGGUGGUUCACACACUUCCUCCUUACUUAAAGCAAGUGGAGAUGACGGUUUGUAUAAAAAGAAAAACUUGCCACGUACUUCAAUUUUCUAUUUUAUUAAUUAUUGUUUGGUUUUCCAAAUGUUGUAUUCACUAAGAGACCAAUUAUGUCUUUGAGAAACAAGUUUCUUUGUCUACAUUGCGAGAAUUUGCAGUUUGCAACUUUCAUUGGUUAUUAUAUUUGAUUGAGUUAAACUUGGAUUUCUGGAUUUUGACUUUUUCGUUUGUUUCUUUGUUGCAGAGUUGGCUUCAUUUCAUUCCAGGAACUGUCUAAAUAGGGCCAAGAACUCACUAAUAGGUAGUCAAGAAGAAUUCAGUGUUGCCUUCAAUUUUUGCCUUCUGUUUACAUUCUUCCUGGAUGCACUCUCACCGCUUCUCUCGCUUACCACUUUUGUCUCACUCACCGCUUCAUCUCUUCUGUUGCUUACAAGGUCGUGUCAUAUAUUUUUUUAAUUUUGUGUGGUUUAAUUUAUUGAAUAUUUGAAAAAAGAGAUAAAAUUUUCAAUUUACAAUUACUGAUAUGAUGUUUGUUUUGAAAAUCAUUAAGGUGAAUGGAGAGAUUUACAACCAUGAAGAGCUGAGGAGCCGUUUGCCAAAUCAGAUUUAUAGGGCUUCAUCAAUUAUAAAUAAACGACUUUUCAUUCCCAAUGACCUUUAUCGUUUUUCUUAAUGGGUUAGCUGAACAUGAGGUAGAUGCUGACUUUAUCAAAUAUGAGAAUGUUUUAGGAUUUCAUUCUAAUUUUUUGGCUGUUUGAUUACUUUGCUUUUCGUAAUUUGAUUUGCUUAUCGUCAAUUGGAUGGGAUAAAACAUAUUUUUGUAACCAGUUUGUACUUUUUUUUUCUUUUUUUUGUGGAAACUAACCAGUUUGUACUUUUACCAAUUACCAUAUCGGUUUUGAUGGAAUUGGAGCUUUCAGUAAUGGGUUCUGAGGGAAUUGGAGUUCUGAGUAAUGGGUUUUUUUUAACAACUAUAGUAUCAUUUGUGAUUCAUUUAUUUAUAAGAUAUUAUAUAGGAAACUGUUUUUAGCACUCUAAAAAUCUUAUUCUACACUCUCGACAAAUGUAUUUUUCUUUCUAAUUAUGAAAAGUUUGGAGGGCAAAAUGAGAAUUGUGGAGUGCCAAUAACAAUUCCCUAUUAUAUAUAGCUCUACUAGGAAGGCGACUGUAUGUCUUCAUCCUGUUAAAUUGUAUAUGGCUCUUGAUGUCGGCUGAAUUAAAUCAAAAUGAAAACCAAGCUGCUGAUCUUACCAGCCCAUAUCACUUAUCACUUGCUUAUUUAAAUUAUUUGAAGAUGCGUAUGUGGAUUGGUGAUUUUGUUGGAUUCACUUGGCUCAAAUAUAUGUUAUCUGAGUCGCUACAUUUGAGAAUGUGAUUUUGUUCCUACCACCAUUUUGCCCACUUUUUGUGGAAAUUAUUUCUGCUUGUUGUGAAUGAUACAUUCAUCCCCGGCAGCAAAGUGCGAAGUGCGGGCGCAUUUUCUAGUUUAAGUAAAUCACACAAUGGGUCAUCAAUAAUAACAAACUUGUCAUUUAUGAGAGUCAAACAUGAGGCCACCUACCUACUAGUUUAGUGGAAUACCACAAGUGACAUGUUGAUACCUUUAAAUCUCAUAUAAUGGAUUGCAGAAUUAGGAUAUUCCUAGACUAAUUUAGUUAGUGCGUGAACCCGAACAAUUAACAAGGGUUUUAUUCUUGCUUGAAUGUUUGUUAUAUGUUCCUAGUUUGACAAGGCAAUUAUAUUUCCGACUACAAGUUAUUAAUUUAGUCGAGAAUUGACGCACCUGAAAUGGUGUGAGGAAAACAUGUAUCCACAUGAGCCGCAGUCCACUGUCCUUGGCAUCUAUCUUUAAAAGGCUCGAAAUGAAGCUCAAAGCCAUACAUGAGGGCAUUGUGUAUGUCUUUAUAAGAGAAGUUGCGGUAGUCCUCAACGUAGCCGGCAGCCAAACUCAUCCACUCUACACUGCAACCAUCAUCCAAUUCCCAUACCUCCCUGAACCUGUCCCCAACAUAUUCCCCGACCAUGACAUAGCUAUUCGUUUUUGGUUGACUCGAAGAAGAAGAAGAAGAAGAAGUAUUAUUCAAGCAUGGAGCAGUGUCCACGUACAGAGAAGAAUUCGAUGGAUUCGAACACUUCAAGUAAUAUAUAGAUAGAGAAUUAAUGUCAUAGGCGGGCCAAUAUAGAGAAUUGAUGUCCUCGGUGGUGGGCGGAAUAUUUUGAGACAUGGAAGAGCAAUUGUUGUUGUCAAGCCCAGGAUCUCGAAGUCGGAUUGUUUUGUUAUUAUAGUUGAUUGCCUGGACAUGGUACUUUCCGAAAGAAGGUAGGUCUAGUACUGUAAUGUUGCUCUCACAGGACAGAGUAUACGAUAUGUUGCCACAGUACUUUGGAUCAUCGUUAAGUCGAAAAGGAUGGCUUAUGUUGUGGAUAUGGCCGCAGGAUGAAGUGCAGGACUUGGCACUACUGUUGUCAGCGUUACAAGUUUCACUGCAAAAGCAAAGAAGAAGAAAGGCUAAACUUAAGGUGAAGGACCUGGUUCCACUAAUUUCCAUUGCUCUGAGAGAGAGAGAGAGAGAGAGAGAGAGAGAGAGGGUACCAUAGCUUAAACACCAAGGAGUUAUAUAAUAUGGGAGGGGUUAAAGCACCUCGCUUACAGUUGCAGUAAGCCCGUCAAAUAUCCUAGGGAAAAGUCGGUCAAUGGUGUCCUAUAGAGAAAAGUCGGCCUUGGUGUUUGACACGGUCACUCAACUCUCUCUCUCUCUCACAUUGACGAGGGACACUGUAAUUGAAAAAAAAAAAUGUUCUUCAGAGAUAGAUCUUGAAAUUCUUAUUUUAUAUAAAAAAAACACCUAAUAUUAAAUUAUUAAUCAUUCAAAUGAAAUUCUUAAAAUUAAGUAUAAAUAAUACAUAACGAAAACUGAGCACAUACAAUCAACGGUCACGAUCGUGAAAUCCUCCGGAUCCUCAGAAAAAAAUCCGACGAUGAUCUUUUUCUGUGUAAAAUAAUUUGAGGGUAUAAUACUGGAUGUGGAGCCAAAAAUAUUCGCUAGGCGACACGUGGACUUUUGGACAAAAGAGGACAAAAAUACCCUCGAAGCAUACAAGGAUUCCUACGCGCGAGCAGUGGGCAAUCAUCUUUCAAUCAAGUCAAAAGUGCCCAAAAAAGGUAACAAUUAAAAACCUCUCUCAUCAAAUCCUUUCUAUAAGGUAUUUCCCAAAACCUAGUAUUUUCUAUUUCAUUAUUUAGCUAAUCAAUUAGCUAAAUAAUAUAAACCUACCAUAUCUCCUAAAAUCACCCAAUUAAUAGCCCAAAACCGGCCCCCACUAUUCACAUCCUCAUCUUUCCCAUUUUCCUUAUUAAAAUAAUCAUUCAUUUUUAUAAACCACCCAUUUUAUUAUUUUCAUAUUUAAUUAGCCAAUAAAUUGGCAAAUUAAACAUGAAAUUAACCCCCACAAAAACCCUAUGGCUGGCUACUAUUAUUCAAAAUAGGGCAAACCCUAACUCUAUAAAUAAACACAUAUUCUCACCAAAAAUUCAUUCCAACUCUCUCACAAAAAAUCACAAAUACUCUAAACACUAUUUCUCUCUAAAAUUCUAACUUUGGCAUCAGAGGUUCUUCGGCCAAAGCCCCCCCCAUUCAUCGUGGGCGCGUGAGGCUCUUGGCCUUAACCUAAGGUGCUAGUUGUUUUGUAGGUGCAAAAUCGUCCAAGAUCGAAGAGGAGAAAAUUUGCAUCCACAAAUUGGUGCUUUCAUUGAGAGUUGAAAUCCAUACUCGUAGAAGACUCUCGCACAAAAAGGUUUUUUCUUUUAUUUUCUAGUCCAUUUGAAUAUUUUUCAUACGUUCUUAUUAUUAGAAUUUUUUUACUUGCAAAGGUUCUUUGAUAAAACGUAUAAGCAAAAUAUAAUGGCUAGAAAUUUAGAAAAUUCCACAAGUGAAAAUUCUAAUGUUCAAGAAAUGGGAUUGCGGAGAUCCGUGAGGCUAAAUGCGACAAUAAGGGGAGCGGCAUCAUCAUCACGAGCUUCCACCAUGGGAACCACCAUGGUGGCUACCUCGGUAGCCACCCGCGGCGAGGUCCAUGGUGCCUUCACCACGGCCACCAUGGGAACCACCGCGGUGGCUACUUUGGUAGCCACUCGUGGCGAGGUCCAUGGAGCCUUCACCACGGCCCGGAGAUCCGUGAGGCAAAAUGCGACAAUAAGGGGAGCGGCAUCAUCACCACAAGCUUCUACCAUGGGAACCACCGUGGUGGCUACCUCGGUAGCCACCCGCGGCGAGGUCCAUGGUGCUUUCACCACGGACACCAUGGGAACCACCGCGGUGGCUACUUCGGUAGCCACUCGUGGCGAGGUCCAUGGAGCCUUCACCACGGCCCGAGCCGUGCCAUCCAAGGCUCACGGUACCAAGACCACGAUCCAAGCCGUGCCAUCCAAGUUUACGUGGACCCAAGCCCAAGCCUCGCAUUCACAUGCACCGCGCAUUGAGCAGCCUGUUCCCGUGAUCCAGCCUGUUCCCGUCAAGCAACCCACUCUCACGGCCCAACCUGCUCAUGCCGAGCAGCCUGCUCUCGUGACACAGCCUGCUCCCGACGAGCAGCCCACUCCCGUGGCCCAGCCUACUUUCGUCGAGCAGCCCACUCCGGUGGCCCAGCCUGCUCCUGCUAAACAGCCCACUCCUGUGGCCCAGCCUCCUCUUGCUAAGCAGCCUGCUUUCGUCGAGCAGCCCACUCCGGUGGCCCAGCCUGCUCCUGCCAAGCAGCCCACUCCGGUGGCCCAGCCUGCUCCUGCCAAGCAGCCUACUCUCGUGACCCAGCCUGCUUCCGACGAGCAACCCACUCCCGUGGUCCAGCCUGCUUCUUUCGAGCAGCCCACUCUCACGGCCCAGCCUACUCCUGUGGCUUUCCAAGCAGCCCAAGUCGGCCCAAGACUAUCUCCCGGACCUACCAUCGAGCCGAGGGCAUUCUCACCACAUUUUUUCACGGAUUUGACAUUUCCCAACUCAAAUCUCGCGCCCGGAGUCUACCACAUUUCCACUGCCCAAGGAGGCGCAUUCCUUCCAAGCUCUUCCAAUCCAAAUGGCGAACAACACUUGUCUCGACAAGUCAUAGAGUUGACGAGCGCCCUUGCACAACAGAAAACCUUGGUGAAUCAACUUUUGCAACGUAUCGGGAUCCAACGUGCCCCGGACGAGGUAUCCCGAAGUAGGACAAGGGCAAACGAACAUUUCCAGCAGCCACUCGACCAGCCACGAGCCGAACGUUUGGGCAGUGUACAUUCCCGUCUUAGAGCGCGAGGGAGCAUGCACUCUCGACUAGGCCCACGGAUGAGCAUACAUUCACGGUUGGGGUCAUACUCCGAUAGUCAACAUGAGCAACCUUCCGGGCAAAGUGUCUAUUCGCAGCUAAGCCCACAAGGAGCGUCAUCCACCUCACAUCAGAGUAGGCAGCACGACGGACGGAGAGAAGCAGUCACUCAAUCCAGCUCAAGUUCAACCAGCAGCCUGCGAAGAACUCGCUCGCCUACUAGGAACGCACCACAUGCACUGCAUUCGCGGCAUAGACGAGCCAAACACAUGGAAGAGCAGCUUAGACCAGCAAGUCAUGACUGGAGGCAGCCAAGAGCUCCGCUACCCCAACAAAGGCAAAUUCAGGAAGAAGUAGAGAGACUCUUGACCAAGCGAUUGCAUGAUUUCCAACGCAACGAGGUCACCGACGAGGCACUACGACGGAACAUGACCAACAUAAGCAAGCAGGUCACCCUUCACGGACGAGAUCGAGCAGGCAGAGCCUCCACGAGAGUUCAGCAUGCCACAUUUCACAUCUUUCAAAGGGGAUGAAGACCCGGAGAGACACUUAAAGCGCUACCGAAGCGCAAUGAUCCUUUAUCGAAACAACGAUGAGCUUAUGUGCAAGAUAUUCGCCACCACUCUACAAGGCGAGGCGCAAGAUUGGUUCUACACCCUGCCGUCACAAUCCAUCCGGAAUUUCUACGAACUUUCUUUGGUUUUCACCAAAGAAUAUUCAUCCUAUCGCUCGAUCAAAAAGAAAUCUGAUCAUUUGUUCAACGUCAAGAAGAACCCAAAGGAGUCAAUUCGCGACUAUGUGAGGAGGUUCAAAGUAGAGAAGGCAAAAAAUAGUCGGAUGCAACGACUCGAUAGCUAGAGCAGCCUUCCAAAAAGGACUUCCAGCAGACCACCCGCUAUUUGGAAAAUUGAUCAUGAAAGAAGAUCUAACUCUGGCAGACUCUUUUGCUUUGGCAGAGAAGUAUGCACUUUGGGAUGAGGCUCGCCAAUGCACAUUCAAGGACUUGAAGAAGUACCCGACAUCACCUCCCUAGAAGCAGCGGAGGACUUAUUCACAUGUUUGACGAUAUCUAAAGUAGCAAUAAGCUCUACCAUCAUGCGAGAAGAGAUGGGGGCCCGACUACCUGUAUUCCACAGUUACCUGUAUUCUACAGUUCAAAAGCUCUCCUCGAUGUUAUUAAAAAUUCAAAAGCUAACUUUGGUGAUAGUUGUUGCAACCCAGAAGCACAAGUUUUACUUUCAAACGCAUGCAAUCAUCCUAAUGACGUACUAUUCUGCCCAAUCCAGACGCGCGACGAUAAAGGUGUAGACCAUGGCGGAUGUAAAGUUUUCUGACGAACGCAACACUAGAAGGACACACUCGAAAGCAAGUUUUGUCCUCGUCACCCUAAAAGAUUCUACAUAGGAGCAACAUGUACCGGCAGUUGAGUACCAUUUCUUGCUGCGCAUCACACGGCCCUAGCCGACCCUUGCUCAAUGAUUCAACUCUAGAGUGGCCCAAUACCGGCAGUUGAGCAUCUCCUGUUGCGUAUGACAUGGCCCCAUCUCCACAGCUCCCUACUGCGUCUUCACGCCGAGCCUAAGUGACGUAACAGAGCAGCCCAACGAUGCCUCAGAAGUAGCCGAGCACACUCUAGCUGCGCCUACUCCACCCGAUGGAGACUUUUGGCAUUUGCAUGUCGACGACGCAGAAAAGCCUUCAUCACUGCCGGCAGAGAAGGCUCCAAAAAGAUGGAUCCCAUCUGGGAAGGUCCGUACAAGAUCAGCAGAGUAGGGGGCAAGAGUAAUUACACCCUCACCACCAUGAAGCAGCAAAAAUAUUGAAAAGAAAUGGAUGGCCUACAAUCUGAAGAAGUACCAUGUGUGACCUCCCGCUACAUCAAAACCCGAAGACUCAAUAAGCUCGACGGGCACCACCUCACAAGCUGGGGACUAUCCAGUUGUUAUGCAGUUCCUACCUUACAGCUAAAGUUCUCGUUCGUUUCACUCGUUUUUCAAUGAGGAAUUUAGAAGUAAUCACAACUUGGCUUGGUUGCAUGCUUACAACAACUAAUCACUCCUGCACUUCAAAAGAAGAUUGCGCCCUUCUUAGGGACUCAUCGCAGGAAUUGCGCCCCCCGAGGGACCAACCAUGCUCUCCAGUGCGAGAGGGUAAACCAAUUCUCCGACACCCAUAUGGGUCAGCUCUCCAAGACGGGAGGAUAAACUUUACACUCCGAAUAUCCAGACGUGGAUGAGCCUGGCUGCCCUAGUAUAACUAGAUGCACGAUGGCUUGCGCCGGGAUUCCUAGAAGUAGCCGCAAUGGUCUUUUUCAAGGCUUAGCUAACUGAAGGAUUUUGGGUCUCUUGGCCUAAUCCGUGGGGAACCGGGCCCUAGAGACGGAGAGGGCACAUUACGCAGUACAUCCGAUGGACGGCUGCCCUGGAAUCCUAAAGCUGCUACCGAGUGCACUAAGGUAGCCUACGGAUUCCGGAAGACUGCCUACGGCUUGCCCUUCGAGCAGUGAAGCCGCACUAGACUUAUACAACCGCACAUUCUUGUGAAAGGUUAAACAAGCUAGCGCGCAUAUACGAAGUUUUAUCCACUGCCGACAUGCUAUGUAGUUGAUAAGCUUCACCUCUGCCAAGCGCGGAACAACCUACACCAAGUCCUAAAGUGUUGUGAUACUUGCUACGCAACCUACGGAAUUGAAAAAAGUCAAGGUUAACAGCCGAGUGGUUACGCGGACUUGUCUACUUCUGUAAGUAAGGCAUCCGGCUGCCAACCCUAUGGCUAACAACUUUGCAAAGUUCUACACCAACACCUACGGCUGCAUAGGCUACGCGAGUUUGUCUGCUUAUAAAAAAGUAGCAUGCCUGCCACUGGUCUAUCAAGUCUAAAGGUUAGGGCAUGAACAAAAGAAGUGAAGAUGAAGAAAAACGAAGGAAAACAUGUUUAUAAACAACUAGCAAAGGCCGAAUGAGUUCAAGCAAAACAAGAGCUACAAGGAAAAACAAAGAAAAUCCUAAAGGCUACCUAAAAUACUACACUACAGCAGCUUGGACAUCCCACGACUACUCGAUCGCCACACCUUCAACAGCCGUAACGCUCUUAGCAGCGGCAUCAUCCGGCGCUUCACCCCCCGGCUGCCCUAGUCUGGGCACUAACUUCUCCAACUACUUCACCAAUGGAAGCCUUAAAAGUAAAAGCAAACAAGUCUUCCGGAGAAAUAGAGAAGGUCUUAAAACCUCAAGCCCAUCCUUCUCACCCUUCAGCUGCUCAUUCUUCUUAAGCAGACUAACACGGACGCGCUACAGCUCAUCCACUCUCUUCUUAGCAUAAGUAGCGAAACGAAGCUCAGAAAUUGCAAGCUUAAGAUCUUGAAUCUGAGGCGAAUCAAUCUCAGCAGCAAAGGGAGCAGGCUUUGGCGCCACUUUAGCAGCAGAGUCCACCUUACCACUCUUCAUAAUAGCAAGUCUCUAAAAAGGUGAACCGGACUUGGCUCCCAAAGAACGUCCUGGUACAAACUUCGGCACUGGGGGCAUGAUAAAACCUUUACGCUGAGUAAUCUUAUCCACAAUUGUACUAGCCAUUCUCAACAUGGAAGACGCCACAUGCUCAGAUCUAGCAGCCUUACAUUUCUUCCCAUUGGAAGAAGUCAUGUCAAUCACAUACCUCUCGGUAGCAAGUGGACCAUCAUGAGCAGCAGAAGAAGUCUUCAAUUUUUUCUUAACUGGCAUCUCAUGAGCAGGUGGGGAAGAUCUCUUCUUUCCAUCUUCAUUCAUAGUAAGCUCCACGAUAGCGAUCAGAUGAGCCAAUGCAUCCGCCUUGAUCCUCUUUACCUCCUCUUUCCGGAGCAGCCCACAUUUCUUUCAGCAAAUAGGACUAAGCAGCCAACGACAUUCAUGGUACUCAGCAGGGGAGCUCAACCCAGUAUUCCAGCAGGCAGGAGGCCUGCAUGCCCAACAUUCCAGCAGCCCGUGAGACCCGCAAUCUCCUUAUUUCUCUCAAUCGCAAGCCUGGCCUGAGUCAAGUCCAAUAGCCCAAAGGACAUGAGUCAUGCGAUUCGCCUAACACUGCGCCUCAGCGCCACAAUCCUCGACCCCAGCUGCACAAGCUGCCCUUGGUUCUAGCCAAGUCAAGCAGCUUAAAACAGUGGUCCCUACCACAAUACCUCAUCGGCCCAUGUCGAGCCGACUCCUGGCCUAUGCCAGCCGACGUGCCGCACCACCCCGAUGGCUGCCCUGCAAUAGCACUAUCCAAGAAGAAGGCAAGAAAAAUUAAAUUUUUCUUACAUCGGUGCGGCACGAAAAAGACGAAGAAAUCAACGAAAGACGGUCUUUUGCACAGGCAAGACGUAGAAGAUUGCUAGAGGAGAGGGAACAAAUAUCCUCUAACUUUCUCUCUCUUGUUGGGUAGAAUAAAUCGCUCUCCAAAGUUGAUUUAAUAACCCACUUAAGGUGGACUUAAAUAGGCUUUGAGAGAAAUUUAUUUCCCUUUCCUAGAAGGAUCUAAUUUCCAUUUAAAGAGAGAAUCAACAACAAAAUAGGAAUCAAUUUAGAGUUGCCUAAAGCGAGAAAAUCUCUACACCUGUUGCCCUUUUCUGCAAGCAGCCCAACAGGUGUGGGGGCAUUUGUGGAGCCAAAAAUAUUCGCUAGGCGACACGUGGACUUUUGGACAAAAGAGGACAAAAAUACCCUCGAAGCAUACAAGGAUUCCUACGCGCGAGCAGUGGGCAAUCAUCUUUCAAUCAAGUCAAAAGUGCCCAAAAAAGGUAACAAUUAAAAACCUCUCUCAUCAAAUCCUUUCUAUAAGGUAUUUCCCAAAACCUAGUAUUUUCUAUUUCAUUAUUUAGCUAAUCAAUUAGCUAAAUAAUAUAAACCUACCAUAUCUCCUAAAAUCACCCAAUUAAUAGCCCAAAACCGGCCCCCACUAUUCACAUCCUCAUCUUUCCCAUUUUCCUUAUUAAAAUAAUCAUUCAUUUUUAUAACCACCCAUUUAUUAUUUUCAUAUUUAAUUAGCCAAUAAAUUGGCAAAUUAAACAUGAAAUUAACCCCCACAAAAACCCUAUGGCUGGCUACUAUUAUUCAAAAUAGGGCAAACCCUAACUCUAUAACUAAACACAUAUUCUCACCAAAAAUUCAUUCCAACUCUCUCACAAAAAAUCACAAAUACUCUAAACACUAUUUCUCUCUAAAAUUCUAACUUUGGCAUCGGAGGUUCUUCAGCCAAAGCCCCCCAUUCAUCGUGGACGCGUGAGGCUCUUGGCCUUAACCUAGGUGCUAGUUGUUUUGUAGGUGCAAAAUCGUCCAAGAUCGAAGAGGAGAAAAUUUGCAUCCACAAUGGAUGUGCGAUUAAACCGAAGAACCCACCACCUCCAUCUUCUCCGACCAACUUGAACCCAGCCACUACUACAUGUCAUCCCGACAACCCACUCUCAGCUUCCCAAACCGCCAUUUUUCACCCACUCACUUACCUCUCUCUCUCUCUCUCUCUCUCUCUCUCUCUCUCUCUCUCUCUCUUACCCAAGCCACUGCCAUUAUUCAUUCAAUCAACCCAAAACACGAGAGCCACCCCAUCUCACCACUCGAACAGAUGCAGCCACCCACCCAUUUAAUCCCAGUCCAAAAUCAAACCCUCUCCUAAACCCACCCCAGAAUCCAAUAAUUUCAAAAAAUGGCUGAUUAUAUCAUUUCAAGAACCUCACAAUUCCAAAAACUAAAAACCCACUUCAAAGAUGUAAUAUUUUUCUCUCUUCCUCUUUUUGGGUUUUUUUUUUUUAUCAAUUCUCUUCUGGGUUUUUGUUUACAGUGUAAAAUCAACACUAAUUUACUAAUUUUGCUUUGAUUUUUCAAACACUAUUGAGGCGUGAUAACCUGUUGCAAGCUCAGCCAUGGCGGCUACUGCAAAAUCUAACGGAAAAACCAUCACAGACUCUGCCAUUUCAUCCAAGGUUCCGACAAUAGCAAACCCUUUAACGAAUAGCUGUCGCAGAUUUCUUCCAACAUCAAUCACCACGCGAAAUUAAUUGUCAAUGAAGACGAUCCCAUUCCCCUUCGAAAUCUGCUGGGGGAAAGAGGCCUUCUUUCAUAUCUGCUCUGAGACCUGUUUAUGCGAGAGAGUGGUGAGCCUGACGACAGAGAGAAAGAAGGGCAGGAUUGGAAAAUUGGAAAGUUCAUUUAUUGGUUACUGUUUAUCCGUGUUUCUUCGAAAUAAGCUGCUUUUUCCAGCUUUGGGUUUUCAGUAUUUUUUUAACCCAUAAUUUUGAAAGAAAAAAAACUGAUUUGAAAUGUUAUCAAACACUUAAAAUGUUCCAAUCUUUUUUCAUACCUAUUUUUUUUAUUAAAAGUUAAGCUAAACAAAAACCAGGAUUAAGUUUACUACUUUGAAGUUUCUUGCUUUUCAACAUUUCAUACAUUGAAUUUUUCUCAUCCAGUGUCAUACCUAAGGUGAGAAUUGUGGGACACUUUUAUACAUCCGUUAGAUUUUCUGUGAAUUAUGGGACACUUUUAUACAUCCGUUAGAUUUUUUGUGAUAACCUUCGCUGACCCACGAUGCGGCAUGCAUGUGGACAUUAAAAAAAAUUCAAAAAUUCAAAAAUUCAAAAAUUUUAAAAUUUAAAAUUCAAAAAUACUAAAAACCUAAACUUUUCAUAAUAUUGAGUUGAGAGACUGAAUCUUUUCACACUCGGCCAAAUUUUCUUUGAAUUUUAAUUAAAUGAAACAAUGAAUCUUGAACAAAGCAAAACAAAACGUAAUAUUGAGAGAUUCAGUCAUUGAAGUGGACGUGGAUGUUGGGUACUCAAUAGUCCAAGAAUGAAAAUUCUCAUAUCAGUUUCUAUCCAAAAUUUUGGAAUUAUGUGUGUUGCAACGAUUGUCCAAAGGAUUAUUCUUCUUUUAUUAAAUUUCCAUGAAAAAUGAGCAUGGGGGCAUAAAAAUUGAACGAAUGAAAUUUCAACGAUUUGAAAAGGGUUGUGAGUUUGACACGUCAUUUUUCUUCCUUUAAUGCAAUCAUGUUUAUUAAAAGACAAAAAUAAAUAUGACUUUACAUAAGGAGAGAGAAAGAAUAGUUUUCUUUGAAAAAAUCAACCAUUUAUUGAAGAGGGAUGUUGAUAAGGAGAUGAGACAUUCAUUAGAAGCUAGAAAAAAGAAGUUAAAAGUGAUUUAGAAAAAAGCAAGAAAGCCACAUUUUCAAAGUGGUGGUCAUUGCACAAUACUUAAUUAGAAGAAAACUCAUAGUAUUGUAUUUACAAUUUCAAGUCUUUAUGGGGAACGAGAGUGCAAAUUUUCCAAUUGGAAUAUGAUAUGAAAUUUCUAGAUAACUAUAUAUGACAAAGAAAGAAGUCUAAGUUUCUAAGUGGUAGGGCUUCCAAUUGAUGUGAGUUUGUUGAGAAAUGUAGAUGAAGAUGAAUAUUGUUGUUGAUGUUAGUGAACAACAGAACAAGUUGCUUCUCCUUUGGCCUUCUAACAUGAUAUCACGGAAAACAAGUUGUUGCUAAUAAAUGUAUCUGAUUGGUGGACUUAGACGUGCGCGGUACGAUUUUUGAUAACGAGAAAAGAUGGACAGUGUCAUGACAAAAUUUAUCCAAGUAGACCCAAAGGAAAGACUUAGGAACUUCAUAUGCAGUGGGAUAAAAUCUUAAGCUAAUUUCCUUACCUAUUUUAUAGUCAUUAAGUAAAAUGUAUAUGUAUAUUUCUAGAUGCUGACACACCAAUGUACUUACUAUUAACUCCUUUCAAAUACCCAUUCGCAGAAACGCAAAUCUCUCUUGCAUGCUUGUUGUAAUGCUCAUGUAGUGCGUAUCUAAUAUCUUAUGUGUAUAAUUUUUUGUGAUCCAUUUUUUCAUCACUAUGCCAAAAUCCCUUUAGAAUUUGCAAUUUAUCCAUUUGGUUAUGGUAAAAAAAAAAACUCGGAAUUUCAUUUAAACUCAAAAAUCUAGAAUUGGGAAAGCAAUUUUCCCUUGUUCGGCAACUUGUAGCGAUAGCAAAGGCAAAUUGUACAGGAAAAAAGUGGAAAUUGGGGAUGAAGAUCCAAUUUUAAUUUCGUCAAAAUAAGUGUAAUUUCACAAUUCCAACAACGUUGAGAACAAAUGCAUUGCGGGGAAAUCUUGCGACCACCAAACUUUACGAUUAGAGGGCCAAAUUUCAUGAUAAAACGUAAUAAGGGUUUAGGACUGCAUCGUUCACUUUGUUAACUCUCCAAUCUUCGACGGGAUUUUCAACUCGUGCAUCAUCUUUUGCUUUGUUCUAGGUCAAAGCCUACUCUUUUCUUUCUUGAAUUAUUUUAGCUUUGAGGGUAUACUCUUUAGGCCAAUUGUGAAUUUUGCUAGUUAUUUUUAUUUUCUGAUGGUCAUAUGUUUGUUUUGUUUUUUUUUUCUUCCAAUUGAGAUGUGUAUUGGUUGGAUCAGUAACUUUUUUUUUGGAUUUUUAUUUUUAUUUUUAUGGAUUUUGGUGUUAGUUCCUUGUUAUAGAUGUUGUGGAGCAAAAAAUAAUCUCAAAAAUCGUGGAGGUGACACACGGAUUUUUGGACAAGAAUGACAAAAUUAUCCUCGAAGCACAUCAGGAUUCCCACGUGCAUGCAACGGACAAUAACGGCUCAAUCAUGGAAGAGUCAAAGGUGAUCAAUAUGGUAUUUAUUCAAAUCCCUCUCAUCACUCCUCAUCAAUCCCUUUUUUAUUUUAUUCAAAAGGUAACUCCCAAAACUUCCUAUUUAAUUUAGGGAUCAUUGUCAUGUUAAUUGCAAGAUAUUAUUUCACAAAAUAUCUUGUAAUUAUUCUUCAAUUACCACCAUGUAUGGCCGGCCACUCCUCACAUUAUGGGCCGGUCACUCCUCACCCUAUGGGUCGGCCACUCCCUAUAAAUAGCCCUAUUAUUCCACUAAUAAGGAAGCCAUUUGCUACCCACAAACUCCUAAACACAUUCUUUCAGAAUUCUAACUUUGGCAUUGGAGAUUCUUAGGCCAAAUCCCCCCUCCCAUUCAUCAUGGGCGCAUAAGGCUUUUGGCCUUAGUCUUAGGUAUUAUUAUUUUGCAGGUGCAUUUUUGUCAAAGACGAAGAUGGUGAAAAUUUGCAUCCACAAAUUGGUGUUUUCAUUGAGAGUUUGAUUCAUAAGCUCGAAGAAGACUCACAUUCAAAGUUUCACAUUUCUCAUUCAUAAGUAAAUUUUUCAUACGUUCUUAUUCCUAAAAUUUUUUAAAUCUUUGAAUAGACGUAUGAGAGAAAUACAAUGGCUAGAAAUUUAGAAACCACGACGAACGAAACUUCCUACGUUCAAAGAUCCAGAUAAAAUGAUGGAAAUUGCGAUGUAGCCCCACCACGACGAUCCACGAAGCUCAACGUGGUGGCAAAAUGAGUAACUUGGCCACCACGGAGUACCACCACCACCAUAGCCAAGGCAACCCAUGUUGCAGUGGGGAGUGGGACAGCUUCAUGGCAGCAAAGCCACGAAGCAACAAUAAAUGCCAUCUUGCAGUAAUGAGCCCAGGCCCGUGUCACAAGGCAGUCAACCCAGCGCUAGGUAACCUAGAUCUAGUAGGCCCACGACGUUGCCAUAGCAGCUGAGGCCUAAAGCAAGGCCCAAACAGUUGCGGUUGCGGCAAAUGGAGCAGCACAACACUGGCGGGGCCAAUGCACCCUUGGCCUAAUGCUAAGCAGGCUAAAUCGCACCACACCCACUAUUCAAACUAACCCUAAGUUGAGUAAGUAGCAUUGAAGGUUGUCAACCGCAAGGCGUUGAAGUACGAAUAAAGUUACACACCCCGCACAUGACUUGGCCCACUUCCGCGGCCCAACUUGCUCGCAAGGUCCACCUAGUGAUCCCGACUAGUCGAAGGCCAGUUUAAUCAUCCCAUCUUCAGAUUUCUGGACUGACGAUUGAAUCGGGGGUAUUUUCACCCCGAUUUUCUACAGAUUUGACAUAUCUCAACUCAAAUCUCGCACUUGGAGUCCAUUGCACUUCCAUUACUCAAGGAGACGCAUACCAUUUAAGAUCUUCCAUCCCAAAUGGCGAACAACACUUGUCUCGACAAGUCAUAGAGUUGACAUGCGCUUUUGCGCAGUAGACGACCUUAGUGAAUCAGCUCUUGCAACGCACAUAGAUGCAGUGUGCCCCAGACGAUGUGUCCCGAAGUAAGACAAGUACAGAUGACGAUUCUCUCCAGCAGCGUCCCAACAAGCAGCCGCUCGACUAGCCACGAACCGAGCGUUCUGGCAGUGUACACUCCCGUCUAGGUCCUCAAGAAAGCGUAUACUCUCGUCUUAGCGCGCGAAUGAGCGUGCACUCAUGGUUAGGCCUAUGGACGAGCAUACAUUCACGGUUGGGACCAUACUCUUAUAAUUAACAUGGACAACCUGCUAGACGAAGUGUUCAUUCGCGGCUAGGCCCGCAAAAAGCAUUUUCCACCUCAUAUUGGAGUAAGCAGCACAGAAGACGAAGAUAAGCAGUCAAUUAAUCUGGCUCAAAUUCAAUCGGCCACCUGUAAGUAACCAGUUCGCCUGCCAAGAACGUAUCAUAUGCAAUGUAGCCACGACAUAGACUAGAUGAGCACAACGAUAAGCAACCUAGACUAACAGGUUACGACUGGGGGCAGCCAGAAGCUCUGCUGCCCCAAUAGAGGUAAAUUUAGAAAGAAGUUGAGAGGCUCAUGACCGAACAAUUGUGCGAUUUCCAACGCAACGAAGCUACUGACAAGGCGCUUAAACGAUACACGACCAACAUAAAUGGGUCACCUUUUAUUGACAAGAUUGAGCAGACAGAACCAUCCUACAUACACUGGCGGAUACAAAGAUUACAUCUAUUUUAACAUAUGCAUCAACUCAGCCUAAUGGCGUGUCGAGGGCAAAUGGGUACCAGAAUGGCACACCAGCCCAACCACCAAGAACCAGGGCCAAAUCUUAUUUUCAUCACUCCACACGAUUCAAUACUUGAGCAGCACAUCACCAGUAAUCGAGCACCGCAGACCUAAUGGUCCAAUUCCUCCUGAUGCACACAAGCUCACCCCAGCUCCACGCUCAAAGCCUUGCCUACCUGCUCCACAACACUCAGCCACCCUUGAUUUGUCACCAUGGCUCACAAUUAUGCCAAUUUUGCACCACAGCUCAUAGCCGUGCUAAUCUUGCCAUGCGGCUCUUAACUACGUUAACCAAGCCCACGAUACUUUAUACUUCAAAGCAUCCAACGACGGAGUAGAACACGAGGCUCUACUAGCAGCCCCUGCUAGUGAAAGACUUUGCGGUGAAGAGGCUUCCAAUCCAUUCAAAUUCUCAGUUGACCACCUGUUGGGUUUUACGACUCAAAAUUAGGAUGAUGCAAAAAAAAUUGUGUUACCUAUUUGGUUUUGGUGUCGUAUUUGGGUUUGGAUUUUGACCUCUUAGUUGGUUUCCGUGGUGGAGAGAUUUUGUUAAUUACCUAUUUGAUUAGGAUUUGGAUUUACUUCCUAUUAAGAUUCUUAUUGUAACCUAAGUCUUAUGCACUAUAAAUAGGACCUCAGGGUUAGUGUAUUUUGUGUGGCUCAUUCGUGUGGCAAUUUGGUGAGAGUCAAUUUGUGAGUUUGUGAGUUAGAGAGCAAUUUGGGAGAAUCUUCUCCGUUAGUUUUGGGUUCUCUACUCGUUUGGUUUAGGGUUUGUAAUUUGUGGGAUUUGGAUUGUGAGAGUCUGAACACUAUUUUGUAAUCUCCGUUUGUUUAGUGAAAUUUCUUGUCAUGCUUCGCUCGUGGACUUAGAUUUUACACCGAACCACAUAAAUCUCUUGUGUUAGUUUGAGAUUGUUUGUUUUAGUUUUCACCUACGACGUUGAUAUCGGUACUUUGUUAGAAUUCGCUUUCCUUUGCUCAUAAAAGUACAACAAGUGGUAUCAGAGCCCGGCUUUCGGCUUGGGCUUUGCUUGGCAAUCACUAUGAAGCCUUCUGUGUCGUCGGUGAAAGUUGAUAUUGAAAAGUUCGAUGGCAAUGACUUUGGUAUUUGGCAAUUGAAGAUGCGUACUUUGUUAAUUCAACAAGAGCUUUUAAAAACGCUAAAGGGUGUGAAGGCUUUCCUGAAUUCGUGGACUGAUGAAGAAAAAAAAAGAUGUUAUGGAGCGGGCACUUGGAACAAUCCUGCUAACUUUAUCGAAUGAAGUCUUGCGUCAAGUUGGUAGCAUCAAAUCUGCACCGAAGUUGUGGCUAAAAUUGGAGAGUUUGUAUAUGACCAAAUCCCUUGCUAAAUGGUUGUAUUUGAAGAAAAGUUUGCGUACUCUUCGUAUGGAUGAAGGUACGUCAAUUCAUAAGACCAAAUCCUUAUUGCUGCCAAAAGUCCUCAACAGUUCCAAGGGAGAUGGGUAAGAGUUCGUAAUAGUGAGAGAUUGAAUCUUUUCACACUCGGCCAAAUUUUAAUUUUAAUUAGAUGAAACAAUGAAUCUUGAACAAAGCAAAACAAAAUUUAAUACUGAGAGAUUGAAUCAUUGAAGUGGACGUGGAUGUUGGGUACUCAACAGUCCAAGAAUGAAAACUCUCAUAUAAGUUUUUAUCCAAAAUUUUGGAAUUAUGUGAGUAUUGCAACGAUUGUCCGAAUGAUUAUUCUUCUUUUAUUAAAUUUCCAUGGAAAAUGAGCAUGGGGCACAAAAGUUGAACGAAUGAAAUUUCAAUGAUCUGCAAAGGGAUUGUGAGUUUGACAUGCCAUUUUUCUUCCUUUUAUGCAGUCAUGUUUAUUAAAAGACAAAAAUAAAUAUGACUUUACAUAAGGAGAGAGAAAGAGUAUUUUUCCUUGAAAAAAUCAACUAUUUAUUGAAGAGGAUGUGGAUGUUGAUUGAUGCGCAUUGUGAAUAGGAAAAAAAUAACCUUGAAGGGAGACGAGACAUUCAUUAGAAGCUAAAAAAAAGUUAUAGUGAUUUAGAAAAAAAAAGUUUUAACGAAACAUUUCCGGUACUGUUUACUCUUUACGAAAAACCACAUUUUUACCUUUCCUAACUACUAUUCACUACAUCUUUAUUUAUCAUUUUUCAUUAAAACUAAAGUUUUUGUUUUAACUUUUCGUUAGUUUCCUUUAGAAAAAAGCAAGAAAGCCUCAUUUUCAAAGUGGUAGUCCUUGAAACAAUACUUGAUUAGAAGAAAAGUCAUAGUAUUGUAUUUACAAUCUCAAGUCUUGAGGGGUAACGAGAAUGCAAGUUUCUAAUUGGAAUAUGAUAUGAAAUUUCUACAUAACUAUAUAUGACAAAGAAAGAAGUCUAAGUUUCUAAGUGGAAGGGCUUCCAAUUGAUGUGAGUUUGUUGAGAAAUGAAGAUGAAGAUGAAUAUUGUUGUUGAUGUGAGUUAGUGAACAACAGAACAAGUUGCUUCUCCUUUGGCCUUCUAACAUGAUAUUACCGGAAAACAAGUUGUUACUAGUAAAUGUAACUGACUGGUGAACUAAGACAUGCGGUACGAUUUUUGAUAACUAGAGAAGAUGAACAGUGUCGUGACAAAAUUUAUCCAAGUAGACCCAAGGGAAAGACUUAGGAACUUCAUAUGCAGUGGGAUAAAAUCUUAAGCUAAUUUCCUUUUUAAUCUUAUAGUCAUUAUGUAAAAUGUAUAUGCAUAUUUCUAGAUACAUACACACCAAUGUACAUAAUAUUAACUCCUUUUAAGUAGUCAUUUGCAAAUCCCUCUCGAGUGCUCUUUGGAAUGCUCAUGUGGUGCCGUUCUAAUCUCUUAUAUAUAACUUUUUGUGAUCCAUUUUUUCAUCAAUAUGCCAAAAUCCCUUUAGAAUUUGCAACUUAUCUUUUUGGUUACGGUAAAAAAAAAACUCGGAAUUUCAUUUAAACUCGAAAAUCUAGGGAUGUGAAAGCAAUUUUCUCUUGUUCGGCAACAUGUAGCGAGAGCAAAGGCAAAUUGUACAGGAAAAAGUUAGAAAUUUGGGAUGAAGAUUCCCAAUUUUAAUUUCGUCUAAAUAAGUGUAAUUUCACAAUUCUAACUACGAUGAGAAUCACAAAUAUAUUGCAGGGAAAUCUUGCGACAACCAAACUUUACGAUUAGGGUGCCAAAUUUCGUGAUAAAACCUAAUAAGGGUUUAGGGCUACAUUGUUCACUCUGUUAACUCUCCAAAUCUUCGACGGGAUUUUCGGCUCGUGCAUCAUCUUCUUGCUUUGUUCUAGGUCAACGCCUCUACUCUCUUCUUUCUUGUAUUAUUUUAGCUUUUCAGGUAGACUCUUUAUGGCUGUUGUGAAUUUUGCUAGUUAUUUUUAUUUUCUGAUAGUCAUUUGUUUGUUGUGCGUUUUUCCUUCCAAUUGAAUUGUGUAUUGGUUGGAUUUGUAACAUUUAUUUUUUUUAUUUUAUUUUAUGGAUUUUGGUGUUAGUUCUUUGUCAUGGAUGUUGUCCUUUUGAAGGUUAACAAUAGCCAAGACUAAACAUGAUGAUUUUGGUGUUAAUUACUUUCUCAUGAUACUAAUGCCAUAUUGUUCUCUAUUUUGCACUCACAAGUAAAGAGAAAUAUCCUAGACCCUAACUGGAUAUGUUAUUGUCAUGGUCAUGCAUUGGUAUGGUAACAAUAUGUUUGGAUAAGGAAAAUAAACUUAGAAUUUGACAAAAGAUAAAAUUUAUAAAUUGAUACAAUCAAUUCCUUUGUUUAGAUUCAUAAACAUAGAAAUUUAAACUUUCCGCGUGAGAAAAAACUUGGAAUUUGGGACCUUCAAUUCUCAUGUUUAAAUUUUAUGUAAAUAGGUGUCAUUUCUAAAUUUCAGUAAGUGAGAAUUUAAAAAUAACAAACAUGUAUUCAAAUUUCAUUCAUCUUUUAGGUUAACCAAACAAGAAAUUUUAUAAAUUCUAGAAAAUAAAAUUUCGUUAUUUCAAUUUCUGUUAUUUUAAAAUUAGUAAUCUUAAAUUUUCUCAUCCAAACAAAAAGUUUCCUUGUCAUAGAACUUUCAAUUGGGAUCAAGGAAGACAAUCUUUUCACAACUGAUUAUUCUCACCAAAUUUUAUUAUUAUUUUAAAGCAGAUCAAUACCAAACUUCAAAAGCAAAGUAGGAAGGCUAAAAUUAAGGUGAAGAACCUACUUCCACUAAUUACCAUGGGAGGGAGAGAGAGAGAACCAAGCGAGAGAGAAGAGAGAGAAAACACCAAGUAGUAUUAUAAUAUAGGUGGGGUUAAAUCACCUUUCGUGAAGUUGUAGUAAGAGCAGCUCCAGCGGGAGCUCCAACUUGAUGUACCGGUGAGAUUUCCUACCCAAUAGCCCCAGCUCCUUGCUCCAGUCCAUGCGGGUGAUUGGGCUGAGGGGGGCCGAGUGAGAGGCCUGACUCGAAUCGGUGGCCUGAGAGCCUGAGACCAAAAAUUAUCUUUUUGGAUAAUGACACGUGGUGCAACGAGAACGAUUAAAAAUCUUAUCCGAAAUUACAAAUAGAAUUAUUUUGUAUUAUUUUAUAAAAUAAAAAAUACUAAUAUUUUAUUGCUUAUUGACAUGACUAUUCAAUUACGGGUGGAGAUGCAGAAGACAAUUAUUAUUCAUUAAAGGUAAUUAUUGUUCAUUGGAGGGGAUUGAAUAUGAAGUUGCACUAGAAGGCCUUUGUCACGGCAAUAGGCAAUUACUGUUCUAAGGACUUCUAUCCUAGAAGAGAGACAAAAACACCAAGUAGUAUUAUAAUAUAGGUGGGGUUAAAUCACCUUCCGUGAAGUUGCAGAUAGAGUAAGGACUUCUAUCCUAGAAGAGAGACAAAAACACCAAGUAGUAUUAUAAUAUAGGUGGGGUUAAAUCACCUUCCGUGAAGUUGCAGAUAGAGUAAGGACUUCUAUCCUAGAAGAGAGACAAAAACACCAAGUAGUAUUAUAAUAUAGGUGGGGUUAAAUCACCUUCCGCGAAGCUGCAUUAAGGACUUCUAUCCUAGAAGAGAGACAAGAACACCAAGUAGUAUUAUAAUAUAGGUGGGGUUAAAUCACCUUACGUGAAGUUGCAGUAAGGACUUCUAUCCUAGAAGAGAGACAAAAACACCAAGUAGGAUUAUAAUAUAGGUGGGGUUAAAUCACCUUACGUGAAGUUGCAGAUAGAGUAAGGACUUCUAUCCUAGAAGAGAGACAAAAACACCAAGUAGUAUUAUAAUAUAGGUGGGGUUAAAUCACCUUCCGUGAAGUUGCAGUAAGGACUUCUAUCCUAGAGAAAAGUCGGUCAAUGGUGUUUGACACAGUCAGUCAACGAUAAAGACAGAAUUGUGUAACCAUAAUUCUCUCUCUAUCUCUUUUUCAUUAACGGAGGACAGUGUAUAAUUACUACGUAUACAUCUCUGCUCAAUUAUUGAAAAGAAAAAUCCAUGUGCAUUAUUUUUAUUAUUAUUAUCUCAGAAAUGCAGAAAUUGAUCAUCUCUUCCUUCUGCAUAUUGAUACUGGUUUUCUUCAAACUAGUUGAAGCAAGCCAAUAUGUGUGCGCGAAAUCCAACUGUAGCAAUGAUCAACGCCCGGCUAUCCAUUUCCCAUUGAACAUCAGGCGCACACAUCAUUGUGGAAAUUCUGGGCUUGAAUGCAAUGGGAGAUAUGGGCAGCAAAUACUAAUAAAAUUAUUUGUCAAACACAUUGAUUACAAGCGUCAGGAAAUCCAAGUCUAUUCCCCAAGUAACUGCCUGCUGCUAAAGCAUGUUGAAAUCCCAAACAUGCCACCCUCUCCCUUCAACGUGUCAGUCGAUGACUACAUGAGUACCCUUACCUUAUUCAGUUGUCCUACUUCUGUUGCAAGACGAGAUACGUAUCAAGUCCCCUGCCUCGGCGACCCUGGCAAGAAAACUUAUGCCAUUCGUUCUUACUAUGAUUUUGGAACUCUCUUCCAGAAUCUACAAUCCUGUACAAAAAUGUAUGAUGUUUUAUCAGUUCCAAUAGCCUAUGAAUAUUAUGUUUUUCGUUUCAAAUGGUCUAUACCAAAUUGCAGAAAAUGUGGAGAGGGAAAGAAGUGUGGAUGGCAGAACAAUGAAAUUAAAUGUCUUCCCUGGAGGAAACCAAGUAAGGAUAACAUAUGUAUUCAUUGCUAGUUUUAAACAUCUUUACAUUUAUGUCUUAGUAAUUAUUAUUUGAAGGAUGUUGUCCAAUCCAUUUUUACUAGGAAUAUUACCUGACAGUCUCGUUUAAAUUCGCAAUGAUCUUCUACAGGCAACACAUGGAAAAAAGUGGUUACAGGUGGAAUCCUGUGUGCUUUGCUUCUUGUUCUACUGACGAUUGCAGCAUAUCGGGUAUAUAGCGCUGAUAGAAAGGAGAAAGAGAGUCGAUUAAGAAUUGAAAGAUUCUUGGAGGACUACAAAGCACUCAAACCAAGCAGGUAUUCGUACGCAGAUAUUAAGAGGAUUACAAAUCAAUUCAAGGACAAGUUGGGCCAAGGAGCCUAUGGAACUGUCUUCAAAGGAAUGCUCUCUUCUGAAUUUUUUAUUGCUGUCAAAGUCCUCAACAGUUCCAAGGGAGAUGGGGAAGAGUUCGUAAAUGAAGUGCGAACGAUGGGUCAUAUCCACCAUUUAAACGUGGCUCGCUUGGUUGGAUUUUGUGCUGAUGGAUUUGUACGAGCUCUUGUUUACGAGUUCUUCCCCAAUGGUUCCCUGCAGGAUUUCAUUUCAUCUGCAGAUAGUAAGAAUUCAUUUCUUGGUUGGGAUAAACUGCAAGAUAUUGCCCUAGGCAUAGCCAAAGGAAUUGAAUAUCUUCACCAGGGAUGCGAUCUACGAAUCCUGCAUUUCGACAUCAAACCCCAUAAUGUUUUGCUAGACCAAAACUUCACUCCAAAAAUUUCUGAUUUUGGUAUGGCCAAGUUAUGUUCCAAGGAUCAAAGCUUGGUGUCCAUGACUACAGCUAGGGGGACCAUGGGCUACAUUGCACCUGAAGUGUUCUCCAGGAAUUUCGGAAAUGUGUCUUACAAGGCAGAUGUCUAUAGCUUUGGAAUGCUGCUGCUUGAGAUGGUAGGAGGAAGGAAGAAUAUUGGUUCAAUCACGGAUAACACUACAAAUGAAAUUUACUAUCCACAGUGGAUUUAUAAUCUUCUAGAGGAAGGGGAUGACCUACGAAUCCACAUUGGGGAAGAAGGAGAUGGUAAAAUUCCAAAGAAACUUGCAAUUAUAGGGCUAUGGUGUAUCCAAUGGCACCCGUCGGAUCGUCCUUCCAUGAAAAUAGCGGUUCAGAUGUUAGAAGGAGGAGGAGAAAGCUUGAGUAUGCCGCCUAAUCCCUUUGUGCCUACUGGUUCUACAACUAGGAAUGCAAGACGCCUAGAGCUAGAAGCUAUUGCUGAAUUAGAGUAAAAUGUAUAUGCAGAUAUGUAGACGUAUAGAUAUAGUAAUAUUUAUAUUGAAUAAGAGGCCGUUUGAUAACCAUUUCGUUUUCAGCUUUUAAUUUUUAUUUUUCACUUUUUUGAAAACUAAAAACUAAAAUCUUGUUUGGUAAAUACUUUUAGUUUAAAAAAAUUAUGAAGACUGAGAACUAAAAUGUGAAAGCUCAAAGGAAGUAGAUUAAAAGUAGUUACCAAACAAACUGGAAUCUCAAUAAUAAAAAAAGAUUGAAUUGCACAAUGCAAUCCAAACCAAUCAAAACAUUAAAAUAGCAAAAAAAAAUUAAAAUUCUAGUUGAUUAGAUUCUAAACGUAGUAAAAAUGAACAGAUCCAAUGAAAAAACAAAAAAUUCUCAAAUAAAAAUAGGGAUAAAGUAAAAUAUUUAUAAAUAGCUCUUUGUCUCUUAUGUCAUCAAUUAUUUCUAUAGUAUAUACAGGUUUUUGGAAAAAUUAGGUUCUCAUCCCUUAUUUUCAUAUUACAUUGAUUGAAAUCUUAUUAUUUUUCUAUUUUAGAUCAAGGUCCCUUGACUUAUUCCAUGUCAUCAUUUUAGUAUUUAAAAUAUUACACGUCAUCAUAAACGAAAUCUCAUCCCUUUCUGCAUUUAAGGCAAAAUAAACUAUAUGAGUAAGUUUAAAACAAGGAAAAUCCAUUUGAACUCCUCCAUUCUUCUUCUUCCCUUAUGCACAUCUGGAAUCUACAACACCCCAAACCCAAUUUUCUCCAUUUUUUCUCCAUUCCUGAAUUGAUCCAAUGCAUAUAUGUUGAAUAAACCUAUUGUGAUUAAAAUACAAAUUAGCAUCAAUGGUUUUAUCGGCUUGUGAGAUUUGUGUGGCAUAGGCAAGGCAAUGCAGGCAUUGCUUUCUCAAGGAAUCUGGUUGAUUCAAACAUGCAGAGACUGUAGAGUGAGCGGGCUAUGUGAAAAUUGUACCAUUCUGAAGUCAUUUUCUUUUGUUCUUUAUAUUUUUUUUCUUUUUCUUUUAUUAUUAUAUAUUAGUCUUGGUUAUUCAAUGUCUGGUUGGCUACACUUAUAUCCAUGGGUACAUUUUUAAUCUACAUGUUUCGUUCUAAUAUAUCUAUUGCUAUAAUAUGUUUUGGUUGGUUCAAAUUUGUUUUACAUAAAUAUAUGGGUACAAAGUUUUUGGAGAAUAUUAUGUAAAAUGGUUUUUAAGGUUGCUGCAUUUUACGUUCCCACAUAUGCAUGUCUAUAAAACAAUGUGGUAUGAUGUACAUUCUUUUCUUUGAGUUUUUAAAUGUACCCAUGAGUUUUCUUGUAAAUUCGUAUGUACCCAUAUGCUAUUUAUGUUAUGGGUACAUACAUUAUUUUUGGUCUAAGUUCAGGAUACAUUGCUUUUGUAUGUAUGAAUUCAUGGGGUACAUUAUUUCCCUUAAUACUACUCAAUAAAAUUCACAAAAAUAUGUGUAGUGUGCAUGAUUUUUUAUUGUAGAAAUUGUUUGUUUUUUUUAAGUCUCAUAAUUCAUGAAAUUUGUACAUAUAUGAUCCCAUAAAUUUUUUAAUUUUAUUAAAUUUCUGUUAGACUUGAUCGAUUGAUUGAAUCUCAUAAUACUAGGAUUUUGAAUUACAUAAAUUCUUGGAUUUGAAUCCCUUAAAUGUUGGACUGCAAUCAAUAUUUUAAAUUACAGUUUUUUGUUUAAGAUAUCAAAAAGAUGACAUGGGAAUAUAGUAAUACUAAAAUGCUGAGGUGUACAAAGUCAAGGGACUUUGAUCAAAACAUAAAAAACAAUAAGAUUUCAAUCUAACAAUUGAAUUGACUAGGGACCGGAACCAAAAUGACCCUAGAUUUUUAUUGAGUUUAAUCUUAAUCAAAAAAAGACUUCUUGUAUCACAGAAAAUACAAGAACCAUUAUUUGAAUGAAAUAAAAGCUAUGGGAUGGAGAUAUAAAUGGAUCCUUUUAUUCACAAUCGGAUUAUAUUUAUUUGAUACACUGUUGUCAAUAUGAAUGUUGAGAAAAGACUACAAAAGAAAAAACAAUUUAUAAAUAUAACUAAAAAUUCCAAUUUCAAUCAAUUAGAUAAUUAGAAUUAUAAGAAGAAAAAAAACAGAAAUCUCAGUUUUCAGUUUAAAAAAAAAUGAAAACAAAAACUGAAAACUGAAAACAAAAUGGUUAUCAAAGCCGUCCAAAUAAUAGAAGUUUGUUUCCACUCUUUGUUUAAGCAUAGAUGCCAAUUUUUGUUUAUCAUUUUUUUAACCUCUAUUUUUUGUUACAGUAGAAGCCCUAGAAGGAAAUCGAGCACUGGACUUACCAAACUCUUAACUUAUUUCUACACACCAAGAGCUUGAUUUCGGUUCUUAUUUAUACUAUUUAAGCUAUAAGCCGUGAUAAGAAUUAGAGAACUAUCAUUUGUUGUGAGCUUCAAUUGGUUAGCACUUUGUAUGUUUUCAUUAGAAUUUAUAUUUCACUUAGACUUUCUUAUUAAAAAAGGGAUCAUUUGGUGACUUCACCAUGACAGUCCAAUUUUAUGGGGGCCAUGAGUACUCACAAAGGUAUUUCAGCCUCCCCCUAUAUCUACCGUCGCGUGAUUCACCAUUGCCGGGAAUCGAACUCAAGACGUGUUGUAUAGAAUACAAGCCUAAAAUUCGUUUCUAACCACUGAGUCACCCCGCGUUUGAUUAUAUUUCACUUAGACUUAUCUUGCGGUAUAGCAUGUCAUCCCCGCCCAAGUUUUUCUGUUCGCAUUGAGUUUGGGAUACCAAAACUUGCCAAACAAAGUAGAUUGAUUAGUAAGCGAAGCUAAUUAUUCGACUAAACAUUGUUUAGAAUUUUAAUUAAAAGAAACAAUAUGAAUCUGUUUUUUUUUUUUUUUUUUGACAAACUAUAACGUUAAGGAGUUAAAUUGUUAGUUGUUAAGAGUACAGGGAUAGGUGAGGAUCGAACCUCCACCAGAGUGCAUAGACAUUAUUGGUUCUACAACUGCGGUAAAUCACAUAAAACAAAACGUAAUACUUUGAGGAUGGAAGACACUUCGUGGAUAGCGGGCAAUCAACACUAUCAGUCGCUAUCCAAAACUUGGAAUUAUGUUUAUUGUCCGAAGGAUUUUUCUUCCAUUAAAUUGCUAAGGAAGAUGAGGAUGGGUGGAGUGUCUAAAUGUCAAGGUUGAUAAGAAAGUGUAUGGUGUUCAGCAUGCGAUUGAGAUUUGUUGAGUGGCACAACAAACCACAUAAAAUUUUCUAAAUGAUAAGCAAUGAUAAGCUUGAGUAUAAUUUUUUACCACGUAUUUAUCUUUAAAAUCAUUAUAAUUAGAUUUUCUCUUAAUUAAUAUAGACCGUUAGAUUGACCCAAGUUUUUUUCCUCUUUUCUUUCCCCUCGUUUUUUUCUUCUCUGAUUUUCCAUUCACCGUGUAGCAGUCGUUCUUCCCCAACUAAGUUUCUUAUUUUUCUUCACAAAAAAAUUGUAGAAAAUAUUAAGAAAAGAAAAGUCAUCAAUAUCAGACUCGAUCAGGUAAUCGUUCCAACCUUCCCAGCAACUCUCAGUCUUAACAAGGCACCAAAUUUUCUCCGCCACCUAACUCGUCAUUCAUUCAUGGGUGUUUCAAGCUUGGUGAAAAUUGAUAGAGUUCCAUGUGUGUACAGGGAUGUGAACAUAUUGGCCACUCUCUAAGAAUGAGUCAUUGGAAAAGUUGAAGGAAAGAUGUAACCGAUGAAAUUAAUGGAUUGGAAUUACAAUGAAGUCUGUGUUGGUUUAUCACAAAGAACCCAGAAACAAAAUUUUAAAAGCAAACAAUUACAACUUCUCAAAUAUUAUGUAACAAACUUUCAAUGAAAUGUUGCUCAUAAUUGAAAAAAGGUUGACGAAGGACGGAGUUGGGAUUAUUUUAGAUGGGGAAGAGUUAAAAGAAGGAAGCACCAUUUAAUUACUAAAAGUAAUUGGAGAAAUGGUAAUUCAAUGGUGGGCGUUUUUAAGGUGUGGACCUUGUGUCACACCCCGAUCCCAACAUACAUUGAGGAUCGACACCUGACAUGGGGACCUAGGGGACAUAAAUCUUACGUAAGAUACAGAAUGAAAUACUAUAAAUAAUAUCCCAAAAUGAAUAUGAUAGUGGGUUCACCCCCUAUAAAAUAUAUACAAGUUUGUACAUUCACAAAAAAAAAAAAAAAAAAAACACACACACACACACACAAAACUCUUGCUAGGCCAAGACUUGCCCAUGGUUCUCAAAGGAAAGUCCUAAAAGAAAUAGUACAAUGAAGGAUAAAGGGGUAACCUAAACACUCCAAGUCUCUGAUCUCUGCACUGCUACCCCCACCGGCUCCUCGUAAUCUACCUCAGACCUGUCACUUGUACAAACAGUGCCUACAUUGUGGGAAUGGUGCACCGGGCAAACAAAAACCCAGAUAAGCUGCAAAACUCGUGUGGUAGCCGGCCUGGGACAUGGGAGGGGGCCGAGUCUUUCAGAAACCCUUGGGUCAUUGAUCUUCAAGCUUACAUGGAUGGGAUUGUCUCGACGUUGCUUUAGGAAGUCUCGACAGUCGUGAAAGACGGCUUUCGAUCCUUCCACUCCUUCUGUAAGAAGGUGUCUUCCUCCACUCCUUCUGCUUCGGGUUGAAGCAGCUGGGUUGAGAGAAGUCUCAUGUUGGUCGCGAUUUCGAUGAGUAGCUCGCUCCUCAACAGGAAUACCCAUGUCGAGGGAAAAUGAGCCUCUGUGUUGGAGGCACCCAGUUGAUGGUUGACUUCCACAGGGGUGAUGAGCUCGUGUGUUUUAGUAUAUCUAGCCUCGUGGAGCAUCUCGAAGACCUUUUCAUACUGCUCUUGGAGGAUCUCAUUCUUCAUCGCUAUCUUGUUGUUCUGAGCCUCCAGCUCAUCGACUUUAGCCUGAAGAGCAAACUUCUUUUGUUCCUUCUUUCGUUGUUUCGCACCAGGUGUAAGAGGGGUGUCAUUCUGUGUGCCGUGGCUUCCUUCGCUCCCCAUGUUAGAGAGGGAUGCCUGGUCAAAAGAGAGAGUACGAAUGGUGGAAACCAGCUUGGCAAAGCUAAAGAGAGUGGGAAUAAGUGUCGUUCCCACAGACGGCGCCAAAUGUUGAUGCACAAAAUCAGUGAGGACUUUGGUACAACAGAAAGUGUUAAGUUUGUGUCCUUCGCUAGAUUGGUCCGGUCAUUAGUGUGGAUAAGUAUGUAAAUGGAUAGGGACAGGGAAGCAAACACAAGAUGUAUGUGGUUCACCCAGAUUGGCUAUGUCCAUGGAGUGGAAGAGUUCUCAUUAAUUGUGAAGGGUUUACACAAGUACAUAGGUUCAAGCUCUCCUUUAGUGAGUACAAGUGAAUGAUUUAGUACAAAUGACAUUAGGAAAUAUUGUGGGAGAAUGAUCUCCUUUUAUAGAAUAGUUUCUAGCUUUGUUCUGACAUUGACACGUGUCAUGCUGUGAUUGGCUUUUGAUGUUGACAUGUGUCGCAUUGUGAUUGGCCUCCUGGUUUGAGGGAAACUCUUCUGGGUCCUUGACAGUAUAACGUUGACAGGUGCUCAGUAGUUUCGGGAUUGGUCAAGUAUGGUACAAACAAAGUCACUGAAAACUUCGAAGGAGUCACCCAGACAUCCAACGACUUUUCUAAAUCAAAUCUCAGAGAUUCCCAAAACUAUCGUUCACAAAUACACUAAAAACUAAGGCUAGAGUGACACAGUUUGGCCAAAGCCUACAUAAGUAACCAAAUAAGAAGUGGCCCCCCCAUAGCGGAUUAAUCAAGUAGAGCCACUCCUGAGAAAGUAACCAAGUAGGUAGUGACCCCAUCACGAAUUAACCAAGCAGAGUCACUCCUACGAAACUGUUAGGUAGUGAUCACCCAUCGCGGAUUAACUAAGCAUGAUCACCCCUAAGUACGUAUGGCCAUACCUAAGAAAUAAGGAUCGCCCAUCGCGGAUUAACUAAGCAUGAUCACCCCUAAGUACGUAUGGCCAUACCUAAGAAAUAAGGAUCGCCCAUCGCGGAUUAACCAAGCACAAUCCAAAAAUAUUAUGGGUCCCCUAUCGCGGAUUAACCAAGCAGGACCAUCCAUGUACCACUGCUACAUGGUGCAGAUUCGGUGUCACCUAACCCCGUGACACUAGGGUAACGGUCCUCUACUAGCCCUCACGUUUUUCAAACAUUUCAAAUAUAUAAUUUAAAACACAAUUCAUAAACAUUUCGAAUAGGGAAGUCACAUAGUGUUUAAUAAUGUAGGUCAAUGGAAAACUUUAAAAACAAUUAUUUAGCAUAAAACAUAUUUUAGAAAUCCAUGCUGUAUCCACAAAGUAUACUAGCACGGGAGAUUUUCAGGGUAAUAACUCUAUCACAUAUAUUAAAGUCACUCACCUGGAGUCCGCACUAACGCACCCUAGCACGAAUAUCAAGAUGUCACGUACUAUCAUUUGUAACAUCCCACAUCAACCAACAGAGAGGGGGUGAUGUGUCUUAUAUGUACAUGCCCACCUCUAUAGCACGAGGCUUUUUGGGAGCUCAUUGGCUUCAUAUUCCAUCGGAACUCCAAAGUUAAGCGAGUUUGGGCGAUAGUAGUCCAAGGAUGGGUGACCCACUGGAAAGUUCUCGUGUGAGUUCCUAGAAACAAAACCGUGAAGGCGUGGCCAGGGGGGCCAAAGUGGACAAUAUUGUGUUACGACGGAAUUAAGACUGAGAUGUGACAGAAUGGUAUCAGAGCCGCUCUGCCGCGUGGUGCAAGUGUGCCGAAGAGGACAUCGAGCCCCUAAGGGGGGUGGAUUGUAACAUCCCACAUCGACCAACGAAGAGGGGGUGAUGUGCCUUAUAUGUACAUGCCCACCUUCAUUUAGCACGAGGUCUUUUGGGAGCUCACUGGUUCCGGGUUCCAUCGGAACUCCGAAGUUAAGCGAGUUCGAGCGAGAGCAUUCCCAUGAUGGGUGACCCACUGGGAAGUUCUUGUGUGAGUUCCCAGAAACAAAACUGUGAGAGCAUGGCCGGGGCCCAAAGCGGACAAUAUCGUGUUAUGGCGGAGCCGAGAUUGGGAUGUGACAUCGUCACCUAAGACAAAGUACAAGUCCACAUUUAGAGUUCUUCGAGUAUUCACAUAAUCAAAAAUUUACAUACGCACCCUACAACUAAUGAAGAGAAAUCGAGACACGUUGACAAAAAGUCAACCGUCGAUCAACGGUAGGGUCCACAACCCUACGUAACUUAAUCCGUAAGAUCCAGCCACUGUAUUUGUGAUUCAUAAGUUCCUAAGGUCCUCAAAUCUUACGUACAAUAACAUACUAAACUUUAGUGACGAUCUAAUGGUCGAAUCAUCAUUUACUAUAAUGUUCAAAUGACGCAAAUUCGUCAAUCGGAUGUCAAAUAUGGAAUCGGUCAUCGAAUUUAGCCUAGGAAGAUCAAGUGGUGUCUCAAGCCACGCACCACCAUGCGCAGCAGUUGGCAACCCAGAUUCGUCGAAAAAAUCACCUGAUUCCAAAAUGAAUGUCGUGAGACGUGGAGUAAAUUGUAUACCUGUGAGAAGCCCAAUUUGGCCAGGAAGUGGCCUGAAAUCACUUUAGACCGUCGGAAACCCUAAAAUAGGUGAAUCUCGAUUAGUCAUCUCUGGUAUUCCACCGUCCUCAAACUUGUUUAGGGUUCUCAAAAAAAUGCUAAUGAUGAUGGUGAUUGAAGGAGAACGUUUCAGAAAUAGUGAAUCGCCGGCGAGGGUUUCACGGAAUCGACAUGGGUGUUCCUCGUGGAACCAAGACCAAAUCUCAACGGUUUUGGCUAGAAAUGGAUGCUGGGAUGUCGUGGUGAGGUUUGGUAUUGAUGGGAGGUCGAAGAAAGUCAAAAAAAUCGACGAAAAAACUGUCGUCGGAGUCACAGGAAACGUGUUAGAAAAAUGAGUCGCCGAGUUUGAAACGGGUCGAAGGCUUUUGGGACAGCUACUUAAUCUCUCUUCUCUGAUUAGUCACUCCACUCACUCUCUCAUUUGAUUGGUCCAGCCUUCCCACAUGGUGGGAGUUCCCUCAUAUAGUAACCCAAAAUUUACUAUUUAAAUUUGGUAUCAAACGUCCGUAACUUUUUUGUUAUAGUUCCGAUUCACAAACGGCUUUCGCCUACGCGCUCGUAUGAUCGAAUUAUACUUGAAAACAUUAAUUGUGACCUUAAAAAGGUCUACAAGUUUUAAAAGAUUAAUUACAAAAAUUCACACCUUGUAACUAUACGAUUCAAAUUCUAAAAUUAACGGAAUUAAAAUAAACUAAAAAUAAUGUAAACACGAAAUACAGACUUUAAUAAUGAAAUACGUAAUUAAUAGUGGAAUUCUGGGGAUGGGAUUUCACACCUUGCGUCCGGACCUUGAGUGCGGAUCAGAAUCCAAAGGUCGUGAUCUGACGAGCUCAUGUAUAGAACAGAGUUGUUGUGACCCAAUGCAAUUCAAAACUUUUAUGUUUUUUUAUUUACUGGGUACGUUUUUGUAGGAGGAAAAGGGGAAGUCGAGGGAUUCUUUGCGCAAUAAAGAGGGAAAGAGAGAAAAGGGGAGCUAAGAGGUUCUUCGCGCGUUAAAUUUUUGCUUCUGAUUUUGCAACCUAGAAAUAAAGUAUUUUCUUUAUGGUUUAUGGUUCAAGAAUAUAAUGGAUGCAACCUAAAAAUGUUUAUUUUUUUAUUUUUUACUUUUUUUCUUCUUAUGUUGGCUUUUGGUUUAUUCUUAUAAUGCACUAUAUAUUAACUAAAUUUAUAAACAUUUUGUAUCUUUGUUGCAGUCAAAUUAAUCAUAUGGGUUGGCAUGACGAAGUUCGACUGAGACAUACAGAUGUUUUGCAAUCUUAAGUCUAACCUGACACACCCCGACCUCAAUAUCCAGUGGACACCAAAAUUGAGGUGUGAUGGCCAUCAUCCGGAUGGGUGACGAAACCAUUAUAUGCAUGAAAACAUAAUUACCCAAACACGUCUUAUUAAAAUAUUGAGUAAAUACCAUACAAGAUAGAAUACGUCAGAGCUGUUGCAAAAUACCUCAACGUCCGAUGUAAUCACUGAUAGAAUUACUGAAUCAUGUAUAAAUGGAAAGCUGAUAAAUACAUGUAAUUUGAGUGGAUACUUACCAGCAGCAUGGAUACAAUAUCAUCCACCAGUCGUAACUAGUGAAAGUUGGAUAAUAUAAUCAUGUCAUUGCCGAGUAAUCUCAAGGCAAUGACAAGAUGAGAAUGUAACUGAGUAAUCAUAUCAUUACUAAAUAAUCUCAAAGUAAUGACAAGCUAAGAGUAUAACCGUAUAAUCAUGUCAUUACCUCGUAAUCUCAAAAUAAUGAUAAGCUGAGAGUAUAACUGUAGUACCUCUUAUUAGUGCAAUGCAUGAUAUGAAUUCCAUCUCACAUAUAUAUGCAAGCCAUAAUCAAACCAAUAAACAUCCAACAAAAGCCACAAUCCUUUUAACAUUCGACCACAAGAUCAAUUUUCAUAUUUCCCAAACCUAGGUUCCAAAGCAUUGUUUCGAAUUAUUAAUACAAGAAACCACCACCACCUCAAUCAACUCCUAUUCACAAGUGUAAGCAAUUACUAAAUGCAUCACUUUCGACUCUAGUCUUAAUUAGAUUACUUGGGAUACUCACACCAUCAGAUCCAAGUACUAUUUUGAUAAACUUUAAAUAGCAUGGUUAAAAUAAAUGAAACACUUUUAGAAAAUAAGUGAAGAUGUUGUUUACAAAUAUAGAUGCAUCUGUAUAUAAAAGCUUUGGCGGUUGAUCCGUAUACACACUUCCAGAGAUAUAAGCAAGUUCAUUGGAAUAUACAUACAUAGUUAAUGUAUUACAAUAUAAUUAAUAAGAAAACAAUUGCAUCCCUUUCAGAUUAUAUAUAUAUAUAUAUAUAUAUAUAUAUAUAUAGACACACACAUACAUACACACAGGCCCUUUAUGCAAAGGAAUUUCCAUUUUUUUUCAAAAAUGGGGAUUAGUUGUGGGGCCCACGCUGCAUUGAACUUUAACGAUCCGAACAGUCUAUUUUGUAAGUCUCGAUUCAUAGAUCAUCCUUGUAAAAAUUCAAUUCAAUCCGAACCCAUUUGCCUAUUUAAUUAUCAAGAUAAAAUUUUAUUGUUUCUUAUAUAACAAAGUAUUCGUUAAUUUCUUUGAACUCAAUUAGAUAUCUUAAACAUUUCCGAUUUGGUUAAUAUUGUGUAAGGAUGAUCUAUGUGGUGCAACUUGAAAAAUAGACGAUUACGAUCGUUAAAGUUCGAUGUGGUGAGAACCCUACAAUUAAUCUUCAUUUUUAUAAAAGAAUGGGAACCCCUUCCCUUAAAGGUUUCCUAUGUAUAUAUUUGUUCUCCAGACAUAUGCAAAAGGUAAUGUAAAACCAAUGAGAACUUAAAUAGAUAUUCCAUACAUAGGACAAUUCCAUAUAUGCUUUUUCAACAUUUAUAUCGAAAAGCCAAAUUGUUUUGAGGAAAUUAAUUGUAGCAAUGAUCCCUUAACUUUUAUCUUAUUGGAGCAAUGGUCUCUCAACUAAAAAUUCAUAACCAUUGGUUCCUUAACUCCACACAACGUGUAGUUAUGGUCAUUUUCAUUAACUCCGUCAGAACUUUUGUUAAAACAAGUAAUGUUAGAAGAAUCAUUGCUACAAUUAAGUUAAAGUUGGGGACCAUUGCUCUAAUUAAAUUAAAAUUGAGGGAUCAUUUCUCCAAAUUGCUUAAAGUUCAAGGACCAUUUCUACAAUUUUCUCAUCUAGUUUCCCAUAUUUACCCCAUGAUUCAGCUUCACAUGCAUUGCACAUGACUCAUUUUGAAAUUUUUUUUAACGAAAUUGAUGAAAAUGACCAUAAAUGCACGUUUUGAAGAGUUAAGAGACCAAUGGUCGUGGAUUUUAGUUGAGGGAUCAUUGCUCCAAUUUAGUUAAAGUUAAGGGACCCUUGCUACAAUUUUCUCAAAUGUUUUGUAUGCGAAAAUAGGCAUUUGUAAAGUUUGGCUUGUUCAUGGCAUUAUUACUUUAGUCUAAAGUAAGGCUGGAAAUGGCACUGUAGAAAUGAAUAGUGUUCCAAUCCGAAUUUCAGUUUAAUUACAACAAUGCCAUUGCUCUUUGUGUUGCCUUUAGGUGAGCAGCCCGGCUUGCAGCCAGGCCCAAAUGUAUUGGUUUUAGCUGAGAAGCCCGGCCCUUAGUCAAGCCCAAAAUUUUAAAUUACAGUUUUGCCCAUACAAAAUAACAAUCCGAUUGUAUCGAGAAGGACAAUUUUGUCCUUUCAGUUUUGGGUGAGAUAGGGGGUAACAGGGUAAGUUUCAUUUGCUGUCGUUGAAUGAGGGUUUCGAGGAUGAGGGCUCUGUGUGUGUGGGUGUGUGAGAGAGAGAGAGAGAUAGAGAGAGAUAGAGAGGGAUAUGGCGAUGGAAGGAGAGCGAGGGGGAAGGGAAGGGUUCUCGGCACUGUUGCUGCAUGUGAAUUUCACAAGUGGGAGAGUGGGUAUGGUCAGAGAAGACCAUAUAGGUCGUUGGGAUUUCAGGGAAACGGGGUAGGGGUCAUGAAUGAACCCUGCUGAGAGUGGGUACUGGAUCUUGCGCUGCAUGCCUCAAAUCAAAGAUAAGUUCGUUUUUUUUAUUGUAUUUUUUAUGGUAGCUUAGCUUUUGGAAUUGUUUAGUAUGUUAGGUCCGAUUUUGGGGGAUUUAUCUUUUUAGAGAGAGAGAUGGACAGGGAGAUAGAGAUAGAGAGAGAGAGAGAGAGAGAGAGAGAGAGAGAGAUGAGGAAGCAUGACUGUGUGCAAUUUUUUAUGUUAAUUAAUGGGUUGGUGCGCAGGGUGAGUGACAGAGUGACAGAGUGAAGGAGGGACGUGUGGGAGGGUAUGAGUUUUCAGUUCUUUCUUUUGAUUCAACAGGUUAUACACUGUUUGAAAAACCUUUUUUUUAUUAUUUUGUUCUCGUUUGCUUUGUUAAAACCAUCAUUUGAAUUUUUGGGUUUCAUUGUGCUUAUUUCUCUGCUUCUUCAUAAUUUGCUGGUGUUUGCUUCUCAUCCCUCUGUUGGUAGAUCUUUUUCUCAUUUCUUGGUUCCUUAUGUAUUCUUUGGUACAAAUCUGUUUACUUUUUGGCUGUGUGAUAAUCUUAGCAGGUGAACUAUAUGAACGUUUUUUUGAAACGAGUUAAGAAGAUCCAGCUGAAAAGAGCAUACAAGAUAGAGAACUGGUAUGCUGCUCGCCAGGGAAAGGCUGCUGGAAAGGUUGAGACGGAUGCCUCUUUCAGAAACCAGGUCAGUUUCCUGCUGCUCGGCGUCUUAAUGUAUCCAAAUUGUUUAUCUUUUGAUGAAAUUAGCUGGCUAUAUUUUCUAUUUUAUUUAUCUGCAUAUUAUUUUGGUUUGUUGAAAUUUUGACUAUAGUCAUUGUCACAUGGGCGCCUAGCCCAACCCAAAUUAGUUGAGGAUAUUUAAAUCUUCACCAUGGUAUUAUAGUACUCACUCACAGUUGUGAAUACUAAGGUGCAUGCAUGGCAUGAAGAAGUGGACCGUGCACGCCAAGGUCAGAGGGAUGCAGAAGGCAAGCUUUUUUCUUUGGAGGUAAGUAUCCUUUGUUUAUUGCCCAACAGUGUUGUUAUUAUCAAUUUGUAGCUUUGCGUUCUGAAUUUUUUGCUUUGUCAAACAACCUUCUUGAAAUGCUCGAUUUCAAGCCGAAGUCCAAAAAAUGAAAGUUGAGAUGGCUUCCAUGAAGAGGGAUGUAGAGCAUUACUCGCGCUAGGUGAAAUCUGCUUCCUCUCUUUUCGUAUAUCUUCAUAUGAAGAGUUUUACUAAGUUAUAUUGAGAACUAUGUUAUUUAUAGGUUAUAUUUUCCAUUUUGCAGGAACACAUGGAGCUAAGGAAGAGCUAUCGUGAACUCACUGAUCUACUGGUAAUGUCACUCAAACUGCUUUAUUUGUGCAUGCUGCUACUAUGCGCUUGAAUGCAUUUUAUUACUGGCGGGAUGCGAAGAAAGCUAGAUAUAUGUGCUGGAUCGCUUGAUUAAUGUUAGGGUUUUAACAACUAAUUGUUAGCAGCUAGAAGCCCUGGUUAGAUUAAUGCUAAUUUGAUUUUCCUUACAGUACUUGAGUGCCAGUUUCAUAUUGUUUGUUCCCUGUUGGAUACCUGCUGUACAGUUUCAUUUCUGUUUCUUCAUAACUUUCUUGGCCCUGGGAUAUAUGCAUAUUGAGUACAAUGAAUAUCCAUUGUUCUCUAACUGUUGGGCUUUACUAUCUUUGUAGCAGCCUGCCUAACAUUUUUUAGGCUCUACACUCUACCAUCCAAUUUAUGAAAAAUUCAAAGAUUGGACGAUAUUGAUUGCAGAAAUGAAAAAAAUACUAUGAUAUUAGAAAGGUGAAUGUAAUUGUGUUAGAAUAAGCGUCUAGCAUGAUGGGUAAUAUUUUAAGUUUGUAUUUCUAAAAUUUUUUCGUUCUGGAGUAUGAUUUACCUCAAUUGUUUUGUACUUUAAUCUUUACUAAUUUUCAUUGUGGAGUAUGAUUUGCCUCAACUAACAACUUUUCAUUGUUUAACUUUUUCCUCCCUUAGAUAGUUGCAUAUGUUUGAUUUGUUAAUCUGCUUCUUACACAUGUUGUUUCCUAAUGGUGUAGGUGGGUUGUCGGAUGCAUGUGCAGAUUACUUGAAUAGACGAAGCUAAGAAUGACUUAGUAUUAAGUGAGACAGAAGCUUGGGUCAGUUGGAUUUUGACAUUUGAUUUAUUCAUGUUUUUUGUUGCUUGCAAUGUUCUCGCAUUGUUUGUUCUGAGAUUCUGUGAUCUUAUUUUUCAUAGGAACUGACAUUGGUUUGCCAUAUAAUGUUUCAGGAACUAAUACAACAACUAAUCACCUUGCUUAGCUCUCAAGACACAUACUUAACAGGUUAACAAACACUAACCUAUAAACUGAUCUGCUAAGCUGGACCAUUAACCUCUGUUUAUAUCCCUGCCACUCAUCUUUUGGCACUUAUCAAUAGCAAAAUCUAGAGUUGUUGAAACCCCAAUUUUAAUGAAUAUUAUUUUUAGUUGAUAAUUAAAAUUAAUUGAUGAUUAAUCUAUUCCAUUGUGCAUUAUUUUAUCGCCAAAUACUUUGAAUAUUCAUUAGCAAAAGAUAUAGGGUUCACUAUUUAAUGAAUAGAAUUUUGAUGGUGGAUUGCAUUUCCUGAGUUAUAAAUGUGGUGAAUCCAUUAUUUACUAGCUGAAUAAUCAUAAUGUUUUGGCCACUUACCUUGAAUUUUGUUCAAAUUGAAGAAGUCACAUGUUUCUUUCUGUUGUUGAGGUAAUCUCUCUGUUGAAAGCUUCUAUUUCUUUUUUUUUUUUCUUUUUUUCAUUUGGGUAGAUUUUUUUUUUUAUGGAUUUAUGUAUUUUUUUUCCAGAGAAUUCGAAAUGAAAUAAGAAUAGCGGAUUGAGCAUAAACAAAUUGAUGAAAUUUUUAUUUGAGUGUUUGUGUUAGUCCUUUUUUGAUUUGUUGAGGUUUGGAAUUAUUUGAGUUUUUUUGCUGUUAGUACUAUGAAGGAUGCUUGGCAAUCGCGAAAUGGGGGCUACCUCUUUGGAAAGAGAAGUCUCGCUAUCCAACCUCUCAUGAAUUACAAACAGGGUGAUUUCUUGCUGAAAAACCACUGAACCAGUAGAACUUUCCUCGGUUCUUCAAUUCGAUUCGAAUAAUUUUUUUACCCAGAAAAGCCAGCGUUUCCUGGUGGGUUUUACAGCUUUCUCAAUGUUUUUGUGAUUUUGGAUUUGCAAAUUUGUUUUCUGUUCAAAUUUCCUUUUGUGAUUUUGGAGGUUUUGUUUAUCGAUUCUCUCACUCAUCUCUCAGCUCUCUCUCACUUUUGAGGUACAUGCCGUUGGAUUCCGUUUGCUGCUGCUGAUCUGUAGGUAAAGCUUCAAUUACCAUAUAAAGUUUACAUUUUUCAUGAUUUCUUGAAUUUGGGUUUUAAACAAAGGAAAUAUUGCUAGAUUCUUAUCUUAUGUGCAAAUUACUGGCUAUUUGGAUUGGUGCCUGAGAUUUAGAGAAUGCCUCGCAGCUUUAAUUUCUUUUUCCUUCAUUAUUACUGUUUUCAAAAUUUUUAUUGCUGGGUAUUGAUAAUUUGUAGUAUGUGAGGGCUUCAAUAUGUUGGAAUUUUGAAUGGUUAUUGCUUCAUCGGAAUUUGGGUGGUCCAAAUUUUGAAUUAGAAGAAACCCAUUUGAUUAAUAUUUUUGGUGGAUUGGUUCUCUGUGUUUUCCUUGCUAUUUCUCCCCCAGUUGGAAAUUGGAAGCCCCAACUUUGAGCUCAGAGCUUGAAUUUCUCAAUCGUUCGUUUCUCUGCACUCUCAUCAAUCACUCUUGAUCCUCUAUCUAAAGAACUGGGUAAUUUUCCAGCUCUAUCAAGUAAUACUCCAUUUAAUUGCUUAAUUGAGGUUUUUUGUUUCUCUUUUUCGCUCUUUCAUCAGUUCAUUGACUUUGAUGUUGAGCUUAAGUAAAUGGGAGAUCAUUAAUUGGCAUUGUUCAAGAUAUAAUUCUGUGUUUUUGGAUUUGUGAAACGAUUUGCCUAAUGAUGAUAGUGGUUAAAAUAAAUUUUUCGUUAUGAAGAGAACAUUGUUCUUCAUUUGCCUACGGUUUUAACUACAAAGUUAAACUACUAUGCUUUUGUUCAAUUGACUGCAACUCAUGCCGCAGUUUGCUUCACAAACCUCUACGGUUAGCUUCCAUACAGUAUGUUGCAAGUUUGAGGAUAUCUUUACAUCUUAAUUUUUGCUCUCUCUGGUUGCUUCAAGUUUGUAAUUUUACGUGUUACAUUGCUACUUGAUUUGAUUAUAAAAAUGCAAAACAAAAUCCGUUUUGCUUUUAUUCAACUUAAAUGUAUCCUUUUGUUUGUUCAUAAUUGUGUUGAAUUUAUUCAACUUAAAUGUGUUUUAUUCAUCUAUUUACGCUUAAAACAACUGGUUCCCCUAGCAAUGCGCGGGCCUAAUUUCUAGUACAUAUACUAAAAGCCAGCAGAAAAUUACUGUUCAUCAUGGGAGAUAGAGCACUGUUCAUUAACAGUGAAAGGGCGAAAAUGCCCUCGGUUUCUUCUUUACUUCACGUACUGUUUACGAAUUGCUACAGUAUAAAGUCCGUUUUGUCCUUCCUGUCCACACAUCUUUCAUCGUCCGUUUCUCUUGCUUCGACCGUAUCUUUUUUGCUUUACCUUUCCUCUUCAUUUUUCGCAUUCGUUAGGCUGCGAUUUUCGGAGGUGGAUUGUUUGCCCUCCCAUUUCCAUGCUCUCCCCAUGCCUAUGUGGUCACAGUUAAACCACGUCAAUAUUUUAUAUUAAUUUUUUAUAAAAAUAAUAAAACAAAAAGUAAUAAGAAUAUAAAAUAUUGACGUGGCUUAACGUGGUCCGUGAUCACAGUAGGCAUGGAAAUGGUCCGCGACUUUCUCCCUUUUCGCCAGCCCCUCUUUUGCUCUCAAAUCCUUGCUCUUUCUUUUGCAAAAUAGUCUCAGAAGAGAUCCUGGGUUUAUCGAAUCCUUUGUUGUUCGGCGUUUUGUUCUCAUCUUGUGAUCGUCGGGUCAGCAGCUUUAAGGUAAGUUUGUUUUUAAUGAUUUAUCCUCAUUUUACGAUGUCUGGGCUAACAAAUUUAAGAUCUUUAUUUUUCUUUUUGCUGCGGAUCUGCAGGUUUUGACAAGUUUUUUGUGAAAUUGGUGCUGUCAGUGGGUGUUAACAUCAGGUACCCAUGUUCAGUUUUUCGUUUUGAUUUGAAGGAAUUUCUUGCGCAGAAGUGCUAGGGUUUCUUGGUGAGUUCUUCGGGUUGUGCAUAUGGGUAAUUUUCUUUUCGGUUUAACCCGCUGCUUCUGCUGCUCUCUCUCUUUCUCUCAUCCCUGCCUGCUCCUCUCCAAUUGUUUGCUGUUCUUAAAUAUUGUGUUCAUUGCCUGAUACAAGGAGCUGCAGCAAUCUGUUUUAUCCUACACGGGACAACGAGGCAAUGGCGUGACAACAGGUGAGCUUGGAUAUCCAAAGAAAGAGAACAGUUGGUUCAUCUGCUGGAGUCUGAAGCUCAGAGAAGUGGAGGAAAAUUGCAGGUGUGCGAGAAAUUUUAUUUUGCUGAUAGGACUCCUUAUUUACGGAUGCAUUUUGAAAUAAUUGAAAAGUUGGAUUUGAGUUAACAGCUAUAAAAAUGUAGACAUGAUUGCUGAGAUUAUGCUAUGAAAGUGGAAUAAAAAAAUGGUAGUUUAUAAUAUUGCGUACCAAUUUUUUUCUCUCUUUUUUACCAAAUGAUAAGGGUGGUGGCUCAGGCCGCCCCCCCUACGCGUCCCCACUCUUCGACAAGUUGAAAUCAUGGUGAUAGUUUAUGGGCUGUGGUCUUGGGAUUCUGCAAAUAGAUUAAAAAACAGACACUUAACUAUCUUGUUAUUAAACAUUUCUGCAUCAUUCAGUUGCUCUUGAUUUUCGUCUUUUAAGCGAUCUUAUUUCUGCGAUCUGACUUGAGGAGGGUUUUUAGACCUAUGGUUGUGGGUGUUUUGUCUGACCCCAUUAAAUUGGUUUCCGAGAUUUGUAGACUUGCGAUCGGCAGUCAAACAUUUUGUGAUUCUUGCUUUUUUUCCGACUGGGAUUGACGAAUUUUGGCCGAAUCUGUUUCCUGUUUUCUUCUCUGUUUGAGCGGCCGCUGCCUUUCGGUCGUUGAGCGCCGGCAGUCUUUAGAUCUUUGGCAAAUCAAUUUAAUACAACCGAGGUAUGUUUUAUAACUGCUGUCUUUCAAUUUUUGUUCUGUAUUUUUGUUAAUUUGGAUGAAGCUCUAAUAAUUUUGUUUUGGAUCAGUUGUGGUCCUCUGUUAGGAUUUUCCUGGCUAAGAGGGUAUUUGCGUUUUUGUUGCUUGGUUGGUCGAUCACAGAUUUACGAACAGCUGUGGUGGUCCUGUUAUUUUUUUGGUAUGUUUUUUCUCCUUUUUGGUUUUUUCCCGGUUUGAGCACCCAUUCAUGAAGAAUUAAAAUGUGUUUAUAGUUUUUCAGGAGAGAUUAGAAAAGUGAUUUCAAUUUGGGAAAAUUUAAUGUUGGUUAAAAUUUGUCUAUAAUUUUUGGGAAGGAAUGAGAGGACCCAUUGAAGUAUGUGUUGUGAUUAUUUUUUAUUCAUAUUUUUAACAAAUUGGGCAUGAAUUGGUAGGUUAACUGUGUGUGUUUAUUAUUUGAAUCGGCCAUGUUUGUCUUUCUAUGGUUCUAAAAAAUUUGUAAAGGCUGUUAACUUGGAAGAAAAUGGGAUCGAGGGUGAGGGGAAAACGGCAGAGAAAGCAUGGAAGAGAGAUUUGGGAUUAGGGGUAGGAAAACAGAUGAAAAGAAUAUGAUAGAGGAAUGAGUUCAGUUCAUUUUCACUAUUUUUUUUAACUGAUUUGGAUUUUGUUUGGGUUUGAGGCCAUCAUUGGCGUUAAGACGUUUAUUAUCAGAUCGUGUGUGUUUUUUGCUAACUUUUAUUGGUCAUUUUUAUGUUGUUCUUAUGAUUUUGUGUGGUAGGGUUUCUGAAUUUUAUCGUUAUUCAUUUGGUUUUUUGUGUGUGUUGGUUUGUUUAUUUUGCAGGUUGUGUUUGUGCUGGGACAACAUUUUCCACCUUCUGUUUGCACUGGGAUGAUUGCGUUUUAAAACUGUUGGGGUGAGAUUUACAUAUGGAAUCAUUCCAUUUUUUUUCUUCCAAAUAUGUGCAUUUAGUUCUUUUUAUUUUAAAUUUUAAAAAUUAAAUCGUUAUUUGAGUAAAAUGUUUUAUUAAUUUAUGUUAUGUGUUGUGAUCAGGAAUUCUGUUGGAUUUGCAAAUUUUGGUUUGAUGAGAGAGAUGAGGAGUUUUUUUUGUUUGAAUUUUUUAUUGGACCGAUUUUCAAUUGGAUUGCAUUCUGCCUUUUUGCACCAUUCUUAUGCAAGCAAUUCAUUGUUUUAAAUACAAUUUGAAGAGAGCUGGGUUGCGGGUUGGAUAUAAAAUGUUAAGGUGAGAUAAAAUCGAGAUACCAAGGGUGGAAGAAUGAUUCAGAAUUGGGGGAGGAAAACAGAGGGAAGAUGGAAGAGUAUAAGAGAAGGAUAGGGUUGACCUCAUUUAGAGUUUUUAUUUACUUUUUUUUUUAUUAUUUAUAAAUUGAUUCAGGACUAGCAUAUCAUUUCUAAAUUUCUAACAUUUUUGUUUAAUUUGACUCCAGUUGAUGGAAAACAGAGCUCUUACUCCUAUCAAUCAGUUGGUCCCGUACAUAAAUGCAGAAAAAUCAAGGUUCGAGUUUGCAGAGUAUGCAGACCAAGGUUUCCUGAAACUACUGGUGCUGUCACGCCCCAAUCCCGACCUAUGUCCAGGAUCGACACGUGACGUUAACAAAUACCCAUAUCUCUAACAUACCCCGCCUCCGGAAUAUGGGCAAAGCACAACUGCGUAAUAAUUUUUCGUAUACUUUAUGGCUGCAUCUAACAUCCUCGUUAGAUUAUCAUACCUUAUGGCUACAUCUAACAUCCUUGUUAGACUGCCUACGUACUCUCAAAAGGGAUCAAACCAUUCGUAGUUCACCACACUCCAAUCCACAAAAAUUUGCACAUGCACUGAUUAUAAAAUGGAACUGCACCUAUAGAAACCUAAUCAUAACCCGUGGGCGAUUUGCUCCCACAUAAGAAAGACGUCCACAGUACCAUGAAAUACUUCCACAUCUUUCCUUCCCAUUUACACAAUAUUUUAUUUCACCUCCCUGAUAAAUAUAGCAUUUACAUUACAUGUGGCAGACAAAUUUGCAUAUUCAACUAUAAUAAAAUACAAUCUUAGUAGGAAAAACCUACAAGACCACCACUCGUUUGAGCCAAACUUUAGCUUAGCACUCAACUGGUGCUCACACCAUGUGAGUGCACGAUCCUUUAAGAUGGAUGCGAUGGUUCUCUUUUGAGAUUAAUUUUGUUACAGGUAUAACAUAGUUGGCAACCGUUUAGAAAUAGAUGCCUCAUGUUCAAAACUCUCAUUACCAAAUGUUCUAACAAGUUAGUAGAGAAGGUAAAAGAACCCAAAUGGCGAGAAAUAGUGUCCUGAUGAAACAAAAGAUGUAACCCUCAUUCAAGCACGAACAUCAUUUCCUUGAGAAUCUGCGAUUUCUUCCCUCAUUUGGUCAAUAUAGCUUGUAUUCCAACUGCAACUUACUAAUAGCAUUUGUUCUCUCCUCGAAUGAAACCAUAACCAGCCAUUUUAAAUAAAGCUGAACAGUUUCACGUUGGGAAAAUAAAGAUUAUAACAUACAGGUUUUGGAUUAGAUUCCCAAACCAACAGAAAAUUAAGAUAGGAAUCUAUUUUGGGUUAACUGAGGUAUGAGUGGUAUACAAAUGAGAAAUUCCCUACAAAAGUCAAUAAAACCAGUUACAUAACAUGUUGAAUAUAAUACAACAUGAAAUAAGAAGCACCACUUGUUUAUCUGACUUUUUAUACAUGUAUUUUCCUAAGGGAUAAAAACGUGCGGGUUUUGGGAUCAAUCUGAAGAGGGCUUCACCACGAAUACAUAGCCUUUGACCGUGCAUGAUUUCGUUGCCGUAUGAGAAAGUUAUCAUUUUUUUUUUUUGUGAAGAAGAAUUAAGGGGGAGAAGAACAGCUGCCCCCUCUGUUUCUGCAUCUGCCCAGCGGGGAAAGAAAAAGAAGAGAAGCCCUUGGCUUCUAGAAUACUCCCUCCCCAAAAUUACAAUUUUGCUCUCUAACUUUGAUUGUUUAUAUCUUAUUCGUUAUAACUCUGUUUCACGAACAGCUUUUGCUUACAUGCUCACAUAGUCGUCAUCUAUUUAAAUAUAUCAAGAAAUACAAUAAAAUACAUCCUCGUAUAAGUAUGUUAACCAAUUAGGGCACUUUCGUCAUUUCCACUUAUCGAUAGAUUUUAACACGUUAAUUAUAAUAAUGUCCGGAAACAGCUUUAAAAUUUCCAAAUUCUAUUUCCAUAACCAUAAAUCGAUUUAUUAAUUUUUCAGGGUAUCACAGGUGCAUAUUCAGGCUUGCAUUGUAUAUUACUUUCCUAUUAAAAAUUUGUUUGGAAUUUGCUUUUCCCACAAAGGAGAAGAGCUGACAGUUACGCUGUGGGCAGAUGUUGCUCGAAGUAUUGCUUCUUUAUCCAUUGAAUCAUUGUCUCUGCCGAUCUUUGCGGUUUUCACAAGUUUAAAGGUCAAGCUGUACCUAGGUGUUUGACUUAAUUAAAAACUAAUCUAUUUAUUUCGGAGGCGGAGCAAAAUGCUAUCUGUCUUACCCCUCUUGGUGAUCUUAGUCGGAAAGAUCGGCUAGUUUGGGAUGUGAGUAAGAAUGGGCAGUACUCGGUUCGAUCGGGCUAUCAUUGGCUGCAAUCUAGGUCUGUUGGGUUCAGGGAUCAACGCCAGCUUGGUGCUUGCUUAGUUCCGAGGCAUUUGUGGCGCAUGGUUUGGUAGUUGAGUGGGCCUCAUAAGCUCCGUCAUUUCUUUUGGUUAUCUUUGCAUAAUGCAUUACCGUCAUUUCUUUUGGUCCGUGACCAGGCAUGAGGAGAGCAUGGAAAUGAGAGGGCAGACAAUCCACCUCCGCGACUUUCUCCCUUUUCGCCAGCCCCUCUUUUGCUCUCAAAUCCUUGCUCUUUCUUUUGCAAAAUAGUCUCAGAAGAGAUCCUGGGUUUAUCGAAUCCUUUGUUGUUCGGCGUUUUGUUCUCAUCUUGCGAUCGUCGGGGUAGCAGCUUUAAGGUAAGUUUGUUUUUAAUGAUUUAUCCUCAUUUUACUAAACUAUUUAUGGUAACUUAGUAUGGUAACUUAACUAAGUAAGUUUGCUUUUAGCCCAAGGGUUGGAGAUGGUCUUAGUAUGGUAACUUAACUAUUUAAUUCCAUCUCAUUAAACUAAAAAAAACAAUUACAUAAAAAUAAGGGAAACCUUGUCCAGAGAGACCUGAGAAAGUCCACCCCUAAGGACUUUGCGCCAGCACCCAGCGUAUUUAUCUACUCAAGUGAACAGUAAUAGACUGGAGUGAACAGUAAUAGGCCAAGGCAUCUCCACCCCUAAAAAAAUGCGCUGGCACCCAGUGCAUUUAUUUGGUGUGUUUUUUUUUUAAAGUUUAUUUCAGAUAAGAUUUUUAACCAAUUUCGGAUAAAAUUUCAAAUAAACUUAAAAAAAAACACUCUAAAAUAAAAUUACAUACUCAUCAAAUAAACUUAAAAAAACACACUAAAAUAAAAUUACAUAAACUCAUCAAAUAAAUUAAGGAUGAGCUUUUUGGUAUUUUUUUUUCACACAAAAAGUAUAUGAAAGCUUUGGUAGAAGGUCUAGAAAAUAUUGAAAUGUGGUGUAAGGUGGAAGAUGAGGGUUAGGUAUUUAUAGAAAAAAAAUAAUAACUUUUUUAAAAUUUUACUGUAUUUUAAAAAAAAAUCUGUAUUUUUUUAUAUUUUUAAUUAAUUUUAAUGUAGUUAAUUAAUUUGGACCGUUGGAUUUGAAAAAUAUUCAAAUCCAAUAGCCCAGGAUCGGCCACGUGGCCAACGCCAGCAAAUGGCCCAGCUUCUUGGUCAGCCUGUUUUGUGCUGGCCCAGAGACCAGUUUGGGCUGGGUGCCAGUCUGUUUUGUGGGCUGGAGUGAAUGGACAGGGUCCCAGCCUGUUUUUUGUGCUGAGUGCUGGCCUAAUCCACCACCGGUGGACUUGCUCUGAGAGAAAGUGACGACUUCUCCUCUCAUUCCACUCCAUACUUGAUCUCUAAAGUCCAUUUGGCAUGUAAUUGAUGUUCAAUUUCAAAUUUAGUGGUAGCAAUUAGCAAAGCUAAUGAAAGAAUCAAAUAAAAUGAAAGAAAAAGCAUCAUGAAAUAAAUCAAGAUGAAGAAUGAAAUUUUGGCAACUCGCCAUUCUCUUCUUUUAUAUAAAAGAUACAUCCUAUUUGUAGUGAAAACAGGUCCCGACAAACCCAGUUAUCCUCAAGAAGUAUUUUGUAUGACUUUAAAAACAUAAUCCGUGAAAUUAUCUCUUGGCUGAGAACAACAACAAAUCUUCAUGCAUAGCUUGUACAGAAAGACAUCAGGCAUACAAAAGAACACGCAAGCAUAAAAUAAACGACGCAGGGAAAACCAAAAAUACUAUAGAACACGUCGCUGUCAAAAGAACAUGAAUAAAUGAAAAUUACAAAACAAAGAAGUGAUGAGAAACCAAAGUACCCAUUUCAUAAUCUAGUUGCUUUUUAGUUUGCUUGCCAUUUUUAGUUCUUCAAUUUAGAGAGAAACGAUAAUUCAGCACAUGAAUAAAGUGAAAACGUAAAAGAUAUGUGGGAUAAGCUGACAGCCAUCCCUGAGUAAUGCAUUCACUUAUGAACCCCAAACACAACGAAACAAAAAUUCACACAUGAACUACAGCUCCGCUAUGUAACAAGAAUUAAAAGCAUCUCAAGACAAAAUGGCAAACUAUAAGAGCACUGUAAAAGUAAAAUUGCAAGAAAUCUAAUACUUGGAGGGCAAGUACUACUCAGACGAAAAUGAAAGAUUGAACUACCUCGCGUGGAACUGUGCCUUGGUUUUUUCCCAUGCUUACAGGAAGCUUUGCACUGAGCUCUUAUAGCCCAAAUUUUCUCUGAAAGAAAAAAACACAAUUUUGAAAUAAGAUUUUCAUAUUAUACCUUAAAGAGAAGAAUUAGAAAACAAAAAAGAGAACAAUGAGUACUAUUCAUCAUAUAUUGUUAGAGUGUGUGGUCCUUUGGUCCAAUGGUCCUGCAGCCAUAUUUACUUUAUAACUCUUUCUUUUAGUCUAAAAAACAUCUUGGAUCUCAAAUUAAUAUGAAUACGGAUUCAUACGCAUGCAUUGCAUUACAACCACAAUGCAAUAUCUCAUUAGAAAUCCCCACACAAAAUUUUUUUAUUUCUACUUUGAUUUUAGUUUAUAUUUUUUCUAAAGCACGAGGGAGCUAAUUUUUUUUUAAAUUUUUUUUAUUCCAAUAAUGUUAUAGGGUUGAAAGGAUAUUAUCAAUUUAAUUGAUUGUAUUUGAUUGGUGGAACUUCUAUAUCUAUAUUUCAGUUUUUCAAAUUCAGCACUGGGAGAGUCAUUCAUAAAAUGUUUGACAGUGAGAUUACCUCCAUGGAUUAUGCUCACAAUGGACAGCUCAUUUUCCGCAGUGAUGGGACAAUAUAUUUCAGUCAUUCGCCAUUCAAUCAAUUCAAACCGAGGAACAAGCAACAUCAAGAAGAGGAUCUGCCAUGUCAGGAUCACUGUCGUCCAAUUAAUACAAAAAAUCUAGAUAAAAACGAUCAAUUUACAUAAAAGCCUUUCAUUUUCUCAGCAACCAAGCAAAAGAAAAUACCUAUCCGUUAACACUCGAUUUGGGAGUAAAUGUUGCUGAAACUGGACUUCAAUCCCCUCAACCGCAACAACCGAAUCGAGGUGUGCAAGUCAUUGAAAAACUCACCCAAGAUUUCAAAAUCUGCAUAAAUAAAUAAAUAAGCACAUAAAUUAGCCAACCCUGUUAUGAUCCCACAUCGGGUACACAAGAAAUUGUGUAGUGGUACUUAAGUGCAAGGGGUCCUCCCACCUAUUGGACUAGUUUUUUGGAUUGGGCUCUUCCCUUGGGCUUGAGUACCUAACAUUGGUAUCAGAGCCUAGGUUCCCGACGCUGCGGGACUUGGCGAGUGGUGCAGCCUCGUGGUGCCGCCUUGAGAGUAUGGGCUCCUAAGGGUCUUGGCGACGGGCAAGGUAUGAAAUGCCGAUAUUAUCGCGAUAUUUCGCCGAUAAUAUCGGUUUUUUGAGUUACCGAUAUUUUAAUACUUAUCCACUGAGUUUUCGUCAAAAUAUCGCGAUAAUAUCAACAAUAUCGCGAUAUUACCGAUAAUAUCGCGAUAUUUUGGAGAUGUGCGAAUCGGAGAAGAACGCCGGAGCUUUUACAGCUCCGGCCGACUGUAAAAGAGCACCCUAGACUCCGAUCUAGGUAUCAAAAUGAAAUACAAGAUGAGAGGAAUGUUUUUAUAACUUCCGUUUGCCGUGAAACGGUCGAAGGUGUUCGGAAAGUUCGUCGACACCCACGGCCUCGCCAGAGAUGGGUGUGCCUAUUCCCGAGCCGAUUUCGUCCCAAAAACCUUGCAAAAACACGAGAUAGAACUUAAAUUUCACGUCUAAGCUUCAAUCUAGAAUAGAAUGAGGUAAACCCGAAGCUUACCUAACCGGAGAAAUUCAAGAAACUCGUCGGAGGGUUCCUGCGUCGCCGAGUUGCAGAGACGAGAAGGAGAGGGAGAAAGACGAGGUUGCUGAUGACGAUGGGUGUCUUCCUCAAGCAAGUGCGAUGGUGUGCGUGUGUGUAUGUGGGUCUCGGUGCAGAGAGAAAGGAGAGAGAUGAGAGUUUCGAGAGAGAGACGGCACCGACGAGAGCUAUUUGUUUUUUUUUAUCUUAAAAAGAGAGAGGUCUAAGAGAAAUGGGAAGAGAGGGCCGAGUGAAAUGAAAGGAGGUCCUUGAAUUAUUGAGAGAUAUCUCUGAGAGAGGCCUAGGAUUUCUAAAAGGUAAUCAUAAAUGGGAAAAAUGGGGCACAUCUUAGCCUUUAUUUUGGAAUCCUAAGAAGUUCACCACAUGGAUGCAUGACAUGUGUGCAUGCCAUGUUUGUUGAAUGGGAAAAGUCUGACACGGAAAGACAAAGAGUCGUUUGGGGCUCUGGGCUCGAGGCAAGACAGAAAGUGCUAGGGUUUUUUUCUGAAAUGAACAUAAGCUGCUAAAUUCGCAUAUAUUAUAGUUGUUGCUAAAGAUUGUCACUAGUGUGGACUUGGACGUGUUGGUCAACAUGUCCUCACAAUCCCCAAGUUCUCUGGUUCGAACCCUUGCGCCCAUCAAAUUUUCUUUCUUUUUGAUGCGCUUUUCCCAUGGCUCUAGGUCUUGAUUUCGAAUCCAAGUGAGCCCUUUCCUUUUUCUUUUUUGUUCUUUUUGUUUUAUUAUUUGUUUAUUUUAAUUUAUUUGUUUCUUUUAUGUUUUUCUUUUCUUUUAGUUUCUUUGUCUUAGGCGUUCGUUUUUAUUAAAGUAGGAUGUAAAAUCAAUUAUCUUAAAAUUAUGUGUUUUUAAAUUUUGGACUUGUUUGUUGGAUACUUUUUUUUCAUUUUAUCAUUCUUUUAUUAUGAAAAUAUGCUAAAAUAUGCUAAAAUAUCACUUAUGUUUUUGUGAAAAUAUGCUAAAAUAUUUAUAUAUAUGAUUUUGUUUUGAAUUCUUUUUGUACUAAUUCAUUAUAUAUAAAUGAUUAUGGUGUGUUUAAACUUCUUUAAUUAAUUACUACAUAUUUUCUAUACUCACAAUGUUUGCCAGCUCGCUAUAUAAUCAACUUAAAUCAGUUAAAUCCAUCAUGCAAUGCAUUUCCUUCCAAUUUUUUGUGAUAAACUUGUGAACACGGAAAAUUCCUGAAACGAAAGAGACAAGAACGAACGUGCACAAACAAAUAUUAUGUAUUUGAUGAUUUUGGGUUACAAUCUCUCUCUAUUUGAUCCUCUGAUUCAAUCUCCGUAAGGUGUGUAUUUGUGGAUGUGUGAUUGAUCCAAAGGGCCGUUGGGCUUGAUCUAAUGAUGAACGUUCUUCAAGGGCCGUGGACUUGAUCUUGAAGGUGGAUUUGAGCGGAUCUUCAAAGGGGCUUUUGGGCUUGAUCUUGAAGAACGGUUGGAUGUGUGGAUUUGUCGAAGUUGUUGAUCCAAAGGGCCGUUGGGGCUUGAUCUUGGAUGAACGGAUGAUGAACGAUGGUGCUUUCUUCAAGGGUCGUCGGGGCUUGAUCUUGAAUUGGUGGAUGGUUGAUCCAAGGGCCGUCGGGGCUUGAUCUUGGAAGAACGAUGAACGAAGAACGAAGAACACUUUCUUCAAGGGCCGUCGGGGCUUGAUCUUGAAUUGGUGGAUGAUUGUUGAUCCAAAGGGCCGUUGGGGCUUGAUCUUGGAAGAACGAUGAACGAAGAACAAAGAACGCUUUCUUCAAGGGCCGUCGGGGCUUGAUCUUGAAGGUGGAUGAUUGUUGAUCCAAAGGCUGUCGAGGCUUGAUCUUGGAAGAACGAUGAACGAAGAACACUUUCUUGAUUCUUCGGGAACCUGGACGCUUGAGAGCUUCGGAGUUUCAGAGCUUCAGAGCUUCAAGGUGUAAUAUGAAUUGGUCCCCCCUAAAUGAAUGAAAUGGGCUUGUAUUUAUAGAAUUUUCCAAGGCCUAAUUUUGAAUAUAAUAUCUCAGAUGAAAUAAGUCGUUUCUGCCAGGUGUUAACACGUGUCCUAUUUGAUGACUUUUCCAACUCAUUUCAAUUUUCGUUUAGUCACACGCUACGUGUAAAAUUUAUGUAAUACAUGAGCGUUGACACUUUGAUUUAUCGGUCAACAUUUAUUUACCGAAAUUUCGAUGUCUACAAAUGCCCCCACUUCAAGGCACGUCGUAUACCUGUGCUUGUCACGUGUAGGAGAUGCGUUUUGAAGUCCCUUACCGUAGAUGCCGAUUCAAGGGCCGUUGAAGCUUGAUCUUGAAUUGGGCUUGAGAUUUCUUCAAGGGCCGUUGAGGCUUGAUCUUGAAUUUUUGUUUGAAAUUUCUUCAGGGGCCGUCGAGGCUUGAUCUUGAAGGUUGAAAUUGGGCCACAAGGAGCUUCAUGUGGUAGAUGAUCUUUGGCUUUGGUAGUGGAUGAAUCGGCACGUAUUUUAUUGCGCUUGUUGACUUUCCACAGCUUUGAUCUUGAACUGGGUUGGAGGAUUUUCUGGAUUCCUCCAAUUGUUGAUUUUCCACAGCUUAUUCUUGAACUAGGUUUUGAUUCAAGGGUGGUAGACACUUGAUCUUGAAUCGGACUUGUGAUUUCCUCGAUGGCCGUCGAGGCUUGAUCUUGAAUUUGGUUGGAAACUUCUUCAAGGGCCGUCGAGGCUUGAUUCUUGAAGGUUGACUCGAACAUAUGGCAAGCAGGCACGAGGUGAAGGUGACGACUUGUUGCUUUGUUCAAUCUUUCUAAUUCACACCUGAGCAGUUUGGUCAACGGUAUGAUCCUCAAGAUUGAUGGGCUCUUCUUCCAGUUGGUGACUUGAUCUUUAAGGAUUUGAUUCAAGGGUGGUGAAUCGGCACGUGCAGCCCACAACGCCUAGUAAGCCGACCCAAGAAUUUGAGGGUCAAAACGGAUUCACCGUCAGAGUGAUUGCAACUUUGAUGAUAUGAGAUACUCUUGCUUUUGAAGAAGUAGUGGAUGAAUCAGCACGUGCUUUGUUGCGCUUGUCUCCACAUGCUUCAAGGUAUCAUCUUUAUUUCCUUUAUCUAUUCCUCAGGCAGAUGUGGCAUCUUCUCGAGUUCUUCAUCUCAGACUCUUUCUGCUGAGUUGACUGUUCAUGCUGCAUUCUUCUCUGCUUGUUCAUUCUGCACGUUGUCUCCACAUGCUGCAAGGUAUCAUUUUCACUUGCCUUAUCUGUUCUCCGGGCAAAUGUGGCAGCUUCUUUGAAAGUACAGUAGCAGCGGGAGGCGAGUACUCGAGAGCAGUGCUAGGUAGGCAAUCAGGGAAGGGUUCCAAGCAGUCGGUUCCUUACCCGAGUUUGAGUGGAAGUUCCGGCAUAUUGUUUUUUUUAUCCUUGUCUUUGUAGGUAAGAACAAGGACAAAGGAAAGGACAGGGAGAACGCAUGAUAUGAGAUACUCUUGCUUUCUACCCUGGUGAUAUGAGAUACUUUUGCUUUGGAGUCAUUGGCUUGCAGAGGUACCCCAAGGAAUAAGGAACACUGAAUGACUCGAGAGGCUUCGUUGGGAAAACAUCUUUGGAGAUGAAGAAAGACUUUGUGUGUCUGCCUUGCUAUGGAAGGCGAAGGUAGACAAUUAUAGGAAGUUCUUUGAUACCUGUAGAUGUACUAUUCUUUCACUCGUGUCGGCAACCAAUGCGUGAUUGAUCUAUAUGGCUUCACGUGCUUCCUUCUUUAUCAGAAAUCUUCGACAAACUGUCCGUAAUUUCCGCCAAGCUGAGUGUGCAUGUGAUAGGUGUUGACGCGGCUGAAAAAGACUGGCGCUUAUUCGAUAACUGGGAUCUGCGCUUCGACAAAUUACCCGUGAUUUCCGCAAAGCUGAGUUUGCGUGUGAUGGGUGCUGACGUGUCUGGAAAAGACUGGCGUCUCUUCGAUGUCUGGGAUCGGCACUUCGACAAAUUGCCCGUGAUUUUCGCAAAGCUGAGCUUGCGUGUGACGGGUGCUGACGCGUCUGGAAAAGCAAGAUGCUUCUUCGAUUUCUGAGCUUGCCUCUUCGAUUUUUGAAUGGCCUCUUCGAAUUCUGAGCUCGCCUCUUCGAUCUCUGAAAUCCCGUCGAGUGUUGAUUUUUUAUAGAGGCAUGCUGUUCGUUUCAAAGCACACUUGAAUUUUACUUGUGAAAACUCCCUUCUUGCACUUCUAAGAUCUUGAUUCGUCUGACCUCUUCUUCCUUCAACACUUUGAAAAUGUCUGGACCCUCCGACCGUCGUUUUGAUUUGAACUUUGGUGAAGAUGUAGUCCCGUCUUCUCCAGAUAACAUAUGGCGCCCAUCCUUCAUAUCCCCUACUGGUCCUCUUACUGUUGGGGAUUCGGUGGUGAAGAAUGAUAUGACCGCUGCGGUGGUGGCCCGAAACCUUGUCACUCCCAGAGAUAACAGACUACUUUCCAAACGGUCUGAUGAGUUGGCUGUUAAGGAUUCUCUGGCUCUCAGUGUGCAGUGUGCGGGUUCUGUGUCCAACAUGGCCCAACGCCUAUUUGCUCGAACCCGUCAAGUUGAAUCGUUGGCGGCUGAAGUGAUGAGUCUUAAACAGGAGAUUAGAGGGCUCAAGCAUGAGAAUAAACAGUUGCACAAGCUUGCACACAACUAUGCCACAAACAUGAAGAUGAAGAUUGACCAGAUGCAGGAAUCUGAUGGUCAGAUUUUACUUGAUCAUCAGCGGUUUGUGGGUUCGUUCCAACAGCAUUUGCCUUUGUCUUCUGGGGCUGUACCGCGUAGUGAAGCUCCUCAUGAUCAACCUCCAGCCCCUCUUCUUUCUGGAGUUCCACCGAGUGGUGUGACUUCAAACAGUCAACCUCCGACGUCUCUUUUCCCUAGAGCUCCACCGAGCACUGAGACACCACCUGAGCAAUAAAGACUCCCUCCCGUUUGUUUGCACAUUUGUAAAUUUUUUUUUUUUUUUUUUUUUUUUUUUUUUUUGGUAUGUAGAAUGCAAUUUUAUGUAAAAUUUCCAGAAAAAAUAAAUAAAAUGGAUUUUUAUUUCUCUUAAUGCUUUUUUUUUUUUUUUUUUUUUUGCUGUAUAUAUUAUACACACACAUUUAUACAUACAUAUAUACAUACAUAUAUAUAUAUUUUCACGUGGAGUGAUCCACCAUCCCAAAACCCAUUUUCCCUUUGUUUUUUUUUGCAUGGUGCUAGCCACCAAGAAUUCACCUUUUUUUUUUUUUUAAUUAAUUAAUUAAUUUAUUUAUUUAUUAAUUUAUUAUUAUUAUUUCUUUUUCGUCUGCUUUCACAUGGUGCUUGAUCCACCACUCUCUUUUCUUUUUUCACGUGGUGCCAGAUGCACGCCCCUUUUUUUUUCACGUGGUGACAGCACCACUCUGCUUUGCUCUACCACAUUUUUUUUUUUUUUGUAUAAAUUAGGAUGCUUGGCUGAGGGAUUUUGUAGGGAAGGACGAAGACGGACGGAGAGCCGGAGUUUGAGGAAGAGCUUCUCGGCCGGCUAGUCGUUUGACAGCGGUCUUUGAAGUUGGUGGCAGCUGCGAGGCAAGAGACGGAGGAGGACAGGGCAGCUGUGACGGACAGAGACGCCAUGGCAGGACCUCGAGGAGUUUUAAGAUACUGGUGCAGGUACUGGCGAGGUGAUUUUGACGAGAAAAGCAUGAAGAGGGCGUCGAGCACCAUGGGCCUGCAAUCCUUAAGGUUGAUCUCGUAGUCCUUGAGCUCUUGUUCAGGCAUGACGGGAUCCGCUGCGGUCUUUUUUAUCGGCAAUAAAGUUCUUUGCCUCAUAAAACAGCCCAGAACGCGAUAGAAGAGUUACGAACAAAGCACAAUGUGCAACUGUAGGUGUCUUGAUGCAGUUGAAGUAAAACUUCCCUUCCUCGACCAUGCGUGCUGCAACGCAAGCAUGAAGGACAGCAGCAUAGGUGAUUUCAUCGAUCUGUGUACUCGUUUCCUUCUCCAUUUGGCAGAAUAAAUCUACUCCGAUCUUUCCUUGUCCGUGUAAGCUGUACCCAGUUAUCAUCACUGUCCACGAAACAAGAUCUCUUGUACUUCGACCCUGGCAAAAACUUUUGCAGCUGAUUUGAUAAAUCCCGACUUGACAUACAUGUCCAUAAGAGCAUUCAGAACGGUGAGAUUCAUUCGAAUACCAUGUCGCAGCAAGAAUCCAUGAGUCUCUUUUGCCAUGUUUACCUGCAGACAUUCUUGCGCAUGCUGGGAGAACACUAGAGACCGAGAGCGGAUCAGGUUUCACCCCGUCUCCAACCAUCUGCCUAAACAGCUUAAGACCCUCAUUGAAGCAUCCCCUCUUCACAUUGGCAUGAAUCAUUUCUGUCCAAGAAAUGACAUCUUUCUCCGGUAUUUGGUUGAAAACUGCCCAAGCUUCGUCGACACAGCCACAGUCCAUGUAUAUUUUCAAGAUGGUAUUGCUCACCAACACAUCAUACUCCAAUCCACGUUCCUUGGCAACCCUGUGGACUUUUGUUCCAUCAAUCAACGAUCUCAACAUGCCACAGGCACCAGCCGCCGUCGCCACAGCCACAGAAUCUAUCUGUGCUCCGGACUCCACCAUUCUCUCAAACACAUGAACCGCCUUGCCGGGUUUACCUUCCGCAAUGUACAGCCUGGCCAGCAUUGUCCAUGAAACAGAGUCCGUAACCAGGGACUUGUCAAACAGCCCUUUCGCGGAGUCCGCGCUGUCGAGGCGACCGUACAACUCAAUGAGAGCAGCAACCACGUACCGGUCACCAGAGCAGCCGAGCUUGUGAGCGUGGGCAUGGAGUUGCUUGCCGAGGGAGAGAUCAACCGAAAGGCGAGAGGCAGACAAGACGCGAGGAAGAGUGUGUCUGUCGGGCGACGAACGCGCGGAUGAGCAUUUGGUGGUAAGUGGCGAGGGCGUGGUGGAAGUCGGCAUUGGCGAUAUGGGUCUGGAUAAGUCUGUUCCAUGCAAAGGUAUCUGAGUGGGGCAUUUUGUCGAACACCUUGUGGGUGACGGCCACCUUCGUGGUGGGUUUAGCAUUUCGGGAGUGCUUGUAGUGGGCUGUGUUGAUUGGGUUCUCGGUGACGAUCAAGCGCUGGAUUUGGGCGGAUGGAAGGGCUUCCAUUUCAGUUCAGUCGCACCCAAUUCAGCAUUGCCCGUACGGAUUCGAGCGCAGUUAUCGAGGAGGAGUUUCCUUAAGAAUAGAACCAAUCACCGACUCCUCAAACCCAUCCGGAUAUGCGAUUUUCAUGAGGUGCAAACAAGAACCCUCUGCCAUAAGUGGCAUGAUCACCCAAAGGUUUCUUUCAACGACAAAUGAACAAAACGCCCUCACGACAUUGGGAUGAUCUAUUAAUCUCAUCGUCUGCGCCUCCCUCCGGAUAUCCUCGAAAUUGCUAUUGCACCGAUCGAGAUCCAAGCACUUGACGGCGACGACUUCAUUGAAAGGGAGAUAGAUCGCUCUGUAAACCGUUGCGCUGGCGCCAUAUCCGACCUCUUCCAGAAGCUUGUAGUCGUUCGGAUUCGCCGAGUGAAGCCUCGAAUUGCUACCCAUCCUCCCCAUCUGUUCGAGGACUUGUGCUUCAGAUAUGUCGUUUUGAGGCUACGGGCUCUGCGUUUGGGCUGUGUGCCAGUUUGGGCUUAGUGUUGCUUUGGAGAGAUCUAGGUUUGGUUGAAGAGGUACGGUGAAGCCAUGGGCAAGGGAGAUGACGAAUUGGGCUUGGAGGCUGACACUUGGGCCUGGAUGGCCUCCUUUUGAGAGGCUUGCUGCUGAUGGAUAUACAUAUAUAUAUUUGUAUGUAUAUGUAUGUAAAAGAAAUCUUUUUUUUUUUUUUUAAUUUUUUAAUUUUUUUUUUUAUGUGACUGAACUCGAAAAAAUUGAACAUUCGAGCUGCCUACGUACCCCUCCAAAGAAGAGAUCAAGUCGCAACGUAGUUCAAAUACAUUUUUGGUAUUUUCUUUUUGUGUCGUUUGCAGUUUUAACUCAUGCAGGCAAGGAGUGUUGGUGUCGUUUGCAGUUCCAACUCUUGCAUACAAGGAGCGUUGGUGUUGCCUUUUAUGCUCGUGUAGGCCAGGAGCGUUGGUUCGUGCAGUUUAGGCUCGUGCAGGCGAGGAGCCUUUGGUGUCGUUCGCAGUUUCAACUCGUGCAAACAAGGAGCAUUUGGUGUCGUUCGCAGUUUCAACUCGUGCAGACAAGGAGCAUUUGAUGCCGUGUUGCAGUUUAGGCUCAUGCAGGCGAGGAGCGUUGGUGUCUUGUAGUUUAGGCUCUUACAGACAAGGAGCUUUGGUUCGUGCAGUUUAGGCUCGUGCGAACAAGGAGCAUUGUUGGUUCGUCAAGCGAUCCGAGAGAGUUGUUCCUCACAAUCUUCAUAGCAAGGAGCCUUGACCGCGUGAUUGAAGAAGUCUUCGGGUAAAAAGUCGCGCAUCGUGAUGGCAACAGACAAUCUUUGUGUCGUAGUUUCAUCAUCUUCAACACGUUCACGUUGCUUUGAAGGUUGACAAUAGCUGCUUUGCCCCCUUUUCAAUUGGCGGACUUGUGGAGGAGACGUAUGCUUCUUGUGCAAUUUCUUAGGAGUGACUUGAGUCCAUCCUUCAAUUUUGCUUGUCUUGGACGAUGCCCCCAGCGGUUGAGGUGAAAACUUUGAGUCGGAAGAGCCAGAAGUGAAGGUGGUAUAGUUUGACUUUGCCACUUCGUCAAGAUCUAGCUCGAUGAUUCCUUUCUGAGCCAGCUUCAUGAUGAGAUCUUUCAGCACGAAACAUUUUUCUGUCGGAUGACUGAUGAAGCGGUGGAAUUUACAGUACUUUGGACUGUCGGUGCGAUUCAUCUCUUCUGGCCGUUUGCACUCAGGCAAACCAAUCACCUUCUUUUCCAACAGGUCAUCCAGUAUGGCAACCACAUCAGAGUCGGGGAAUGGAUAAGUCUUCUCCUCAAGCUCCUUUAAAGUGCGUCUACGCAUUUCUUGAUCACGAAAAGCUUCGGUUUGAAUCGCCUUGCCUCGUGUGGAUAUUUUGACGGGAGAUGUGUUGACCGUCAUCGCUUCCUUGGUGGGUUUCCAUGCAGCCUUUUCCACCUUUGUCCCAAGAACUUUGUCGUUCUUGUAGUCGGCGAUUGGUUCUUUCUUCCCAUGAUGGGCGAUGCUCAACUCCAUGUCAUGGGCGCGAGUGGCCAAUUCCUCGAAGGUCCGCGGUUUAAUGCCUUGAAGGAUGUAUUGCAAACCCCAUUGCAUGCCUUGGAUGCACAUCUCGAUUGAAGAGGUUUCCGAGAGCCUGUCUUUACAGUCGAGGCUUAGAGUGCGCCAUCUGUUGAUGUAGUCAAUGACUGGCUCGUCCUUCCACUGCUUUGUGCUUGUUAGCUCUAGCAUGCUCACAGUGCGGCGAGUGCUGUAGAAGCGGUUGAGGAAUUCCCGCUCCAAUUGCUCCCAGUUGUUGAUGGACUCAGGCUCUAGGUCAGUGUACCACUCAAAGGCGUUUCCUUUUAGUGAGCGCACAAACUGCUUGGCGAGGUAGUCCCCUUCGGUCCCUGCGUUGUUGCAAGUUUCAACAAAGUGGGCAAUGUGUUGUUUCGGGUUUCCCUUUCCAUCAAAUUGCAUGAACUUUGGCGGUUGAUAACCCUUCGGCAUCCUUAAGGCGUCGAUUUUCUUUGAAUACGGCUUCGAGUACAACCCGGAGGUAUUUGAGCUCCCUUCGUACUGUGCCUUGAUGGUGUUGGUGAUCAUCUAUUGCAGCUGCUGGAUAGAAAGAGAUCCCAUGAGUGCCGCUGCUUGGUCUGGCUCCGGCUUUGCAUCGUUUUUCUCCACCUGAGGCUCAUCUUCUUCGUCAUCUCUUCUCUUUAGUGGAUCAUUCUCUGGGUCGGGUUUAUCGCCGUCCUGCGCCUUUAGUCGAUUGACGAGUGCUGCAAUUUGCAAGUCUUUUUUCUUCCACCGUUCGGGUCAGCCUUGCGAUUGCUUCAUUCAUCUGAGCCAGUUGUUCUUCAACGGAGGUAACGCCGAUAGUCAUGACUUGUGCGACCAAUAUACGUGACUUUCCUUUAGACAUCCAGGAUGCUGAUGAAGAACGUCGUUGGCUGCUUUGGGAUGUCAUCUUAUGUGCCUCAGCAUCAUGCUUCGGUGCCCCCAGCGAGGUCAGGUUGAUGACAGACUCGCACCUUGGAUGCUCCCCUUGCUCUUUUAGCGGCACCAAUUUUGAAGUAGCAUGUUGGGGAGCGGUUGUGGCGCCAAUGGAUUGUCUGUUUGCGGCAGAAGUGCUUAGGAUCCUUCCCUCAGUGGUUGCGAGAAUGGCUUGUCCUUUGCUUGAUGCCAUUGACUUUGAGGUGUGCUUGGAUUCCUUGAACGAAGAAAGAGAUGAGAGGUAGAGAUUGUCCCACCGGGCGUGCCAAUUUGUGAACACGGAAAAUUCCUGAAACGAAAGAGACAAGAACGAACGUGCACAAACAAAUAUUAUGUAUUUGAUGAUUUUGGGUUACAAUCUCUCUCUAUUUGAUCCUCUGAUUCAAUCUCCGUAAGGUGUGUAUUUGUGGAUGUGUGAUUGAUCCAAAGGGCCGUUGGGCUUGAUCUAAGGAUGAACGUUCUUCAAGGGCCGUGGACUUGAUCUUGAAGGUGGAUUUGAGCGGAUCUUUAAAGGGGCUUUUGGGCUUGAUCUUGAAGAACGGUUGGAUGUGUGGAUUUGUCGAAGUUGUUGAUCCAAAGGGCCGUUGGGGCUUGAUCUUGGAUGAACGGAUGAUGAACGAUGGUGCUUUCUUCAAGGGCCGUCGGGGCUUGAUCUUGAAUUGGUGGAUGGUUGAUCCAAGGGCCGUCGGGGCUUGAUCUUGGAAGAACGAUGAACGAAGAACGAAGAACACUUUCUUCAAGGGCCGUCGGGGCUUGAUCUUGAAUUGGUGGAUGAUUGUUGAUCCAAAGGGCCGUUGGGGCUUGAUCUUGGAAGAACGAUGAACGAAGAACAAAGAACGCUUUCUUCAAGGGCCGUCGGGGCUUGAUCUUGAAGGUGGAUGAUUGUUGAUCCAAGGGCUGUCGAGGCUUGAUCUUGGAAGAACGAUGAACGAAGAACACUUUCUUGAUUCUUCGGGAACCUGGACGCUUGAGAGCUUCGGAGUUUCAGAGCUUCAGAGCUUCAAGGUGUAAUAUGAAUUGGUCCCCCCUAAAUGAAUGAAAUGGGCUUGUAUUUAUAGAAUUUUCCAAGGCCUAAUUUUGAAUAUAAUAUCCCAGAUGAAAUAAGUCGUUUCUGCCAGGUGUUGACACGUGUCCUAUUUGAUGACUUUUCCAACUCAUUUCAAUUUUCGUUUAGUCACACGCUACGUGUAAAAUUUAUGUAAUACAUGAGCGUUGACACUUUGAUUUAUCGGUCAACAUUUAUUUACCGAAAUUUCGAUGUCUACAAAACUAAUAGAUAAUUGACUAAAUAAACAUCCUGCAAAGUUUCAAUAAAAAUUUCCAAGUUUUUCUUACAAUUUCUGUGGUUUCCAUAUUAUUUUUAUCGAUAUCGAUAAUAUCCCGAUAUUUCAAUCGAUAUUUCCGUGUUUUUGGACUACCGAUAUUUCCGAUAUCAUCGAUAUUUUAUACCUUGGCGACGGGGGACUUGCCGACUGGUGCCACCGUGGACGUUGGGUCUUUCGAAAUGUGGUGUAAUGUUAUGAUCCCACAUCGGCUACACAAGAAAUUGUGUAGUGGUACUUAAGUGCAAGGGGUCCUCCCACCUAUUGGACUAGUCUUUUGAGUUGGGCUCUUCCCUUAGGCUUGAGUACCUAACAAACCCAUAAAUCAAAGAAAUCAAAAUCCACCCAGAAUCAAAGAAAUCAAAAUCCAUCCAGAACCAAAGAAAUCAAAAUCACACACAGAUAUACAAGGUGUACAGUACUGACAUGCCUUAAAUGAUAUUAUUCACAAGAUUUAUAAAGCUCAUGUCGUAAUACUUGUGCAGAAUCUAUCAUUCACGGCGUCACUUUUGUGCAAGUUGUAAAUAAAAUUAUUCACAAUUUAAACAUUGUGUGUCGUAUUUGACAAUUUAUACUACGCACUUUCUUUUUCUUUUAAAGCUUUGCGUUAUGUCGUGAAGUUGACUUUCUAUAUAUUUGGGUUGUACCUUUUAUGGCGCAAAUAACACGUCGUAAAUAAUGGCUUUUAGCACAGAAGUUUUGUGGUAAAGAAGCCCGCGCACUAAUUCAUUCUCGCGCCUUCUCUUUUUUAUUUAGCCGCUUCUUUUUUUAUUUUUUAUUUUUUUUGUUAAAUUCCCCUCAAAUGUUAAAAGAAAAAUUAAUGAAAUAUUUGAAAACUUUGAGUUUUAACGAUAAGGAUAAAAUAAAAGGUAAAAUGAAUAGUACCAAAAUUGACUUUUUAGUGUUAAAAUAUGAUUUUUCGUUAAAGUGAACAGUGCCGAAAGUUUUUCGUUAAAGUUCAAUGUUAAAAGGUUUGUAUUUUCUUGGUAAACUUGAAAGACAAACAUUGCAAUUGCAUUUUCAUUUACCCAAUAUUAAUUGUCGAGAGCCCACCCCCUUCCCUUCUCACUGACAUCGUAACUCUCUCCUCUCCAUCGAUCUCGCUCCAUCUGCUCGCCGUCGCUCUAUAUGCUCGUCAUCACCGUCGAUUCGUCUGCUCGUCGUCACCGUCGCCCAUCUGCUUUCCGUCACCGUCGAAGUGCCCCGCCAUUCAAGAUCUGAAAUCCCCAAUACAGGGUGCUUUGCGGCAUUUCGUUCUCCAAAACUUUAGGUAUGCUCUCAAUCUGUAUCAACCCUAUCCUGUCCCCUCUAGAUUUUUGUUUAGUCUCAACUUUAUGGUGCUUUUCUUAGAUUUGUUCUAUCACUGUAAUUUUAAGGGAUUUUAGGUAAUAAAUUUGGUUGAGAAUCUCAGUUAGGUUUGUAAUUGUUUUCUUGGUUGCCUGGGUUUGAGGAUGAUUAAUCCACUUUCUGAAGUUUAAUUACUUUGAACUUUGAUUUGUGGGAAACUGCAAUCAAAAUGUUGCUAUGGCUUUAUAGUUAGAAUCGAUUGUGAGUCUUUGCACCACAUCAAGCAAUACCCCGGUGUUGUAAUUCCGAGGUUUGUAAUUGCCGCUGUUAAUGAUGGUUUGGUCCAUCCUUUUUAGGGAGAUGACUUCAAUGAUUGAAACUAGUUUAUCAUUAUUUCAGAACUCUGUAAUACGAGACAUGAUAUUCCAAAAAAUAUUUGCAUGAAUAUAUGUGCAUUGACUGACUAUUUUUCAGUCUUUGAUAGUGGAGAUAACUCUUUCAGGUCAUAUGUAGUUCUUACAGAAAUUGUAUGGUAUUUUGGUUGGUUUUGUGUUCUGGUUGUAGCAAACUGGUGGAUGCCCUGAGAUGAGUAGUUAUCUACAAAGUGGAUGGAUCCUGAAGAGUACAAAGUCUAAGGCAUUUUAUGUAAAGGUAAAUCCUGUUACUUUUAAUUACUUAUAUGUGAAUGCCUGCCAUUUGAAGUAAAAAUUCUUUUAGCCAUUACAUUCUUCAUAAAGAUCUUUAUAUGCUCAAAAGAAGGAUUUUUUUUAGAUGCCAUGUAACUGGUGGUGGCUAGCCUCUUCUUUUUAAGACUCUAGUGUGUUUCAAUUACACUAGUCAAUCGUUCUUAUGUGUAUUAUGUUUUGUUGAUAAGAUGGCCAAGACAAAGUUGUAGAGCCCUAGUAGCAGGGUGCUGUUGGCAUUUAUAUUUUUCUUUUGAAGGGGUGUUUAUUGCUUUUAUACUUUCAUUGUUUACUCUCAUACAUACAAUACUGAAAAAUAAGCAUGUAUUGACGCGUAAUUUUAGAUCCAUAUUUAUACAUAAUUUUGAUUACAUGUCCAAAUUACCCAAGAUUCUUUUUCCUUUACAAAUUUGUGGAGUGCAUUACAUGGAUAUGAUUCAUGUAUGAAAUACACAUGACUCUCACUAAUUUAAGGGCAGCAUCAUUGACUGUACAGUUUUCAAUUCUUUAUAAUCAUGAGUAUAGACAUUUUUUAAUUCUUUAUAAUCAUGAGUACAACAAUAGUUUCUAUAACAAAAUUCUGUUAAAUAUGUAAUAUCAGUAUUUGUUUUCCAGGUUCAUUAGUUGAGGAUGAUUUUUCCAAGAAAGAAAAGAUCGCGGCUUUCAGGCCGAUCUAAAGAACAUUAUGUUGAUAUUGCACCUGAGAUCUUACAAGAAGAGGACGAAGAAGUACCAGAUGACCUAUUUACAGAGGAGUCGAAUCAAACUAAAAGAAAGAGGGGUCCUACUAGAAUGAAGACAAUUUCCACAAAUGAUGGUCAACGAAUUGAGAUUGAAUGGAAUGAAAACGGCCAGUUUAUUGGUGACGGAUCUAUUGACUUAUCUUCUUACAUGGGUUCUUUGGUCCGAGAGGUUGUCCCUAUAACAUUUGAUACUUGGAAGGAUGUUCCUAAGAAAACAAAGGACAUCCUAAUCAAGGUAAUAUGCAGAUAAGUCAAUUCUGAUCCCUCUACUUCAAGGUGAACAAUUUAUAGUUUAUAAAUUUUACUUGUGUUAAUAUAUAUUUUUUGGUAAAUGUUAUGGAUAUUUUAUCAAAUCAGAGAGUAAAUUCGUAUUAAGUGAAGAUUGGCAAAGAACAUAUUGUUUUGAAAGGAUGAAUAAUGUUUGCAGAUCACAUAUAUCAGUAGUUGUGAAGUCCAUAAGAGAAGCAAGAAAUUGGAAAGCAAGGCUUCGUCUAAAACCAAAUAAUGUCAAAUUAAUUCAAGAUUGGAAGACUUCCCUUGCAAAGUGUAAGCUCAUUUUCCUUUUCUUUUAUUUCUAAGAUUAGUUAUCUUCUUUUGAGUUCAAAAUUGGGUCAGAGAAAUCAAACUGAUAGUAGUUAAAAGUCUAUUUCAACACCAAGCCUUGUCUACACAAGAAUUUGGUGUUAGUUAAACAUGUGUAUGAUUCUAUCUUGAUUGCAUGUUAAUUUAGUUUGAAGAUAGAUUUGGUACAUGCUAGCUAAUUGAUACGUGAUAUGAAUCUUUGGUUUCCUUUUGAUAGGACAAAAGCGAAACAUUCAGAGAGAUGAAGUCUAAGCAACUCCGCACACAUGUAGUCGCAAGGGAUAUGGUAGGUUGGCGGAGGAUUUGGUAAUUACAUUUCAUUCUAGUGCCUUCUUUUCUACAGGACAAGAACAAUUUACUAAUUUUAUUCUGUGUUCUACUGUGUGUUUACUACAUUUAUGUUUCUAUUUUGUAGAAAAGAAAAAGUGUAGACCCUUCUCUAGUUUCUAGAGGUGAUGUUUGGAUUGCAGCACAUACUAAAAAGGGUGGUGGACCAUCCAAUUUGCUUGCUGCAGAGACUAUUGUAAGUAAUUUUUAACCAUUUAUUUCUUCUUGUUUGUUGAUAUGCAAUGAUGAAUGAGGUCUUAACUUUGAUGUGCAACGUUAGGAAAAAAAUUAAGCAAUAUGGAAAUGGAUCAUCAUCUGGUUUUCGAGGUGACGUUCUUUCCAAAGUUUUUGGUGCUGAGCGACAUGGUCGUGCAAGAGGAGUUGGAGGUGGUGUUCCUCCUACAAAGCUUGGAAUAUUUUCACAACAAAAAUUGCGUAAUCACCAAAUGGAUGAAAAGGUGCACAAUUUAACUAAUCAGGUCAGAGCACUGACAGAAUUGGUGUAUCUUUUUAUGAAAAAUCAGGUUAGUGAUUUAAUAACAUUGGUAUCAUAUUGAAUAUUUGUGAAAUCAGUUUUAGUGACACAUCAAAUCACAGGGUAAUGAUCUACCAAGUGAGGCAUCUCCUGACACACAGGUUGCAGCUCCUGAGGCACAUGUUGAUACUGUCGCAAGAACUGAAACUUGUCUUUCCCAUUGCGCAACAAAUGAAUCGUGGUGGCGAGGUUGAUACACUUUUUCAAUGAGCCUUCUAACUAUUAAUGCUCAUUGACUCUGUUAAAAGCUCUGCCAUUUUCAAUCUAACUAGACACUAGAAAUGAUCAUUGACUCUGUUAAAAGUUAUGAUGUUUUGGUCCUUCUCCAUAGUUGCGCAUCUACUGAUGUCUAUUUUUUUUCAAAUACUGCAGGUUAUUUCUGAAAACAUUGAAACAUCGUGGUGUACCAGAUGGUUUGAUUAUAAGACACCUUCCUUUUGGUCCACCAACUUAUUUAUAACUGCUAAAUGGUACGUAGUGUGAUAAUUUUCAAAUAUUUUGAUAUUAAGACAGGUGUAGGACAACAUAGAAAUUCUUAGGGCCUUCAGCAACAAAAUUAUGAAAAAGUGAGUGAGAUACAAUUAAAAAAAUGAAAGAGAAGGAUCAUGAUUCAUGAUCUAAAGGUUUGAAUAGGGUAGAAAGGAUUUAGUUUCGUUGUUAAAAUCGAUUGUGAGUCUAUUGUUAUUGUAUUGUCAAUUUGUUUAUUUACUUGAACUUCCUAGUAUCAAUUUGGUUCGAUAUAUCUAGCACCACCAUAGAUAUAUCUAGUAUCAAUUUGGUUAGAUAUUGUCAAUUUGUUAUUGUAUUGUCAACUAUAGAAUGUGCAUCAGUUGUAAAAGGAACAAAACAAUUCAGAUUUUUUGUUUAUGUCCAAACUUAGAAUUGUAUUGUAAUUGACAAUUUCUACUAAUUAAUUUAAAGUAUUUGGAGUUUAAUAUGUUUAUGAUCAAUAUUGUUAUCCUUCUAUUGUAUCAGUUUAGAUGUUAUGAAGUGAGGUCUGUCUAAAAAUGAUAUGCUAAAUAUAGAUGUAAAUUACGGCAUCUAAAAUCAGCAAUAAUUGUUGAUGGUAGUCUUUUUUUACGAUGCACGAUGUAUGCCGUAAUCACCUUCACAAUAUUACGACACUCAACAAAUGCUGUAUCAAAUAUAAAUUACUGCACACAAGUAUGUCGUAAUUGUUUUUCAGUAUUACGACACCCUAUUAACGCUGUAACUAAUACCAAUUAAGGCGCGUAGGACAUGCCUUAAGAACAUUUAUGGCGUGUUUUACUUAAAUUAUUCACUACUAUUAGAGUACGUCGUAUUUGUCAAAACAUCUUUUACAACAGGGGCUUUUACUGCUUGGAGGCUCACGUCGUGAAUUUCCAUUUACGGCACCCUUUGUGCGCCGUAAAAGGCCAAUUCUAUUGUAGUGAUCCAUGGGUACAUUUUUAAUCUACAUGUUUCGUUUUAAUAUAUCUAUUGCUAUAAUAUGUUUUGGUUGGUUCAAAUUCGUUUUACAUAAAUAUAUGGGUACAAAGUUUUUGGAGAAUAUUAUGUAAAAUGGUUUUUAAGGUUGUUGCAUUUUAUGUACCCACAUAUGCAUGUCUAUAAAACAAUGUGGUAUGAUGUACAUUCUUUUCCUUGAGUUUUUAAAUGUACCCAUGAGUUUUCUUGUAAAUUCAGUAUGUAUCCAUAUGCUAUUUAUGUUAUGGGUACAUAAAUUAUUUUUGGUCUAAGUUGGUGGGUACAUUGCUUUUGUAUGUAUGAAUUCAUUGGGUACAUUAUUUCCCUUAAUACUACUCAAUAAAAUUCACAAAAAUAUGUGCAGUGUGCAUGAAUUUUUAUUGUAGAAAUUGUUUUUUUUUAAUUUUUAAUUUUUAAGUCUCAUAAUUCGUGAAUUUUGUACAUAUUGAUCCCAUAAAUUUUUGAAUUUUAUUAAAUUUCUUUUAGACUUGAUCGAUUGAUUGAAUCUCAUAAUAAUCCCUUAAAUGUUCCAAUCAAUAUUUUAAAUUACAGCUUUUUAUUUAAGAUUUCAAAAAGAUGACAUGAAAAUAUAGUAAUACUAAAAUUUUAUUUUAAAUUACAUUUGUGUAACAAUCAAUGGUAUGUUAAAACUGGGCAAAAAAAAAAGGUAUAUUAAAAAAUUAUAAUUUAUUCUUUUUUUCAUAACUGUCUUCUGCUUAGAUUAAAUUUUUACCAAUUUGGGGGAAUUAGUUCUUACCAAUAUAUAUGCACAGUAUUUGCUUUUUACCUGGGCUUAACACAUGAUUAAUUACUUUCCUACCUGCUAACGCGUUGAUUUGCGCAUCCAAAGUAUUAUCAAAGUCACUGCCACCAAAAAGGUGCCCACUCCACAACCUUUGGUUGAACCAAAGAACAUCACAACAAUAAGGAAAUCGUUAAAUCUAUCUCCGCAACAUUUUUAUUAAUCAUUAGAUAGAUUAAACGAUUCCCCUGUUCAUAUUGUGUUCUUUUGUUGAACCAAACCAUGUCAACAAAAUAUAUCUAUGGUUAAGCAUCUAGAUUCAUGCUUUUGGAUGUGCAUCUUAAACCCCUCAAUGAAUAGCCAAGCAAUUUAUCAUGUGUUUACAGUAGGUCAAAAGAAGAAAGUGUUUGUCUAUAUAUUGGUAGGAACCAAUUCCUCUGAAGAGGAGAGAUGGAAGUGAUGAUAAUACUUUAAAUAAUCAAAGCCCAAACAUUUUAUCAAAUUUCAUCUCUGUACUCCACGGAGACACUAAAUGAGACAUAUCUGGUCCAUCUCUGAACAUCUUUUCUUACCGUUCUUACAAUAGAAAGGGCACAAAAUUGACUUACACAGUCUUGCACAAUACUCACUUUGCUUCAACCCAUAUUUCACUUUGUCAAAUCAUACACGUUCCUGCAAUAGGUGAACUCAUAUGUAUCUACCACUUCUUGCUAAUUUUAAUUUUUCCAUUCCCAUUUUUGCUACAAGUUUCACAUAAAUUUUUUAUUGCACUUGUCAAUUCUUUAUACUUUUUUAUUGUAUUUUUUUUUUGUCUUUUUUUUGUAUUAAACAAUUACAUGUCCUCCAAAAGUUUUGCUUAUUGCCCUAUUUCAUCAAGCUCGGUAUAAAUAGAUCUUAAUUUUUUACUACAGUUAAAUACAUGGACAUGCCUCCACAAAUACAAAUUAGUUCUUGCUUAAAUACUUUGUGUGUUUACAUAGAAAAUGUUCCCAUCGUCUACCAAAAUCCUCCACACAUGAAAACAAAAAUUCUUACUCAAAAAUACAUAUUACAAUACCACCAUAUCUGUUGUUUUUUAUUAAAUUAACACACUGUUUUCAAUUUUAUCUUUAACACAAAAGAAAAUGCUCUUACACAAUAUGCUUGUUUACAUUUUAUAACUUAUCUACCACAUGUUAAUCGCAAUUAUAUAAAUAGGAAAACACGUGUCAAUAGAAGUGUGAUGCAUGCUACUUCGUUAACAAUAGUGGCAACUAAACAAUUAAAUAAUUUGUUUCAAUUAGUUAGUACAUUUUAUAAAUUUCUUAAUUAGAACUGUUUCAGUAUAUUCAAUACAUUUUUAAACAACUUUCCAGUUAGUUGCCCAAACUAAUUAUUCCAGCUUAUUCAUAGUAUAAUACCAACAAUUUAACAACCAAUGAUACUUCGUUUAACAUAAACUUCAUUUGGAAAAAACAAAAAAAUAUCUUUUUCUCUGCUGAAAAAUCCAACAGAGUUAUUGAUGCAGAUCAGUUAUACCAACAAAUUACCAUAGUUUACCCAAUGCUAUACAGGUUUGACUUUUGUUUAUAUUCUUGGAUCUGUUGCUUGGUUGUAUAAUUUGGUUGUGUGUUUUGUUUCAGGACAAUUUGUUCUUCGUUUCUUGAGGCUUUUGUGUGUAGAUUUGAAACCGUUUAGCUUUCAAGCCGUGUAUACUCAAGGUAAAUAAUUUCGUUUUUUUCUUUGUAACCUUUUUUGUAAGAAAUUUUUAUUUAAUGUUGUGAGAGUUGUGUUUUCUAGAGUAUGAAAAUUGAAUCUUUGUGAUCUUAUAUCCUUAGAUAUGUUUCUUGGUUAUAUGAUUUGGCUGUGUGCAUUGUUUCAGGACAAUUUGUUCUUCGUUUUUUGGGGCUUCGGUGUGUAGCUUUGAAGCCUUUUGUAGUCAACAUAAAUAAUUUUAUUUUUCUUUGUUUCUAGUCUUCUUUGAAAGAAUUUCUUAGUUAAUAUUCUGAGAAUUAUGUUUACUAUAGUAUGAAAAUUGAAUCUUUGUGAUCUUGUAAGUGAUGUAACGUCAUUGCAACAUGUAUGACUGCCAUUAUCGAACAUGAAGAGCUUUUUGAUUUUUGUACUCCGUCCUUUCAUACGAUCUGACUCAAAAAUUGUUUCAUCACAGGUUCUAACAUGAUUUUUGCGACGUCUUAUGAAAAUACAAUGUCACUUCUGGUAUUCCAACUUAAACAAAUUACAAGGGAUGUCUAGUUUUAAACCUGCAGUUAGUAUAUACUAAAACGACGGUUUUGGCCCUGCUCUCGACUUCUUCAGAAACCUCGAGAAACUUCAAACUGAGAAAGCUUCUCCCUUCCAUCUCUGCUACGCGAUCUCUGCUUUGCGAUCUCUGCUUCCUCCGUGAUUUCUUCCCUCCUGAUCGACAUCUAUUCGAAUUGAAAACCUUCUGGAGCUCUCUUCCCCAAAUUUCAGCAGCAACUUUGCUCCAGAUCUUUCCAAUUGAAAUUCCUCUCCUUCACAUUUUGCAUAUUGAAUUUCGCAUCAUUAUCAUCUCCCUAGAACCUAGGAGUUUGGUUCGGUUUCGAGUUUUCCGACGGAAAUCCGGCGACAGCGGCCAUCGAGGUUGGUCUGAAACUAUUCCUCAUCACCACAAGUACUUUCUACACCUAUUACACUUUAGAAAAAAUUUCAUGAUUUGGUGGAAUCCAAUUUAAUGAUUAGAAAAAUUUUCAUUAAUUUUCUGGGUUCGUGGGUUGGAGGUGGAUUAGAAAUUUUUUCAUUAUUUUUCUGGGUUUGUGGUUUUUUUCCAAAACGUUUUUCCUUUCUACUAAUCCAAGUUCCUUCACAUCAAUCUCUCUGUUUCGUUCUUGAUCUUCCGCGAGUAGAAUACCUCUCCUUGCUCUCGAGCGCGUGGGCAGUCGCUCCAAGGCAGCCCAUGACGUCAUUUUCCGAUUCGACUCGGAGGAGGUUGGCUGCUCUUCUUGGCUGAGCUUCAUGGCUGGCCGAAUUCCCCUAUUCCCUUCCUCUUAUACUCUUUUGUAUUCGUUCACCAAAACAAUAGGAAAACGUCUCCGUCUGUUUGAUUGACGGCGAAGAAAAAAAGACGGAGAUAAAAGCCUGACGGAAGCUGAAAGCUUGGACUCUGUUUGUAUUUUUAAUGGAUUUUCAGAACACAGGUCAAGAAUACUGCGAUUUGAGAAAGAAAGAAAGAACCACGUUGACAUAAUAUAUUCACAAUAGGCGUACAUAAAGCUUUACUGUGGUUCCAUUUUUUUGCAUAUUUCAAAGGCUCUGAAUUGUUAAGGGAAUUAGCCUUUUGUUUUAGGAAGAACUUGGAACCCCCUCCGUCCAUUCUAUUCCCGAUGGAAUUAACACUUAGAUAGUACUAUGACAAUGUGUCAUUAAUUGAUGCAUACCUGUAUAAAUUUAGGCCAAGUGUUUUAUACACAAAUUGAUACAGAUUAAGCUUCUGGGUCGAAAUCAUAUACCGGUGAGCUAACUACACAAUGAUACAUUCUUAUCUGUUAAUUAUCUUUGGUUACCAGCUAUCCAUGUUGCUGACAUAUUAAACUACACAACAUCUAUUGUAAUUUAUGUCUUAUUAGUAUCAUCACUUUUGUUCUUUAUUUCAAUGUCUAACAUAAUGAUCUGGUUUCAAUUUGCUACAGGCAUUAUUUCCAGACAAUAGCUAUGGUUUUGAUUGUAGCGGUGACUGAAAAAUUAUUCCGAAACUAACAUUUGAGGAAUUCAAGGUUUGUUAGUUAAUUUGUACAUCAGAAUACCAUGACAAACUAUGAAGUUGUAAUUGUUGACCUUACAAUGUAUCUUUUUUGGUUUGGAGCAUUAGACUUAUAUGUGUUGCUUUCACUUCAUGAAGGCUAACUCUUUAUUUUAGGCCUUAGAAUAUAAUUUUUUGGAGAAUCUACAUUGUUGAUAAUUUUUUGAACAAUAUUAUCCCCAAAAUUUCUCCGCAUGUUACCCUCAACGUAGACAUCAUAUAACCAUCAUUGAACUUCUGAACCAAAAAUUUGAGUUUUAUGAUUAUAACUAAACGUCUAUAAACACAUGAUACAGAUUGAGACGAAUGUCAAAUUUAAAAUGGCAUUAAUCAGGACAGCUGCAAACUCUGAUUUGCGGCCUUUGAAAUGGAGCAGUUACUUCUUGCUUCACUUCAACAGCAUAGUCCAGCUUCUAAAUUCAGUUCUCAGGUAUGAGGUUUCUCAGUUACCUCUUUUUUGUAAUAAAACAUUUGAUCAGUACUUGCCAGGAUAUCCAAUUAAUUAGGUCAGUUUUUGUUAGCGGUAAUAAUUUGUUUUUGUAGCUUUAUAUGUGUCUCUGUCUCCAAAUAUGAUGAUCUCUUAAUUUGCUUCUAUAGCUUUUGUAAUAUAAUGAUCUCUUAAUUUGCUUUUGCAUAUCUUCUUUGCUUCCUCUGCUAGCUCUAUAUGAGAUUCCAUCUCCAAAUAAUUAUUCCUUAUUUCCUAUUUUUACAGGAAGCAAAUCAUUGAAUACACAUGGAAAAUUAAAAGGGUUUUAGUUUUUGGAGUAGUUUAAAUUUUUUGUUUGUUAUUGCUUGUAUUGCUGUUAAAUAUUUGAUGGGUAGUUUGAAAUGGGGAACUUGGUUGAUUGAGUAUUAACUUUUAUUAAAUUAAUAUUCUUAUUCAAUAUUGAAUUAAGACUCCUCUUAUUAAAUUAAGACUCUUAGAGUGCGUUUGUUGCGCCAGACUGUCUCGGACUGGACUAGCUGCCGGGACUAAGCUGGACUGGCUUAGACUGGACUAAGCUAGACUAACUUAGUGAAGCGUUUGGUGUAAUGUCGGACUAAGAAGCAGGAUAAGAAAAACAGUACUGUUCACCAGAUUUGUGUUUGCUUAGACUAGGAUUACAAAUUUUUGCCAUUGUGUAAUAGAGUAAUGCUACAAAUCUCAUGAUAUGGGUUAAUUGGAGCAUAUUUUUGCCAUGUAUAUUAUGAAUCUUAAAAAAAAUUGACAAUUGUUUUGUUUCUAUUACCUGCUAAUAGAAUUGGGUUUAAUUUGCAAAUGUAGCUUAGUUUAAACUCUAUCACCCAACAGAAGAAAAAUAAUAGUGCCCAAUACAUGCAACUUCAACAAAUACAAGUACAUAAGAAGAUCUCCAUAAUUUAGAAAAUCCUAGUUAACAUUAGUUAACAUUAGCCAAAAUAGAUCUCCAUAAUUUACAAAAUGGCUAGUUAACAUAAGCCAAAAUACUAGUGCAAAGCUAAGUUAUAAGCCAUAACAUAAGAUUGUAUGAUUAAUAAAAUACAUCCAUGUUAACAUUAAUAAAAUACAUCCAUGUUAACAUUAGCCAAAAUCCUCAUCCGCUUGCGUUGUCGCUUAAAAGCCUUUGGACGAACACUUUCUUGAGUUCCGGUUUGAUUGCCCUGAACACUCCCACAUUUUUUGGUUUAUCCAAAAUAAGAGACAAUGCAUCAAUUUGAUCCAUAGGAGAGAGACCCAUUACUUCAAGUUCAUUAGCUAUGUCAGUAUGAUCUGCAAUACCUUGAACUAAAGCUUCAGUUACCAUUUGCAUCCUCUUCCCACUUUCAACAUAAAAAUCUUUCAGUCCACUGAUAAUUGCCUCGGUUCCAUCACUUGAAUUUCCCACAGCUCUUUUCCUCUUUCUUUGGCUAUUUUCAGAUGGGGUGCUUUGUUGGCUUUGUUGGUUCAUUGAAGAAACAAAAUUUUCACCUCCAAUAUCACUUUCACCAACAUGAUCAUGACUUUGUUCCUCCACCAUUUGAGCAGGGGUUUCGGCUACAUUACCCGUAGCCCGAUCUUUUCCAAAUAUAUAUGCAAAUCUAUCAAACAGUGGAAAAGGUUUGCUUCUCCAUCCAUCGGCUUCUUUAUUUCUCUAAGAUUAUAUCAACAUAGCAAAACUAAAAUUUAGCAUGCGUAACAAAUAUAGCAGCAAGAAUAUAACUAAUGUAUAAAUAAAAUAGGAUAUGAACCUGCACAUAAGUUUGCCAUGAGUCAUCACUGUCAACUUCAACGCACUUUUUGACAUCAUUUCAUGCAAAUCCACUUGUGUUUAUCAUGUCAACGACCAUACUAUAUGUUUUUUUCCAUUUCUUCAACUUGGACUCAAUAUGUGGAUUUGCCUUUAUAUUUGAAUGAGGACAUAAAACAUUGACAACUUUUGCUAUUUCAACCAAAGUACCUUGUUUGAAAGCACCGGUGUCACACCGUUGCUUCCGAGCAACAAAAUCCUCAAGAACUCCUAGUAAUACUUCUUCCUCAAAUGCUUCCCAUUUACGCCUUCUUCCUUUUGGCUCUUGAGUAGCAUUCAAAAUAUUUUCGUUAUCCAUACCUAAACAAAAAAUAUUUUAAUGAAGGAAAAUACCAUACAAAUAAUCAAUUUGCAUAAUAUCCAAUCAACUUGCAUAAUAUCCAAUUAAUUUGCAUACCAUCCAAUCUUUGUGCUAAUAUCUAACAAAUGCAUGAUAAAAAGGAAUACUAAAAUAAAAUGUUAUCAUUAACACAUAUAGCUAGUUCGGUUGCUGGUUCCUAAUUGCUCUCCAUUCAUUAUACAUUUCCUGAGCCAUGUCAUUCCUCUUUGCAGUCCACUGGUCAGAUGUUUGAACACUACCAACAUAUUCACCUUCUUCUGUAUUUUGUCCAUCUUCUAUUAUUGGAAAAUUCUCCAUUGGAUCUACAGACAUCUCUUGCCUAAUAAGAUUGUGUAGUAGGCAACAAGCGGUAAUUAUUCGACCUUGUGUCCUUAUCGGAUAGAAAGAUGGACUCCUUAGUAUCGACCACCUUCCUUUUAGCAAGCCAAAACAGCGUUCAAUUACAUUCCUUGCCUUAGAAUGCUUCAUGUUAAAAUAUUCUUCCUUAUUAGAAGGUGUUCGUCCCUCCCAUUCAGAUAAAUGAUAAGGUAUUCCUCUAUAGGGUGCAAGGAAUCCUUCACCAUUUGUAUAACCACCAUCUACAAGGUAAUAAUAACCUAAUGAAAAAAAAAACAGACCUUAUUAGUGUUUUGUAGUUGACAAACAGAACUAGACCUAACUUACAAAGUUGAGACUAAGUAAUAGUCUUACCCGCUGGUACCUUAAAACCAUUAGGCCUAGUAAUUGCAUCAUGUAGCACUCUAGAGUCUGAUGCAGAACCCUCCCACCCCGUAAACACAUAUAUGAACUGCAUAUCUCCUGAACACACACCUAACACAUUAGUUGCGACUCGACCCUUUCUUGUUCGGUAUCUUGGUUUGUCAAUUUCAGGUACAUGCACAUCAAUGUGUGUUCCAUCCAAUGCUCCCAAGCAAUUCUUAAAAAAAAAAAAAAAAGUUUUUGUUAAUUUAUACAAAGGGAAUGAAGAGUUAAAGCUUAGGGAAAAUGAAAAAAAAUUCUCAUCAUACCUUAAAACAUCGCCACCUAGGAUCUGUAGAAUCAAUAGGCACAGGCUGAGGGACUUUUAGUAGGAUACCUUGUAAUCGCAAAAUUCCUUGCAAUACGAUAUUGAAAUACCUACUUAUAGUCUCUCCCGACCUAUAAAAUCUACCGCCAACACUACGAUUCUUAGUAUGAUGUGCUAAUAUUUGUAAAGUCAUACACACAUGCUCCUCUACAGACACCAAACCAUCAGUUUUUACCCUCCCAUCUUGACGAAGUAAGUCACAUAAUAUGCCAAAAGUCCUUCUAUCCAUUCUCAAUUCGUUGACACAUUCAGUAUCAGUAUUCCCUAUUAUACCAUUCAGAUAACACAAACUAAUCUCUCGUCUAAUAAGUGAACGGUUAGUCAAUGUGGGUCGUUCAACAUGUCUCUGUUUGCCACGUAGCAUCAUCAACACAAGAAUCGUACAAAUGCAAAUUGUCUCCAAAUAAGACAUCUCUAACAAUAAGAUCAAUAAAAGCUUCCUUCGAUCCAUAUCUAUCCAAACAAAAAAAAACAAAAAACAAAUUAAGGACAUUAUAUAUGUAAUAUUUACUGUUAUUAAGGGUUAUGGAAAUGAAGUGAUUAUGAUACGAAAUGAACUAGAUCAAAGUAACUAGCGAAGUCACAAUCCGAGGCAUCAAAUAUACGGGUGGUGUUGGAAAAAAAAAAGUUAUCAUUAACCCGAGGCAACAAAUAUACAGGUCAGAUGCACACACUGCAUACACACUCACACACAUACUCACACGGACAUACACACUAUCACACACGGACAUACACUCACACACACCCUACAUACAUACAUACAUACACACACACACUGCAUACAUACACACACACACACACUGCAUAUAUACACACACACACACACUGCAUACAUACACACACACACACACACUGCAUACAUACACACACACACACACACACACACACUGCAUACAUACACACACACACACGACAUACAUACACACACACACACACACACUGGUCAGAUGCACUGCACUCACACGGACAUACACACUCUCACACACUGACAUACAUACACACACACCCUGCAUACAUACACACACACACACUACAUACACACACACACACACACACACACACACUGCAUACAUACAUACACACGCACACACACUGCAUACACACACACACACACAUUGCUUUAUGAAAACCCCAAAUUCCAAAUUUGAAACCCCAAAUUCCAAAUUUCUAAUCUCAAUUUCAAACCCCAAAUUCCAAAUUUCUACUACAUACUUACAUACACACACACUGCUUUAUGAAAACCCCAAAUUCCAAAUUUCAAACCCCAAAUUCCAAAUUUCUAAUCUCAAUUUCAAACCCCAAAUUCCAAGCUUUAUGAAAACCCCAAUUUCUAAUCUCAAUUUCACCCAAAUAUCAAAACCCUAAAAUUUGUUCAACUGCAGAAUCAAAUAAAGCUCAAACCCAAAACAAAUCCGCCCAAAUCGACGAAAAAAAUCCACCCAAAUCGACGAAAAAAAUCGAACAAUCGAAGCUUACCAGACAACUGGAGGCAGAUGAGGGCGAGCAGAUCUGUUACGUGAAGACGAGGGAGUGGACGACGAGAGGAACAGAUGAGGAGCAUGAUGCAGAUGAGGGCGACCAGGAUGCAGCUGACGGCAAGCAGGAUGCAAAGAUAAGGAUGAGGAGGACGACGUGAGGGAGGAGGACGUCGACGACACUCUCUCCUAGGAUGAUCGAGGUUCUUUCUCGCAAGAGCGCAAUCGGAUGAGGAGGACGACGUGAGGGAGGAGGUUUUAUGAAUCUGGACGUUUUUGGGGUGGUUCGCUAAGAACUCCUAGCGAGGGUUUAAUCCGUGCGAGUCAGAUCUAAUCCCAUUAAACCUAAUCCUUGCCCCUACCAAACAUCAGACUACAAUACCAAUUAGUGGAGUCCAGAACAGUCCCCCCUAAGAAGGUCAAACAAACACGCCCUUAAGGCUCUAAUCUAAUGUUCAUGCUCAACAUCUCCUCUAUCUUUCUACGAUUGGUAAAACUUUUGUAUUAUUAUUCCAAUUUUGGUUACUGGGUUGUGGAAUUUUCCAUUUUUUUUCUCGGUAAUCAAUACUAUAUAUAUGCAUGACAAGUAUAAACAAUAUUUUGGGGCAAAUUUAGUUGUUUAAUUUUUAAUUUUUAUGUGACAGUGAGAUUAUGGUAGGAUUUCGUUUAGAUUCUGCGGCCCAAUGGGAGUCUCUGCUUUGAUAAGAUUGGGGUUGAUGCCAAGAAAGCCAAUAAGCCUACUGUGGACGCCGUAGCCGCCUGGCGCUGUUUUCCAAAAUCCUCUCUCACUUGGUUAAGCAAUUAAGACUUUUUGGUUCAGUUUUUAUUAUGCCCAAUUUUGUAUUUAAACCUUAAAAAAAUUUAAACUGAUUUGGGGAUACUGAAAUAGGCUGCAGAGCUGCCAUCCCUGAAUCAGAAGAUGUUCAGAAGGAAGAAGAAGAAGAAGAAGAAGAAAGUCGUGGAAUAUCAAAAGCUUUUAGCUUUGUGAAAGUAUGCUUUUUCCCAACUCACCUCUUGCUUUUGUUGCACUGAAUUGGUAGAUUGGGUUCAAAAAUAUAUAUAUGUGAUUUUUCGUGUAACUAUUUCUUUACAUAAUUACCAAUUGGAGGUGAUUUUAGAUCAUGUAACAUUUCCUCGCUAGAACCAAAGAUUGUCGUCGCUCAGAGCUGCGUUUCAUGAAACAAGUUCAUCUCCUGCCAAAUUUGUGUACCCACCUUUUAUUCAUGAGGGUUGGUGCUUGCUUGCAACACAAUUUGGUGUUAUUAAGUUUUGCGGUUUUACAAUUUGUUCAUGCUUAAACCUCUUUCAAAUUUUCAUUUCUGUGUAAAUCUUGCAGGUAGGACGACACACCUAUCUUGGCAAUGUCGGGAUGUCUAGGCUUGGUGGAGACGUGGUCUUAUGGAAGAGGUGAAGUAGCUUAGCUCGAUCUCAUUAGCUCUUAUCUGUUCUAUUAUGUUAAGAUCAAUAGUAAAAAGUUCUAUUGAUUUUAUAAUCAAAGAUACAUAUAUUAUAGAAAUAGAGGGUAUAUCAUUAAUUUCUUGAUGUAAACAAUCAUAACUUGAGGAACCAUUUAAAGUAUUUUGGUAAUCAACAUACUUAAACUUAAAUGUGAUAUAUCCAUUUAGUAUUUUUUUUAUACAAUGAUAAUACUUAAGUAUAAUUUACAUCAUAUAUCUUUUGAAGUACAUGAAACUAUGAAGAAAAUGAUAAACCAAAUCCCAUUCCAUCUCUGUUUGCUACUGCACAAUCACAAUCCAAUUCCAACAUGGAAUCCUCAGACGACAUGCCUACUGCAGAACAAGUUUCAUACUGACUUAACUUAUAUUUAGUCCACGUCCUGUUUAGAUUGUAAUCCUAGUUCUACGUGUGUUUGUAUAGUACUCCUAUAAAUAUCAAUGAACAUCGCUCACUCUAAUUAAGAGUUGAGAUUUUGCAAAUCAUAUUUACUAUCUUUCAUGGUAUCACGAGCCAGCGUCUAACGACAACGGUUCCUAUUAUAAUUUUUUUCUCUUUUGCAGAUCCUAAACUAUGGCAUCUUCUUCCUCCUCCGCUGCUCCCUCCAUCACAAAUUUUCUUACGAUCAAGCUCGACCGCAACAACUACCCUCUCUGGCAUGCUCAGUUUCUUCCCUUGCUGCGCAGCCGCAACUUACUCUCUUAUGUUACUGGCGAAACUCAAUGCCCCUCUGCCUUUCUUCUUGAUGACAAUGGUAAAUUCACCGACAAAGUCAUUCCAUUAUAUAAUGAAUGGAUCCAGACUGACCAGAUGAUCCUAUCUUGGAUUACGAGUUCUCUUACUCCCAAGGUUCUUGCUACGAUCGUCAACAAAAUUGAUUCGGCCUCUGCUUGGUCGUCAAACCCGAAUUAAUCUAAUUGUGGGGGUUUUGUUUUAUAUCAAUAUAUUGCAACAGAAGUCACACUUUGAAGAGUUCAUGCUGCACAGAAAGAUGAUGAAAUGUUACCCGUUGAGUCUAUCAUUGCUCCAUUGGAGACAGAGCUGAAGCUUACUGCAGGAGUUAUACAGUUGUUAUGCAAUAUGACCCCUUUAAUUUUAUUUUAAAACUGAUACAAAAUACUACAAAAAUUUAUGUAGUAUUUUUGUAUUAGUUUUGAGUGUCUAUUUUGGCUUCCAUAUAUCGUCUGUACAUGUGAGAGGUAUAGUGUUCAAUAUGUAUUUGGUUUCUAUAUUGUUAAUGGAUCCUUUUUUUUUUAAUUUAAUUUAAUUUUAUUAAGGUAACCAAGUUGCAGGAUGACAUCAGAACACUUGAUCUGCAGGUAAACCUUCAAUUUCCAUAUGAAGUUUGCAUGUUCGUUGUUUCUGGAAUUUGAGUUUUUAUUAUUUCUCAAUUCUAUCACAUAGAUUAUGAUUUCACAUAUGGGAUUAUUAAUGGCAAUUAUAUGAUAGAAGAAUUGGGAUUAGAAGAAGAUAUUGAGUUGUUUUAUUUAUGGGGAUUAGAAAAUGAUUAUCAUACGAGUGAUAUUUAUUUUUGUGUGGAUUGUUAAUAUAUAAAACUAUAAGCUUUUGAGAUUGGGAGAUAAAACCCACAAAUUCAAAUCAGACAAAAUAAAUAAAAAAUUUAACUGACUUAAAGAUCAAACUCCAAAAGGGUAUUAAAAACAAGGCUUAUUUGAUCCAUUGAGUGUGAAAGUUUUGAGCUUUGAAGAAGCAUAGGAGGAGAGUUGUUAACCAAGCUGCAUUAUCCAUGUAUUAGGAUGUUGAGGGUAGGCAGGAAAAAUACUUUUUGACGCCAUAUCCAGAGGAGCAUAACGACAGGCCUGCAUUUUUGCAGCAAGGACCAAAACAAGUAGAAGUGAAGGCUUGACUAUUUGGGUAUUAAUCCUAAACCUAAUUAUUCUUAUUUAGGUUUAGGAUAAAUGAUUGAGUGUGUCUCGAUGAUUGUAUUACCAUGUUUGAUGAAUGACUUGAGGAGUUGGAAAUGCUUUAUUGCUUAUGUUUUUCUUAGGUGUGUACUUUGGUUAUUUCCGAGCUUUUCACGACUCUUGAUACCUAAUAGAGAAUAUGGAAACCCCAACUUUAAUUUUAUGAAUUGGUUUUGGUGCCUAAAAUGAAAUCUAGCAUAGUGAAAUCUUGCAUAAUGAAAUUAUGACAAAUUUCCCUUCAUCUUUAGAUUUUCAUUUAGUUCAAUUUGUAUGCAAUUUAGGGUUAUUCAAUUCAUGAGUGAUCAAAUUAUGUUUUUAAUUCCUUCUUCUUUUGAUUUACAGUUCAGCAUUGUCGUACAAAAUGAAAAAGGUGCCAGUAACAGAGUUAUGGAUUUGGAUGCCUUUAGUGGAAUAAAACUGAAUUUUUUAACUUUGUAUAGUUGUAAACAUAAAAUACUCCAUCAGAUAGACUCAUAGCAUUUGAAAACAAUCCUUGAGGAUGGCAUAACAACAUCUCCAACUUUUGUCAUGUAAUGUAUGAAUGUAAAUAGCACUUUGUAAACAUAUGGAUGUAAUAUAUGUAUAUAAACAGUCUUUAGCAUGUAUAUUUUUCAAAACUUUCUACAUCUUCAACAAUGUUUCAAUGAUUUCUUGAUGUAAACAAUGAUAAUUUGAAGAACCAUUUAAAGUAUUUCGGUAAUCAGCAUACUUAAGCUUAAAUGUGAUAUAUCCGUUUAGUAUUUUUUAUACAGUGAUAAUACUCAAGUAUAAUUUACAUCAUAUAUCUUGUGAAGUACAUGAAACUAUGAAGAAAAAACCCUAAUUAAUCUGAUUAUGGGGGUUUUGUUUUAUAUCAAAAUAUUGCAGCAGAAGUCACACUUUGAAGAGUUCACGCUGCACAGAAAGACGAUGAAAUGCUAUCUGUUGAGUCCAUCAUUGCUCCAUUGGAGACAAAGCUGAAGCACACUCCAGGUGGUAUACUUUUGUUCUGCAAUAUGACCACUUUAAUUUUAUUUUAAGACAGAUAGGGUUGAAAAGAAUUUAUGUAGUAUUUUUGUAUCAGUUUUGAGUGUCUAUUUGGACUUCCAUAUUUGGUCCGUACAUGUGAGGUAUAGAGUGUUCAAUAUGUAUUUGGUUUCUAUAUUGUUAAUGGAUCUUUUUUUUUGUUUUAUAGGUAACCAAGUUGCAAGAUGAAAACAGAACACUUGAUCAGCAGGUAAACCUUCAAUUUCCGUAUGAAGUUUGCAUUUUUGUUGUUUCUGGAAUUUGAGUUUUUUGCAGGAUGAAAACAGAACACUUAAUCUGCAGGUAAACACUUGAUUGGUUAUUUCCAAGCUUUUCACGACUUUCGAUACCCAAUAGAGAAUAUGGAAACCCCAACUUUAAUUUUAUGAAUUUGUUUUGGUGCCUAAAAUGAAAUCUAGCAUAGUGAAAUCUUGCAUAAUGAAAUUAUGACAAAUUUCCCUUCAUCUUUACAUUUUCAUUUAGUUCAAAUCGUAUGGUUUAGGGUUAUUCAAUUCAUGAGUGAUCAAAUUAGGUUUUUAAUUCCUUCUUCUUUUGAUUUUCAGUUCAGCAUUGUCGUAUUUUGGAUGCCUUUAGUGGAAUAAAACUGAUUUUUUUUUAACUUUGUAUAGUUGUAAACAUAAAAUACUCCAUGAGAUAGACUCAUAACUUUUGAAAACAAUCUUUGAGGAUGGCAUAACAACAUCUCCAACUUUUGUCAUGUAAUGUAUGAAUGUAAAUAGCACUUUGUAAACAUAUGUAUGUAAUAUAUGUAUAUAAACACCACUCUUUAGCAUAUAUAUUUUUCAAAACUUUCUACAUCUUCAACAAUGUUUCAAGCCCCGCAGCAACGGGCGGGUACACUUGAUAGUAUACAUCUAAAAUUAUAAGACUAAAUCCUUUAGUUCUUGGAUUCAUCUAAGAACUACUUAUUCCAGCAGAUGCUAUGCUUGCACUACUAGAAUUUAUGGCUUGCCCUGUCAACUAUUGCGCGACAGAAGAUUUCGUCGGUUUCACUUUUUUUAACCGACAUAAUAUAAGUUUAGUAGGGCAAAAUCAGUCAACAAACUGGGUUGACUGAAUAAAUUUACAGGAUGGCUAGAGUUCGUAGGUUAAGACAUCAGUCGUUGGGCAAACAUUUGGAGCGAAGAUGUGAGUGUUUUAACUGACGAAUAAGCUGGUCGUCAUGUAGAUCUUCUUUCCCGACUGACGGUUCAACAUGUAGCUCUUUGGAUAAUAAUUCAUCUUCAAGGGGAACAGGUUGCCCCUCAGAUGAAUGGUUAGAGGCAAUUGUGAGACUAUAAUUUUCUAGGGCCGAAAUAAAAAAUACAUAAACCCUCACUCAUUCUGUCUCUGUAACCAUCCACCAAAUACCCUUUCUUCCCUUUCUAUUUCUCUCCUAGUAAUAUCCCCUGACCGAAUCACACAAUCCAACCAACUCUCUUUAAGCCUCCCUCACUGAUUCCAUGGAUUUCAUGGACUUAUCCCACCCUCUCUCCUUCCCUCUAUAUAUAGCAAGUCCCCUUGCCUCAGUGUCCCUGGCAACAGAAUUUAUGGCAUUUCUUCGUUCUUUCAAUUAUUUGAAAGCUUCCUAGCCCUGCAAUCUUGUACAAAGGCGUAUGGUGUUUCAUCAGUUCCAUUUGGUGGUUGGGUGGGAAAUGAAAUUAAAACACUGCAUUUCAAAUGCAUUUCAAAUGGUCUAAACCAAAUUGAAUCAAAUGUGAAGCAAAGGGCAAGAGGUGUAGAUUGAAGAACAAUGGCACCAAGAGCGAAAUUGAACUUGUUGACAGGAGGAAACCAAGUAAGGAUAACACGUCUAAAUCUUAUUUUGAAUCCAUUCAGCUCAUGAUGUUUUGAAUGAUGAUGAUCGGUAUACUCUGCUACAUGCUGUGAUUUUUCCGCUUUCAUGUAAUUAACGGCUUAUAUGUGGUAACGAUAUUGAUUAAAAAAGGUCGUACCCAGUGCAUAAGGCUCCCGCUUUACGCAGGGUCUGGGAGAGGUGAAUGUCGGCUAGCCUUACCCCCAUUUUAUGGAGAGGAUGCUCCAAAGUCUCAAACCCGAGACCUACCGCUCAUGGGCGAAGGCAUUUGCCAUCGCACCAAAUGCGAUAUUAAUUAAUUUCGAGAAAUGACAGUCUGAUUUUUGCAACUGUCUUUUGCAGGCAAAACAAAGACGUUUGCAAGGGUGAGUUGUGUAGGAGCUUUGUUUCAUGUCCAAAUGACACUUGAGAAUAAAUGUUUACACUCAUGGAUAAUAUCUAUCUAUUUGCAGGAGCAACCCUGGGUUCAUUUGUUCUGUAACUGCUGGUCAUUGCGGCAUAUCACGCCUAUAGCACUGACAAAAGUAAAAAGAGAAUCGAAUGAAAUUUGAUAAGUUUUCAGCGGACUACAAAGAUCUUAAGCCAAGCAUAUAUUCCCAUGCAGAUAUUAAGAGGUUUACAAAUCAAUUCAAGUACAAGUUGGGCCAAGGAGCAUACGGAACUGUUUUUAAACGAAAGUUUUUUUCUGAAUGCUUUGUUGCCAUGAAAGUACUUAACAUUUCCAAGGGUGACGGGGAAGAGCUUGUAAAUGAAGUGGGAACAAUGGGCCAUAUUCACCAUGUCAAUGUGGUUCACUUGGUUGGUUUUUGUGCUGAUGGAUUUAGAUGAGCUCUGGUUUAUGAGUUCUUUCCCUUUGGUUCACUCCAGGAUUAUAUUUCAUCAGCAGAUAGAUUUCUUUCCUUGGUUGGCAUAAGUUGCAAGAUCUUGCUAUCAGCAUAGCCAAAGGAACUAGGAAUGUGAUCUACAAAUCCUCCAUUUCGAUAUCAAACCCCAUAAUGUUUUGCUCGACCAAAAAAUCACGCCAAAAAUCUCUGAUUUUGGUCUGGCCAAGUUAUGCCAAACAAUUACAGACAACAGUUAUUCACUAAAUCACUUUAAGGCAAGAAUUUAAUUAAUAAUACAUUACUGCACUUUCUUAACCAUUUGACUAUCACCUAGCUGACAAUGAACACGUUAGCUCCGCGUUAGAACAUCUUGGGUUCAAUUCAUUGUCUUGAAUAUCACCCAUUGUCACAGGCGUCUGUUGGGGGCAUAGAGAAGGCCUGAGAGGCAUUUGCAGACAUUCAACAUCUCCUCCAAGCAUUUUGACAACUUUGGACAUCGAAGGGCGAUCAUUUGGUUUCAUUUGAAUACACCACAAGGCGGUUAUAACCAUCUUUCUUAUUACUUUCUUUUCCUCCUCUGUAACAUUGUCCAUUUCCAGGUCAUUUCCCACAAUAUAUUGAUCGUAUACCCACAUUGGGAAGUAGAUUUGGCUUGAAUGCUCUACCGUUGGAUUCAAAUUCUUCCUUCUGCUUGCCAUUUCCAUCAACAACAUUCCAAAACUAUAGACAUCUGACUUGUAUGAGACGCAUCCAAUAUUUUUGUAGAACAACUCAGGAGCAAUAUAUCCCAGUGUACCCCGUGCUGCCGUCAAAGAGACAAUGCUAUUAUCUACAGGAUACAAUUUUGCAAGCCCAAAGUCAGAAACCUUUGCUUUAAAGUUCUCAUCAAGAAGGAUGUUAUGAGGCUUGAUGUCGAAAUGUAGAAUUUGCAUUUCACAACCUUGGUGUAGAUAUUCGAUCCCUUGAGCCACUCCAAGAGAAAUCUCGUACAUGUUCUUGAUAGUUAAGGGGACACUUCCUUCUUUGGAAUAAAUGUAUUUAUCAAGAGAACCAUUAGGCAUGAAGUCAUAUACUAGAGCGCGUUUUGAUCCCUCAACACAGUAUCCAACAAGUUGUACCACAUUGGCAUGGUGAAUCCUUCCGAUUGUAGCUAUUUCGCUAAUGAAAUCUUGGCCAUCAGCUUUGGGCUUGCCCAAAACUUUAACUGCUACAAAUCGACCACUGCGUAGCUUUCCCUUAAAUACAGAGCCAAAGCCACCUUCGCCCAACUUGUCCUUAAACCUGCGAGUCAUUUUCUUGACGUCCGAGUAAGAGUACCUUAUAAGCAUGAUGUUGUUAUUGCAUUGCAGAAAAUCUUCUAUUGUGCUAUACAUUGAUAAAUGUCUUCUGCGCCAUGUGUAGAUUAGAAAUGCAGUCACAACUGGAACUCCAAAAACAAAUCUGGCUAGGAAAAAUAACCCUGCAUGCAUGGACAAUAAUAUGUUAGAUCCACUGUGUACUACUUUUUCUUCCCUUUCUUUCCAAAUUACUUUAUCUUUGAUGUAAUUAAAGAGAGAGAAUGGGAAAUCUACAUAUGUUGAUAAUAUAAUCUCGUCUUAGUCCUUACCGAUCCAUAUGAGUAUAAACCAUCCAAGUGCUGCAAAAAAAUCAAUCGACUAUGAGUUUGAAAAGUGCAUAAAGUGAAAAAAAAAAAAAAAAAAAAAAAAAUCAAAGGGUGCCUUUAUUGACACCCAAAUUUUAGUUAGUUUUACUCAACUAAAAAAUUUUUGUCAUCAAACUUUUUAAUUUGCCGUCGAAAUUGAGUUCACCCAACCACAAAGCAGCAACUACCACUCACAAAAAAACCAACAACACACAGCCACCAGUACCAUUCACCAAUAGAAAGAGAAGGAACACACAGACCCACCAAGGAGCCGGCAUCGACGCAUCUACGAGGGAGGGACCGGAGGGUGGUGUAGUUUUGUUGGGCGCGCGGUGGUUGUUUUGUUUGUUCAUUUUCUCUUUCUUUUGGUAGGUGGAGGCUGGUGUGGAUUUGGGCGAACUUAAAAAUGAGGGGAAACUAUGAAGUUUGACAAAAUGUUUUAGUUAGGGGAACUUAACUAAAAUUUGGGUGCCGAUAAAGAUACCCAAUUUCAAAAAUACUUGAGCUUAUAGACUAAUUAAAUGAAGUUGAUCUUACAGAUCUCGUGGCUGUAUGAUGAAUGCCACUUGCCAGCUGCAAUAGAUACCACGGAAAAGUGAAUAAAGACAUACAGUUACUAGGUUUAAGAAGUACAGAUAGAGCACACAAAAAAUAAAAGAAGCUUUUGGGAAGAAACUUCUUACGCCAAUAGUUGUGUUCUUGACCUACAGUAAAAAAUGUGAAGAAGAAUACACAACAUUAGCAAUAGCUCACCCAGUCUUCGGAAUUUAAAAAAUCAAGUUUGUCUCGAUCGAAAACUUGUAAAUAAAACAAAAAGAGGACCCCUUACGGAUUUGGUGCCAUAGAUAUUGAAAGAAACCUACAAAAACAAAGAAAGAACAAGACCACAUGCAUUAGCAUAACAAGUGUGAGGUGUAUAAGCCGUUAGAAAAUAAAUUUAAAAUUCUAGUGCUGUCAAUACAUUGAUAAUAUAUAUAUAUAUAUAUAUAUAUAUAUAUAUAUAUAUAUGUAUUAUUUUUCUGAAAAUUUAACUUUCUCCCUCCAAACUCAUUUUUCUAGUCUCUAGCCCAUCAUAUAAUAUUUAUCAGAAUAAAACCAAAUGAUUAGGAUCCAACUAAGAAACUUACCAAAUUAAGUUUGUGUGUCCAUUUUUAUAUUUUUUGGAUCCCUAAUAUACCCCAUCUAAGCCAGUAUGGAAAGUUCUUGUAAUUUUGCUUUAAGUGAUCACGUGCAUUGAAUUUGGCAAGGUCUUGUAGCCAUGAAAUAUGGUUCCAGAUGGAGGAAUGAAUUUGGAUUUUUUUUUAAUUUCGGCAACAAAUUUCAAUUUGAAUAUACCUAAUUUAGUGUUUAUUUUCAACAAUAUCUAUUGUUUAAUUUUAUGAAAAUAAUUAACCUAAUAUGAAAAUUAAUUUUAUGAAAACAAUAUCUAUUGUUUAAUUUUAUACCUACAGGAUAAUUACAUGAAAAUAGUUUACCUACUAUGAAAAUUAAUUUUUUGAAAGCAAUAUCUAUUGUUUAAUUUUAUGAAGAUAAUUUACCUACUAUAAUUACAUGAAAAAAUUUACCUACUAUGAAAAUUAAUUUUUUGAAAACAAUAUUAUUGUUUAAUUUUAUGAAAAUAAUUUACCUACUGUAUAAUUACAUAAAAAUUAGGGAAAAUUAGAAUCCCCUACAGUUUUUAUAUAUCAUUUAGAUUAAACAUUUGUACUUUUUUAAAAUUUGAUUAAAGUGCUUUGACCAAUAGUUACCUCUAUUUUUUUAAAUUAAAAUAAUUUUUGAAUUUAUCCUUUUAUCUGCACAAUGCACUUUUCCUUAUUUAGUGGAGAUAUUAGUAAUGAAACUAUAUUUUCCCUUCUUCCAAAUAUGUUUUUUCGAUCACAGUUUUUUUUUUUUUGGGUAUGCAAACAUUUGAUAUUAUUUUUUUUCCAAAUGGUUUUUUCUUUUUCAAAUAGUUGGUGAUCAACAUAUAAGCUCUGUGUAUUUUUUUCAAUGUUUUUGUGAAAUUAUAUUUUUUUUGCUGUUUUUUAAGUAUAGUUGUUGACGAAUUAUUAUUAGGUACAAUACAUUACGUAUAUAUUAUCUGCGGGUACGUUUGAAUUUACUAAAAUCAUUAAUUGGUACGUUUGAUUUGAUACAUAUUGUUAAUAUUGGUACAUUAUUUUUAUUUUGGUACGUUUUAUUUUGAACACAUUUUGUAUUGGUACGUUUAUAGUAUUCUCAAUCCUAUUUUCUCUUAACGUACUAAAAGAAAAACUCAUUUUGGUACGUUUGAUUUUGGGGGAUUUAAAAAUAUUUUAAACUAUUUUGGAAAAAAAAAAAUCUUAAAUCGUAGAUAAUUAUUGCUAAAUUGUAGCAUUAUUGUGAAAAUAAAUUGAAUCUAACCAACUUUUUUUUUUACAAUUAUCUCUAAUGGAGGAGAGUGUAAUCAAAAGGCUAGAUUAUAGGAAAUUUGUUACAAUAUAAUGGGCAUAUAGCACCAAAAUUAUGAUAAAAAAAAGUUUAAUCAAAUCAUUAAAAGGCAUGGAUGUUUGAUCUAGAAAAUUCAAAACUGAGGCGUCUAUAUCAAAAGAUCCCUAAAAAUUAAUGUGCCUACUUUUUAAAUUUGUAACAAAAUUAAUUUACCUACUUUUUAUGGUAUUAGUAUACAUAAAUGUAGAAUAUAUGUCCGUAUAUAUUUGAUCUAAUUAGGUUUUGGAUUGGAGGAGUUGACACAAAAUUAUAAAUAUAUUAAACAAAUUUAUCUAUUCUAAAGUUGGAGGGGAAUUGGUCUGUACAUUGCUACAGUAAACAAAUGCUACUCAAUUUCACGUUAUUUACAACAAAGCUAUCAGAUUUGGGUUGGGUUGGAGGGUAAUUUGUUAAAAGUUAGGAGGGUAAUUUUGUGCAUAGGGUUUAGGUGCCCUCCUAUACAUGACCCUUGAGUUUACUUUAUUUACACCACUGCCAUCAAAUAUGUGGCUGAAUUGGAGGGUAUUAUUAAAAGUUAAGAGGGUAGUUUUGUUCAAGGGGUGGGGGCGACAUUCGCAGACGGAGGCCGAUGGGAGCCAUGCCCAUUGCACAGAGAGAAAGGGAGUGAUGGGGGAAAUUACAGACAGAAAAGGAAGGGAUGGGAGGAUUUGAUGGAUGGUCACAGAGAGAGAUUCGGUGAGGGAUGUGAGGGGAGAUUACAGAGAGAUAAAUAAAAGGGAGGGAUCGGGGGAUUUGAGGGAUGGUCAGAGAGAGAAAUAGUGAGGGAGGGAGGGAUGGGGGGGCUGAUUUUCGGUUCCUCCUUCAGAUUUGUUCCGUAAAACCUGUUGGGUACAAUUCAAUUUCCUCCCCCUUUCCCCUGAACGAAAAAUUCGAAACCUACAAUUCAAUUUCCUCCCUCCUUGGCUUUCCGCUUUACUCAUCUCCCGGUGGUUCUUUCUCUCCAUACGAUUCGAUUUCGGUGAGUUCUUCGUUGCCCUCAUGAUUUCCCAGUUUGAUUUUUUGAGCGUCCUUAGUCGUUGUUUUUAUCUGGGUUUACUGCAUUGUUGCUUUUAGUUUCUGGAUUUUUAUUUGUUCCGCGGUUCGAUGAAUCGGUUAAUAAUUUCACACCAUGGGAUUUUCGCAUGGAAUUGAGCGCGGGGAUUCGGGGUGGGGUUUUACUGAUAAUUUGUCUUCAUUCAAAUGAAUGGUUAAAAUUUCUGAAGUGAGUGUGCAGGUGGGCCCGUUCACUAACUAAGCUUUCAAGGGAACCCAUCAGCGGUUUGCUUGCUGGGGGAAUUCGGAGACUACCAGUGUAUGAUUUAGUUAUCAUUUAUUUUUUUACUUAAAUUUAUCCAUAUAUAAUAUGUGGGUAAAUUUACACUAAACAAUUGUGAUAAGCCAAUAUGCCAUACGACUUUGAAAGCAUUGAUUUUGUGUUUAGUUUGCAUUUUUGCAUUGUGAAUGUUGAAUUUUGUGUUUGAAUUUGUAGCAUGAUCUUCCGCUGCAGCAUCCAAAUUUUGCAUUUGUAAAUUGUCAAAGAAAAACGAAGUAUGAGGAAAUUAUAGGAGAUUGUGUCGGCUUUGGCCAUGAAGGGUAUCAGCAGCUUGUUCCCCCAUACAGGUGAUUAAUCGUUUUUCAGUCUGUGUUCUAUUUGGAUGAGAAAGUGAUUGAAAAUAUGAUUUUUUUAUUUGUUGGUUGAUUUUGUAUGGACGAUGUAUUAAUUUUAUUUUUUUUGGGAUUUUGUGUAUUGGGCAUUGUGUAGAACCAGCAAUGCAAGAGCAGGAUCUGAUCAGUCAUGCCUGAAAAGGGGUUUGUUUCUCAAAUCACAUUAAUUAAUUAGAUUAUUAACGUGCGUUGGAAGGCUCUUCAAUAUGAUUUCUAAUUUCUCCUUUCCAGCAUUCUCUUUUUGGUUUUUGGAGUAUGUAUGUGAUUUGUAUUUUUUUAUAGAAUAAAAAUUAAUAAAACACGAGAUGCAGCAAUUAAUUUGCAUCCUUAUGACAACACAUAUGAAAGUGCAUUCAAUUUCAAUGUGCGAAUGUGUGACAGGAUGUGCCUGCCCGCUGCUGCUGGUAUGCUUGCUGUUGUUUCUCGCGUUGUUAAUUUUUUGUGUGUGUUGAUUUGAUUAACAACUCAAGCGUAUCUUUUUUUUUUGUGUUGGUUAGCAGCCAGUUUUAUGGCCCCGAUCUAGUGAUGCUUCUCAGUGACUGUGGUAAUUGCAGUUCAUUGCCACCAGUUGGUCAGCUACCUGCUCUGAAAGAGCUAUACGUAGAAGGGAUGAAAGUUGUUAAGAGUGUUGGUGUUGAGUUGUACGGGGGAAAUCAACCAUUUCAAUGUUUAGAGAAGCUAAAGUUUCGGGAGCUAUAGCAGCCUAGUCCAAGUGGAUGUGAAAGUCCAGACUUUCCUCAUCUUAAGGAGCUGGGGUUAUACGAAUGUCCGAAGCUGAGAGGAAACUUGCCCACUCAUCUUCCCUCCUUGAAAACACUUCAUGUGAACAAGUGUGAGGUUCUACAUAAAAACAGGGCCAGUAAUACCCUGAACGUGGAAUCCUUACGAGGAUCUCUUGAAAAACUGACAAUAAAUGGAUGCCCGGGUCUCUCAUUGUUACUAGAGUCGACGGAGACGCUGCCGUCGCUUCAGAAGCUUGAUAUUGAUAAUGUGGUGGGAAAGAGUUGUUGGCGCAAAUGGUGCACAACAGCAAUCGUCUUCAAAGUUUGACUUUAUAUAAAUGUUCCUCACCCUUGUCGUUCCUUACAAAUGGUCUGCCCACCACGCUGACAUCACUGAGCAUAACAGAUUGCAAGAAAUUAGAAUUCCCAUCACGUGAGAUGAUGGCCAAAUUGACUUCCCUUCAGUCUUUGCGUCUAUCCAACAGCUGUGAACGCAAAGGCUUGAGUAUUUGCAGUUUAGUUUUUUUUUUCUUCAUUUUAGAGAUUUUUCUACUGUUUGGUUUUUGGGUUUUGUCUAAUUUUUGUGGUCUGCUUUAUAGAUUGUUCUCUUUGGAAGCUUCUUUCCAGCCUUGACCUUCUUCUUGCCUGGUGCCUUCUCAUUGAGUAUUGGAGGAGCAUUAAAACACAGGUGUGUGUGUUUUGUCGACAUAAGAGAUGAAUGACAUAAAAACAUCCGUCUCUGUAUUUUUUUGUGCUUUUUCUAACCCAUCAAUUUCUUUUGAGUCAACCAAAUAGUCCCAAAUUGCAACUUAUGUUGUGAGGUAUUAUUGUCUAAAAUUAAGUAUGCAUGUAUAUUUUAUGUUUGUGCCCGCGCACACAUCCGCAUGGUGUUAAUCUCUGUGGGUCAUCUAUGUAUAUGUAGAUAUAUCUAUAUGUGUGUGUGGAAUGCAACAUAUCGGAUUUAGGUUAUACUGUGCAUAGUUUUAUUGCCUGUUAUUAUCUACGAUAUCACUAUGCCAUUUCUAUGCAGGCUCUGAAAGUUAUUCAUGAGCUUUAUAAGCACUUACCAUAAUUUAAGCAGUCUGUUUUGGGUUCUUUUUCAUUAGGUCAUUAGCUACAGAUUAAUGGAGAAACGAGGACCAUGCCACUGAUUUGGGUUCUUUUUCUAAUUUUCUGAUUUUGGGGUUUUGCAGGGAGAACUCCGCCUAUGUACUUACAUUGCCGAUCCCAAGCUCGGAUAAAGGAGGAGGGGGAGGGCGUCAGGUAGUCGACAGUCGGCACUCCAUGAUCACGUCGAAUCCUUAUGAAAAUGAAUUCAGAAUAAAAUUGCGCUAAAGCUAGGGCGUCACCCGUAAGUGGCGCGCUGUGUGGCCCGAGCACAGUGAUAAGUGAGCAAGGGUCGCUGUAUCUCCAUCGGCACCCGGAUGCAGUGUUAAAUGAGCAAGGGGGGCAUAGGAACUUCUUUUCGAACGACUCCACUCAAAGUUGUUUGGGAGCAUAUGCUCCUAUCAACUUUACACGGGACACACAAAAGAAGUACUUUGAUCCUAUUAGACGGGGGAGGGUGAAGAAGCUAGGACAGAAGGGUAGAGUUCAAGAAAGCAAAAUGCGUUUAGGAACGUGGAAUAUAGGAACCUUAACGGGAAAAUCUAUGGAAGUAGUGGAAGUUAUGGUGAGGAGAAGGAUAAAUAUUAUGUGCCUACAAGAAACUAAGUGGGUUGGUAGUAAGGCAAUUGAUCUAGAAAACUCAGGGUUUAAACUUUGGUAUUCGGGCACAAAUAGAACGAGAAACGGUGUUGGCAUCAUCGUGGACAAGACCUUGACACAAGAUGUUGUAGAUGUCAAGAGGGUAGGAGAUAGAAUCAUGGCAAUCAAGAUUGUAAUAGGACAAGAACUUAUCAAUGUGGUUAGUGCGUACGCACCUCAAGUAGGGUUGGAUACGAGUUCGAAGGAGAAAUUUUGGGAAGACCUUGGAGACUUGGUGUAAGGAAUUGCUCAGACGGAGAAGUUAUUUAUAGGAGGAGAUUUAAAUGGACACGUGGGCAGAGAGACAGGCAACUAUGGAGGUUUUCAUGGUGGCCAUGGUUUUGGGGAGAGAAAUGAGGAUGGGGAAGCUAUCUUGGAUUUUGCAAUGGCAUAUGAUCUCUUUUUAGCCAACACCUUCUUUAAGAAGAAAGAAGAACAUGUGAUCACCUACAAGAGUGGGUUGUCAAAAACACAAAUAGAUUUUCUUCUAAUGAGAAACGAGGAUGGGGAAGCUAUCUUGGAUUUUGCAAUGGCAUAUGAUCUCUUCUUAGCCAACACAUUCUUUAAGAAGAGAGAAGAACAUGUGAUCACCUACAAGAGUGGGUCGUCAAAAACACAAAUAGAUUUUCUUCUAAUGAGGAAAGGGGAUCGUAUAACUUGUAAGGAUUGCAAAGUUAUACCAGGAGAGAGCGUGGCUAAUCAACAUCGCUUGUUGGUGAUUGAUGUACAUAUCAAAAGAGUGAGACAAAAGAACAAGACUUGGAAGUGCCCAAGGACUAGAUGGUGGAAUCUAAAAGAAGAAAAACAAGCCAUUUUCAAAGAGAAAGUAAUCAUCCAGUGUGUGGGAUAGAGAUGGGGAAGCUAGCCAAAUGUGGGAUUCAAUGGCUAGUUGUAUCCGAAAAGUAGCAAAAGAGGUAUUAGGAGAGUCAAAAGGCUUUGCCCCACACCAAAAAGAAUCUUAGUGGUGGAAUGAGGAGGUACAAACAAAGGUGAAGGCUAAGAAGGAAUGUUGUAAAGCCUUAUACAAGGAUAGAACUGAUGAAAAUGGUGAAAGGUAUAGAAAAGCGAAGCAAGCUGUGAGAGAAGCUAAGUUAGCGGCUUACGACGAUAUGUAUAAACGACUAGAUACCAAAGAAGGAGAGUUGGAUAUCUAUAAACUAGCUAGAGCAAGGGAAAAGAAGACAAGGGACCUAAACCAAGUGAGGUGCAUCAAGGAUGAGGAUGGAAAUGUUCUUGCUACAGAGAACGCGGUUAAAGACAGAUGGAGAGGUUAUUUUCAUAAUCUUUUCAAUGAAGGACAUGGAAGGAGUGCUUCUUUAGGGGAGUUGAGUAACUCAGAAGAGUGUAGAAACUACUCUUUUUAUCGUCGAAUCCGGAAGGAAGAAGUGAUUGUAGCUUUGAAGAAGAUGAAACAUAGAAAAGCAAUAGGCCCAGACGAUGUACCAAUCGAAGUGUGGAAAGUUUUGGGAGAGACAUGUAUAACAUGGCUCACUGACCUUUUCAAUAGGAUUUUGAAAACGAAGAAGAUGCCAAAUGAGUGGCGAACGAGCACUUUGGUGCCUAUCUACAAGAAUAAGGGCGACGUACAAAAUUGCAUGAACUAUAGGGGUAUUAAGCUAAUGAGUCAUACAAUGAAGCUCUGGGAGAGAGUCAUUGAGCAUAGAUUGAGGCAAGAGACACGGGUUUCGGACAACCAAUUUGGGUUCAUGCCAAGGCGCUUAACCAUGGAGGCAAUCUAUCUCUUACGAAGAUUGGUGGAAAGAUAUAGAGAUGGGAAAAAGGAUUUACACAUGGUUUUUAUAGAUUUGGAGAAAUUCGUAUGAUAGGGUCCCAAUAGACAUUCUUUGGAGGAUUUUAGAGAAGAAAGGAGUACGAGUAGCAUAUAUCCAAGCUAUAAAUGAUAUGUAUGAAUGAGCAAAGACUGCUGUAAGAACUCAUGAAGGACAAACUGAAAGUUUUCCCAUAACUGUAGGAUUACACCAAGGCUCAUCCUUAAGUCCCUACCUUUUUGCGUUGGUAAUGGAUGAGUUAACAAGACAUAUUCAAGAUGAUAUUCCUUGGUGUAUGCUUUUCGCAGACGAUAUAGUGUUGAUAGAUGAAACACAGGAAUGGGUAAAUGCAAAGCUUAACCUUUGGAGAGAAGUGUUGGAAUCUAAAGGUCUUCGCCUAAGCCGAUCAAAGACAAAAUAUAUGGAGUGCAAGUUCAGUGCAAAUGGAGGCCAAAACGAGUUAGGGGUGAGGAUCGGAGAUCAAGAAAUACCAAAGAGCGACCGUUUUCGUUACCUAGGAUCUAUCUUGCAAAAGAACGGAGAAUUAGAUGGAGAUCUCAACCAUAGAAUACAAGCUGGAUGGAUGAAGUGGAAGAGUGCAUCCGGCGUGUUGUGUGACCGCCGUAUGCCACUGAAGCUCAAGGGAAAAUUUUAUAGGACGGCAAUAAGGCCGGCGAUGCUGUAUGGCACAUAAUGUUGGGCGGUGAAGCAUCAACACGUACACAAAAUGGGUGUAGCGGAGAUGAAGAUGCUUCGUUGGAUGUGUGGGCACACGAGAAAGGAUAAGAUUAGGAAUGAGGAUAUCCGGGGUAAAGUAGGAGUAGCCGAAAUUGUAGGAAAGAUGAGAGAAAAUCGGUGACGGUGGUUUGGACAUGUGCCAAGAAGGCCUACUGACGCUCCGAUUAGAAGAUGUGACUACUGGACAGAGGUUCAGGGCCGAAGGGGUAGAGGAAGACCUAGAAAAACUUUGGAAGAGACUCUAAGAAAGACUUAGAGUACCUGGAUCUAACGAAGGACAUGACACAGGACCGAGCAUAAUGGCGUUCUAAGAUUCAUAUAGCCGAUCCCACUCAGUGACUUGGAUUUUCCAAGUCUCCAGCCGAGAAGUUUUCCUCACUCAGGAAAUUAAGGGAACACUACCCCAACCUACAUGCUCCACUCACAAAGCUUCAACAAAAGAAAAUUCAAAGAACUUAGCGAAGAAGGCUUUGAUGUAUUUAACACAAUACGUUGAAAUGAAGGAAAGCUUAUUUAUUGAUAUCAUCGAUAAGCUACAAAUAUGUACAUAUACAUAAGUCAAAAUAAACAAACAAGAGGGAGCCUUCACAAAGGUUGCUUAGGAGAAGUCUCAGCAGUCGGUAGAGCCCCAGAAAGAGAAGGCACCGGAGGGGGAUCAUUCGGAGCCUCAGUACUGGACAGAACCCUAGAAGGAGGAGGCAUAAGAGGUUGAUCAUUUGGUGCUUCAUUACGCGGUACAGCCCCAGAAGACGAAGGCAAUAAAUGCCUUUGGAACAAACCCACAAAUCUCUGAUGAUCAAGUAAAACCUGACCAUCAGAUUCCUUCAUCUGGUCAAGCUUCCUCUUCAUGUUUGUAGCAUAGUCAUGUGCGAGCCGGUGCAACUGUUUAUUCUCAUGCUUGAGCCCUCUAAUCUCCUGUUUGAGACUCAUCACUUCAGCCGCCAAUGAUUCAACUUGGCGGGUUCGAGCAAAUAGGUGUUGGGCCAUAUUAGACACAGAACCUGCACACUGAACACUGAGAGCCAGAGAAUCCUUAACAGCUAACUCAUCAGACCGUUUGGAAAGUAGUCUGUUAUCUUUGGGAGUGAGAAGGUUCCUGGCCACCACCGCAGCGGUCAUAUCAUUCUUCAUCACGGAAUCCCCAACGGUAAGAGGACCAGUAGGGGAGACGAAGGAUGGGCGCCAUAUGUUGUCUGGAGAAGGCGGGGCUUCCUCUUCAACAAGGUUCAAGUCAAAACGACGGUCGGAGGGGCCAGACAUUUUCAAAUGUGUUGAAGAGAGAAGAGGUCGGACAAAUCAAGAUCUUAGAAGUGUAAGAAUGGAGCUUCUACUGGUGGAGAUUCAAGUGUGCUUUGGAACUUAAUGUCAGCCCCUAUAAAAAUCUGCACUCAACGGAGCUUCAGAAAUCGAAGAGGCGCCUGCUCAGAAAUCGAAGAGGCGUUUGCUUUCUCAAAAGCAAGGCUGCUCAGAUACCACGAGGGUCGAUCUCAGAAAUCGAAGAGGCGUUUGCUUUCUCAAAAGCUGGGCAGCGCAAAGACCACGAAGGCCGAUCUCAGAAAUCGAAGAGGCGCUCAAAAGUUGGGCUGCUCAGAGACCACGAGGGCCGAUCUCAGAAAUCGAAGAGGCACCUACUUUUCCAGCCUUGUCAGUACCUGUCACACACACACUCAGCUUUGCGAAAAUUAUGGGGAUUCGGUCGAAGACUUCUGGUGAAGUAGAAAGCACAUGAGUCUUACUGUUCAAUCACCCACUUCCCACACGCAACAGUAGCUCAUGGGUACCACAUAUAACUUUUCCAAAGUUCUCUGCCAAAGUUGAACACGUGAAGUUUGCAGCUCCCACUACAUCGCUCUGAUCAAGAAGGGUAAAAGAAUAGCAAAGAAACAACACUAACAAAGUUUAGACACAUAAAUUUUGAUGGUCGAGCUACCAUAUUAUUACCCACAAGGGUAAAGGAACAGUACCACUGCUGGAUAAUUGGAAAGUCCCUGUGUGUCAACCUCUGUGCUUCGUGGCAAGGUAGACUAUCAAACAUGCCCAACCUUUACUCACAUUCGAGAAAACACUCCCAACAAGAUUGCUUGCUCCAAAAUCGAAGAGGCACCGUCCUUCGAAUCUCGAGAGCCAGACUCCCAACAUGACUACUUUCUCAAAAAUCGAAGAGGGUAAAGGAACAGUACCAUUGCUGGAUAAUUUGAAAGUCCCUGUGUGUCAACCUCUGUGCUUCGUGGCAAGGUAGACUAGCAAACAUGCCCAACCUUUACUCACAUUCGAGAAAACACUCCCAACAAGAUUGCUUGCUCCAAAAUCGAAGAAGCAUCGCCCUCCGAAUCUCGAGAGCCACUCCCAACAUGACUACUUUCUCAAAAAUCGAAGAGACAUCGCUCUCCGAAUCUCGAGAGCCAGACCCCCAGCAUGAUUGCUUUCUCAAAAAUCGAAGAGGCACCGUUCUCCGAAUCUCGAGAGCCAGAUCCCCGAUAGGAUUGCUUGUUCGAAAACCGAAGAGGCAACACUUUCCCAAUUUCAAGAGCCGGAUCUCCUUGGAUAAAGCUAUCUGUAAUCUUCACUCGCAACAUUAGCUUUCCAGCUACCACAGACCACUUUUUCAAAGUGAUCUGACAACGUUAAAACAUGUGAAGCUGGCAGCUUCCACUACCGUGCUAUGACCAAGUAGGGUAAAGGAAUAGCAUUACUACUUGUUGUUAAGGAGACUCCUAUAUAUGUCGACCUCCAUCCCCAACGGAUAGGCAGACCUGCAAAAAUGCUCAACUCUUCCUCAUAUCUGAGAGGGCACUCCCAACGAAGCCUUUCGAAAUAUUCAGCUUUCUUUCCCCCCGAUAAUACCUCUGCAAACAAGCUAUACUAGAGCAAGAAUAUCUCAUAUCAUCAGGGUUAAAAGCAAGAGUAUCCCAUAUCAUGCUUUUUCCUUGUCUUUUUCUUUGGCCUUGUUCUUACCUGCAAGACAAGAAGAAAGAGAGCAAUCAGUCAGUACUUGGAAUCAAGCUUCCAGCCAGGAACUGACUGCCUGGAACCCCUUACCUGAUUACUUACCUGACAUUGUUCUCGAGUACUCAUCUUCAACAUCUUAUGCUUCCAGGGAAGAUACCGCAUCUGCCUGAGGAACAGAUAGGGCAAGGGAGAAGGAUAUAAGGAAGCAUGUGGAGACAAGCGUAACAGCACACGUGCCGAUACAUCCAUUACUCUGUCAAAGCAAAAGUAUCCCAUAUCAGUAGGGUCGAACGUACUCUAGAUUUGAUGGACUUGUUUUGACCCUCAAAUUCUUCAGUCGGCCUUAUACUCUGGAGGAAACCAGAAAUUUCUCCAGCUCAGUGCAAGAAUAAGCUUGUGGAAAGUUACUUCUUCAAAAGCAAAAGUAUCACAUAUCAUCUCUUCUCAUUUUCUUCUCUUUAUCCUUCAUGCUGCCUGCAAGAUAGGGAGAUUGUGAACAAUCAGCUGGAGCUAUGAUUGCUUACCUUGUCUGUCACCUCUUUCAGCAGAUCCCCUAGCUCGGCGAUUUGGGGGACUCCUACUACAUGGUUUGUAUCGCGCUUGACCAAGCCUGAAACUACAAGUAAGCUUCAAGUGAAAUUGAUACAUUACCUUGUGCAUCUCCACCAGUUAAAGAUACUACCCCUGGAUGGAGGAAGAGUACUUCCAGAGAAGAUGCCCCAUCUACCUAUGAGACAGAUAAGGCACGUCAAGACGAUACCACACUCUGAUACUUAGAAGUUUCGUGAUUACGAGAUCAUUCUCCCACAAUAUUUCCUAAUGUCAUUUGUACUAAAUCAUUCACUUGUACUCACUAAAGGAGAGCUUGAACCUAUGUACUUGUGUAAACCCUUCACAAUUAAUGAGAACUCCUCUAUUCCGUGGACGUAGCCAAUCUGGGUGAACCACGUACAUCUUGUGUUUGCUUUCCUAUCUCUAUCCAUUUAUAUACUUAUCCAUACUAAUGACCGGAGCAAUCUAGCGAAGAUCACAAAAAGCGACCGUUUUCGCUACCUAAGAUCUAUCGUGCAAGAGAACGGAGAAUUAGAUGGAGAUCUCAACCAUAGAAUACAAGCUGGAUAGAUGAAGUGUAAGAGUGCAUCCGACGUGUUGUGUGACCGUCAUAGGUCACUGAAGCUCAAGGGAAAAUUUUAUAGGACGACAAUAAGGCCAGCGAUGUUGUAUGGCACAGAAUGUUGGGCGGUGAAGCAUCAAUACGUACACAAAAAUGGGUGUGGCGGAGAUGAGGAUGCUUCGUGGGAUGUGUGGGCACACGAGAAAGGAUAAGAUUGGGAAUGAGUAUAUCCGAGGUAAAGUAGGAGUAGCCGAAAUUGAAGGAAAGAUGAGAGAAAAUCGGUUCCGGUGAUUUGGACAUGUGCAAAGAAGGCCUACUGACGCUCCGGUUCGAAGAUGUGACUACUGGACAGAGGUUCAGGGCCGAAGGGGUAGAGGAAGACUUAGAAAACCUUUGGAAGAGACUCUAAGAAAAGACUUAGAGUACUUGGAUCUAAUGGAGGACAUGACACAAAACCGAGCGCAAUGACGUUCUAGGAUUCAUAUAGCCGACCCCACUUAGUGGGAAAAGGCUUUGUUGUUGUUGUUGUUGUUGUUGGGGUUUUGCAGGGAGUACUAAUGUACUGAUUUUCUGGGAUUUUUUUUGUCCUUGCAGGAUUUUUGGUCUUUGAAAUGGGUAUGUGUUGUUUUUAAUGUUUCAGUUCUAGCGUUUUCCGUUCUUCGUUGCUUCGUGAUUCUCAUUUUUCAGUGUUGGGUGAUGGAAAUUUGUUAAAGUAGUUGGUAGUUUUUUGAGAAAGUUGGCAUUUUUAGUUAUAUUUUCUGUUUAAUCCUAAAUGUUUUGAAAACUCAUAAUUUUUUUGUUCUGGGAUUUAAAAGCAUCUUUUCCAGAUUGGUUACAAGGGUUAUGUUCUCUUCAAUUGGUUCACCUAAUUUUGAUUAGUUUUAAGUUUUGUCCUUUAAGUUUGUCUUUUAAGUUUUGUUCUUUAAGUUUUGUCUUUUAAGUUUUGUUCUCUAAGUUUUGUCUUUUAAGUUUUGUCUUCUGUGCUGUAAUGAGAGAUUUCCGUUGGCCUUUCGGAUUUUGGCAUGGGAAAGUUCACUUAUUUGCAAGGUUCUAAAAAACGCUAGGCGUUAGUUGGGCGGUGGGCUAGCGCCUAGCGGCUAGGCGGCUAGGCGGGAUCUAGGCGGGAUCUAGGCGGGCGCCUAGGCGGCCUAGGCGGAUUUAGGUAAAUUUCUUAUAUAUUUUAUGAAUUAAUUAAAUUUACUAUAUCAAAUGUAAAUAAUUAUUAACUAAUAUGUUAUUUCUUAUAGAAGAACAUACAUAGUGAAUGUUUUAUGUACAUAUAUAAUAUAUUUGUCUAGGAAAAAAAAAUAUUAUCUAAAUAAUUUUUAUAACAUAUAUAUAUAUAUAUAUAUAUAUAUAUAUAUAUCCCAAACUUUUAAAAAUAUAAAUAGCAUUGGGAGAGGGGCGUAGGGUUUCUAAAAGCACACUCAGAAAUAGAGCAUAUUUUAGUCUUUAUUUUAGAAUCCUAAGGAGCACCCUACUCGGAUGCACGACAUGUGUGCAAAUCUGGAGAUUCUUGCUGUAUCGGAUACACCAAUGCUUAGUCAAAAUUUCCUGCUAGGGUUUAUGGUGGACAUGUGUGUGUGGUCUUCAUUAUUAAACCCAUUAGCACCUCACCUUUUCACAUCACCCGUCCAUCACCUUGGGUGGUUUUGAUAAUUAAAACCAUCAACAUCCAUGGUUUUGAUAAUUAGAACUACCAACUUUUCCUUGGAUUUGAGAAUCUGAGAUCCCAUUCAUCGCCAUCAAAUAUUGAAAUGUUUCAUUGUUCAUCUCUUUCUCCCUCUUCUCACUCUCUAUUCCCUCAUCUUCACAGAGAUGAGUUACAGAAAUUCUCCGGUAAUCUCUCUCUCUCUCUCUUCGUAAUCGACGAGCUCCUCGACUUGAAGUCGCAGCCAAGUUAUGAAGAAUCGAGAUGCGAGAGCAAGUGGAGAGUGGAGACUCUGGAAAUUGGGAGUGACGAUCGACGACGAUGAGUCGAUGACCCAGGAAACCUCUUGAAGUUGCAGCAGGUGAGUGCACUGCAGUUGAGGAAGAAGAGACGAAGAGACUUAGUUUCUGAAAUUAGGGUAGCUGCAAGGCACGGGAACUUAAAAACAAAAAAACAAAAAGAAAACCGCCUAGCUCCGCCAGCCGCCUAGCCUGCCUAGGCGCCUCCUAGCCCGCCUAGGUGCCGCUUAGCCACCGCCUAGAGCCCAGCCGUUUUUUCCCACCGUUUUGCACAAAAACGCCUUGGCCACCCUCCGCCUAGCGCCUAGGCGGCCGCCUAGGCCGUUUUUUAGAACACUGCUUAUUUGUCUAAUUAGAUUGUGGAUGCCUUCGAUUCUUUAUUUAAUUGUUCUGUUUGCGUUCGGGUGUGAUGAUCUAAAUUUCAUAUGUUUGGAAUUAUUUACUUAACACCAAUUUGUUACAUUCAGAUCUCCACCCCACAUUUCACUAGUUCAAAUUCCAUAGAAGUUGGUUAUUGCAGAUUGCGUCUACAAUUAGAUCAGAGAUCAACUACUCUUUUGUUAUCCUGCAGAAGAUUGCUUUUGGGAAGGAUCUGAAGUAGUUUCUCUCUGUAUGUUUAUUCCCAUGUAGCUCUGUCUUUUCUAAUUGAUGGUGUUGAUAUUACACUGUAAUUCAUGAUGAUGAUUUAAUUGUUUAUUGAUUUGUAAUUGUUUGUGAAUAAUGUGGCAUAUAUGAAUUGCAAUCUGUGUUUGUAUGAAAGGGAUGGCAUAUUAUGUUGCUGACUUAAUUGUUUAUGUUUUUCAUAUUUGCGAAUGGUGUUAUGAUCAAUUAGGUGAUUGCUGACCUGUGACUUUGUUUGGAGCUCAAAUUUUGUGAGCAUUACAUUGGAUUGUUUUGAUGUUGUUUUGGUUGACAAUGCAGGGAUAGGAGAAACAAAGAGGAUGACACUUAUAACUGCCAUUCCCCAUCGGCCGUCUUCAAAUUUGGAUCACAAGAAGGGAGCAACAUAGGUGUUUUCCUUCUUUAUUUAGAUAUGGUUAGUGUAAAUAAUUGGACAAAAGAGCCAAACAAACCCUGUUCUCUCAAAUGGAGUUGAUGAUGUGGUCGACGGCCACCAGCCCCAACUCAAGAGUUUGGCCUUCAUAUAAUUGGAUUGUAGUAUAAUUUUAUUUUUGUUCAUUUCUUUUUUCCUUUAUAUAAGUGCAGGUGUUGUGAUGUUUUGAAUAAAGGGUGAUGAAAGGUGGUUCACACUUCCUCCUUACUUAAAGCAAGUGGAGAUGACGGUUUGUAUAAAAAGAAAAACUUGCCACGUACUUCAAUUUUCUAUUUUAUUAAUUAUUGUUUGGUUUUCCAAAUGUUGUAUUCACAAAGAGAGACCAAUUAUGUCUUUGAGAAACAAGUUUCUUUGUCUACAUUGCGAGAAUUUGCAGUUUGCAACUUUCAUUGGUUAUUAUAUUUGAUUGAGUUAAACUUGGAUUUCUGGAUUCUGACUUUUUCGUUUGUUUCUUUGUUGCAGAGUUGGCUUCAUUUCAUUCCAGGAACUCUCUAAAUAGGGCCAAGAACUCACUAAAUAGGUAGUCAAGAGGAAUUCAGUUUUGCCUUCAAUUUUUGCCUUCUGUUUACAUUCUUCCUGGAUGCACUCUCACCGCUUCUCUCGCUUACCACUUUUUUCUCACUCACCGCUUCAUCUCUUCUGUUGCUUACAAGGUCGUGUCAUAUAUUUUUUAAUUUUGUGGUUUAAUUUAUUGAAUAUUUGAAAAAAGAGAUAAAAUUAUAAGAUACUAUAUAAGAUACUAUAUAGUAUCUUAUAAAUAAAUGAAUCACAAAUGAUACUAUAGUUGUUAAAAAAUCCCAUUACUCAAAACUCCAAUUCCCUCCCAUUACUGAAAGCUCCAAUUCCAUCAAAACCGAGAUGGUAAAAGUACAAACUGGCUAGUUUCCACCAAAAAAAAAAGUACAAACUGGUUACAAAAAUAUGUUUUGUCCCAUCCAAUUGACGAAAAGAGAUAAAAUUUUCAAUUUACAAUUACUGAUAUGAUGUUUGUUUUGAAAAUCAUUAAGGUGAAUGGAGAGAUUUACAACCAUGAAGAGCUGAGGAGCCGUUUGCCAAAUCAGAUUUAUAAGGUCUCAUCAAUUAUGAAUAAACGACUUUUCAUUCCCAAUGACCUUUAUCGUUUUUCUUAAUGGGUUAGCUGAACAUGAGGUAGAUGCUGACUUUAUCAAAUAUGAGAAUGUUUUAGGAUUUCAUUCUAAUUUUUUGGCUGUUUGAUUACUUUGCUUUUCGUAAUUUGUUUUGCUUAUCGUCAAUUGGAUGGGACAAAACAUAUUUUUGUAACCAGUUUGUACUUUUUUUUUUGGUGGAAACUAGCCAGUUUGUACUUUUACCAUCUCGGUUUUGAUGGAAUUGGAGCUUUCAGUAAUGGGAGGGAAUUGGAGUUUUGAGUAAUGGGAUUUUUUAACAACUAUAGUAUCAUUUGUGAUUCAUUUAUUUAUAAGAUACUAUAUAAGAAACUGUUAUUAGCACUCUAAAAAACUCAUUCUACACUCGCGACAAGUGUAUUUUUCUUUUUAAUUAUGGAAAGUUUGAAGGGCAAAAUGAGAAUUUUGGAGUGCCAAUAACAAUUCCCUAUUAUAUAUAGCUCUACUGGGAAGGCUACUGUAUAUGUCUUCAUCCUGUUAAAUUGUAUAUGGCUCUUGAUGUCGGCUGAAUUAAAUCAAAAUGAAAACCAAGCUGAUCUUACCAGCCGAUAUCACUUAUCACUUGCUUAUUUAAAUUAUUUGAAGAUGCGUAUGUGGAUUGGUGAUUUUGUUGGAUUCACUUAGCUCAAAUAUAUGUUAUCUGAGUCGCUACAUUUGAGAAUGUGAUUCUGUUCCUACCACCAUUUUGCCCACUUUUUGUGGAAAUUAUUCAUUCCUGUUGUGAAUAAUACAUUCAUCCCCGGCAACGAAGUGCGGGCACAUUUUAUAGUUUAAAUUAAAUCACACAAUGGGUCAUCAAUAAUGACAAACUCGUCAUUUAUGCGAGUCAAACAUGAGGCCACCUACCUACUAGUUUAGUGGAAUACCACAAAGUGACAUGUUGAUACCUUUAAGUCUCAUAUAAUGGAUUGCAGAAUUAGGAUAUACCUAGACUAAUUUAGUCAGUGCGUGAACCCGAACAAUUAACAAGGGUUUUAUUCUUGCUUGAAUGUUUGUUAUAUGUUCCUAGUUUGACAAGGCAAUUAUAUUUCCGAUUACAAAAGUUAUUAAUUUAGUCGAGAAUUGACGCACCUGAAAUGGUGUGAGGAAAACAUGUAGACACAUCAACCGCAGUCCACUGUCCUGGGCAUCUAUCUUCCCCGAAACGAAGCUCAAAGCCAUACAUGAGGGCAUUGUGUAUGUCUUUAUAAGAGAAGUUGCUGUAGUCUUCAACGUAGCCGGCAGCCAAACUCAUCCACUCUACACUGCAACCCUCAUCCAAAUCCCAUGCUUCCAACCUGCCCCCGACAUAGUCAGCGACCAUGACAUAGCUAUACGUUUUUGGUUGACUCGAAGAAGAAGAAGAAGUAUUAUUCAAGCAUGGAGCAGUGUCCACGUACAGAGAAGAAUUCGAUGGAUUCGAACACUUCAAGUAAUAUAUAGAUAGAGAAUUGAUGUCAUAGGUGGGCCAAUAUGGAGAAUUGAUGUCCUCGGUGGUGGGCGGAAUAUUUUGAGACAUGGAAGAGCAAUUGUUGUUGUCAAGCCCAGGAUCUAGAACUCGGAUUGUAUUGUUAAUGUAGUUGAUUGCCUGGACAUAGUAUUUUCCGGAAGAAGGUACGUCUAGUACAGUAAUGUUGCUCUCACAGUACAGAGUAUACAUUAUGUUGCCACAGUACUUUGGAUCAUCGUUCAGUCGAAAAGGAUGGCUUAUGUAGUGGAUAUGGCCGCAGGAUGAAGUGCAGGACUUGGCACUACUGUUGUCAGCGUUACAAGUUUCACUGCAAAAGCAAAGAAGAAGAAAGGCUAAACUUAAGGUGAAGGACCUGCUUCCACUAAUUUCCAUUGAUCUGAGAGAGAGAGAGAGAGAGAGAGAGAGAGAGAGAGAGGGUACUAUAGCUUGAACACCAAGGAGUUAUAUAAUAUGGGAGGGGUUAAAGCGCUUCGCUUAAAGUUGCAGUAAGCCCGGCAAAUAUCCUAGGGAAAAGUCGGUCAAUGGUGUCCUAUAGAGAAAAGUCGGCCUUGGUGUUUGACACGGUCACUCACUCUCUCUCUCUCUCUCUCUCUCUCUCUCACAUUGACGAGGGACACUGUAAUUAACAAAAAAAUUGUUCUUCAGAGAUAGAUUUUGAAAUUCUUAUUUUAUAUAAAAAAACACCUAAUAUUAAUCAUUCAAAUGAAAUUCCUAAAAUUAAGUAUAAAUAAUACAUAAUAAAAACUGAACACAUACAAUCAACGGUCACGAUCAUGAAAUCCUUCGGAUCCUCAGAAAAAAAUCCGACGAUGAUCUUUUUCUGUGUAAAAUAAUUUGAGGGUAUAAUACUGGAUGUGCGAUUAAACCGAAGAACCCACCCACCUCCAUCUUCUCCGACCAACUUGAACCCAGCCACUACUACAUGUCAUCCCGACAACCCACUCUCAGCUUCCCAAACCGCCAUUUUUCACCCAUUCACCUACCACUGCCAUUAUUCAUUCAAUCAACCCAAAACACGAGAGCCACCCCCAUCUCACCAGUCGAACAGAUGCAGCCACCCACCCAUUUAAUCCCAGUCCAAAAUCAAACCCUCUCCUAAACCCACCCCAGAAUCCAAUAAUUUCAAAAAAUGGCUGAUUAUAUCAUUUCAAGAACCUCACAAUUCCAAAAACUAAAAACCCACUUCAAAGAUGUAAUAUUUUUCUCUCUUCCUCUUUUUGGGUUUUUUUUUCUUUUUUUUUAUCAAUUCUCUUCUGGGUUUUUGUUUACAGUGUAAAAUCAACACUAAUUUACUAAUUUUGCUUUGAUUUCAAACACUAUUGAGGCGUGAUAACCUGUUGCAAGCUCAGCCAUGGCGGCUACUGCGAAAUCUAACGGAAAAACCAUCACAGACUCUGCCAUUUCAUCCAAGGUUCCGACAAUAGCAAAACGAAUAGCUGUCGCAGAUUUCUUCCAACAUCAAUCACUACGCGAAAUUAAUUGUCAAUGAAGACGAUCCCAUUCCCCUUCGAAAUCUGCUGGGGAAAGAGACCUUCUUUCAGAUCUGCUCUGAGACCGGUUUAUGCGAGAGAGUGGUGAGCCUGACGACAGAGAGAAAUAAGGGCAGGAUUGGAAAAUUGGAAAGUUCAUUUAUUGGUUACUGUUUAUCCGUGUUUCUUCGAAAUAAGCUGCUUUUUCCAGCUUUGGGUUUCAGUGUUUUUUAACCCAUAAUUUUGAAAGAAAAAAAACUGAUUUUAAAUGUUUAUCAAACACUUAAAAUGUUCCAAUCUUUUUUCAUACCUACUUUUUAUUAAAAGUUAAGCUAAACAAAAAUCAAGAUUAAGUUUACUACUCUGAAGUUUCUUGCUUUUCAACAUUUCAUACAUUGAAUUUUUCUCAUCCAGUGUCAUAUCUAAGGUGGGAAUUGUGGGACACUUUUAUACAUCCGUUAGAUUUUAUGUGAAUUGCGUGGCACUUUUAUACAUCCGUUAAAUUUUUUGUGAGAACCUUCGCUGACCCACGAUGCGGCAUGCAUGUGGACAUUAAAAAAAUUCAAAAAAUUCAAAAAAUUUUAAAAUUUUAAAAUUUAAAAUUCAAAAAUACUAAAAACCUAAACUUUUCAUAAUAUUGAAAGACUGAAUCUUUUCACAGUCAGCCAAAUUUUCUUCAAAUUUUAAUUAGAUGAAAUAAUGAAUCUUGAACAAAGCAAAACAAAACGUAAUAUUGAGAGAUUCAGUCAUUGAAGUGGACGUGGAUGUUGGGUACUCAAUAGUCCAAGAAUGAAAACUCUCAUAUCAGUUUCUAUCCAAAAUUUUGGAAUUAUGUGUGUUGCAACGAUUGUCCAAAGGAUUAUUCUUCUUUUAUUAAAUUUCCAUGAAAAAUGAGCAUGGAGCACAAAAGUUGAACGAAUGAUUAUUCUUCUUUUAUUAAAUUUCCAUGGAAAAUGAGCAUGGGGCACAAAAGUUGAACGAAUGAAAUUUCAACGAUUUGAAAAGGGAUUGUGAGUUUGACAUGUCAUUUUUCUUCCUCUAAUGCAAUCAUGUUUAUUAAAAGACAAAAAUAAAUAUGACUUUACAUAAGGAGAGAGAAGGAGUAGUUUUCUUUGAAAAAAUCAACCAUUUAUUGAAGAGGAUGUGGAUGUUGAUUGAUGCGUCGUGAAUACGAAAAAAAGGACCUUGAAAGGAGUUGAGACAUUCAUUAAAAGCUAGAAGAAAAAAAAGUUAAAAGUGUUUUAGAAAAAAAGCAAGAAAGCCUCAUUUUCAAAGUUGUGGUCAUUGCACAAUACUUGAUUAGAAGAAAACUCAUAGUAUUGUAUUUACAAUUUCAAGUCUUUAUGGGGAACGAGAGAGCAAGUUUUCCAAUUGGAAUAUGAUAUGAAAUUUCUACAUAACUAUAUAUGACAAUGAAAGAAGUCUAAGUUUCUAAAUGGAAGGGCUUCCAAUUGAUGUGAGUUUGUUGAGAAAUUAGUGAACAACAGAACAAGUUGCUUCUCCUUUGGCCUUCUAACAUGAUAUCACAGAAAACAAGUUGUUACUAAUAAAUGUAUCUGAUUGGUGGACUUAGACGUGCGCGGUACGAUUUUUGAUAACUAGAGAAGAUGGGCAGUGUCAUGACAAAAUUUAUCCAAGUAGACCCAAAGGAAUGACUUAGGAACUUCAUAUGCAGUGGGAUAAAAUCUUAAGCUAAUUUCCUUACCUAUCUUAUAGGCAUUAAGUAAAAUGUAUAUGCAUAUUUCUAGACACACCAAUUUACUUAAUAUUAACUUCUUUCAAAUACCCAUUUGCAGAAACGCAAAGCUCUCUUGCAUGCUUGUUGUAAUGCUUAUGUAGUGCGUAUCCUAUAUCUUAUAUAUAUAUCUUACUUUUUGUGAUCCAUUUUUUCAUCACUAUGCCAAACGAAUAGCAAAACGAAUAGCUGUCGCAGAUUUCUUCCAACAUCAAUCACCACGCGAAAUUAAUUGUCAAUGAAGACGAUCCCAUUCCCCUUCGAAAUCUGCUGGGGGAAAGAGGCCUUCUUUCCGAUCUGCUCUGAGACCGGUUUAUGCGAGAGUGGUGAGCCUGACGACAAAGAGAAAGAAGGGCAGGAUUGGAAAAUUGGAAAGUUUAUUGGUUACUGUUUAUCCGUGUUUCUUCGAAAUAAGCUGCUUUUUCCAGCUUUGGGUUUUCAGUUUUUUUUACCCAUAAUUUUGAAAGAAAAAAAACUGAUUUGAAAUGUUUAUCAAACACUUAAAAUGUUCCAAUCUUUUUUCAUACCUACUUUUUAUUAAAAGUUAAGCUAAACAAAAACCAGGAUUAAGUUUACUACUCUGAAGUUUUUUGCUUUUCAACAUUUCAUACAUUGAAUUUUUCUCAUCCAGUGUCAUAUCUAAGGUGGGAAUUGUGAGACACUUUUAUACAUCUGUUAGAUUUUAUGUGAAUUGUGGGGCACUUUUAUACAUCCGUUAGAUUUUUUGUGAGAACCUUCGCUGACCCACGAUGCGGCAUGCAUGUGGACAUUGAAAAAAUUCAAAAAAAAUCGAAAAUUUUAAAAUUUUAAAAUUUAAAAUUCAAAAAUACUAAAAACCUAAACUUUUCAUAAUAUUGAGAGACUGAAUCUUUUCACAGUCGGCCAAAUUUUCUUCGAAUUUUAAUUAGAUGAAAAUAAUGAAUCUUGAACAAAGCAAAACAAAACGUAAUAUUGAGAGAUUCAGUCAUUGAAGUGGACGUGGAUGUUGGGUACUCAAUAGUCCAAGAAUGAAAACUCUCAUAUCAGUUUCUAUCCAAAAUUUUGGAAUUAUGUGUGUUGUAACGAUUGUCCAAAGGAUUAUUCUUCUUUUAUUAAAUUUCCAUGAAAAAUGAGCAUGGAACACAAAAGUUGAACGAAUGAUUAUUCUUCUUUUAUUAAAUUUCCAUGGAAAAUGAGCAUGGGGCACAAAAGUUGAACGAAUGAAAUUUCAACGAUUUGAAAAGGGAUUGUGAGUUUGACACGUCAUUUUUCUUCCUCUAAUGCAAUCAUGUUUAUUAAAAGACAAAAAUAAAUAUGACUUUACAUAAGGAGAGAGAAAUAGUAGUUUUCUUUGAAAAAAUCAACCAUUUAUUGAAGAGGAUGUGGAUGUUGAUUGAUGCGUCGUGAAUACGAAAAAAAAAGACCUUGAAAAGAGAUGAGACAUUCAUUAAAAGCUAGAAAAAAAAAAGUUAAAAGUGUUUUAGAAAAAAGCAAGAAAGCCUCAUUUUCAAAGUAGUGGUCAUUGCACAAUACUUGAUUAGAAGAAAACUCAUAGUAUUGUAUUUACAAUUUCAAGUCUUUAUGGGGAACGAGAGUGCAAGUUUUCCAAUUGGAAUAUGAUAUGAAAUUUCUACAUAACUAUAUAUGACAAUGAAAGAAGUCUAAGUUUCUAAGUGGUAGGGCUUCCAAUUGAUGUGAGUUUGUUGAGAAAUGAAGAUGAAGAUGAAUAUUGAUGUUGAUGUUAGUGAACAACAGAACAAGUUGCUUCUCCUUUGGCCUUCUAACAUGAUAUCACGGAAAACAAGUUGUUGCUAAUAAAUGUAUCUGAUUGGUGGACUUAGACGUGCACGGUACGAUUUUUGAUAACUAGAAAAGAUGGACAGUGUCAUGACAAAAUUUAUCCAAGUAGACCCAAAGGAAAGACUUAGGAACUUCAUAUGCAGUGGGAUAAAAUCUUAAGCUAAUUUCCUUACCUAUUUUAUAGUAUUAAGUAAAAUGUAUAUGUAUAUUUCUAGAUGCUGACACACCAAUGUACUUACUAUUAACUCCUUUCAAAUACCCAUUCGCAGAAACGCAAAUCUCUCUUGCAUGCUUGUUGUAAUGCUCAUGUAGUGCGUAUCUAAUAUCUUAUGUGUAUAAUUUUUUGUGAUCCAUUUUUUCAUCACUAUGCCAAAAUCCCUUUAGAAUUUGCAAUUUAUCCAUUUGGUUAUGGUAAAAAAAAAAACUCGGAAUUUCAUUUAAACUCGAAAAUCUAGAAUUGGGAAAGCAAUUUUCCCUUGUUCGGCAACUUGUAGCGAUAGCAAAGGCAAAUUGUACCGGAAAAAAGUGGAAAUUGGGGAUGAAGAUCCAAUUUUAAUUUCGUCAAAAUAAGUGUAAUUUCACAAUUCCAACAACGUUGAGAAUCACAAAUGCAUUGUGGGGAAAUCUUGCGACCACCAAACUUUACGAUUAGAGCGCCAAAUUUCAUGAUAAAACGUAAUAAGGGUUUAGGACUGCAUCGUUCGCUCUGUUAACUCUCCAAUCUUCGACGGGAUUUUCAACUCGUGCAUCAUUUUUUGCUUUGUUCUAGGUCAAAGCCUACUCUUUUCUUUCUUGAAUUAUUUUAGCUUUGCGGGUAUACUCUUUAGGCCAAUUGUGAAUUUUGCUAGUUAUUUUUAUUUUCUGAUGGUCAUAUGUUUGUUUUUUUUUUCUUCCAAUUGAGCUGUGUAUUGGUUGGAUCAGUAACUUUUUUUUUGGAUUUUUAUUUUUAUUUUUAUGGAUUUUGGUGUUAGUUCCUUGUUAUAGAUGUAUAGAUGUUGUGGAGCAAAAAAUAAUCUCAAAAAUCGUGGAGGUGACACACGGAUUUUUGGACAAGAAUGACAAAAUUAUCCUCGAAGCACAUCAUGAUUCCCACGUGCAUGCAACGGACAAUAACGGCUCAAUCAUGGAAGAGUCAAAGGUGAUCAAUAUGGUAUUUAUUCAAAUCCCUCUCAUCACUCCUCAUCAAUCCCUUUUUGAUUUUAUUCAAAAGGUAACUCCCAAAACUUCCUAUUUAAUUUAGGGAUCAUUGUCAUGUUAAUUGCAAGAUAUUAUUUCACAAAAUAUCUUGUAAUUAUUCUUCAAUUACCACCAUGUAUGGCCGGCCACUCCUCACCCUAUGGGCCGGUCACUCCUCACCCUAUGGGUCGGCCACUCCCUAUAAAUAGCCCUAUUAUUCCACUAAUAAGGAAGCCAUUUGCUACCCACAAACUCCUAAACACAUUCUUUCAGAAUUCUAACUUUGGCAUUGGAGAUUCUUAGGCCAAAUCCCCCCUCCCAUUCAUCGUGGGCGCAUAAGGCUUUUGGCCUUAGUCUUAGGUAUUAUUAUUUUGCAGGUGCAUUUUCGUCAAAGACGAAGAUGGUGGAAAUUUGGAUCCACAAAUUGGUGUUUUCAUUGAGAGUUUGAUUCACAAGCUCGAAGAAGACUCUCGCAUUCAAAGUUUCACAUUUCUCAUUCAUAAGUAAAUUUUUCAUACGUUCUUAUUCCUAGAAUUUUUUUAAAUCUUUGAAUAGACGUAGGAGAGAAAUACAAUGGCUAGAAAUUUAGAAACCACGACGAACGAAACUUCCUACGUUCAAAGAUCCAGAUCAAAUGAUGGAAAUUGCGAUGUAGCCCCACCACGACGAUCCACGAAGCUCAACGUAGUGGCAAAAUGAGUAACUUGGCCACCACGGAGUACCACCACCACCAUAGCCAAGGCAACCCAUGUUGCAGUGGGGAGUGGGACAACUCCAUGGCAGCAAGGCCACGAAGCAACAACAGAUGCCAUCUUGCAGUAAUGAGCCCAAGCCUGUGUCACAAGGUAGUCAACCCAGCGCUAGGUAACCUAGAUCUAGUAGGCCCACGACGUUGCCAUAGUAGCUGAGGCCUAAAGCAAGGCCCAAGCAGCUGCGACUGCGGCAAAUGGAGCAACACAACACUGGCGGGGCCAAUGCACCCUUGGCCUAAUGCCAAGCAGGCUAAAUCGCACCACACCCACUAUUCAAACUAACCCUAAGUUGAGUAAGUAGCAUUGAAGGUUGUCAACCGCAAGGCGUUGAAGUACGAAUAAAGUUACACACCCCGCACAUGACUUGGCCCACUUCCGCGGCCCAACUUGCUCGCAAGGUCCACCUAGUGAUCCCGACCAGUCGAAGGCCAGUUCAAUCAUCCCAUCUUCAGAUUUCUGGACUGACGAUUGAAUCGGGGGUAUUUUCACCCCGAUUUUCUACAGAUUUGACAUAUCUCAACACAAAUCUCGCACUUGGAGUCCAUUGCACUUCCAUUACUCAAGGAGACGCAUACCAUUUAAGAUCUUCCAUCCCAAAUGGCGAACAACACUUGUCUUGACAAGUCAUAGAGUUGACAUGCACUUUUGCGCAGUAGACGACCUUAGUGAAUCAGCUUUUGCAACGCACAAAGAUGCAGUAUGCCCCAGACGAUGUGUCCCGAAGCAGGACAAGUAUAGACGACGAUUCUCUCCAGCAGCGUCCCAACAAGCAGCCGCUCGACUAGCCACGAACCGAGCAUUCUGGCAGUGUACACUCCCGUCUAGGUCCUCAAGAAAGCAUAUACUCUCAUCUUAGCGCGCGGAUGAGCGUGCACUCCUGGUUAGGCCUACGGACGAGCAUACAUUCACGGUUGGGACCAUACUCUUAUAAUUAACAUGGACAACCUGCUAGACGAAGUGUUCAUUCGCGGCUAGGCUCGCAAAGAGCAUUUUCCACCUCAUAUUGGAGUAAGCAGCACAGAAGACGAAGAUAAGCAGUCAAUUAAUCUGGCUCAAAUUCAAUCGGCCACCUGUAAGUAACUAGCUCGCCUGCCAAGAACGUACCAUAUGCAAUGUAGCCACGACAUAGACUAGCUGAGCACAACGAUGAGCAACCUAGACUAACAGGUUACGACUGGGGGUAGCCAGAAGCUUCACUGCCCCAAUAUAGGUAAAUUUAGAAAGAAGUUGAGAGGCUUCUGACAGAACGAUUGUGCGAUUUCCAACGCAAUGAAGCUACUGACAAGGCGCUUAAACGAUACACGACCAACAUAAACGGGUCACCUUUUAUUGACAAGAUUGAGCAGACAGAACCAUCCUACAUACACUGGCGGAUACAAAUAUUACUUCUAUUUUAACAUACGCAUCAACUCAGCCUAAUGGCGUGUCGAGGGCAAAUGGGUUCCAGAAUGGCACACUAACCCAACCACCAAGAACCAGGGCCAAAUCUUAUUUUCAUCACUCCACACGAUUCAAUGCUUGAGCAUCACAUCACCAGUAAUAGAGCACCGCAGACCUAAUGGUCCAAUUCCUCCUGAUGCACACAAGCUCACCCCAGCUCCACGCUCAAAGCCGUGCCUACCUGCUCCACAACACUCAGCCACCCUUGAUUUGUCACCAUGGCUCACAGUUAUGCCAAUUUUGCACCACAGCUCCCAGCCGUGCUAAUCUUGCCAUGCGGCUUUUAACUACGUUAACCAAGCCCACGAUACUUCAUACUUCAAAACAUCCAAUGACGAAGUAGAACAUGAGGCUCUACUAGCAGCCCCUGCUAGUGAAAGGCUUUGCGGUGAAGAGGCUUCCAAUCCAUUCAAAUUCUCAGUUGACCACCUGUUGGGUUUUACGGCUCAAAAUUAGGAUGAUGCAAAAAAAAUUGUGUUACCUAUUUGGUUUUGGUGUCGUAUUUGGGUUUGGAUUUUGACCUCUUAGUUGGUUUCCUUGGUGGAGAGAUUUUGUUAAUUACCUAUUUGAUUAGGAUUUGGAUUUACUUCCUAUUAAGAUUCUUAUUGUAACCUAAGUCUUAUGCACUAUAAAUAGGACCUCAGGGUUAGUGUAUUUUGUGUGGCUCAUUCGUGUGGCAAUUUGGUGAGAGUCAAUUUGUGAGUUUGUGAGUUAGAGAGCAAUUUGGGAGAAUCUUCUCCGUUAGUUUUGGGUUCUCUACUCGUUUGGUUUAGGGUUUGUAAUUUGUGGGAUUUGGAUUGUGAGAGUUUAAACACUAUUUUGUAAUCUCCGUUUGUUUAGUGAAAUUUCUUGUCAUGCUUCGCUCGUGGACUUAGAUUUUACACCGAACCACAUAAAUCUCUUGUGUUAGUUUGAGAUUGUUUGUUUUAGUUUUCACCUACAACGUUGAUAUCGGUACUUUGCUAUAAUUUGCUUUCCUUUGCUCAUAAAAGUACGACAAGUGGUAUCAGAGCCCAGCUUUCGGCUUGGGCUUUUCUUGGCAAUCAAUAUGAAGCCUUCUGUGUCGUCGGUGAAAGUUGAUAUUGAAAAGUUCGAUGGCAAUGACUUUGGUAUUUGGCAAUUGAAGAUGCGUGCUUUGUUAAUUCAACAAGAGCUUUUAAAAACGCUAAAGGGUGUGAAGGCUUUCCUGAAUUCGUGGACUGAUGAAGAAAAACAAAGAAGUUAUGGAGCGGGCACUUGGAACAAUCCUGCUGACUUUAUCGAAUGAAGUCUUGCGUCAAGUUGGUAGCAUCAAAUCUGCACCGAAGUUGUGGCUAAAAUUGGAGAGUUUGUAUAUGACCAAAUCCCUUGCUAAAUGGUUGUAUUUGAAGAAAAGUUUGCGUACUCUUCGUAUGGAUGAAGGUACGUCAAUUCAUAAGACCAAAUCCUUAUUGCUGCCAAAAGUCCUCAACAGUUCCAAGGGAGAUGGGUAAGAGUUCGUAAUAGUGAGAGAUUGAAUCUUUUCACACUUGGCCAAAUUUUAAUUUUAAUUAGAUGAAACAAUGAAUCUUGAACAAAGCAAAACAAAAUUUAAUACUGAAAGAUUGAGUCAUUGAAGUGGACGUGGAUGUUGGGUACUUAACAGUCCAAGAAUGAAAACUCUCAUAUCAGUUUUUAUCCAAAAUUUUGGAAUUAUGUGAGUAUUGCAACGAUUGUCCGAAUGAUUAUUCUUCUUUUAUUAAAUUUCCAUGGAAAAUGAGCAUGGGGCACAAAAGUUGAACGAAUGAAAUUUCAAUGAUCUGCAAAGGGAUUGUGAGUUUGACAUGCCAUUUUUCUUCCUUUUAUGCAAUCAUGUUUAUUAAAAGACAAAAAUAAAUAUGACUUUACAUAAGCAGAGAGAAAGAGUAUUUUUCUUUGAAAAAAUCAACUAUUUAUUGAAGAGGAUGUGGAUGUUGAUUGAUGCGCCGUGUGAAUAGGAAAAAAAUGACCUUGAAGGGAGACAAGACAUUCAUUAGAAGCUAAAAAAAAGUUAUAGUGAUUUAGAAAAAAGAAAUUUUAACGAAAUAUUUCCGGUAUUGUUCACUCUUUACGAAAAACCACAUUUUUACAUUUCCUGGCUACUAUUCACUACACCUUUAUUUAUCAUUUUUCAUUAAAACUAAAUUUGUUUUUGAACUUUUCGUUAGUUUCCUUUAGAAAAAAGCAAGAAAGCCUCAUUUUCAAAGUGGUAGUCAUUGAAACAAUACUUGAUUAGAAGAAAAGUCAUAGUAUUGUAUUUACAAUCUCAAGUCUUGAGGGGUAACGAGAGUGCAAGUUUCUAAUUGGAAUAUAAUAUGAAAUUUCUACAUAACAAUAUAUGACAAAGAAAGAAGUCUAAGUUUCUAAGUGGAAGGGCUUCCAAUUGAUGUGAGUUUGUUGAGAAAUGAAGAUGAAGAUGAAUAUUGUUGUUGAUGUGAGUUAGUGAACAACAGAACAAGUUGCUUCUCCUUUGGCCUCUAACAUGAUAUUACCGGAAAACAAGUUGUUACUAGUAAAUGUAACUGACUGGUGAACUAAGACAUGCGGUACGAUUUUUGAUAACUAGAGAAGAUGAAUAGUGUCGUGACAAAAUUUAUCCAAGUAGACCCAAGGGAAAGACUUAGGAACUUCAUAUGCAGUGGGAUAAAAUCUUAAGCUAAUUUCCUUUUUAAUCUUAUAGUCAUUAUGUAAAAUGUAUAUGCAUAUUUCUAGAUACAUACACACCAAUGUACAUAAUAUUAACUCCUUUUAAGUAGUCAUUUGCAAAUCCCUCUUGAGUGCUCUUUGGAAUGCUCAUGCGGUGCCGUUCUAAUCUCUUAUAUAUAACUUUUUGUGAUCUGUUUUUUCAUCAAUAUGCCAAAAUCCCUUUAGAAUUUGCAACUUAUCUUUUUGGUUACGGUAAAAAAAAACUCGGAAUUUCAUUUAAACUCGAAAAUCUAGGGAUGUGAAAGCAAUUUUCUCUUGUUCGACAACAUUUAGCGAGAGCAAAGGCAAAUUGUACAGGAAAAAGUUAGAAAUUGGGGAUGAAGAUUCCCAAUUUUAAUUUCGUCUAAAUAAGUGUAAUUUCACAAUUCUAACUACGAUGAGAAUCACAAAUAUAUUGCAGGGAAAUCUUGCAACAGCCAAACUUUACGAUUAGGGUGCCAAAUUUCGUGAUAAAACCUAAUAAGGGUUUAGGGCUGCAUUGUUCACUCUGUUAACUCUCCAAAUCUUCGACGGAUUUUCGGCUCGUGCAUCAUCUUCUUGCUUUGUUCUAGGUCAACGCCUCUACUCUCUUCUUUCUUGAAUUAUUUUAGCUUUUUAGGUAGGCUCUUUAUGGCUGUUGUGAAUUUUGCUAGUUAUUUUUAUUUUCUGAUAGUCAUUUGUUUGUUGUGCGUUUUUCCUUCCAAUUGAAUUGUGUAUUGGUUGGAUCUGUAACAUUUAUUUUUUAUUUUAUUUUAUGGAUUUUGGUGUUAGUUCUUUGUCAUGGAUGUUGUCCCUUUGAAGGUUAACAAUAGCCAAGACUAAACAUGAUGAUAUUGUUAAUUACUUUCUCAUGAUACUAAUGCCAUAUUGUUCUCUCUUUUGCACUUACAAGUGAAGAGAAAUAUCCUAGACCCUAACUGGAUAUGUUAUUGUCAUGGUCAUGCAUUGGUAUGGUAACAAUAUGUUUGGAUAAGGAAAAUAAACUUAGAAUUUGACAAAAGAUAGAAUUUAUAAAUUGAUACAAUCAAUUCCUUUGUUUAGAUUCAUAAACAUAGAAAUUUAAACUUUCCGUGUGAGAAAAAACUUGGAAUUUGGGACCUUCAAUUCUCAUGUUUAAAUUUUAUGUAAAUAGGUGUCAUUUCUAAAUUUCAGCAAGUGAGAAUUUAAAAAUAACAAACAUGUAUUCAAAUUUCAUUCCUCUUUUAGGUUAACCAAACAAGAAAUUUUAUAAAUUCUAGAAAAUAAAAUUUCGUUAUUUCAAUUUCUGUUAUUUUAAAAUUAGUAAUCUUAAAUUUUCCCAUCCAAACAAAGAGUUUCCUUGUCAUAGAACUUUCAAUUGGGAUCAAGGAAGACAAUCUUUUCACAACUGAUUAUUCUCACCAAAUUUUAUUAUUAUUUUAAAGCAGAUCAAUACCAAACUUCAAAAGCAAAGUAGGAAGGCUAAAAUUAAGGUGAAGAACCUACUUCCACUAAUUACCAUGGGAGGGGGAGAGAGAGAGAGAGAGAGAGAGAGAGAGAGAGAGAGAGAGAACCAAGCGAGAGAGAAGAGAGAGAAAACACCAAGUAGUAUUAUAAUAUAGGUGGGGUUAAAUCACCUUUCGUGAAGUUGCGGUAAGAGCAGCUCCAGCGGGAGGUCCAGCUUGAUGGACCGGUGAGAUUUCCUACCCAAUAGCCCCAGCUCCUUGCUCCAGCCCAUGCGGGCGAUUGGGCUGAGGGGGUGCCCGAGUGAGAGGCCUGACUCGAAUCGGUAGCCUGAGAGCUUGAGGCCAAAUGAUGCAUGGACGUCAGCCACGUUAUAAGAAGGAAGCAUAAACUAUGAAUAAUGAUAGAGAUUUAGAUUUUGGUGUGUGAUUUCAUCGGAUGGAUGGUGGGUUAUAUGGAGGAAAAAAAAAAGAUUAGGUUGUAGAUAAUGCCACGUGGCAUGCCGUCAUUCGUUAAAAAUCUGAUCGAAAUCUAUCAUCAAAGAUUUUAAACAGAUUAUGACACGUGACGCAACGUGAUUGGUUAAAAAUCUUAUCAGAAAUCUAUCCUUAACGAUUCUGAAAAGGUAACGAGAUGGGGCACGACGGCAUUGGAUAAAAAUCUUAUCGAAAUCUAUCACCAAAAAUUAUCUUUUUGGAUAAUGACACGUGGUGCAACGAGAACGAUUAAAAAUCUUAUCCGAAAUUACAAAUAGAAUUAUUUUGUAUUAUUUUAUAAAAUAAAAAUACUAAUAUUUUAUUGCCUAUUGACAUGACUAUUCAAUUAUGGGUGUGGAGAUGCAGAAGAUAAUUAUUAUUAAUUAAAGGUAAUUAUUGUUCAUUGGAGGGGAUUGAAUAUGAAGUUGCAGUAGAAGGCCUUUGUCACAGCAAUAGGCAGUUACUGUUCUAAGGACUUCUAUCCUAGAACAGAGACAAAAACACCAAGUAGUAUUAUAAUAUAGGUGGGGUUAAAUCACCUUCCGUGAAGUUGCUGUAUGGACUUCUAUCCUAGAGAAAAGUCGGUCAAUGGUGUUUGACACAGUCAGUCAACGACAAAGACAGAAUUGUGUAACCAUAAUUCUCUCUCUAUCUCUUUUUCAUUAACGGAGGACAGUGUAUAAUUACUACGUAUAUAUCUCUGCUCAAUUAUUGAAAAGAAAAAUCCAUGUGCAUUAUUUUUAUUAUUAUUAUCUCAGAAAUGCAGAAAUUGAUUAUCUCUUCCUUCUGCAUAUUGAUACUGGUUUUCUUCAAACUAGUUGAAGCAAGCCAAUAUGUGUGCGCGAAAUCCAACUGUAGCAAUGAUCAAGGCCCGGCUAAUUUCCUUAGGAGGGAGAGAGAGAGAGGGGAGAGAGAACCAAGUGAGCGAGCAGAGAGAGAAAACACCAAGUAGUAUUCUAAUGUUGGUGGGGUUAAGUCACCUUCCAUGAAGUUGCAGUAAGGACUUCUAUCCCAGAGAAAAGUCAGUAAAUGAUGUUGACACAGUCCGUCAACGACAAAGACAGAAUUGUGUAACCAUAAUUCUCUCUCUAUCUCUUUUUCAUUAACGGAGGACAGUGUAUAAUUACUACGUAUAUAUCUCUGCUCAAUUAUUGAAAAGAAAAAUCCAUGUGCAUUAUUUUUAUUAUUAUUAUCUCAGAAAUGCAGAAAUUGAUCAUCUCUUCCUUCUGCAUAUUGAUACUGGUUUUCUUCAAACUAGUUGAAGCAAGCCAAUAUGUGUGCGCGAAAUCCAACUGUAGCAAUGAUCAAGGCCCGGCUAUCCAUUUCCCAUUGAACAUCAGGCGCACACAUCAUUGUGGAAAUUCUGGGCUUGAAUGCAAUGGGAGAUAUGAGCAGCAAAUACUAAUAAAAUUAUUUGUCAAAGACACAGAUUACAAGCGUCAGGAAAUCCAAGUCUAUUCCCCAAGUAACUGCCUGCUGCUAAAGCUUGUUGAAAUCCCAAACAUGCCACCCUCUCCCUUCGUGCCAGUAGUCGAUUACAUGAUUAAUUUCAUAAACGUUACCUUAUUCAGUUGUCCUACUUCUGUUGCAAUACGAGAUACGUAUGGUUGUCAAGUCCCCUGCCUUGGCGACCGUGGCAAGAGAACUUAUGCCAUUGAUUCUGGGGUUUAUUUUGAAACUCUCUUCCAGAAUCUAGAAUCCUGUACAAAAAUGUAUGAUGUUUUAUCAGUUCCAAUAGCCGAUGAAUAUUAUGUUUUUCGUUUCAAAUGGUCUAUACCAAAUUGCAGAAAAUGUGGAGAGGGAAAGAAGUGUGAAUGGCAGAACAAUGAAAUUAAAUGUCUUCCCUGGAGGAAACCAAGUAAGGAUAACAUAUGUAUUCAUUGCUAGUUUUAAACAUCUUUACAUUUAUGUCUUAGUAAUUAUUAUUUGAAGGAUGUUGUCCAAUCCAUUUUUACUAGGAAUAUUACCUGACAGUCUCGUUUAAAUUCGCAAUGAUCUUCUACAGGCAACACAUGGAAAAAAGUGGUUACAGGUGGAAUCCUGUGUGCUUUGCUUCUUGUUCUACUGACGAUUGCAGCAUAUCGGGUAUAUAGCGCUGAUAGAAAGGAGAAAGAGAGUCGAUUAAGAAUUGAAAGAUUCUUGGAGGACUACAAAGCACUCAAACCAAGCAGGUAUUCGUACGCAGAUAUUAAGAGGAUUACAAAUCAAUUCAAGGACAAGUUGGGCGAAGGAGCCUAUGGAACUGUCUUCAAAGGAAUGCUCUCUUCUGAAUUCUUCAUUGCUGUCAAAGUCCUCAACAGUUCCAAGGGAGAUGGGGAAGAGUUCGUAAAUGAAGUGCGAACGAUGGGUCAUAUCCACCACGUAAACGUGGCUCGCUUGGUUGGAUUUUGUGCUGAUGGAUUUGUACGAGCUCUUGUUUACGAGUUCUUCCCCAAUGGUUCCCUGCAGGAUUUCAUUUCAUCUGCAGAUAGUAAGAAUUCAUUUCUUGGUUGGGAUAAGCUACAAGAUAUUGCCCUAGGCAUAGCCAAAGGAAUUGAAUAUCUUCACCAGGGAUGCGAUCUACGAAUCCUGCAUUUCGACAUCAAACCCCAUAAUGUUUUGCUAGACCAAAACUUCACUCCAAAAAUUUCUGAUUUUGGUUUGGCCAAGUUAUGUUCCAAGGAUCAAAGCUUGGUGUCCAUGACUACAGCAAGGGGGACCAUGGGCUACAUUGCACCUGAAGUGUUCUCCAGGAAUUUCGGAAAUGUGUCGUACAAGGCAGAUGUUUAUAGCUUUGGAAUGCUACUGCUUGAGAUGGUAGGAGGAAGGAAGAAUAUUGGUUCAAUUACGGAUAACACUACAAAUGAAAUUUACUAUCCACAGUGGAUUUAUAAUCUUCUAGAGGAAGGGGAUGACCUACGAAUCCACAUUGGGGAAGAAGGAGAUGGUAAAAUUCCAAAGAAACUUGCAAUUAUAGGGCUAUGGUGUAUCCAGUGGCACCCGUCGGAUCGUCCUUCCAUGAAAAUAGUGGUUCAGAUGUUAGAAGGAGGAGGAGAAAGCUUGAGUAUGCCGCCUAAUCCCUUUGUGCCUACUGGUUCUACAACUAGGAAUGCAAGACACCUAGAGCUAGAAGCUAUUGCUGAAUUAGAGUAAAAUGUAUAUGCAGAUAUGUAGACGUAUAGAUAUAGUAAUAUUUAUAUUGAAUAAGAGGCCGUUUGAUAACCAUUUCGUUUUCAGCUUUUAAUUUUUAUUUUUCACUUUUUUGAAAACUAAAAACUAAAAUCUUGUUUGGUAAAUACUUUUAGUUAAAAAAAAAUGAAGACUGAGAACUAAAAUGUGAAAGCUCAAAGGAAGUAGAUUAAAAGUAGUUACCAAACAAACCGGAAUCUCAAUAAAUAAAAAAGAUUGAAUUGCACAAUGCAAUCCAAACCAAUCAAAACAUUUAAAAUAGCAAAAAAAAAUUAAAAUUCUAGUUGAUUAGAUUCUAAACAUAGUAAAAAUGAACAGAUCCGAUGAAAAAAACAAAAAAUUCUCAGAUAAAAAUAGGGAUAAAGUAAAAUAUUUAUAAAUAGCUCUUUGUCUCUUAUGCCAUCAAUUAUUUCUAUAGUAUAUACACGUUUUUGGAAAAAUUAGGUUCCCAUCCCUUAUUUUCAUAUUACAUUGAUUGAAAUCUUAUUAUUUUUCUAUUUUAGAUCAAGGUCCCUUGACUUAUUCUAUGUCAUCAUUUUAGUAUUUAAAAUAUUACACGUUAUCAUAAACGAAAUCUCAUCCCUUUCUGCAUUUAAGGCAAAAUAAACUAUAUGAGUAAGUUUAAAACAAGGAAAAUCCAUUUGAACUCCUCCAUUCUUCUUCUUCUCUUAUAAACAUCUGGAAUCUACAACACCCCAAACCCAAUUUUCUCCAUUUUUUCUCCUUUCCUGAAUUGAUCCAAUGCAUAUAUGUUGAAUAAACCUAUUGUGAUUAAAAUACAAAUUAGCAUCAAUGGUUUUAUUGGCUUGUGAGAUUUGUGUGGCAUAGGCAAGGCAAUGCAGGCAUCGUUUUCUCAAGGAAUCUGGUUGAUUCAAACAUGCAGAGACUGUAGAGUGAGUGGGCUAUGUGAAAACUGUACCAUUCUGAAGUCAUUUUCUUUUGUUCUUUAUAUUUUUUUUUCUUUUUCUUUUAUUAUUAUAUAUUAGUCUUGGUUAUUCAAUGCCUGGUUGGCUACACUUAUAUCCAUGGGUACAUUUUUAAUCUACAUGUUUCGUUCUAAUAUAUCUAUUGCUAUAAUAUGUUUUGGUUGGUUCAAAUUUGUUUUACAUAAAUAUAUGGGUACAAAGUUUUUGGAGAAUAUUAUGUAAAUGGUUUUUAAGGUUGCUGCAUUUUACGUACCCACAUAUGCAUGUCUAUAAAACAAUGUGGUAUGAUGUACAUUCUUUUCUUUGAGUUUUUAAAUGUACCCAUGAGUUUUUUUGUAAAUUCGGUAUGUACCCAUAUGCUAUUUAUGUUAUGGGUACAUACAUUAUUUUUGGUCUAAGUUCAGGGUACAUUGCUUUUGUAUGUAUGAAUUCAAGGGGUACAUUAUUUCCCUUAAUACUACUCAAUAAAAUUCACAAAAUAUGUGUAGUGUGCAUGAUUUUUUAUUGUAGAAAUUGUUUUUUUUUAAGUCUCAUAAUUCAUGAAAUUUGUACAUAUAUGAUCCCAUAAAUUUUUUAAUUUUAUUAAAUUUCUUUUAGACUUGAUCGAUUGAUUGAAUCUCAUCAUACUAGGAUUUUGAAUUACAUAAAUUCUUGGAUUUAAAUCCCUUAAAUGUUGGACUGCAAUCAAUAUUUUAAAUUAUAGUUUUUUAUUUAAGAUAUCAAAAAGAUGACAUGGAAAUAUAGUAAUACUAAAAUGCUGAGGUGUACAAAGUCAAAGGACUUUGAUCAAAAAAUAAAAAACAAUAAGAUUUCAAUCUAACAAUUAAAUUGACUAGGGACCGGAACCAAAAUGACCCUAGAUUUUUAUUGAGUUUAAUCUUAAUCAAAAAAAGACUUCUUGUAUCACAGAAAAUACAAGAACCAUUAUUUGAAUGAAAUAAAAGCUAUGGGAUGGAGAUAUAAAUGGAUCAUUUUAUUCACAAUCGGAUUAUAUUUAUUUGAUACACUAUUGUCAAUAUGAAUGUUGAGAAAAAGACUACAAAAGAAAAAACAAUUUAUAAAUAUAACUAACAAUUCCAAUUUCAAUCAAUUAGACAAUUAGAUAAUACAUCAGUAAACGCGGGGUGACUCAGUGGUUAGAAACGAAUUUUAGGCUCGUAUUCUAUACAAUACGUCUUGGGUUCGAUUCCUGACAAUGGUGAAUCACGCGACGGUAGAUAUAGGGGUGUUGUUGGAAGUUUUGAGACUCAAGUCCUUUAUAUAGAUUUAGUGCUUUAGUUUAGUAAUUAGAAUAUGGGUCAUUUGGAAAUGGAUUGAAGGUUUGGGCCUUAUGGUUGUGUGGAUUAGGCUUGUAUAAUAUAGCCUAAAUACAAUUAAUAUUAAUUAAUCAAGACAAGGGCCUUGGGCCUUACUUGGGGCCUUGGAAUUUAAAAUUAAUCUGAUUCAUUAAUUUUAAUUUUCGGAUUAAGUUUUUAAUUAAUUUAUUAUUAAUUAAAAACGUUUUGAUUAAAAGACACAGCUCUUAGAAAAGAGUUAUGAACCUUCAAAUACACUGAACUGGUAUUUGAAAGGGUGUGAAACAACCUAUAUAUCUGCAAUCCAUGGUAUCCAAAUAAAUCAUCUUUUCUUCUUCCUUUUCUUCCGUACAAACUUUCCAGAGAGAGUAAACACACAAAGCAAUUCGCUAGAAUUCUAUAAUUUAGUGCGGGUUAUAGGAUUAGGUAGUUGUAUCCUGGUCGAGCAGACGUUAUAGAACCACAAGCACAAGAGUGGGACGGAAUUACUGUUCGAAUGACAUAGCUUUUACGUUAGCCUCUACCUUCUGUAAUCAAGUUAGUACCGUUGACAUUCUUAUAUUAAUUUCUGUAUUUAUUGUAUACUUUUCAUUUUGUAUAGCAAGUACCUUUUGUUAAAUAAAAAUUGUGAAUUUCAAGUUCUGUUUAUUUCUGUUAUUCUGUUUAUUUCUGAAUUGUUCUCCAACACCCCUAUAUCUACCGUCGCGUGAUUCACCAUUGUCAGGAAUCGAACCCAAGACGUGUUGUAUAGAAUACGAGCCUAAAAUUUAUUUCUAACCACUGAGUCACCCCGCGUUUGAUUAUAUUUCACUUAGACUUAUCUUGCGGUAUAGCAUGUCAUCCCCGCCCAAGUUUUUCUGUUGGCAUUGAGUUUGGGAUACCAAAACUUGCCAAACAAAGUAGAUUGAUUAGUAAGCGAAGCUAAUUAUUCGACUAAACAUUGUUUAGAAUUUUAAUUAAAAGAAACAAUAUGAAUCUGUUUAUUUUUUUUUUUGACAAACUAUAACGUUAAGGAGUUAAAUUGUUAGUUAUUAAGAGUACAAUGAUAGGUGAGGAUCGAACCUCCACCAGAGUGCAUAGACAUUAUUGGUUCUACAACUGCGGUAAAUCACAUAAAACAAAACGUAAUACUUUGAGGAUGGAAGACACUUCGUGGAUAGCGGGCAAUCAACACUAUCAGUUGCUAUCCAAAACUUGGAAUUAUGUUUAUUGUCCGAAGGAUUUUUCUUCCAUUAAAUUGCUAAGGAAGAUGAGGAUGGGUGGAGUGUCUAAAUGUCAAGGUUGACAAGAACGUGUAUGGUGUUCAGCUUGCGAUUGAGAUUUGUUAGAGUGGCACAACAAACCACAUAAAAUUUUCUAAAUGAUAAGCUUGAGUAUAAUUUUUUAUCACGUAUUUAUCUUUAAAAUCAUUAUAAUUAGAUUUUCUCUUAAUUAAUAUAGACCGUUAGAUUCAUCUAAUGACCCAAGUUUUUUUCCUCUUUUCUUUCCACUCUUUUCCAUUCACCGUGUAGCAGUCGUUCUUCCCCAACUACGUUUCUUAUUUUUCUUCACAAAAAAUUUGUAGAAAAUAUUAAGAAAAGAAAAGUCAUCAAUAUCAGACUCGACCAGGUAAUCGUUCCAACCUUCCCAGCAACUCUCAGUCUUAACUAGGCACCAAAUUUUCUCCGCCACCUAACUCGUCAUUCAUUCAUGGGUGUUUCAAGCUUGGUGAAAAUUGAUAGAGUUCCAUGUGUGUACACGGAUGUGAACAUAUUGGCCACUCUCUAAGAAUGAGUCAUUGGAAAAGUUGAAGGAAAGAUGUAACCGAUGAAAUUAAUGGAUUGGAAUUACAAUGAAGUCUGUGUUGGUUUAUCACAAAGAACCCAGAUACAAAAUUUUAAAAGCAAACAAUUUCAACUUCUCAAAUAUUAUCUAACAAACUUUCAAUGAAAUGUUGCUCAUAAUUGAAAAAAGGUUGACGAAGGACGGAGUUGGGGUUAUUUUAGAUGAGGAAGAGUUAAAAGAAGGAAGCACCAUUUAAUUAAUAAAAGUGAUUGGAGAAAUGGUAAUUCAAUGGUGGGCGUUUUUAAGGUGUGGACCUUGUAUCACACCCUGAUCCCAACAUACAUUGAGGAUCGACACGUGACAUGGGGACAUAGGGGACAAAAAUCUUACAUAAGAUACAGAAUGAAAUACUAUAUAAUAUCCCAAAAUGAAUAUGAUAGUGGGUUCACCCCUAUAAAAUACAUACGAGUUUGUACAUUCACAAAAAAAUAAAAAAAAUAAAAAUAAAUAAAAAUAAAAAACACACACACAACUCUCGCUAGGCCAAGACUUGCCCAUGGUGCUCAAAGGAAAGUCCCAAAAGAAAUAGUACAAUGAAGGAUAAAGGGGUAACCUAAACACUCCAAGUCUCUGAUCUCUGCACUGCUACCCCCACCGGCUCCUCGUAAUCUACUCAGACCUGUCACAUGUACAAACAGUGCCUACAUUGUGGGAAUGGUGCACCAGGCAAACAAAAACCCGGAUAAGCUGCAAAACUCGUGUGAGUGACAAUAAUGCAACGUAUGUGAUAAUCAAGAAAAACAGACCAUCGAUCACAGUUUAUAAAUCUCAAAUAUAACUUCAUACUUAUGAAAUCAUAAUCAAGUCACUGAAAACUUCGAAUGAGUCACCCAGACAUCUAACGACUUUUCUAAAUCAAAUCUCAGAGAUUCCCAAAACUAUCGUUCACAAAUACACUAAAAACUAGGGCUAGAGUGACACAGUUCAGCCAAAGCCUACAUAAGUAACCAAAUAAGAAGUGGCCCCCCAUAGCGGAUUAACCAAGCAGAGCCACUCCUGAGAAAGUAACCAAGUAGGUAGUGACCCCCAUCACGGAUUAACCAAGCAGAGUCACUCCUACGAAACUGUUAGGUAGUGAUCACCCAUUACGGAUUAACCAAGCAUGAUCACCCCUAAGCACGUAUGGCCAUACCUAAGAAAUAAGGAUCGCCCAUCGCGGAUUAACCAAGCACGAUCCAAAAAUAUUAUGGGUCCCCUAUCGCCGAUUAACCAAGCAUGACCAUCCAUGUACCACUGCUACAUGGUGUAAAUUCGGUGUCACCUAACCUCGUGACACUAGGGUAACGGUCCUCUAGUAGCCCUCACGUUUUUCAAACAUUUCAAAUAUAUAAUUUAAAACACAAUUCAUAAACAUUUCGAAUAGGGAAGUCACAUAGUGUUUAAUAAUGUAGGUCAAUGGCAAACUUUAAAAACAAUUAUUUAGCAUAAAACAUAUUUUAGAAAUCCAUGCUGUAUCCACAAAGUAUACUAGCACGGGAGAUUUUCAGGGUAAUAACUCUAUCACAUAUAUUAAAGUCACUCACCUGGAGUCCGCACUAACGCACCCUGGCACGAAUAUCAAGACGUCGCGUACUAUCAUCUGCAACAUCCCACAUCGACCAACGAAGAGGGGGUGAUGUGCCUUCUAUGUACAUGCCCACCUCCAUAGCAUGAGGCAUUUUGGGAGCUCACUGGCUUCAUAUUCCAUCGGAACUCCAAAGUUAAGCAAGUUUGGGCGAGAGUAGUCCCAGGAUAGGUGACCCAUUGGAAAGUUAUUGUGUGAGUCCUAGAAACAAAACCGUGAAGGCGUGGCCCGAGGGGGCCCAAAACGGACAAUAUUGUGCUACGACGGAAUCGAGACUGAGAUGUGACAGAAUGGUAUCAGAGCCACUCUGCCGUGUGGUGCGAGUGUGCCGACGAGGACGUCGGGCCCCUAAGGGGGGUGGAUUGUAACAUCCCACAUCGACCAACGAAGAAGAGGUGAUGUGCCUUAUAUGUACAUGCCCACCUCCAUUUAGCACGAGGUCUUUUGGGAGCUUAUUGGCUUCGGGUUCCAUCGGAAAUCUGAAGUUAAGCGAGUUCAAGCAAGAGCAUUCCCAGGAUGGGUAACCUACUGGGAAGUUCUCGUGUGAGUUCCCAGAAACAAAACUGUGAGAGCGUGGCCAGGGCCCAAAGUGGACAAUAUCGUGUUAUGGCGGAGCCGAGAUUGGGAUGUGACAUUGUCACCUAAGACAAAGUACAGAUCCACAUUUAGAGUUCUUCAAGUAUUCACAUAAUAAAAAAUUUCCAUACGCCCCCUACAACUAAUGAACAGAAAUCGAGACACGUUGACAAAAAGUCAACCGUCGAUCAACGGUAGGGUCCACAACCCUACAUAACUCGAUCCGCAAUAUCCAACCACUGUAUUUGUGAUUCAUAAGUUCAUAAGGUCUUCAAAUCCUACCUACAAUAACAUACUAAACUUUGGUGAUGAUCUAAUGGUCGAAUCAUCAUUUGCUAUAAUGUUCAAAUGACGCAAAUUCAUCAAUCAGAUGUCAAAUAUGGAAUCAGACAUCGAAUUUAGCUUAGGAAUGUCAAGUGGUGUCUCGAGCACGCACCGCCGUGCGCAACAGCUGGCAACCUAGAUUCGUCGGAAAAAUCACCUAAUUCCAAAAUGAAUGUUGUGAGACGUGGAGUAAAUUGUAUACCUGUGAAGAAGCCCAAUUUGGCCGGGAAGUGGCCUGAAAUCACUUUAGACCGUCGGAAACCCUAAAAUAGGUGAAUCUCGAUUCGUCAUCCCCGGUAUUCCACCGUUCUCAAACUUGUUUAGGGUUUGCUCAUGGUCUCAAAAGAAUGCUAAUGAUGGUGGUGAUUGAAAGAGAACGUUUCAGAAAUAGUGAAUCACCAAUGAGGGUUUCACGAAACCGACAUGGGUGUUCCUCGUGGAACCAAGACCAAAUCUCAACGGUUUUGGCUAGAAAUGGAUGCUGGGAUGUCAUGGUGAAGUUUGGUAGUGAUGGGAGGUUGAAGAAAGACAAAAAAAAUCGACAAAAAAAUCGUCGUCGGAGUCGCAAGAAACGAGUUAGAAAAAUGAGUCGUCGGGUCUGAAACGUCGAAGGCUUUUGAGACAACUACUUACUCUCUCUUCUCUGAUUAGUCACUCCACUCACUCUCUCAUUUGAUUGGUCCAGCCUUCCCACAUGGUGGGAGUUCCCUCAUAUAGUAACCCAAAAUUUACUAUUUAAAUCUGGUAUUGAACGUCCGUAACUUUUUCGUUAUGGUUUCGAUUCGCAAACGGUUUUCACCUAUGCGCUCGUAUGAUCGAAUUAUACUCAAAAACAUUAAUUAUGACCUCGAAAAGGUCUACGAGUUUUAAAAGAUUAAUUACAAAAAUUCACACCUUGUAACUAUACGAUUCAAAUCCUAAAAUUAACGGAAUUAAAAUAAACUAAAAAUAAUGUAAACACGAAAUACAGACUUUAAUAAUGAAAUACGUAAUUAAUAGUGGAAUUCCGGGGAUGGGAUUUCACAACUUGCGUCCGGACCUUCAAUGCGGAUCAAAAUCCAAAGGUCGUGAUCUGACGAGCUCAUGCAUAGAACAGAGUUGUUGUGACCCAAUGCAAUUCAAAACUUUUAUGUUUUUUUAUUUACUGGGUACGUUUUUUAUUUACUGGGUACAUUUUUGCAAGACGUUAAAGAAAGCGCUUCUUGGGAGGCAACCCAUGUAUUCAAAAAAGGAAGAUCUAUGAAUCGCUCUACAAUUAGUUUUGCGUUUCUAAAAACCUUCCCUUUUCUGCAUUUCUAUUUUGCCAUGAUUGUCAUUUUUUAUUUUUGUUGUUUAUUUAAUUAUUUUUGGGUGUGGGUUUAUUUUUGAAACAUUGACAGAUAUGCAAGAUAUUCUUACAUUCAUUUUCAUGAAAAAAAGAAAAGGGAACAUUAAGCAGGAAAUUACAAGAGGGAGCCUUCACAAAGGCUGCUUAGGAGAAGUCUCAGUAGUCGGCGGAGCCCCAGAAGAAGGAGGCAGCGGAGGUUGAUCAUUUGGAGCUUCAGUACGCGGUGCAGCCCCAGAAGACGAAUGCAAAUGUUGUUGGAACAAACCCACAAACCGCUGAUGAUCAAGUAAAAUCUGACAAUCAGAUUCCUGCAUCUGGUCAAUCUUCCUCUUCAUGUUUGUAGCAUAAUUAUGUGCGAGCCUGUGCAACUGUUUAUUCUCAUGCUUAAGCCCUCUAAUCUCCUGCUUAAGACUCAUCACUUCAGCCGCCAAUGAUUCAACUUGACGGGUUCGGGCAAAUAGGCGUUGGGCCAUAUUAGACACGGAACGUGCGCACUGCACACUGAGAGCUAGAGAAUCCUUUACAUCCAACUCAUCAGACCGUUUGGCAAGUAGUCUAUUAUCUUUGGGAGUGACAGGGUUCCUGACCACCACCGCAGCUGUCAUAUCAUUCUUCAUCACCGAAUCCCCAACGAUAAGGGGACCAGUAGGGGAUAUGAAGGAUGGGCGCCAUAUGUUGUCUGGAGAAGGCGGGACUGCCUCUUCACCAAGGUUCAAGUCAAAACGACGAUCGGAUGGGCCAAACAUUUUCACAGGUGUUAAAGAAAGAAGAGGUCGGACAAGUCAAGAUCGUAGAAGUGCAAGAUGAGAGUUUUUACAGGCAGAAAUUCAAGUGUGCUUUGAACGUCCUACGUACUUCUAUAAAAAUCAGCACUCGAUGGGAUUUCAGAGAUCGAAGAGGCAAGCUCAGAAAUCGAAGAGGCCAACUAAAAAAAUUAAAGAGGCGCUAGCUUUCUCAAAAGCUGAGCUUGCUCAGAAACCACGGCCAAUCUUCUUUUCCAGAUUUGUCCGCACUUGUCACAUGCAACUCGACGGGAUUUCAGAGAUCGAAGAGGCAAUUCCAGAUAUCGGAUAGGCAUCUGCUUUUGCAGACGUGUCAACAUCUGUCACAUGCAGAGUAAGCUUUGCGAAAAUCACGGGCAGUUUGUGAAGCGCCGAUUCCAACCAUCUGCUUUUGCAGACGUGUCAACAUCUGUCACAUGCAUAGUAAGCUUUGCGGAAAUCACGGGCAGUUUGUCGAAGCACCGAUUCCAACCAUCUGCUUUUCCCGACGUGUCAACAUCUGUCACUUGCAGAGUCAGCUUUACGAAAAUUACGGGCAAUCUGUCGAAGAUCUCUUGUGAAGUUUACUAUUAAAUCAUCCAACGGUUGCUGACAAGAGUGAAAGAAUAGUACCGACUAUUAAUUCCUAUAAAUGUCAUCCUUCACCCUCAAUUGCAAGGCAGACAUACAUAACCCCCUUCUUCUCAGAAAAUGCCUUUCCAACACACCCUCUCGAGUCACUCAGUGUUCCUAAUUCCUUGGGGUACCUCUGCAAACAACUCAUCCAAAGCAAAAGUAUUUCAUAUCAUGAAGGUUGAAAGCAAGAGUAUCUCAUAUCAUGCUUUCUCCCUGUCCUUCUCCUUGUCUUUGUUUUAGGACAAGGAGAAAGAGAGCAAUCAGCCAGCACUUGGUAUCAAUCUUCCGAUCUGGAACCGACUGCCUGGAACCCCUUCCUGAUUGCUUACCUAGCCUUGCUCUCGAGAACUCAUCUUCAUCAUCUUAUGCUUCCUCUUCGUCUACCACAUCUGCCUGGGGAACAGAUAAGGGAAGUGAAAAUGAUACCUCGAAGCAUGUGGAAACAAUUUACCAAUUCAUCCUUAGCUAGGGACAAGGAGAAAAAAAGCAAGAGGUGGGCACUUGGAAAGAUUGAAGAAAGAAACAGACCAACACCUCUACCUCAUGCCUGCCCGCCGUGCAGAAGAAUCAAGCAGAGAAGAAUACAGACUGCACAAUCAAAUCAGGGAACUCUCAUAUUUCUCGCUCAGAAUUCCAAACCAGUUCAAGAUCAACGCUGUGGAAAGUCAACAAGAUCAUCUAUCUCCAAAACCAGAUUUGCGUUCUUAAACUCUACUCUGUCUGGUUUUUACUUUGCUAUACUUGUCAUGUUUAUUCGUUGUUUGUUUGUUUGCUUGUUGUUGUGUGAGUUUAUGUUUAAAACAUUGAGGACAAUGUUUGAUUUAAGUGUGGAGGGAUAACCAUUGUUUUGCAUGAAAUUCGUAGGAGUUUAUCACCCAUUACUUCUAGUGUUGUUCCUUGCUGUUUUAAGUGUUUUAAGCUGUUUUGGAGUGUUUCAGUGUGUUUUGACAUAAAAAUCCGAAAAUCUCAUAAAAAUUUGAAAAAUUGUUUUGAAAAACCAAAAAAGAGUUGUUUUUGUAUGUUUAUUUGUGUUUUAGGGUACCUUCCAACACAAUGAUGAGGAUUUGGUUUUUAAUUACAUGACUGUUAAAGAGAAUUAUAAACAUGGAUGAAAAUUUGAUUUACUCUUUGGUGUAUGCUUGGUUGUGGUUAUAAUUUAUGAAUUCACAUGCAAUCAUAAAGGAAAAAUCAAUUUUGUAACAUGCUUGAAAGAAGGAACUCAAAUGUACGCUACAACCUUGUGAGACUUGAGCCUAGACGUUUAUUUGGAGAGUUAAUAAUGUGCAUUUUUGUUUUCUAAAGUCGUUGUAUGAUCUCAUUAUUCUUUGCUUGGUUGCUACCUAGAAUGCGUUCAUCAUUAUAGAUCCACAUACUAGAACUCAUGCCCGUUCCAUUCAAAGCAUGACAUUAAUUUGCAUAACACAUAUCCAAGAUGAAGUUGUUUAGUGAACCAAAGCCAAAAUAGCCGAACCCACCUUUGUCAUUUGUUUUGUAGGUUUAAACCCCGUUGAGCCUUGUUUAGCCUAUUUUCUUUGUUAAACCACAUCAUCUCUACCUAACCUAGAAUAGGACUAUCCAUACCCUUGUUCUUGAAGUAUAGUGGAGCAUAACUUAGAAAGAAUUCAUUUUGAAACUUAUUGGGGGAAUUUAGAUUUCAAAUUUUUUGUGUGCCAAAGAAAACGGCAAGAGAAAAAAUUCGUGAAAAAAAAGAAAAAAGAAAAGAAAAAUUUGCAAAUUUUCCUGUGUUUAAAAGUAGAUGCCUAAAUUAACCCUUACAUUAAUUUUCCUUGAAUAAUUUCUCAUUCCAUCUAAUUUAGAUCCAUCUUGCUCACUAUUCUUUUUAAAUUUGUGGAUUUUGAAAUUUCAAAUGAGAAUGAAAUUGGAUGAGUUCAAUUUUCGUUUAAUUCUUACAAUUAAUAAGAAAUUCCGUCGAAAACAUUUUGAGUAUUGUUUAAUUUUUCAAUAUUACCGUAUUGUGUCAUUGAAAUAAUUAUCAGAGGAAUUAGGGAAUUCUCUUAAGGAACAACUCAAAAUGUAGUACAUGAUUAAAUAAUUCCUUUGAAUGGUCAACUAUGAUCAACAUAUCUUGUAUCAGAUCUUAGUCAAAUACCUGUUAAGAGUGUAAAUUUCUUGUGUGAAAAUGAGUGUAUCUAGUAAUUUUGGCAUUAGGAUGUUACUACAUUCUCAAAAUGCUGUUUUUUGAUUAAAUGAGCUGUGAGGUACUAAUCAAAUAUGCUCGAGGGUAAGAAUGGCUUAAAUUAUGUGAGUGGUGAUCUGGUUCAUGUUUCAUUAAAAAUCCCUGAGGCAAAUGUUGGAAGAUUUAGGUUAUGUUUUGUUUGUUUCGUUUGUUUUGUUUUGCUCGAGGACUAGCAAAAGCUAAGUGUGGGGAAUUUGAAUUUGAUAGGAGCAUUAUUAUGCGACUGAGUUAGCUUGUUCUCAUGCAUUUAUGUUGUUAUUUCUUAGUUAAUUAUGUAUUUUAAGCUAUUUUCGUGUGUUUGUAGGUCCAUAGGCCUUAUAAAGCAAUAAGGUGCAUUUUGGAGCAGUUUUGGGCUUGGAAUGGAUAGCACAUGCAUGGAGUAAGGUGAUGGACGAAAUUGAAGACUAAAGAGGCUUGGAAUGUGUUAAAAAGAAAGAAUAAUUAAUGACAAAGAGCUCAGCAACCAAACAGGGAACAUGAGUCAAGAUUACCUUAUUUUGAUUUAAUCUUUCCUAAUCUUCAAUGUCCCUAAGUUCCAACAACAUUCCUUGUCUAUUUCAUUCACUCAUUGCCUAGCACCACCCUUGUUCCCUCCAUCAUUCCAAAUUUCUUGCAUCAAUCAUCACUCCACCUUAACCCUUGACUCAUUUCUACACCAUUCCACCUCCCUUUCCUUUCUCUACCAUGUGCACAAUCAUUCAUGUUCCCUACUUGCAUUCAUUGUUGCAACACCACUCCAUUUUACCCCUCAUGCUUUGCAUCAUUACUUCACUUUCACCUUUGAAUCAUUUCAACACCACUUCAUUUUACCCAUGGUUUGCAUCAUUACUUCACUUUCACUUUCACCUUUGCAUCAUUACUUCACUUUCACCUUUGAAUCAUUUCAACACCACUCCAUGUCCCCCUCCAUUGCCUUGCCCUUCCUCUAUAAAAGGAAGUGUGUGUAACAUAAAUUUAGUUCAUAUAUUUUUUUAGAUCAUUCACUCCCAUUUCAAUACAACCUUCAUCCAAACACAUUCAUUCAUCUUCACAUCCAUUCCUCCAUACAAACAAACCUUCAAACACUCACCAACACCUUGUGCCAUAGCAAAGGAAGGAAAGGAAAAUGCUUGGACGUGCGUGCUGUCAACUUGGAUCGUUGGAGCGUUUAGGUGUUUUCUUUCUUUUGUUUCCAAUGUUAAAUUCAUUUUCUGAUUUUGUUGCAAUUAUGAGUGGCUAAAACCCUAUUUAGUUAGGGGGAAGUUUGAAGCCAUGAACAUGCUUGAGAUAUGAAUUGAUUUCUUCCAAUUGUGAUUUGAUAAGUUGUGAUUGCAAUUCAAUUAUCUAUUUUAUUCAUAACUGAUUCUUGUAUGUUUAUUAAGGAUGCAUACUUAAUUUUCAUGCAUGAAUUAGAUGCUAGAAUAUAAAUGAGUUUCACCUAAUCGUUACAAGUUUAUAUUCAUGAGUAGUGAAGGUUGUUUAUCACAAUCUGACACACCCCGUCCCGAAGGAGGGCGUGCUGGCCGUCACGUGAGAGUGACGUAACCAUUUACACAGUUCGGAAGCUUUAAAAAAAAAUUCCAAUUACUAAUAUAACACACCCGAGGGUGAGUCCUACUUUUGUGAAUUCUGUCAGAACACCGUUGGAUUCCUCGUGGCCACCAAAGCUCUGCUAACUUGAACCUGGGGCGCAAAACAAAAGCUUGAACUUGAACCUUUCAGGCGCAAAACAAAAGUUUUUUCGAAAACUUUUCAUUUAAAACAUUUCUAACCCCUCACUGUAAAACCUGUAUACUUUCCCAGAAAAUAGUGUAUAUAUAAACAUAUAUAUAAGCAAAAAUCUCGAAUCUCAAACCUUUAACACUUUUCAGAAAUAUAUAUAUAUAUAUAUAUAUAUAUAUAUAACCAUUUGAAAUCUCAAGACUUGAAUCCCAAAUCUUUAACAUUUUUCAAGAAAAGCAUGCCAUGCCAUAAAUCAAAAAUAUAAAUCAGGUGAAAUAAGGAAUCAAUCGGAGACCCUGCAGUUGGUCCUAUACGAUUAAUUCAAUAGCUCAUUAUCUCACUAAGCCGGAGUCACCACAGUAACCUAUACGGCCCUACUCUGCACAUCACUCAGAACUACGUAAGGUAGUCUAUACGAUGAAAGGUGUAAAAAUACGCUCUAGUGCUUCUCUCAUCAUAUCAUCAGCGCGCAUAACUAAGAUCACCCACUAGUCGGAAUCACGCCUAGUGAUCUAUACGACUAGCAUGUCGGAACCCUCACAUGGUCUGUACGACAUCCACCUACUUGGAUCCAAGGCGAGCGUGCGGUGUGGUGAAUAAAAUAAGCACUAACACCUAGGGUGCAGGUUAUGAGCUUAAAACAUCUUAUCAACAAUCAAUUAAAUGAAUAAAUGAACUCACCUGACUUACCUGUGCCUCCACCGCACCAUGCAACAUGUAUGCAUCAAAUAUCAAUUCGUAUAACUCAUACGCAAUUCACAUUUUUCAAUUAAUUCUAUGCAUGGCAUUUUUAAAACAUAUUUUCAUAUAAAUUCAUUUUAUGGGAAAAAUCAAUAGUAUAAAGGUAAUACAAAAACAAAACUGCCCACUCACCUGGAGUUCGCCCAACAACUCCCUAGCACCACACAUCAAGGCGUCAUGAAGAUUAGUGCCUAGAACAAUAAUCAAACCCAACCUCAGAAAUCAUGCCGAUAGAAUACAUAACUUAUAUAAGACGCGUCCCUACGUAGUUCGAUCCGGAUGAUCUGCAACUCGGAUUUCAAAUCCGUAACUUCCAGAGGUCCACAAUAUACCUCUAGGACAACAUCCUAAAAUUUCAUUACCAUCCAACGGUCGGAUCUCCGUCAAUUUCCAAAACUAAGUGCCGGUUAACAUUCUAUUUUAUGAACUUACAACUCCAAUUCCGGAAGAUCCGUAAAUCGGAUUCCCAAUCCGUAAGUUCCUAUAAUCCUCAAAUAUUACGUAUUACAACGUAUCAACGUUUGGUGACGAUCCAACGGUCGGAUCGUCAAUUCACAUUUUCACCUAACUACGAAUCGUAACCAACUUAGGUUCAAUUACUCAAUUUACGUCCAUCAAUUAUCAAAACUGAACCUAGAGCCUUAAUCACAUGCUAAUAAUGACAUUGGCGGGCCAUUGGCCAUGCGCCGCCGCGCGGGCCGCCGCGGGUGGCGGUUGGCCGCCCCCGGCUCGCCGGAAAAUUCAACUAUUUCCAAAAAUUACCAAAAUUUGCAGAUUUGAAGAUAUCAAUGAGUAGAACAACUUUCAUACCUGUGGCCAAGGCCAAUUUGGCCUGGAAGUGCUUCAAUUUCACCAAAACCGUGAAGAACCCUAGAAUUAGGUGUUUCCAAUUCGACCUUCAAACUUGUUCCAACGCCUCAAUUACCUCUUAGUAUUUGUUCUAGGUCCUAAAGGAAUGCUAAUGGUGUUAGUAAUUGAAAGAAAACAUUUCAAAAUUUCAAGAAUUUAAACAAAAGGGUCGCGGCACCCGUGUGGGUGUUCUUCGCGAAAUCACCAUGAAAUUUAAUGAUUCUUGGGGUGAAACGUGAAGAGGGAAGGCCUAGAUGUUGAUUAGGAGUGGUACCUUGACUCAAUUCGUCGGAAAUUUGGACGAAAAUGGUGAGAACCCGCCGAUUGGAAGUCGCGGGUCGCACGGGUAUACGGGUUGGGAAAACCCAUUUCUUCCUUCUCUCCUCCGCUUCUCGCCCUCUCUCCUUUCCUCCUUUCCUUCCUCUGGUUGGUCAGCUUCUCCCUCUCUCUUCUUCUGAUUCGCCUCUCCUCCUUCUUCUCCGAUUGGGCAGUUUUUGCCCAAUCUCUCUUCUUCUUUCUGUUUUCUGGUUCUUCUCACGCGCACACACACACACAACUUCCUUUUUCUCAUCCCAGCCAUCUAUUUCAUUCAUCAUUAAAUCUGGGUCGUCCAUUUUCAUAAAAGAAUUUCUAUUUUACUAAAAUUAUAAUUCCUUAAAAUCCCAAAUUUCAAACGUUAAUAACUUCUUCGAUAUAACUCCAAAUCACGAACCGUCUACGCCCACGCGUCCGUAACGACGAGUACUACGAGGAUAUGUCAAGAAAACAAAUCUUAGAUGGCACGACACAACGAUUAACCUCGAAUGAUGUGCGUGCCUCAAAGGGCAUUUUUGUAAAAUCCUUUAUGAAAACUUUAAAAAUUCUUAAAAUUAGGGACGGGCUGUCACACAAUCGCGUUAAUUGAAUUCUUGGCAAUUGUAUCAUGCAUUCAUAGUUAUAAUUGUCUCGUCAACACUUAUGAUUUUCAUUGAACGUAAUGAUCUCUGAUUGUAUCUCUAUUAUGCAUUAAUAUAGGGGACUUUUAGAGGAUGAUUUGGGUUGUCGCAUGCAUUCAUCCAAUUCAAUGAGUAAAGGAAAAUCUGAGGGUUAAUUUGUGCAUCACGGUUAAUCUGGGUGUUGAGCAUAAUAGUUUAUUGAAAAGCAAUUGGAAAUCGAUUCAUGUACAAGUGUGUCAUGUGUGAAGAACGGACCUCUAACUAAUCCAUCCAUCAUUUUAUUUCUCAAAUUCAUUUUAUAAUCUGCCUAGUUUUAUAACUUGCUUGUUUAUUUCAAAUUCAUCCAAACCAAAAUCCCCUUUUUACUUUCUUGUUUCAAAGUGUUAAAUUUCUGUUUUGUUUGUGUUUUUGAGUGUUUUGAUUCAAGCCAAAACACUAAAUUCAUCCAAAGUUGAUUUAAAGUCCAAAUCUGACUAGUUUGUGUUUUUAGGCAGUUUUGAGUGUUUUUAAGUUGUUUUGAAUCUUUAGAAUCUGUUUUGAGUCCCUUGAGUCUAUUCAAACAUUUUUAAUUUUGUUUUUAUGUUUUUGAGUCAGUUUAAAGGUUUUAGCAAGCCCUCCUAAUCCCCGGUUUAGAACGAUCCCUACUUGCAUUUAUACUACAAUUUGACAACAAGAGGGUUUAAUUUGAGUGCUUAACUUUCAUCGCAUCAUGUGAGUUCCCAGAAACAAAACUGUGAGGGCGUGGCCAGGGCCCAAAGCGGACAAUAUCGUGUUAUGGCGGAGCCGAGAUUGGGAUGUGACAUUGUCACCUAAGACAAAGUACAUGUCCACAUUUAGAGUUCUUCAAGUAUUCACAUAAUAAAAAAUUUCCAUACGCCCCCUACAACGAAUGAAGAGAAAUCGAGACACGUUGACAAAAAAUCAACCGUCGAUCAACGGUAGGGUCCACAACCCUACAUAACUCGAUCCGCAAGAUCCAACCACUGUAUUUGUGAUUCAUAAGUUCCUAAGGUCCUCAAAUCUUACAUACAAUAACAUACUAAACUUUGGUGACGAUCUAAUGGUCGAAUCAUCAUUUGCUAUAAUGUUCAAAUUACGCAAAUUCGUCAAUCAGAUGUCAAAUAUGGAAUCAGACAUCAAAUUUAGCUUAGAAAGGUCAAGUGGUGUCUCGAGCACGCGCCGCCGUGCGCAACAGCUGGCAACCUAGAUUCGUCGGAAAAAUCACCUAAUUCCAAAUGAAUGUCGUGAGACGUGGAGUAAAUUGUAUACCUGUGAAGAAGCCCAAUUUGGCCGGGAAGUGGCCUGAAAUCACUUUAGACCGUCGGAAACCCUAAAAUAGGUGAAUCUCGAUUCGUCAUCUCCGGUAUUCCACCGUCCUCAAACUUGUUUAGGGUUUGCUCAUGGUCUCAAAAGAAUGCUAAUGAUGGUGGUGAUUGAAAGAGAACGUUUCAGAAAUAGUGAAUCGCCAAUGAGGGUUUCACGAAACCGACAUGGGUGUUCCUCGUGGAACCAAGACCAAAUCUCAAUGGUUUUGGCUAGAAAUGGAUGCUGGGAUGUCGUGGUGAAGUUUGGUAGUGAUGGGAGGUUGAAGAAAGACAAAAAAAUCGACAAAACAACCGUCGUCGGAGUCGCAGGAAACGGGUUAGAAAAAUGAGUCGCCAGGUCUGAAACGUCGAAGGCUUUUGGGACAGCUACUUACUCUCUCUUCUCUGAUUAGUCACUCCACUCACUCUCUCAUUUGAUUGGUCCAGCCUUCCCACAUGGUGGGAGUUCCCUCAUAUAGUAACCCAAAAUUUACUAUUUAAAUCUGGUAUUGAACGUCCGUAACUUUUUCGUUAUGGUUUCGAUUCGCAAACGGUUUUCACCUACGCGCUCAUAUGAUCGAAUUAUACUCGAAAACAUUAAUUAUGACCUCGAAAAGGUCUACGAGUUUUAAAAGAUUAAUUACAAAAAUUCACACCUUGUAACUAUACGAUUCAAAUUCUAAAAUUAACGGAAUUAAAAUAAACUAAAAAUAAUGUAAACACGAAAUACAGACUUUAAUAAUGAAAUACGUAAUUAAUAGUGGAAUUCCGGGGACGGGAUUUCACACCUUGCAUCCGGACCUUCAAUGCGGAUCAAAAUCCAAAGGUCGCGAUCUGACGAGCUCAUGCAUAGAACAGAGUUGUUGUGACCCAAUGCAAUUCAAAACUUUUAUGUUUUUUUAUUUACUGGGUACGUUUUUGUAGGAGGAAAAGGGGAAGUCGAGAGAUUCUUUGCGCAUUAAAGAGGGAAAGAGAGAAAGGGGGAGCUAAGAGGUUCUUCGCGCGUUAAAUUUUUGCUUCUGAUUUUGCAACCUAGAAAUAAAGUAUUUUCUUUAUGGUUUAUGGUUCAAGAAUAUAAUGGAUACAGCCUAAAAAUGUUUCUUUUUUUAUUUUUUACUUUUUUUUUCUUAUGUUGGCUUUUGGUUUAUUUUUAUAAUGCACUAUAUAUUAACUAAAUUUAUAAACAUUUUGUAUCUUUGUUGCAGUCAAAUUAAUCAUAUGGGUCGGCAUGACGAAGUUCGACUGAGACAUACAGAUGUUUUGCAAUCUUAAGUCUAACCUGACACACCCCGACCUCAAUAUCUAGUGGACACCAAAAUUGAGGUGUGAUGGCCAUCAUCCGGAUGGGUGAUGAAACCAUAAUAUGCAUGAAACAUAACUAAAUUAUCAACCAAUAAAAUCUAUUGAAAAAUUUGGCAGAACAUCCCUUAAAAUAGGGAUAUGCCCAAAUUAAAAACACUUGCACAUGAUCAAAAUUAUUCAACACUUCCCCGAAGGGCCACACUUAAUGGGACUUCGACCAUCUAUUACAUGCAUGAGAAUAUGUUCAGAGCAUAAUUACCCAAACACGUCUUAUUAAAAUAUUGAGUAAAUACCAUACAAGAUAGAAUACGUCAGAGCUGUUGCAAAAUACCUCAAUGUCCGAUGUAAUCACUGAUAGAAUUACUGAAUCAUGUAUAGAUGGAAAGCUGAUAAAUACAUGUAAUUUGAGUGGAUACUUACCAGCAGCAUGGAUACAAUAUCAUCCACCGGUCGUAACUAAUGACAAGCUGAGAGUAUAACUGUAGUACCUCUUAUUAGUGCAAUGCAUGAUAUGAAUUCCAUCUCACAUAUAUAUGCAAGCCAUAAUCAAACCAAUAAACAUCCAACAAAAGCCACAAUCCUUUUAACAUUCGACCACAAGAUCAAUUUUCAUAUUUCCCAAACCUAGGUUCCAAAGCAUUGUUUCGAAUUAUUAAUACAAGAAACCACCACCACCUCAAUCAACUCCUAUUCCCAAGUGUAAGCAAUUACUAAAUGCAUCACUUUCGACUCUAGUCUUAAUUAGAUUACUUGGGAUACUCAUUCACACCAUCAGAUCCAAGUACUAUUUUGAUAAACUUUAAAUAGCAUGGUUAAAAUAAAUGAAACACUUUUAGAAAAUAAGUGAAGAUGUUGUUUACAAAUAUAGAUGCAUCUGUAUAUAAAAGCUUUGGCGGUUGAUCCGUAUACACUUCCAAAGAUAUAAGCAAGUUCAUUGGAAUAUACAUGCAUAGUUAAUGUAUUACAGUAUAAUUAAUAAGAAAACAAUUGCAUCCCUUUAAGAAUAUAUAUAUAUAUAUAUAGACACACACACAUACAUACACACAGGCCCUUUAUGCAAAGGAAUUUCCAUUUUUUUUCAAAAAAUGGGGAUUAGUUGUGGGGCCCACGUUGCAUUGAACUUUAACGAUCCGAACAGUCUAUUUUGUAAGUCUCGAUUCAUAUAUCAUCCUUGUAAAAAUUCAAUUCAAUCCGAACCCAUUUGCCUAUUUAAUUAUCAAGAUAAAAUUUUAUUGUUUCUUAUAUAACAAAGUAUUCGUUAAUUUCUUUGAACUCAAUUAGAUAUCUUAAACAUUUCCGAUUUGGUUAAUAUUUUGUAAGGAUGAUCUAUGUGGUGCAACUUGAAAAAUAGACGAUUACGAUCGUUAAAGUUCGAUGUGGUGUAAACCCUACAAUUAAUCUUCAUUUUUAUAAAAGAAUGGGAACCCCUUCCCUUAAAGGUUUCCUAUGUAUAUAUUUGUUCUCCAGACAUAUGCAGAAGGUAAUGUAAAACUAAUGAGAACUUAAAUGGAUAUUCCAUACAUAGGACAAUUCCAUAUAUGCUUUUUCAACAUUUAUAUCGAAAAGCCAAAUUGUUUUGAGGAAAUUAAUUGUAGCAAUGAUCCCUUAACUUUUAUCUUAUUGGAACAAUGGUCUCUCAACUAAAAAUUCAUGACCAUUGGUUCCUUAACACCACACAACGUGUAGUUAUGGUCAUUUUCAUUAACUCCGUCAGAACUUUUGUUAAAACAAGUAAUGUUAGAAGAAUCAUUGCUACAAUUAGGUUAAAGUUGGGGACCAUUGCUCUAAUUAAAUUAAAAUUGAGGGAUCAUUUCUCCAAAUUGCUUAAAGUUCAAGGACCAUUUCUACAAUUUUCUCAUCUAGUUUCCCAUAUUUACCCCAUGAUUCAGCUUCACAUGCAUUGCACAUGACUCAUUUUGACAAAAAAUUUAACAAAAUUGACGAAAAUGACCAUAAAUGCACGUUUUGAAGAGUUAAGAGACCAAUGGUCGUGGAUUUUAGUUGAGGGAUCAUUGCUCCAAUUUGGUUAAAGUUGAGGGAUCAUUGCUACAGUUUUCUCAAAUGUUUCGUAUGCGAAAAUAGGCAUUUGUAAAGUUUGGCUUGUUUAUGGCAUUAUUACUUUAGUCUAAAGUAAGGCUGGGAAUGGCACUGUAGAAAUGAAUAGUGUUCCAAUCCGAAUUUCAGUUUAAUUACAACAAUGCCAUUGCUCUUUGUGUUGCCUUUAGGUGAGCAGCCCGGCUUGCAGUCAGGCCCAAAUGUAUUGGUUUUAGCUGAGAAGCCCGGCCCUUGGUCAGGCCCAAAAUUUUAAAUUACAGUUUUGCCCAUACAAAAUAACAAUCCGAUUGUAUCGGGAAGGACAAUUUUGUCCUUUCAGUUUUGGGUGAGAUAAGGGGUAACAGGGUAAGUUUCAUUUGCUGUCGUUUAAUGAGGGUUUCGGGGAUGAGGGCUCUGUGUGUGUGUGGAUGAGAGAGAGAGAGAGAGAGAGAGAGAGGGAGAUGGCGAUGGAAGGAGAGCGAGGGGGAAGGGAAGGGUUCUCGGCACUGUUGCUGCAUGUGGAUUUCACAUGUGGGAGAGUGGGUAUGGUCAGAGAAAACCAUAUAGGUCAUUGGGAUUUCAGGGAAACGGGGUAGGGGUCAUGAAUGAACUCUGCUGAGAGUGUGGGUACCGGAUCUUGCGCUGCAUGCCUCAAAUCAAAGAUAAGUUCGUUUUUUUAUUGUAUUUUUUGUGGUAGCUUAGCUUUUGGAAUUGUUUAGUAUGUUAGGUCCGAUUUUGGGGGAUUUAUCUUUUUAGAGAGAGAGAUGGACAGGGAGAUAGAGAGAGAGAGAGAGAGAGAGAGGAGGAGGAAGCAUGACUGUGUGCAAUUUUUGGUGUUAAUUAAUGGGUUGGUGCGUAGGGUGAGUGACAGAGUGACAGAGUGAAGGAGGGACGUGUGGGAGGGUAUGAGUUUUCAGUUCUUUCUUUUGAUUCAACAGGUUAUACAUUGUUUGAAAAACCUUUUUUUAUUAUUUUUUUCUCGUUUGCUUUGUUAAAACCAUCAUUUGAAUUUUUGGGUUUCACUGUGUUCAUUUCUCUGCUUCUUCAUAAUUUGCUGGUGUUUGCUUUUCAUCCCUCUAUUGGUAGAUCUUUUUCUCAUUUCUUGGUUCCUUAUGUAUUCUUUGGUACAAAUCUAUUUACUUUUUGGCUGUGUGAUAAUCUUAGCAGGUGAACUAUAUGAACGUUUUUUUUGAAACGAGUUAAGAAGAUCCAGCUGAAAAGAGCAUGCAAGAUAGAGAACUGGUAUGCUGCUCGCCAGGGAAAGGCUGCUGGAGAGGCUGAGACGGAUGCCUCCUUCAAAAACCAGGUCAGUUUCCUGCUACUCGGCGUCUUAAUGUAUCCAAAUUGUUUAUCUUUUGAUGAAAUUAGCUGGCUUUAUUUUCUAUUUUAUUUAUCUGCAUAUUAUUUUGGUUUGUUGAAAUUUUGACUAUAGUCAUUGUGUCACAUGGGCGCCCAGCCCAACCCAAAUUAGUUGAGGAUAUUUAAAUCUUCACCAUGGUAUUAUAGUACUCACUCACAGUUGUGAAUACUAAGGUGCAGGCAUGGCAUGAAGAAGUGGACCGUGCACGCCAAGGUCAGAGGGAUGCAGAGGGCAAACUUUUUUCUUUGGAGGUAAGUAUCCUUUGUUUAUUGCCCAACAGUGUUGUUAUUAUCAAUUUGUAGCUUUGCGUUCUGAAUUUUUUGCUUUGUCAAACAACCUUUUUGAAAUGCUCGAUUUCAAGCCGAAGUCCAAAAAAUGAGAGUUGAGAUGGCUUCCAUGAAGAGGGAUGUAGAGCAUUACUCGCGCCAGGUGAAAUCUGCUUCCUCUCUUUUCGUAUAUCUUCAUAUGAAGAGUUUUACUAAGUUAUAUUGAGAACUAUGUUAUUUAUAGGUUAUAUUUUCCAUUUUGCAAGAACACAUGGAGCUAAGGAAGAGCUAUCGUGAACUCACUGAUCUACUGGUAAUGUCACUCAAACUGCUUUAUUUGUGCAUGCUGCUACUAUGCGCUUGAAUGCAUUUUAUUACUGGCGGGAUGCGAAGAAUGCUAGAUAUAUGUGCUGGAUCGCUUGAUUAGUGUUAGGGUUUUAACAACUAAUUGUUAGCAGCUAGAAGCUCUGGUUAGAUGAAUGCUAAUUUGAUUUUCCUUACAGUACUUGAGUGCCAGUUUCAUAUUGUUUGUUCCCUGCUGGAUACAUGCUGUACAGUUUCAUUUCUGUUUCUUCAUAACUUUCUUGGCCCUGCGAUAUAUGCAUAUUGAGUACAAUGAAUAUCCAUUGUUCUCUAACUGUUGGGCUUUACUAUCUUUGUAGCAGCCUGCCUAACAUUUUUUAGGCUCUACACUCUACCAUCCAAUUUAUGAAAAAUUCAAAGAUUGGACGGUAUUGAUUGCAUAAAUGAAAAAAAUACUAUGAUAUUAGAAAGGUGAAUGUAAUUGUGUUAGAAGAAGCGUCUAGCAUGAUGGGUAAUAUUUUAAGUUUGUAUUUCUAAAAUUUUUUCGUUCUGGAGUAUGAUUUACCUCAAUUGUUUUGUACUUUAAUCUUUACUAAUUUUCAUUGUGGAGUAUGAUUUGCCUCAACUAACAACUUUUCAUUGUUUAACUUUUUCCUCCCUUAGAUAGUUGCAUAUGUUUGAUUUGUUAAUCUGCUUCUUACACAUGUUGUUUCCUAAUGGUGUAGGUGGAUUGCCGGAUGCAUGUGCAGAUUACUUGAAUAGACGAAGCUAAGAAUGACUUAGUAUUAAGUGAGAAAGAAGCUUGGGUCAGUUGGAUUUUGACAUUUGAUUUAUUCAUGUUUUUUUGUUGCUUGCAAUGUUCUCUCAUUGUUUGUUCUGAGAUUCUGUGAUCUUAUUUUUCAUAGGAACUGACAUUGGUUUGCCAUAUAAUGUUUCAGGAACUAAUACAACAACUAAUCACCUUGCUUAGGUCUCAAGACACAUACUUAACAGGUUAACAAACGCUAACCUAUAAACUUAUCUACUAAGCUGGACCAUUAACCUCUGUUUAUAUCCCUGCCACUCAUCUUUUGGCACUUAUCAAUAGCAAAAUCUAGAGUUGUUGAAACCCCAAUUUUAAUGAAUAUUAUUUUUAGUUGAUAAUUAAAAUUAAUUGAUGAUUAAUCUAUUCCAUUGUGCAUUAUUUUAUCGCCAAAUACUUUGAAUAUUCAUUAGCAAAAGAUAUAGGGUUCACUAUUUAAUGAAUAGAAUUUUGAUGGUGGAUUGCAUUUCCUGAGUUAUAAAUGUGGUGAAUCCAUUAUUUACUAGCUGAAUAAUCAUAAUGUUUUGGCCACUUACCUUGAAUUUUGUUCAAAUUGAAGAAGUCACAUGUUUCUUUCUGUUGUUGAGGUAAUCUCUCUGUUGAAAGCUUCUAUUUCUUUUUUCUUUUUCUUUUUUUCAUUUGGGUAGAUUUUUUUUUUAUGGAUUUAUGUAUUUUUUUUCUUCAGAGAAUUCGAAAUGAAAUAAGAAUAGCGGAUUGAGCAUAAACAAAUUGAUGAAAUUUUUAUUUGAGUGUUUGUGUUGGUCCUUUUUUGAUUUGUUGAGGUUUGGAAUUAUUUGAGUUUUUUUGCUGUUAGUACUGUGAAGGAUGCUUGGCAAUCGCGAAAUGGGGGCUACCUCUUUGGAAAGAGAAGUCUCGCUAUCCAACCUCUCAUGAAUUACAAACAGGGUGCUUUCUUGCUGAAAAACCACUGAAUCAGUAGAACUUUCCUCGGUUCUUCAAUUCGAUUCGAAUAAUUUUUUUACCCAGAAAAGCCAGCGUUUCCUGGUGAGUUUUACAGCUUUCUCAAUGUUUUUUUUAUUUUGGAUUUGCAAAUUUGUUUUCUGUUCAAAUUUCCUUUUGUGAUUUUGGAGGUUUUGUUUAUCGAUUCUCUCACUCAUCUCUCAGCUCUCUCCCACUUUUGAGGUACAUGUCGUUGGAUUCCGUUUGCUGCUGUUGAUCUGCAGGUAAAGCUUCAAUUACCAUACAAAGUUUACAUUUUUCAUGAUUUCUUGAAUUUGGGUUUUAAACAAAGGAAAUAUUGCUAGAUUCUUAUCUUAUGUGCAAAUUACUGGCUAUUUGGAUUGGUGCUUGAGAUUUAGAGAAUGUCUCGCAGCUUUAAUUUCUUUUUCCUUCAUUAUUACUGUUUUCAAAAUUUUUAUUGCUGGGUAUUGAUAAUUUGUAGUAUGUGAGGGCUUCAAUAUGUUGGAAUUUUGAAUGGUUAUUGCUUCAUCGGAAUUUGGGUGGUCCAAAUUUUGAAUUAGAAGAAACCCAUUUGAUUAAUAUUUUUGGUGGAUUGGUUCUCUGUGUUUUCUUUGCUAUUUCUCCCCCAGUUGGAAAUUGGAAGCCCCAACUUUGAGCUCAGAGCUUGAAUUUCUCAAUCGUUCGUUUCUCUACACUCUCAUCAGUCACUCUUGAUCCUCUAUCUAAAGAACUGGGUAAUUUUCCAGCUCUAUCAAGUAAUACUCAAUUUAAUUGCUUAAUUGAGGUUUUUUGUUUCUCUUUUUCGCUCUUUCAUCAGUUCAUUGGCUUUGAUGUUGAGCUUAAGUAAAUGGGAGAUCAUUAAUUGGCAUUGUUCAAAAUAUAAUUAUGUGUUUUUGGAUUUGUGAAACGAUUUGCCUAAUGAUGAUAGUGGUUAAAAUAAAUUUUUCGUUAUGAAAGAGAACAUUGUUCUUCAUUUGCCUACGGUUUUAACUACAAAGUUAAACUACUAUGCUUUUGUUCAAUUGAUUGCAACUCAUGCCGCAGUUUGCUUCACAAACCUCUAUGGUUAGCUUCCAUACAGUAUGUUGCAAGUUUGAGGAUAUCUUUACAUCUUAAUUUUUGCUCUCUCUGGUUGCUUCAAGUUUGUAAUUUUACGUGUUACAUUGCUACUUGAUUUGAUUAUAAAAAUGCAAAAGAAAAUCCAUUUUGCUUUUAUUCAACUUAAAUGUAUCCUUUUGUUUGUUCAUAAUUGUGUUGAAUUUAUUCAACUUAAAUGUGUUUUAUUCAUCUGUUUACGCUUAAAACAACUGGUUCCCCUAGCAAUGCGCGGACCUAAUUUCUAGUACAUAUACUAAAAGCCAGCAGAAAAUUACUGUUCAUCAUGGGAGAUAGAGCACUGUUCAUUAACAGUGAAAGGGAAAAAAUGCCCUCGGUUUCUUCUUUACUUCACGUACUGUUUACGAAUUGCUACAGUAUAAAGUCCGUUUUGUCAUUCCUGUCCACGCAUCUUUCAUCGUCCGUUUCUCUUGCUUCGACCGCAUCUUUUUCGCUUUACCUUUCCUCUUCGUUUUUCGCCUUCGCUAGGCUGCAAUUUUCGGAGGUGGAUUGUUUGCCCUUCUAUUUCCAUGCUCUCCCCAUGCCCUCCAUUGAUGUGUGGUCACGGUUAAACUAUGUCAACAUUUUAUAUUAAUUUUUUUAUAGAAAUAAUAAAAUAAAAAGUAAUAGGUAUCCAGGAAAUUUUCGUCAAAAUAUCCAGGAAAUAGGUAUCCAGGAAAUUUGCUUUACCGAUAUUUUAAUAGGUAUCCAGGAAAUUUGCUUUACCGAUAUUUCGCCGAUAUUAUCGGUUUUUUGCUUUACCGAUAUUUUAAUAGGUAUCCAGGAAAUUUUCGUCAAAAUAUCGCGAUAUUAUCGAUAUUAUCGAUAAUAUCGCGAUAUUUUAGAUAAUAUCGAGACAUUUUGGUUUCUCGACAGUCAGUCACAAUCUCGCCGGAGAAUCAGAAUAACUCCGAGCAAGAACAAAACCUGCAACCAAACGGAACAAAAUCAUCACUAUCUUUCAACAAAAAUCACCACUUUAUACCAAAAUCAGUGACAAAAUUACACUAAUCCGAGAAGCAAGGGCUUGAAUUCGAGCAAGAUCUGGAAGAAAACAGUAGAAGCUGAGAAAUCGAGUACCUCACCGGCAGUUACAGUGCUAAAGAUCAUCAUCUUUGGAAGGCCGCGGAUCAGACGGAGCUGAGAGAUCAAUGAGUAAGCAUUUCAUAGAUCGUAUUCGAUGAGCAGCUGAAAGAGAGGAGAGAGAAAGCAGAGAGAGACGCGGACGAGGAGGAUCUCGCUGAUGGGGACGACGAAGGAGAGGUAGAGGUCGCGGCCCGCGGGACAUGGUGACGGGCUCGACGAGGAGGAAGGCGAAGGAGGAGCAGAGGAGAUGGGUGCGUGCGUGCUGCGGUGCAGAGAAGAGAGAUGAGGGAGAUAUGAGAGAGAGAGAGCCGAGAGGGAGACAGAAGAAAAAGAAAAGAAAACAGAAAGAAGAAGAAAAGAAGAAGGGAGUCGCGGGGGAACAAAGAGAGAAAAGAGAAAAGUGGAGGGGCUGCCACGUGGCCACUUCAGAAAGAAAGGGAUCCAAUGUUUUGGAUCCUGAUUGGGUAGUCAAAGAGGACCAAUUUGAUAUAUUAAAAUGUUUAGGGGAUAAUUACACAAAUAUAUCUUUAUAAAUGGGGGUGGGUGUUACAUAUUGCCCUAAAAAACUCCAAGUAAUUACAACAUCGUAUUAGAAUUGUAAUUGAUCCUUGUUAGAUUUGGUUUAGAAAUUCUAUGUAAUUUAGUGAUUGUUUCAUAUUAGAUUUAGAUUUGAAUUUUUUACUCCAUUCAGAUUUUAAAUGAUUAUAAUAGAUUUAAAAAUUUACGAACUUUGAUGAAGUUUAAUAAUUUUUAAAACUUUUAUGUAAAAUUUUAAGUGAAUUCCCUCAAAUUUUCAGGUAGCGAUUUGAGAAUGUUUAAAAUAUUAUGUGAAAUAUUUCUAAUUUUUUCGAGUUUCCCAGCUUUUUAAAAAUCUCUUUGAAUCAAUUUCUAAAUUAAUACAUUUGGAAUGUAUGAAUUUCUUAAAAAUCAUGAUCGAAUACCCCUUAAACUUUAAAGAAUCACUUAAAAUCCUAAUUAAAUGCCCUUAGAUUUUUAAGGAGAAUUAAAAUGUUUAUAAGCCCCAAUUGGAUGUACCGCUUAAUUUAACUAAUUGACACAACACAACAUAACCAGUUAAGAUUACAAAUUAACACAAAAGACGACUUGAUGCGAGGUCAUAUCUACAAAACUUGCCGCAAUAAGCCCCAAUUGGUGUGUUUAAACUUCUUUCAUUAAUUACUACAUAUUUUCUACACUCAUAAUGUUUGUCAGCUCGCUAUAUAAUCAACUUGAUAAUGUUAAAUCCAUCAUGCAAUGCAUUUCCUUCCAAUUUUUUGUGAUAAACUAAUAGAUAAUUGACUAAAUAAACAUCCUGCAAAGUUUCAAUAAAAAUUUUCAAGUUUUUUUUACAAUUUCCGUGAUUUUCAUGUAAUUUUUAUCGGUAUCGAUAUUAUGCCGAUAUUUUUAUCAAUAUUUCCGUGUUUUCGAGUACAUAUUUCCGAUAUUACCGAUUCAUCCGCGAUUUUCUCCCUUUUCGCCAGCCCCUCUUUUGCUCUCAAAUCCUUGCUCUUUCUUUUUCAAACUAGUCUCAGAAGAGAUCCUGGGUUUAUCUAAUCCUUUGUUGUUCGGCGUUUUGUUCUCAUCUUGCGAUCGUCGGGGCAGCAGCUUUAAGGUAAGUUUGUUUUUAAUGAUUUAUCCUCAAUUUACGAUGUCUGGGCUAACAAAUUUAAGAUCUUUAUUUUUCUUUUUGCUGUGGAUCUGCAGGUUUUGACAAGUUUUUUGUGAAAUUGGUGCUGUCAGUGGGUGUUAAUAUCAGGUACCCAUGUUCAGUUUUUCGUUUUGAUUUGAAGGAAUUUCUUGCGCAGAAGAGCUAGGUUUCUUGGUGAGUUCUUCGGGUUGUGCAUAUGGGUAAUUUUCUUUUAGGUAUAACCCUCUGCUUCUGCUGCUCUCUCUCUCUCUCAUCCCUGCCUGCUCCUCUCCAAUUGUUUGCUGUUCUUAAAUAUUGUGUUCAUUGCCUGAUACAAGGAGCUGCAGCAAUCUGUUUUAUCCUACACGGGACAACGAGGCAAUGGCGUGACAACAAGUGAGCUUGGAUAUCCAAAGAAAAAGAACAGUUGGUUCAUCUGCUGGAGUCUGAAGCUCAGAGAAGUGGAGGAAAAUUGCAGGUGUGCGAGAAAUUUUAUUUUGCUGAUAGGACUCCUUAUUUACCGAUGCAUUUUGAAUUAAUUGAAAAGUUGGAUUUGAGUUAACAGCUAUAAAAAUGUAGACAUGAUUGCUGAGAUUAUGCUAUGAAAGUGGAAUAAAAAAAUGGUAGUUUAUAAUAUUGCGUACCAAUUUUUUUCUCUCUUUUUUACCAAAUGAUAAGGGUGGUGGCUCAGGCCGCCCCCCUACGCGUCCCCACUCUUCGACAAGUUGAAAUCAUGGUGAUAGUUUAUGGGUUGCGGUCUUGGGAUUCUGCAAAUAGAAUAAAAAACAGACACUUAACUAUCUUGUUAUUAAGCAUUUCUGCAUCAUUCAGUUGCUCUUGAUUUUCGUCUUUUAAGCGCUCUUAUUUCUGCGAUCUGACUUGAGGAGGGGUUUUAGACCUAUGGUUGUGGGUGUUUUGUCUGACCCCAUUAAAUUGGUUUCCGAGAUUUGUAGACUUGCGAUCGGCGGUCAAACAUUUCGUGAUUCUUGCUUUUUUUCCGACUGGGAUUGACGAAUUUUGGCCGAAUCUGUUUCCUGUUUUCUUCUCUGUUUGAGCGGCCGCUGCCUUUCGGUCGUUGAGCGCCGGCAGUCUUUAGAUCUUUGGCAAAUCAAUUUAAUACAACCGAGGUAUGUUUUAUAACUGCUGUCUUUCAAUUUUUGUUCUGUAUUUUUGUUAAUUUGGAUGAAGCUCUAAUAAUUUUGUUUUGGAUCAGUUGUGGUCCUCUGUUAGGAUUUUCCUGGCUAAGAGGGUAUUUGCAUUUUUGUUGCUUGGUUGGUCGAUCCAGUGUAUUAAAAGCGUGAGGCGUGGGCGAGGCGUCCGAGGGAAGCUCGGCCUAGGCGUGAGGCGUGAGGCGAAGCCUCAUGGGACCUAAAUUUUUUAAUAUAUAUACAUUGAGCGUACACAUAUAUUAUAUUAAAAAUAAGAAGAUUAUUAAUCAAUAAUCACCUUGAGCACACACAUAUAUUAUAAAUAUAUACACACACACAUAUAUAUACAUAUAUUAUAUUAUAUAUGCAUAAAAUAGAGGAUGAAAAACACAAUGAGCACACAUAUAACAAUGCACGCAAACAACACACACAUCCAUUAUAUAAAAAUAAAAAUCAGAAAAAAGGCAUAGAGACAAAAGUGCAAGGAAGAUGUAUGAGACAGUUAAAAUCCUACCCAAAAUUUGGGUUUGGGAGUAAAGAAAAAAAAAAAAAAAAAAAAACUCACUGAGGCGCGCCUAGGCGGCUCCGGCGACGCCUAGGCGGCCUUUCGCCCACUCCAGCAAAACUGAGGCGUUAGCCAUGGAGCCAAGCCUCAAGGGCGCCCUAGGCGCGCCUCGAGGCGAGUUUUUUAAAACAUUGGGUCGAUCACAAAUUUACGAACAGCUGUGGUGGUCCUGUUAGAGCCAAGCCUCAAGGGCGCCCUAGGCGCGCCUCGAGGCGAGUUUUUUAAAACAUUGGGUCGAUCACAGAUUUACGAACAGCUGUGGUGGUCCUGUUAUUUUUUUGGUAUGUUUUUUCUCCUUUUUGGUUUUUUCCCGGUUUGAGCACCCAUUCAUGAAGAAUUAAAAUGUGUUUAUAGUUUUUCAGGAGAGAUUAGAAAAGUGAUUUCAAUUUGGGAAAAUUUAAUGUUGGUUAAAAUUUGUUUAUAAUUUUUGGGAAGGAAUGAGAGGACCCAUUGAAGUAUGUGUUGUGAUUAUUUUUUAUUCAUAUUUUUAACAAAUUGGGCAUGAAUUGGUAGGUUAACUGUGUGUGUUUAUUAUUUGAAUCGGCCAUGUUUGUCUUUCUAUGGUUCUAAAAAAUUUGUAAAGGCUGUUAACUUGGAAGAAAAUGGGAUCGAGGGUGAGGGGAAAACAGCAGAGAAAGCAUGGAAGAGAGAUUUGGGAUUAGGGGUAGGAAAACAGAUGAAAAGAAUAUGAUAGAGGAAUGGGUUCAGUUCAUUUUCACUAUUUUUUUUAACUGAUUUGGAUUUUGUUUGGGUUUGAGGCCAUCAUUGGCGUUAAGACGUUUAUUAUCAGAUCGUGUGUGUUUUUUGCUAACUUUUAUUGGUAAUUUUUAUGUUGUUCUUAUGAUUUUGUGUGGUAGGGUUUCUGAAUUUUAUCGUUGUUCAUUUGGUUUUUUCUGAAUUUUAUCUGAUUUUGUGUGGUGAGUUUACAAAAUAAUACUAAAUAAAUUUAUUUGUAAUUUCGGAUGAUUGUGAUUCAAUCCUACUACAAUUGAAAUUCACAGAAAGAAUGAAAAACCAGAACAAAACUGCAGCACCUAAAAAGUUGUCAUACAAAAAAACAUGGAAUGUAAAAAUAUGUUAAGAAAUCUAGUUCGUUAAUUUCCAGCUGGUAAGCGGCAUUAUGUAACUUUAGUAGUAUAACUAAUUAACUACUUAUCUAGUGGGUUGCACUUCUAUCCUUGAUCUCAGUUGUGGCUGCAAAGUGCAGGCCACCACCAAGUCUCAGUGUUUGUGUAUUAGCAAAACACUUAAAUAAAUUAAAUUCUGAAAUGUAAAUUAUAUUCCUAUAACUUUAAGAUGCACAUAUAGUAUUGUUGAAGUCGAACUGAAAGCACUGACAAUUCCAAGCAACAGAGCAGCAAUUAUUAAGAGCCAAAACUCAUUCCUAGUCUCCUCAUCCUGGUACUCUACUCCGUAAUCUUCGUUCAGCAUCAUUGACUGAAAUUAGGAGAGAAAAAGAAAAGGAAUUUCAGAAAUUGUCUAUGAAGCAAAGGAUACUGCAGUUACUUCAAGACAUGUAAAUUGCAUAUGUAUAAAGUAAUUUUCUACAUAAAGUAACGAGGCAUAACUCUCUCUCUCCUCUUCAAACCCUAAACAGAGCAAAGCCACAAACUUUACAGAGAUUAGAAUGAGAACUGGAAUUAAUAGAACAAUGACUGAAAAGUAACAUACUUGAGGAGUGAAUGAUUUAGUGUUUCCAUCAUCGGAAAGCCGGAGUAAGUCGCUAAGAGAGGUCGCAAACAGCCCAAAGGGACAAACCCAGACCCCCGGCCCCGAUCCAUACCCUUCCCCCUCAAAUCCCGACGGCCCCCAUACUUUUCUCUGACUGUACCCCCUCUCCCACUCAUGAAAUCGAGGAUCUGUAGCAAUGGUACUGAGAUCCCCACUCCUCCCCCUCCCUUUCUCUCUGUCACUCUGUCUCCCUCUCCCUCUGUCUGUCUAUCUUUAUCCCAGAGCGGCAUGGCCUCGCAUCCCUGAAACCCUCACCGAAAGGUGGCAAUUUUGUAAAUAACUUGAAAUCCACCAACAGCAGGGGCAGAGAAUUGAAACAGACAUUUAGGCUCGUUCGAUAACCAUUUAGGCCAAAACUGAGCACACCUAAACCAUUCCUACUCGUGCCAAAUGUUAGCGGGGAAGCAAGAUGAUGACUUUAUUGUUCAAAACCAAAAGAAAAAAAGAGAGAAAACAAAAUAACAAAUCUAAUGGUUGUAGUGUAAAAGCUGAGAACGUAAAUAAACAUGCAGGGAAAAAAAUUGAAGAUACAAAGUAGCUGCAUCAUGAAACACUUGCUCCAAUUAGACGCAAAAAGUGAUGGUGAUGAGAAGAGAGAGAAAAUGCAGUCGUUUUGAUUUUUCUGGCUUUUAAAGGGAGCAGCUUUCUUCGACCACCAAAAAAAGGAAGCUGCUUUUCGUGUGGUUGUGAUUUCCUGAGUGUAUGUGAGCGGGUCUAUGGCACUUGCACUUUUUGUGUCGGUUACGGUAACCGGGCGAGGUGGACACGGCGGCGUGGGACUGAAUUCGGAGAGGUGAGAAAAAUUAAAAACACAAAAAGAAGGUGUUCAUUUUGUCACAUUUUUAUUACUAAAAAUUCAAUAAAGUACAUUCAUUAGUAUGGUAACUUAACUAUUUAAUUCCAUCUCAUUAAACUAAAAAAAACAAUUACAUAAAAAUAAGGGAAACCUUGUCCAGAGAGACCUGAGAGAAAGUGACGACUUCUCCUCUCAUUCCACUCCAUACUUGAUCUCUAAAGUCCAUUUGGCAUGUAAUUGAUGUUCAAUUUCAAAUUUAGUGGUAGCAAUUAGCAAAGCUAAUGAAAGAAUAAAAUAAAAUGAAAGAAAAAGCAUCAUGAAAUAAAUCAAGAUGAAGAAUGAAAUUUUGGCAACUCGCCAUUCUCUUCUUUUAUACAAAAGAUACAUCCUAUUUGUAGUGAAAACAGGUCCCGACAAACCCAGUUAUCGUCAAGAAGUAUUUUGUAUGACUUUAAAAACAUAUUCCGAGAAAUUAUCUCUUGGCUGAGAACAACAACAAAUCUUCAUGCAUAGCUUGUAGAGAAAGACAUCAGGCAUACAAAAGAACACGCAAGCAUAAAAUAAACGACGCAGGGAAAACCAAAAAUACAAUUGGAUACGCUGUCAAAAGAACAUAAAUAAAUGAAAAUUACAAAACAAAGAAGUGAUGAGAAACCAAAGUACCCAUUUCAUAAUCUAAUUGCUUUUUAGUUUGCUUGCCAUUUUUAGUUCUUCAAUUUAGAGAGAAACCAUAAUUCAGCACAUGAAUAAAGUGAAAACAUAAAAGAUAUGUGGGAUAAGCUAACAGCCAUCCCUGAGUAAUGCAUUCACUUCUGAACCCCAAACACACCAAAACAAAAAUUCACACACAUGAACUACAGCUCUGCUAUGUAACAAGAAUUAAAAGCAUCUCAAAACAAAAUGGCAAACUAUAAGAGCAAUGUAAAAGUAAAAUUGCAAGAAAUCUAAUACUUGGAGGGCAAGUACUAAUCAGACGAAAAUGAAAGAUUGAACUACCUCGCGUGGAACUGUGCCUUGGUUUUUUCCCAUGCUUACAGGAAGCUUUGCACUGAGCUCUUAUAGCCCAAAUUUUCUCUGAAGGGAAAAAAACACAAUUUUGAAAUAAGAUUUUCAUAUUAUACCUUAAAGAGAAGAAUUAGACAACAAAAAAGAGAACAAUGAGUACUUUUCAUCAUAUAUUGUUAGAGUAUGUGGUCCUCUAGUCCAAUGGUCCUGCAGCCAUAUUUACUUUAUAACUCUUUCUUUAGUCUAAAAACAUCUUGGAUCUCAAAUUAAUAUGAAUACGGAUUCAUACGCAUGCAUUGCAUUACAAUCACAAUGCAACAUCUCAUUAGAAAUCCCCACACAAAAUUCUUUUAUUGCUACUUUGAUUUUAGUUUAUAUUUUUUCUGAAGCACGAGGGAGCUAAUUUUUUUUUAAAAAUUUUUUAUUCCAAUAAUGUUAUAGGGUUGAAAGGAUAUUAUCAAUUUAAUUGAUUGUAUUUGAUUGGUGGAACUUCUAUAUCUAUAUUUCAGGUUUUCAAAUUCAGCACUGGGAGAGUCAUUCAUAAAAUGUUUGACAGUGAGAUUACCUCCAUGGAUUAUGCUCACAAUGGACAGCUCAUUUUCCGCGGUGAUGGGACAAUAUAUUUCAGUCAUUCGCCAUUCAAUCAAUUCAAACCGAGGAACAAGCAACAUCAAGAAGAGGAUCUGCCAUGUCAGGAUCACUGUCGUCCAAUUAAUACAAAAAAUCUAGAUAAAAACGAUCAAUUUACAUAAAAGCCUUUCAUUUUCUCAGCAACCAAGCAAAAGAAAAUACCUAUCCGUUAAACACUCGAUUUGGGAGUAAACGUUGCUGAAACUGGACUUCAAUCCCCUCAACCGCAACAAUCGAAUCGAGGUGUGCAAGUCAUUGAAAAACUCACCCAAGAUUUCAAAAUCUGCAUAAAGAAAUAAAUAAGCACAUAAAUUAGCCAACCCUGUUAUGAUCCCACAUCGGGUACACAAGAAAUUGUGUAGUGGUACUUAAGUGCAAGGGGUCAUCCCACCUAUUGGACUAGUUUUUUGGAUUGGGCUCUUCCCUUGGGCUUGAGUACCUAACAUUGGUAUCAGAGCCUAGGUUCCCGACGCUGCGAGACUUGGCGAGUGGUGCCGCCUCAUGGUGCCGCCUUGGGAGUAUGGGCUCCCAAGGGUCUUGGAGACGGGCAAGGUAUGAAAUGUCGAUAUUAUCGCGAUAUUUCGCCGAUAAUAUCGGUUUUUUGAGUUACCGAUAUUUUAAUACUUAUCCACUGAGUUUUCGUCAAAAUAUCGCAAUAUUAUCGAUAAUAUCAACAAUAUCGCGAUAUUACCGAUAAUAUCGCGAUAUUUUGGAGAUGUGCGAAUCGGAGAAGAAGGCCGGAGCUUCUACAGCUCCUGCCGACUGUAAAAGAGCACCCUAGACUCCGAUCUAGGUAUCAAAAUGAAAUACAAGACGAGAGGAAUGUUUUUAUAACUUCCGUUUGCCGUGAAACGGUCGAAGGUGUUCGGAAAGUUCGUCGACACCCACGGCCUCGCCAGAGAUGGGUGUGCCUAUUCUCGAGCCGAUUUCGUCCCAAAAACCUUGCAAAAACACGAGAUAGAACUUAAAUUUCACAUCUAAGCUUCAAUCUAGAAUAGAAUGAGGUAAACCCGAAGCUUACCUAACCGGAGAAAUUCAAGAAACUCGCCAGAGGGUUCCUGCGUCGCCGAGUUGCAGAGACGAGAAAGAGAUGGAGAAAGACGAGGUUGCUGAUAACGAUGGGUGUCUUCCUCAAGCAGGUGCGAUGGUGUGCGUGUGUGUAUGUGGGUCUCGGUGCAGAGAGAAAGGAGAGAGAUGAGAGUUUCAAGAAAGAGACGGCGCCAACGAGAGCUAUUUGUUUUUUUUUAUCUUAAAAAGAGAGAGGUCUAAGAGAAAUGGGAAGAGAGGGCCGAGUGAAAUGAAAGGAGGUCCUUGAAUUAUUGAGAGAUAUCUCUGAGAGAGGCCUAGGAUUUCUAAAAGGUAAUUAGAAAUGGGAAAAAUGGGGCACAUCUUAGCCUUUAUUUUGGAAUCCUAAGAAGUUCACCACAUGGAUGCAUGACAUGUGUGCAUGCCAUGUCUGUUGAAUGGGAAAAGUCUGACAUGGAAAGACAAAGAGUCGUUUGGUCCUCUGGGCUCGAGGCAAGAUAGAAAGUGCUAGGGUUUUUUUUUCUGAAAUGAACAUAAGCUGCUAAAUUCGCAUAUAUUAUAGUUGUUGCUAAAGAUUGACACUAGUGCGGACUUGGACGUGUUGGUCAACAUGUCCUCACAAUCCCCAAGUUCUCCGGUUCGAACCCUUACGCCCAUCAAAUUUUUCUUUCUUUUCGAUGCGCUUUUUCCAUGGCUCUAGGUCUUGAUUUCGAAUCCAGGUGAGCCCUUUCCUUUUUCUUUUUUUUUUCUUUUUGUUUUAUUAUUUGUUUAUUUUAAUUUAUUUGUUUCUUUUAUGUUUUUCCUUUCUUUUAGUUUCUUUGUCUUAGGCGUUCGUGUUUAUUAAAGUAGGAUGUAAAAUCAAUUAUCUUAAAAUUAUGUGUUUUUAAAUUUUGGACUUGUUUGUUGGAUACUUUUUUUGCAUUUUAUCAUUAUUUUAUUAUGAAAAUAUGCUAAAAUAUGCUAAAAUAUCACUUAUGUUUUUGUGAAAAUAUGCUAAAAUAUUUAUAUAUAUGGUUUUGUUUUGAAUUCUUUUUGUACUAAUUCAUUAUAUAUAAAUGAUUAUGGUGUGUUUAAACUUCUUUAAUUAAUUACUACAUAUUUUCUAUACUCACAAUGUUUGCUAGCUCGCUAUAUAAUCAACUUAAAUCAGUAAAAUCCAUCAUGCAAUGCAUUUGCUUCCAAUUUUUUGUGAUAAACUAAUAGAUAAUUGAUUAAAUAAACAUCCUGCAAAGUUUCAAUAAAAAUUUCCAAGUUUUUCUUACAAUUUCUGUGGUUUCCAUAUUAUUUUUAUCAAUAUCGAUAAUAUCCCGAUAUUUCCAUCGAUAUUUCCGUGUUUUUGGACUACCGAUAUUUCCGAUAUCAUCGAUAUUUAUACCUUGGCGACGGGGGACUUGCCGACUGGUGCCGCCAUGGACGUUGGGUCUUUCGAAAGGUGGUGUAAUGUUAUGAUCCCACAUCGGCUACACAAGAAAUUGUGUAGUGGUACUUAAGUGCGAGGGGUCCUCCCACCUAUUGGACUAGUCUUUUGAGUUGGGCUCUUCCCUUAGGCUUGAGUACCUAACAAACCCAUAAAUCAAAGAAAUCAAAAUCCACCCAGAAUCAAAGAAAUCAAAAUCCAUCCAAAACCAAAGAAAUCAAAAUCACACACAGAUAUACAAGGUGUACAGUAUUGACAUGCCUUAAAUGAUAUUAUUCACAAGAUUUAUAAAGCUCAUGUUGUAAUACUUGUGCAGAAUCUAUCAUUCACGGCGUCACUUUUGUGCAAGUCGUAAAUAAAAUUAUUCACGAUUUAAACAUUGUGUGUCGUAUUUGACAAUUUAUACUACGCACUUUCUUUUUCUUUUAAAGCUUUGCGUUAUGUCGUAAAGUUGACUUUCUAUAUAUUUGGGUUGUACCUUUUAUGGCGCAAAUAACACGUCGUAAAUAAUGGCUUUUAGCACAGAAGUUUUGUGGUAAAGAAGCCCGCGCACUAAUUCAUUCUCGCGCCUUCUCUUUUUUAUUUAGCCGCUUCUUUUUUUGGUUUUUUUUUUUUUUAAAAUUCCCCUCAAAUCUUAAAAGGGUUUGUAUUUUCUUUGGUAAACUUGAAAGAGAAACAUUGCAAUUGCAUUUUCAUUUACCCAAUAUUAAUUGUCGAGAGCCCACCCCCUUCCCUUCUCUCUGACAUCGUAACUCUCUCCUCUCCAUCGAUCUCGCUCCAUCUGCUCGCCGUCGCUCUAUAUGCUCGUCAUCGCCGUCGAUUCGUCUGCUCGUCGUCACCGUCGCCCAUCUGCUUUCCGUCACCGUCGAAGUGCCCCGCCAUUCAAAAUCUGAAAUCCCCAAUACAGGGUGCUUUGCGGCAUUUCGUUCUCCAAAACUUUAGGUAUGCUCUCAAUCUGUAUCAACCCUAUCCUGUCACCUCUACUUCAAGGUGAACAAUUUAUAGUUUAUAAAUUUUACUUGUGUUAAUAUAUAUUUUUUGGUAAAUGUUAUGGAUAUUUUAUCAAAUCAGAGAGUAAAUUCGUAUUAAGUGAAGAUUGGCAAAGAACAUAUUGUUUUGAAAGGUUGAAUAAUGUUUGCAGAUCACAUAAAUCAGUAGUUGUCAAGUCCAUAAGAGAAGCAAGAAAUCGGAAAGCAAGGCUUCGACUAAAACCAAAUAAUGUCAAAUUAAUUCAAGAUUGGAAGACUUUCCUUGCAAAGUGUAAGCUCAUUUUCAUUUUCUUUCAUUUCUAAGAUUAGUUAUCUUCUUUUGAGUUCAAAAUUGGGUCAGAGAAAUCAAACUGAUAGUAGUUAAAAGUCUAUUUCAACACCAAGCCUUGUCUACACAAGAAUUUGGUGUUAGUUAAACAUGUGUAUGAUUCUAUCUUGAUUGCAUGUUAAUUUAGUUUGAAGAUAGAUUUGGUACAUGCUAGCUAAUUGAUACGUGAUAUGAAUCUUUGGUUUCCUUUUGAUAGGACAAAAGUGAAACAUUCAGAGAGAUGAAGUCUAAGCAACUCCGCACACAUGUAGUCGCAAGGGAUAUGGUAGGUUGGCCGAGGAUUUGGUAAUUACAUUUCAUUCUAGUGCCUUCUUUUCUACAGGACAAGAACAAUUUACUAAUUUUAUUCUGUGUUCUACUGUGUGUUUACUACAUAUAUGUUUCUAUUUUGUAGAAAAGAAAAAGUGUAGACCCUUCUCUAGUUUCUAGAGGUGAUGUUUGGAUUGCAGCACAUACUAAAAAGGGUGGUGGACCAUCCAAUUUGCUUGCUGCAGAGACUAUUGUAAGUAAUUUUUAACCAUUUAUUUCUUCUUGUUUGUUGAUAUGCAAUGACGGAUGAGGUCUUAACUUUGAUGUGCAACGUUAGGAAAAAAAUUAAGCAAUAUGGAAAUGGAUCAUCAUCUGGUUUUCGAGGUGACGUUCUUUCCAAAGUUUUUGGUGCUGAGCGACAUGGUCGUGCAAGAGGAGUUGGAGGUGGUGUUCCUCCUACAAAGCUUGGAAUAUUUUCACAACAAAAAUUGCGUAAUCACCAAAUGGAUGAAAAGGUGCACAAUUUAACUAAUCAGGUCAGAGCACUGACAGAAUUGGUGCAUCUUUUUAUGAAAAAUCAGGUUAGUGAUUUAAUAACAUUGGUAUCAUAUUGAAUAUUUGUGAAAUCAGUUGUAGUGACACAUCAAAUCACAGGGUAAUGAUCUACCAAGUGAGGCAUCUCCUGACACACAGGUUGCAGCUCCUGAGGCACAUGUUGAUACUGUCGCAAGAACUGAAACUCGUCUUUCCCAAUGCGCAACAAAUGAAUCGUGGUGGCGAGGUUGAUACACUUUUUCAAUGAGCCUUCUAACUAUUAAUGCUCAUUGACUCUGUUAAAAGCUCUGCCAUUUUCAAUCUAACUAGACACUAGAAAUGAUCAUUGACUCAGUUAAAAGUUUUGAUGCUUUGGUCCUUUUGCAUAGUUGCGCAUCUACUGAUUUCUAUUUUUUUUCAAAUCCUGCAGGUUAUUUCUGAAAACAUUGAAACAUCGUGGUGUGCCAGAUGGUUUGAUUAUAAGACACCUUCCUUUUGGUCCACCAACUUAUUUAUAACUGCUAAAUGGUACGUAGUGUGAUAAUUUUCAAAUAUUUUGAUAUUAAGACAGGUGUAGGACAACAUAGAAAUUCUUAGGGCCUUCAGCAACAAAAUUAUGAAAAAGUGAGUGAGAUACAAUUAAAAAAAUGAAAGAGAAGGAUCAUGAUUCAUGAUCUAAAGGUUUGAAUAGGGUAGAAAGGAUUUAGUUUCGUUGUUAAAAUCGAUUUGUGAGUCUAUUGUUAUUGUAUUGUCAAUUUGUUUAUUUACUUGAACUUCCUAGUAUCAAUUUGGUUCGAUAUAUCUAGCACCACCAUAGAUAUAUCUAGUAUCAAUUUGGUUAGAUAUUGUCAAUUUGUUAUUUUAUUGUCAACUAUAGAAUGUGCAUCAGUUGUAAAAGGAACAAAACAAUUCAGAUUUUUUGUUUAUGUCCAAACUUAGAAUUGUAUUGUAAUUGACAAUUUCUACUAAUUAAUCCAAGUAUUUGGAGUUUAAUAUGUUUAUGAUCAAUAUUGUUAUCCUUGUAUUGUAUCAGUUUAGAUGUUAUGAAGUGAGGUCUGUCUAAAAAUGAUAUGCUAAAUAUAGAUGUAAAUUACGGCAUCUAAAAUCAGCAAUAAUUGUUGAUGGUAGUCUUUUUUUUACGAUGUAUGCCGUAAUCACCUUCACAAUAUUACGACACUCAACAAAUGCUGUAUCAAAUAUAAAUUACUGCACACUAGUAUGUCGUAAUUGUUUUUCAGUAUUACGACACCCUAUUAACGCUGUAACUAAUACCAAUUAAGGCACGUAGGACAUGCCUUAAGAACAUUUAUGGCGUGUUUUACUUAAAUUAUUCACGACUAUUAGAGUACGUUGUAUUUGUCAAAACAUCUUUUACAACAGGGGCUUUUACUGCUUGGAGGCUCAAGCCGUGAAUUUCCAUUUAUGGCACCCUUUGUGCGCCGUAAAAGGCCAAUUCUAUUGUAGUGAUCCAUGGGUACAUUUUUAAUCUACAUGUUUCGUUUUAAUAUAUCUAUUGCUAUAAUAUGUUUUGGUUGGUUCAAAUUCGUUUUACAUAAAUAUAUGGGUACAAAGUUUUUGGAGAAUAUUAUGUAAAAUGGUUUUUAAGGUUGUUGCAUUUUAUGUACCCACAUAUGCAUGUCUAUAAAACAAUGUGGUAUGAUGUACAUUCUUUUCCUUGAGUUUUUAAAUGUACCCAUGAGUUUUCUUGUAAAUUCGGUAUGUAUCCAUAUGCUAUUUAUGUUAUGGGUACAUACAUUAUUUUUGGUCUAAGUUGGUGGGUACAUUGCUUUUGUAUGUAUGAAUUCAUUGGGUACAUUAUUUCCCUUAAUACUACUCAAUAAAAUUCACAAAAAUGUGCAGUGUGCAUGAAUUUUUAUUGUAGAAAUUGUUUUUUUUUAUUUUUAAUUUUUAAGUCUCAUAAUUCGUGAAUUUUGUACAUAUUGAUCCCAUAAAUUUUUGAAUUUUAUUAAAUUUUUUUUAGACUUGAUCGAUUGAUUGAAUCUCAUAAUAAUCCCUUAAAUGUUCCAAUCAAUAUUUUAAAAUACAGCUUUUUAUUUAAGAUUUCAAAAAGAUGACAUGAAAACAUAGUAAUACUAAAAUUUUGUUUUAAAUUACAUUUGUGUAACAAUCAAUGGUAUGUUAAAACUGGGCAAAAAAAAAAAUGGUAUAUUAAAAAAUUAUAAUUUAUUCUUUUUUUCAUAACUGUCUUCUGCUUAGAUUAAUUUUUUCCAACGUUUCUCUUCGGGAGAAUUAGUUCUUACCAAUAUAUAUGCACAUUAUCUGCUUUUUACCUGGUCUUAACACAUGAUUAAUUACUUUCCUACCUGCUAACGCGUUGACUUGCGCAUCCAAAGUAUUAUCAAAGUCACUGCCACCAAAAAGGUGCCCACUCCACAACCUUUGGUUGAACCAAAGAACAUCACAACAAUAAGGAAAUCGUUAAAUCUAUCUCCGCAACAUUUUUAUUAAUCAUUAGAUAGAUUAAACGAUCCCCCUAUUCAUAUUGUGUUCUUUUGUUGAACCAAACCAUGUCAACAAAAUAUAUCUAUGGUUAAAGCAUCUAGAUUCAAGCUUUUGGAUGUGCAACUUAAACCCCUCAAUGAAUAGCCAAGCAAUUUAUCAUGUGUUUACAGUAGGUCAAAAGAAGAAAGUGUUUGUCUAUAUAUUAAUAGGAACUAAUUCCUCUGAAGAGGAGAGAUGGAAGUGAUGAUAAUAAAAAAAAAAAAAGUCGUAUUCAGUGCACAAGGCUCCCGCUUUACGCAGGGUCUGAGAGAGGUGAAUGUCGGCUAGCCUUACCCCCAUUUUAUGGAGAGGCUGCUCCCAAGUCUCGAACCCGAGACCUACCGCUCAUGGGCGAAGACACUUGCCAUCGCACCAAGUGCGACCUCUAAGGGAUAAGAGAGUAAUCAUGAAAAUUUUGAAAGUGAAAGCAUUGCCUUGGAAUAUAUAUUCUCUUUAGGAAUUCUGUGCCCAACUAAAUUCUAGAUUCUCAAAAUAUGAAAUUAGCAACUUCACCAAACACUUGGACAUGUAACAGGUCACACGUAUGGUACCAACCUUACCAACCUUACCAACCAUCUAUAUACCUAUGUUUUCGAACAUCGUUAGAUAAUUAAAGUACAGUUCACACAGCAUUUCACAUAAAAAUGGCAUCAUACAACACAUGAGAAGUACUUCUUACAGUAGCAGUCUCGUAACAUGACUAUAGUUUUUGUUACUUCUUAAGAAAAAAGAGUUUAAAAUCCUAUUGAAAGAUAAUUGUAGAGACAGAAACCCAAACUAGUUAAUUAGGUUUCUUUACAUCUCAAUAAAAUUGAAGGGAAUGUAUCUAAUAUUAUCUACUAGAGCCUCUACAAUCAUCAUAGAAUCCACAACCCACAUUUUAAUUAAUCGAAAUUCCAUGAACACAAAUAAGCAAAAGUUGAGUGAAGCCUAAGCAAUAUGUGAUCAUUUAGAGAGUCAAACUCCAUCUUUUUAGAAUUAGGGACUUUUCAAUAUGAAAAGGUAACCUCCACAAUCCAAUAUCAUAUGAAAAGGAAAACCCAAGAAAAAUACAGUAUAAUUGUGUGCAAGAGCAACACAAAAAAAGUUGAAGAAUUAGAAAUCAUAAAGAGACUUGAGACGAUUGUUGCUCACUUAGCUAAAGAGCAUUUGCACUUGAGGUCUCGAGUUCGAUUGCCCCCUUUCUUUAGAUCGCUUGAGAGGAAAAACCUACCAUUCUCUAGUCUAAAGAUAUAUGCAUCUUUGACAUGAAUGACUAGAGGGGAAGAAAGUGCAGACAAAUCACACAUACCUUCAAAAAAUUUUAUGGGGUUGGUGAAUGGUGAUUAGGGAUACUGACUUUUAAUAGCCGUUGAUCAGUGUAUAUUGCACACGCCUUCAUCAAUGGCUAGCGUCGGUACAACUGUGAUUGGGAGGGCCUUUUUACGAUAAUAGAUGGGUAAAGGUUUCAUUAGAAGGGGAAUUUUGUUCUGGUUUGCCAUAAUAACUUGAAAUUAAUGGUUUUUUGUAAUCCUUAAGUUAUUGUCAUUUUAGGUUAACUUUGUACCUGGACUCUUUACUGGAGCUAUCAAUUGAAACCCCCAUUUUCUUACCAAAAUAUGAAAAACAAAGAGUCCCAUUUUUACAGCACAGUCCUACUCUAGUUGAAAUCCGAUCGACGGUCAAGAUUUUCUAGUCAUGUGAAAGUAUCACAUAUAUAAAAUUGACUGGAGAAGGCAUGCCACAUUGCCAUGCCCUUGACAGCUUUACUUUGUUUACAAACUUUCUAAAAGAAAGAAAGAAAAAAAUCUAAAAUGGAAGGUGAUAGCGAUUUUACCACUUGUAAAACAAAGGGUUAAACCAUAGAAAAUUCUUGCAAGAGAACAAGUGUUUGUAGUAUAGAAUGGCUCAAGCAAGGUCGAUCUCCUCAGGGACUGAUAUAAACAAUUUACGAGUUUUUAUGUAUUUAACUUAUUUAACUCUAAGAAUUACACUAAUUUAACGAAACUAAAUAUUAUUGGAUGUGACUUAAACAAAUAUCUAAAAUGGGAAUUGGUUUUAGGGAAUAAUGAUUCAACUUAAACAAAACAAGUAAAUGAGGAAAUUCAAGAUAAAAUAAAUGAUUAAGAAAAAUAGAUUGACAAUAUGCUAGAGUUCAACAUUUACCAACAACACUCUUACGUAGCUAUUCCAAUUGCUUAAAUAAUUGAAAACACAUAUGCUUUGAAUGUUGGAUUUUCCUUGUGUAUGUUUUACUUGUGACAUUCAAGCUAAAACGCAUACCACUACAUGCAACUUAUCCAUGACAUUUGAAUUAAAUAUAAACAUGAGUGAUUCAUUAAUCUUGGUGAAAAUCCUUUUGUUAAACCAUAUAAUCCCUAAGAGCAUGAUAUUUACCUUAGGAGAUUACAAUUCUCAAUCACAAGAAGCACAACCAAUUUUAACGUGACAUUCGUUCAAAAUUGCAUCCGAUAACUUUUCUAAGCAUCCUAAUGGUGAUCAAGCAUCAAGGUACAUAGAUAGUUUAAUUCAGUGAUUGAAAAUAUCAAAACAAGCAUGUAACAACACUUAAGCAAUUGAAAAAUAAAACUACGUAUUCAUGUUGCGGCUCAUGGCCUCACUCUAGCAUAAUACUUUAAAUAAUUAAAGCCCAAACAAUUUACCAAAUUUCAUCUCUGUACUCCGCAGAGACGCUAAACGAGACAUAUUUGGUCCAUCUCUGAACAUCUUUUCUUACUGUUCUUACAAUAGAAAGGGCACAAAAUUGACUUACACAGUCUUGCACAAUACUCACUUUGCUUCAACCCAUAUUUCACUUUGUCAAAUCAUACACGUUCCUGCAACAGGUGAACUCAUAUUUAUCUACCACUUCUUGCUAAUUUUAAUUUUUCCAUUCCCAUUUUUACUACAAGUUUUCACAUAAUUUUUUUAUUGCAUUUGUCAAUUCUUUAUACUUUUUAAUUGUAUUUUUUUUUUUGUCUUUUAUGUGUUUUCUAUGUUGGCACAAGGUUACAACAGUAUUAAACAAUUACAGGUCCUCCAGAGGUUUGCUUAUUGCCCUAUUUCAUCAAGCUCGGUAUAAAUAGAUCUUAAUUUUUUACUACAGUUAAAUACAUGGACAUGCCUCCACAAAUACAAAUUAGUUCUUGCUUAAAUACUUUGUGUGUUUACAUAGAAAAUGUUCCCAUCGUCUACCAAAAUCCUCCACACAUGAAAACAAAAAUUCUUACUCAAAAUACUUAUUACAAUACCACCAUAUCUGUUGUUUUUUAUUAAAUUAACACACUGUUUUCAAUUUUAUCUUCAACACAAAAGAAAAUGCUCUUACACAAUGUGUUUGCUUACAUUUUAUAACUUAUCUACCACAUGUUAAUCGCAGUUAUAUAAAUAGGAAAAUACGUGUUCAAUAGAAGUGUGAUGCAUGUCACUUCGUUAACAAUAGUGGAAACUAAACAAUUAAAUAAUUUGUUUCAAUUAGUUAGUACAUUUUAUAAAUUUCUCAAUUAGAACUGUUUCAGUAUAUUUAAUACAUUUUUAAACAACUUUCCAGUUAGUUGCCCAAACUAAUUAUUCCAGCUUAUUCACAGUAUAAUACCAACAAUUUAACAACCAAUGAUACUUCGUUUAACAUAAACUUCAUUUGGAAAAAACAAAAAAAAUCUUUUUCUCUGCUGAAAAAAUCAACAGAUUUAAUGAUGUAGAUCAGUUAUACCAACAAAUUACCAUAGUUUACCCAAUGCUAUACAGGUUUGACUUUUGUUUAUAUUCUUGGAUCUGUUGCUUGGUUGUAUAAUUUGGCUGUGUGUUUUGUUUCAGGACAAUUUGUUCUUCGUUUCUUGAGGCUUCUAUGUGUAGAUUUGAACCGUUUAGCUUUCAAACCGUUUAUACUCAAGGUAAAUAAUUUCGUUUGUUUCUUUUUAACCUUUUUUGUAAGAAUUUUUUAUUUAAUGUUGUGAGAGUUGUGUUUUCUAUAGUAUGGAAAUUGAAUCUUUGUGAUCUUAUAUCGUUAGAUACGUUGCUUGGUUAAUGUGAACACGGAAAAUUCCCGAAACGAAAAAGACAAGAACAACGUGCACAAACAAAUAUUUUGUAUUUGAUGAUUAUUUUGGGUUACAAUCUCUCUCUAAUUUGAUCCUCUGAUUCGAUCUCCGUAAGAUAUUGGUUUGUGGAUGUGCGAUUGAUCCAAGGGCCGUCGAGGCUUGAUCUUGGAUGAACGGUGAUGAACGGAUCUUCAAGGGCUUUUGGGCUUGAUCUUGAAGAAUAGUGAUGAACGGGUCUUCAAGGGCUUUUGGGCUUGAUCUUGAAGGAUGGUUGGAUGUGUGGAUUUGUCGACGUUGUUAAUCCAAAGGGCUGUUGGGGCUUGAUCUUAGGAUGAACGGAUGAUGAACGAAUAACACUUUCUUCAAGGGCCGUCGGGGCUUGAUUUUGAAUUGGUGAAAGUUCUUCAAGGGCCGUCGGGGCUUGAUCUUGAAGGUAGAUGAUUGUUGAUCCAAGGGCUGUCGGGGCUUGAUCUUGGAAGAACGAUGAACGAAGAACGAAGAAGGCUUUCUUGAUUCUUCGGGAACCUGGAUGCUUGAGAGCUUCGGAGUUUCAGAGCUUCAGAGCUUCAAGGUGUAAUAUGAAUUUGGUUCCCUUAAAUGAAUGAAAUUGGCUUCUAUUUAUAGAAUUUUCCAAGGCCUAAUUUUGAAUAUAAUAUUCCAGAUGAAAUAAGUCGUUUCUGCCAAGUGUUGACACGUGUCCUAUUUGAUGACUUUUCCGACUCAUUUCAAUUUUUCGUCGAGUCACACACUACGUGUAAAAUUUAUGUAAUACAUGAGCGUUGAAACUUUGAUUUAUCAGUCAACAUUUAUUUACCAAAAUUUCGAUGUCUACAAAUGCCCCCACUUCAAGGCGCGUCGUAUACAUGUGCUUGUCACGUGUAGGAGAUGCGUUUUGAAGUCCCCUUACUGUAGAUGUCGAUCCAAGGGCCGUCGAGGCUUGAUCUUGAACCGGGCUGGAGAUUUCUUCAAGGGCCGUUGAGGCUUGUUCUCGAACUUUGUUCGAAAUUUCUUCAAGGGCCGUUGAGGCUUGAUUUUGAAUUGGGCUGAAAGUUUCUUCAAGGGCCGUUGAGGCUUGAUCUUGAAUUGGGUUGAAAGUUUCUUCAAAGGCCGUUGAGGCUUGUUCUUGAACCUUGUUUGAAAUUUCUUCAAGGGCCGUCGAGGCUUGAUCUUGAAUUGGGCUGGAAGUUUCUUCAAGGGCCGUCGGGGCUUGAUUCUUGAAGGUGGAUGAUUGUUUAUUCAAGGGCCGUUGAGGCUUGUUCUUGAACCUUGUUUGAAAUUUCUUCAAGGGCCGUCGAGGCUUGAUCUUGAAUUGGGCUGGAAGUUUCUUUAAGGGCCGUCGGGGCUUGAUUCUUGAAGGUGGAUGAUUUUUUCUUCAAGGGCCGUUGAGGCUUGUUCUUGAACCUUGUUUGAAAUUUCUUCAAGGGUCGUCGAGGCUUGAUCUUGAAUUGGGCUGGAAGUUUCUUCAAGGGCCGUCGGGGCUUGAUUCUUGAAGGUGGACUCGAACACAUGGCAAGCAGGCACGAGGUGAAGGUGACGGUCUGUUUCUUUGCUCAAUCUUUCCAAGUGCCGACCGAUUGCUUUUCUUUCUCCUUGUCCCGCAGGCAAGAGCAAGGGUAAAAGAAAAGCAUGCCAUGAGAUAUCUUUGUUUUUGACUCUGAUGAUAUGAGGUACUUCUGCUUUUGAAGAAGUUGCGGAUGAAUCGACACGUGCUUUGUUGUGCUUGUCUCCACAUGCUCAGACUCUUGGCAGAAUGUGAAAGGUGGCAUUUUCUCGAGUUACUCAACUCAGACUCAUUCUGCUGAGUUGACUGUGCGGGCCGCAUUCUUCUCUGCUUGUUUCUUCUGGCAGCCUUGCUCUCGAGUACUCAUCUUUAACAUCUUAUGUUUCUUCUUUGUCUACCACACUGUGGAAGACGAGUACUCGAGAGUAAUACCAUGUAAGCAAUCAGAAAAGGGUUCCAAGCAGUCGGUUCCAGAUCGGAAGAUUGAUACCAAGUGUUGGCUGAUUGCUUUCCUUCUCAUUGUCCUACAGGUUAGAACAAAGACAAGGAAAAGGACACGGAGAAUGCAUGAUAUGAGAUACUCUUGCUUUCUCCCUUCAUGAUAUGAAAUACUUUUGCUUUUCAAGAUUUGUUUGCAGAGGUAUCCUAUGGGAUGAAGAACACUGAGUGAGUUGAGAGGGUUUGUUGGAAAGCCAUUUGUCGGAGAUGACGGAAUGUUAUGUAUGUCUGCCUUGCCAUGGAGCGUGAAGGUCGACAUUUGUAGGAAAUAAUAACUGGUACUGUUCUUUCACUCCUGUCGGCAACCGUUGGAUGAUUGAACAGUAAACUUCACGUGAUUUCCUCAAAGCUUUUUCUGCAUGCGACAAGUGCUGACGAGGCUGAGAGAGACAUGCGAUUGGAAUCGGCGCUUCGACAAACUUUUCCAUGAUUUUCGCAAAGCUGACGAGGCUGAGAAAGACAGAUGGUUUGGAAUCGGCGUUUCGAUAAACUGCCCGUGAUUUCCGCAACGCUGACGAGGCUGAGAAGGACAGAUGGUUUGGAAUCGGCGUUUCGACAAAUUGCCCGUGAUUUCUGCAACGCUGAGUUUGCGUGUGACAGGUGCUGACGAGGCUGAGAAAGCUGACACUUCUUCGAUUUUUGAGAUCAGUCCGUGAUCCUUGAGUAGGCCUAGCUUUGGAGAAAGCAGGCGCUUCAUCGAUCUCUGAACUCGCCUCUUCGAUCUCUGAAAGCCCAUCGCAUGCUGUUUUUUUAUAGAGGUACGCAAGACAUUCAAAGCACACUUGAAUUUCUACCUGUGAAAAAAAACUCCCCUUUUGCAUAUCUGAGAUCUUUAAUUUGCCCGACCUCUUCAUUUUGUUGAACACCUUCGGAAAUGUCUUUCCCAUCUGACCGUCGUCUUGACUUGAAUAUCGAAGAAGAUAUUGACAUGUCUUCUCCAGGCAACAUUUGGCAGCUGUCCUUCGUAUCCUCCAACGAACCUCUUACGGUUGGGGACACUGUGAUGAGGAAUGACGCAACGGCUGCAGUGGUUGCUAGAAAUCUUCUCACUCCUAGGGAUAGUAAGAUGCUUUCCAAGCGGUCCGACGAGAUGGCUGUUCAAGACUCUCUGGCCUUCAGCGUCCAAUGUGCGGGCUCAGUAUCAAACAUGGGCCAACGCCUUCUUGCUCGAUCUCGUCAGGUUGAGUCUUUGAUGGCCGAGGUGGCUAGUCUUCGGCAGGAGAUCAGAGGGCUUAGGCACGAGAAUAAAGAGUUGCAUAUGCUAGCAACUAGUUACUCAACGAGCAUGAAGAAGAAGCUAGACCAACUGCAGGAGUGUGAAGUUCGGGCUCGAAAUGAUCAUCAAAGGUUUAUGGCGUUACUCCCGAGGCAUCUUCUGCCUUCGUCAUCUGGCGCUUCACCAAAUGUUGAGGCUCCGGAAAAUCAAACUCUGGCGCUUCGUCUUUCUGGAGCUUUACCAAGUGUGGAGGCUUCAGUUGAUCCACCUCCGGUGCUUCGUCUUUCUGGAGCUCCGUCGAGUACUGAGGCACCACAUGAUCAUCCUUGAAGAUCCUUUCCUGUAAAUUUGAUUUGACUUUUUUUUUAAGGUAUGUAUAAUGUAAAAUUUCUAGAAAAAUAAAAUGGACUUUAUUUCUCUGAACAUGUUUUUUUUGUUUUUUUUUUUGGCUGUAUAUUUUCUCUUUAAUCAUGGUGCACCCAUUUUCCACAUGGUGCCAGACGGACCAAAGAUCAAACAUUUCCUUUUUUUAUUUUUUUAUUUUUUCUUUAAUCAUGGUGGCAGACGCAUAAACAAUUUCAUUUAUAUUUUUUUUUCUUUUUGCUGGCACAUGGUGCCAGAUGCACCAUUCAUUUAUAUAUAUUAUUAUAUAUGUUUUUUUUAUUUUUUUUUAUUUGCACAUGGUGCCUGAUGCACCACCUCUUUUUUUUUCACGUGGUGCCAGCAUCACUUUGCUCCACCAUCCAUUUUUUUUAUUUUUAUUUUCUGUAUAAAUUUGGGUGAUGGGUAGAGGAUUUUGCAGGCAGGGAGCAAGGAGGCCGAGAAGAUGGUGCUUCGAACUUCAUGACCGGCUAGUCGUUUGACGGCGGUCGUUGAAGUCGUUGGCAGUUGCGAGGCAAAAGACGGAGGAGAAGGUGGAGUAGGUGACCUUGAUGUCGGAUCCAGCUAGAACCCAGAGCACAGCGACUGAGCCCAAUCACCGAGCACAACCGCUGCACACCCGUUGUACUGCCACCGAGCACUGCCACUGCGCAUCUGUUGCACUGCCAAUUGCUGCAAAGGAUUAUGUUUAACGGCGGAGACGCUGCCCUAUUUGCCAUGCUAUGCCGACGUGCUUCACAUAAUUAACCAUCCAGAAUUGUUAAACAUUCCAUCUGGGUUUAUCGCAAAAACAGAAGAAGAAAAAAACCAAGAUCCAUCCAUGCCAAACACCAAUCUGCCAUCUUUUUGGGAUUUGUACGACAUCAUCAGCCAAAACCUGCUUGGUCCGCUCGCAAAUUGUGGGAGAGGAAGAGUUGGCGGAGCAGCUGUAACACUGGAAAAUGGAGGACGUUGACGAGUCCUCCAAGUUGUUCUUGACGUUGGUGCUGGAGAAACCUGCCUCUCUCAUGACUCUGCUGACACUUGGGUCGUCAAGGAUGGGGAUGAUGAGCUGCUCGAGCUCGACUUUGAUGGUUAAGAGCGGCUGCUGCUGCUGCUCGAUGCAGUCUCUUCUCUGAUGGGCUUGGGCUCUCUUGAGGGCGUUGGAGAGAGAGGGCUGCCCGUGGAGGAGAGGGCAUGGAGUUGUUGGGAGAAAUCAGGGCCGGAAUGGAAAAUAUUCCCGAGCUGCAUCAACGAGGAGAUAACACCGCUAAGUUAUUCAUCUGGUUUGCUUUAGUCAAAUGGAUCAAUCCGCGGGUCAUGCUCGCUUGCCAUCAUCAUCCCAGUGCACAGGCAUGUCGGGCACAUGACCUUUCCAGCACCAGAGCAAUUUGGGCACCUCUCAGUUGUGGGCACUCGCAAAGGUUGGUCUGAUGCACUAGAUGCUGAUAUAGGAUUGAUGUUCAAGCACACUCCACUUGCAGAACAUCUAGCACAGGCCAAGUACCCAGUUCCAUGGCAAUAUUUGCACCUUUUCUUCUCUUGCUGCUCAACAUUAUUAGCUUCAAUCAACAUCAAUGCUGAAAUGACACCCACUGCCCCACCGGAGAAGGAUGCCACAAUAGGAUCAACCUGACUUAAUUGUAAAGGCAGAUGCAUGCUACGAAUGAAAUCUUCAUACGAGGUACCUCCUAUACCUAAUUUUAGUUCCAACGAUGGCGCAAUGAGACCCCCAAAUACAAUUACACUAGAUAUCAUAGAUAAGCUUGUGAGGUAGAGCUGCUUCAACGUCUUUGGUGUCAUAUGAGGGAGAAAAGGGAUAGUGGAUGGAAUGUCAGGCAUCUCAUUUGACUCUUCCUCACAAGCCUCAUCCAUAUCUCUCGCCAUCUUUAUCCGUUGCUGCACCCGCAAUCUCCUUAGCUCUUCCAUGAGAAGAAAAAUCUUGUUGUGCCGGCUUCUUAUGUUGUCCUAAAUUUCCUGUAGUUGCAUCUGCACAAAGUCCUGCACCGUCUCCGGCUCUUCUAUGAUACAAAAAGUGCUUGGCGUGUUAUCGCCGGGGAAUGAUUCCUUGGAAGCAGAACAGGAAAUUUGGGGAUGCGGGGAGGUGAAUUUGGACAGAGAGAGACGUCUAGGGAUUCCAUGGGAGGGGGGUUGAGAGUGGUUUUUUGCCGGCGCCUCUAGGGUAGUCGUCGUUGGCUAUUGCUAUAGAGAGGUCAAUGACUUCACCGGAGAUGGCGUUGUUCUGGAGCCCGAGCGUGAGAAGCCGGGUGAGAUUGUCUGGAAAGGGUCCCCAGAGGUUGUUGUCGGCGAGGUCGAGAAGCUUGAGCUUGGUGCAAUUGACGAGAGGAGAAACGGUGUCGUUGAGGCGGUUGUUGUGGAGGUCGAAGAGUGAGCUGGGCGAGAUCAGAGAACCUUGACGAAUUCGGAGCGUUGAGGGUUAUCAACACGAUCCCAUCGACGAAGAAGAAGCAGAAUGGGCCUCUUGCGGGGCCUAUGGCAUCAACCGGUCUUUGGGCUUCUGGGCCAGUAAAUUGGAGAGAAGCCUGGGCUUUUGACUUGCAGAGAGAUUAGGCUCUGGGAGCCGCUUGUAGUAUUGUGGCUAAAGGGGUUGCUUCCUGUGGCCACUUAUAUAUAUAUAUUUUGUAAAUACAUAAAACAUUUAUCUCUUUUUUUUUCUUUUUUUUUUGUACAAAGAAAUUGUAAUAGCAUCAAAACUUUUAAUAAAAUCUUUAUUCCUUAUUUUGGUGUGACUGAACUCAAAUUUUGAAUAUUCGAGUUGCCUACGUACCUCUCCAAAGAAGAGAUCAAGUCGUAACGUAGUUCAAAUGAGUGAUGAAUUUAACAGUGAUUUUGAUGAUGAUUUUGUCGUACACAGUUUAUGCUCUUGCGGGCCAGGAGCUUUGGUUCGUGCAGUUUAGGCUCGUGCGAACAAGGAGUGUUGGUGUUGCCUUUUAUGCUCGUGCAGACCAGGAGCGUUGGUGUUGCCUUUUAUGCUCGUGUAGACCAGGAGCUUUGUGCCAUGCAGUUUAGACUCGUGCAGGCAAGGAGCGUUGGUGUUGCCUUUUAUGCUCGUGCAGACCAGGAGCGUUGGUGUUGCCUUUUAUGCUCGUGCAGACCAGGAGCUUUGUGCCAUGCAGUUUAGACUCGUGCAGGCAAGAAGUGUUGGUGUUGCCUUUUAUGCUCGUGCAGACUAGGAGCUUUGUUGUGCCAUGCAGUUUAGGCUCGUGCAGGCGAUGAGCUUUGGUUCAUGCAGUUUAGGCUCGUGCGAACAAUGAGCAUUGUGCCAUGCAGUUAGGCUCAUGCAGGCGAGGAGCGUUUAUUGGUUCGUCAAGCGAUCCAGGAGAGUCGUUCCUCGCAAUCUUCAUAGCAAGGAGCCUUGACUGAGUGAUUGAAGAAGUCUUUGGGGAAGAAAUCGCGCAUCGUGAUGGGGAUGGACGAUAUUUGUGUCGUCAUUUCAUCAUCUUCAACACUUUCACUUUUCUUUGAAGGUUGACAAGAGCUGCUUUGCCCCAUUUCCGAUUGGCGGACUUGUGGAUGAGACGUAUGCUUCUUCUGCAGUUUCUCUAGAGUGACAUGAGUCAUUCCUUCAACUUCGCUUGGCUCAACUGGCAUGGUUUUGGAGCAUGCCCCCAGCGAUUGAGGUGAAGAUUUUGAGUUGACAAAGCCGGAAGUGACGUCUUCUUCCAUGAUUUCAUCUUCUUUGUCUUCUUGGGCUUGUUGGCGUGAAGAUUGGCCGGCGUAGAUGAUGGUGCGCCUCUUUACCUUCAGUGGUCCUUUUGUGUCGACCUCCCAAGCUGUUUGGCGCUUUAUCCUUGAAUGAAUCAAGCUUCGAACGUCGUCUUUUCCUGCUAGACCGUCGAGCUUUUCUUCCUUUGGCGUUGUCUUCCUAUUUCUAGAAUGCUUCUUGGUUUCUUCAAGUUUUUCCAAAGCCGAUCGUUGGGGAGGAGAGCCAGCCUUGCUGCUUUGUUUCUUAGGUUUUGACAACCUUUCAAAAACAGAGCUUUGGGGUGUUGGCGUGUUAAGCCGUUUGAAGAUGGAAGUUCGGUCUUGCCCACCAAUGCGAUCAAGUGCCGACCUUCUGGGUUUUGAACGAUUCAGCCUAUCGAAGACUGACACUCGAAUAGGAGGUUGAGGCUCCUCUUGAUCUUGUUCAAUCCUCAAGCUGAUGUGUCGAGUGCUAGCAUUUUUUGCUUUACUUGAAAUCUUCACGGGUGCAUUUGGUGUGAAGCCAAGUCUAGCUCUGUUGUUGUCAACUCCGUAAUCAUGCUUUUCCAACUUCUUCUGAGUCUCGGUGAAGUCAUGAUCUUUGUCGUUGAUGGUGUUUGAAACCUUCUUCUCAAGAUUUGAAGAGGAAGCAAAGUCGUACCCAGCCUUUAACAUGAGUUCGUAGGCGUUUGGGUUGAGACCUUCUUCGGUCCUCUUAGUUGGAAUGAAGCUUGGGUUCGCUUUGACGCCAUGAUGCGCCUCCAGACGGUUGAUAAGUCCAACGGUUUGCAAGUUUUUCUCCUCCGCAGUCUUUAUCAGCCUUGCAAUUGUUUCCUUCAUCUGAACUAGUUGUUCUUCAAUAGAGGUAGCGCCGAUGGUCAUGACUUGUUCUUUGUUUGAAGCCAUGAAGUGUGCUUGAAUUUCUUGAACAGAGAAAGAGAUGAGAGGUAGAGAUUGUCCCACUGGGCGUGCCAAUUUGUGAACACGGAAAAUUCCCGAAACGAAAGAGACAAGAACAACGUGCACAAACAAAUAUUUUGUAUUUGAUGAUUAUUUUGGGUUACAAUCUCUCUCUAAUUUGAUCCUCUGAUUCGAUCUCCGUAAGGUAUUGGUUUGUGGAUGUGCGAUUGAUCCAAGGGCCGUCGAGGCUUGAUCUUGGAUGAACGGAUCUUCAAGGGCUUUUGGGCUUAAUCUUGAAGAAUAGUGAUGAACGGGUCUUCAAGGGCUUUUGGGCUUGAUCUUGAAGGAUGGUUGGAUGUGUGGAUUUGUCGACGUUGUUGAUCCAAAGGGCCGUUGGGGCUUGAUCUUAGGAUGAACGGAUGAUGAACGAAUAACACUUUCUUCAAGGGCCGUCGGGGCUUGAUCUUGAAUUGGUGAAAGUUCUUCAAGGGCCGUCGGGACUUGAUCUUGAAGGUAGAUGAUUGUUGAUCCAAGGGCCGUCGGGGCUUGAUCUUGGAAGAACGAUGAACGAAGAACGAAGAAGGCUUUCUUGGUUCUUCGGGAACCUGGAUGCUUGAGAGCUUCGGAGUUUCAGAGCUUCAGAGCUUCAAGGUGUAAUAUGAAUUUGGUUCCCCUAAAUGAAUGAAAUUGGCUUCUAUUUAUAGAAUUUUUCAAGGCCUAAUUUUGAAUAUAAUAUUCCAGAUGAAAUAAGUCGUUUCUGCCAAGUGUUGACACGUGUCUUAUUUGAUGACUUUUCCGACUCAUUUCAAUUUUUCGUCGAGUCACACACUACGUGUAAAAUUUAUGUAAUACAUGAGCGUUGAAACUUUGAUUUAUCAGUCAACAUUUAUUUACCAAAAUUUCGAUGUCUACAGUUAAAUGAUUUGGCUGUGUGCAUUGUUUCAGGACAAUUUGUUCUUCGUUUUUUGGGGCUUCUGUGCGUAGCUUUGAAGUCCUUUGUAGUCAACAUAAAUAAUUUUAUUUUUCUUUGUUUUUAGUCUUCUAUGUAAGAAUUUCUUAGUUAAUAUUCUGAGAAUUAUGUUUACUAUAGUAUGAAAAUUGAAUCUUUGUGAUCUUCGAAGUGUAACGUCAUUGCAACAUGGACGACUGCCAUUAUCGAACAUGAAAAACAUUUUGAUUUCUGUACUCCGUCUAGUAGAAAACUCUCGACUUCUUCAGAAACCACGAGAAACUUAAAACUGAGAAAGCUUCGCGGUCUCCCUUCCAUCUCUGCUACGCGGUCUCUGCUUUGCGAUCUCUGCUUCCUUCGUGAUUUCUUCCUUCCUGAACGACAUCUAUUCGAAUUGAAAACCUUCUGGAGCUCUCUUCCCCAAAUUUCAGCAGCAACUUUGCUCCAGAUCUUUCCAAUUGAAAUUCCUCUCCUUCACAUUUUGCAUAUUGAAUUUCGCAUCAUCAUCAUCUCCCUAGAACCUAGGAGUUCGGUUCGGUUUCGAGUUUUCCGACGGAAAUCCGGCGACAGCGGCCAUCGAGGUUGGUCUGAAACUAUUCCUCAUCACCACAGGUACUUUCUACACCUAUUACAUUUUAGAAAAAGUUUCAUGACUUUGUGGAAUCCAAUUUAACGAUUAGAAAAAUUUUCAUUAAUUUUCUGGGUUCGUGAGUUGGAGGGGGAUUAGAAAUUUUUUCAUUAUUUUUCUGGGUUUGUGGUUUUUUUUUUCCAAAACGUUUUUCCUUUCUACUAAUCCAAGUUCCUUCACAUCAAUCUCUCUGUUUUGUUCUUGAUCUUCCUCGAGUAGAAUACCUCUUCUUGCUCUGGAGCGCGUGGGCAGUCUCUCUAAGGCAGCCCAUGACGUCAUUUUCCGAUUCGACUCGGAGGAGGUUGGCUGCUCUUCUUGGCUGAGCUUCAUGGCUGGCCGAAUUCCCCUAUUCCCUUCCUCUUAUACUUUUUUAUAUUCGUUCACCAAAACAAUAGGAAAACGUCUCCGUCUGUUUGAUUGACGGCGAAAAAAAAAAAGACGGAGAAUAAAAGCCUGACGGAAGCUGAAAGCUUGGACUCUGUUUGUAUUUUUAAUGGAUUUUCAGAACACAGGUCAAGAAUAUUGCGAUUUGAGAAAAAAAGAAAGAACCACGUUGACAUAAUAUAUUCACAAUAGGUGUACAAGGUUCAUAAAGCUUUACUGUGGUUCCAUUUUUUGUUAAUGGAAUUAGCCUUUUGUUUUAGGAAGAACUUGGAACCCCCUCCGUCCAUUCUAUCCCCAAUGGAAUUAACACUUAGAUAGUACUAUGACAAUGUGUCAUUAUUUGAUGCAUACCUGUAUAAAUUUAGGCUAAGUGUUUUAUACACAAAUUGAUACAGAUUAACUAUACAAUGAUAACUAUAUACCGGAGAGCUAACUAUACAAUGAUACAUUCUUAUCUGUUAAUUAUCUUUGGUUACCAGCUAUCCAUGUUGCUGUCAUAUUAAACUACACAACAUCAGUUGUAAUUUAUGUCUUAUUAGUAUCAUCAUUUUUGUUCAUUAUUUCAAUGUCUAACAUAACUCCGCCUAUGUCUUACAUGGCCGGUCCCAAGCCCGGAUAAAGGAGGAGGGGGAGGGCGUCAGGUAGUCGACAGCCGGCACUCCAUGAUCACGUCGAAUCCUUAUGAAAAUGAAUCCAGAACAAAACCCCACUUAGUGGGAAAAGGCUUUGUUGUUGUUGUAUUUCAAUGUCUAACAUGAUGAUCUGGUUUCAAUUUGCUACAGGCAUUAUUUCCAGACAAUAGCUAUGGUUUUGAUUGUAGCGGUGACUGAAAAAUUAUUCCGAAACUAACAUUUGAGGAAUUCAAGGUUUGUUAGUUAAUUUGUACAUCAGAAUACCAUGACAAACUAUGAAGUUGUAAUUGUUGACCUUACAAUGUAUCUUUUUUGGUUUGGAGCAUUAGACUUAUAUGUGUUGCUUUCACCUCAUGAAGGCUAACUCUUUAUUUUAGGCCGUAAGAGUAUAAUUUCUUGGAGAAUCUACAUUGUUGAUAAUUUUUUGAACAAUAUUAUCCCCAAAAUUUCUCCGCAUGUUACCCUCAACGUAGACAUCAUAUAACCAUCAUUGAACUUCUGAACCAAAAAUUUGAGUUUUAUGAUUAUAACUAAACGUCUAUAAACACAUGAUACAGAUUGAGACGAAUGUCAAAUUUAAAAUGGCAUUAAUACAGCUGCAAACUCUGAUUUGCGGGAUUUGAAAUGGAGCAGUUACUUCUUGCUUCACUUCAGCAGCAUAGUCCAGCUUCUAAAUUCAGUUCUCAGGUAUGAGGUUUCUCAGUUACCUCUUUUUUGUAAUAAAACAUUUGAUCAGUACUUGCCAGGAUAUCCAAUUAAUUAGGUCAGUUUUUGUUAGCAGUAAUAAUUUGUUUUUGCAGCUUUAUAUGUGUCUCUGUCUCCAAAUAUGAUGAUCUCUUAAUUUGCUUCUAUAGCUUUUGUAAUAUAAUGAUCUCUUAAUUUUCUUUUGCAUAUCUUCUUUGCUUCCUCUGCUAGCUCUAUAUGAGAUUCCAUCUCCAAAUAAUUAUUCCUUAUUUCCUAUUUUUACCAGAAGCAAAUCAUUGAAUACACAUGGUAAAUUAAAAGGGUUUUAGUUUUUGGAGUAGUUUAAAUUUUUUGUUUGUUAUUGCUUGUAUUGCUGUUAAAUAUUUGAUGGGUAGUUUGAAAUGGGGAACUUGGUUGAUUGAGUAUUAACUUUUAUUAAAUUAAUAUUCUUAUUCAAUAUUGAAUUAAGACUCCUCUUAUUAAAUUAAGACUCUUAAGGCUCUAAUCUAAUGUUCAUGCUCAAUAUCUCCUCUAUCUUUCUACAAUUGGUAAAACUUUUGUAUUAUUAUUCCAAUUUUGGUUACUGGGUUGUGGAAUUUUCCAUUUUUUUUCUGGGUAAUCAAUACUAUAUAUAUGCAUGACAAGUAUAAACAAUAUUUUGGGGCAAAUUUAGUUGUUUAAUUUUUAAUUUUUAUGUGACAGUGAGAUUAUGGUAGGAUUUCGUUUAGAUUCUGCGGCCCAAUGGGAGUCUCUGCUUUGAUAAGAUUGGGGUUGAUGCCAAGAAAGCCAAUAAGCCUACUGUGGACGCCGUAGCCGCCUGGCGCUGUUUUCCAAAAUCCUCUCUCACUUGGUUAAGCAAUUAAGACUUUUUGGUUCAGUUUUUAUUAUGCCCAAUUUUGUAUUUAAACCUUAAAAAAAUUUAAACUGAUAUGGGGAUACUGAAAUAGGCUGCAGAGCUGCCAUCCCUGAAUCAGAAGAUGUUCAGAAGGAAGAAGAAGAACAAGAAGAAAGUCGUGGAAUAUCAAAAGCUUUUAGCUUUGUGAAGGUAUGCUUUUUCCCAACUCACCUCUUGCUUUUGUUGCACUGAAUUGGUAGAUUGGGUUCAAAAAUAUAUAUAUGUGAUUUUUCGUGUAACUAUUUCUUUACAUAAUUACCAAUUGGAGGUGAUUUGAGAUCAUGUAACAUUUCCUCGCUAGAACCGAAGAUUGCCGUCGCUCAGAGCUGCGUUUCAUGAAACAAGUUCAUCUCCUGCCAAUUUUGUGUACCCACCUUUUAUUCAUGAGGGUUGGUGCUUGCUUGCAACACAAUUUGGUGCUAUUAAGUUUUGCGGUUUUACAAUUUGUUCAUGCUUAAACCUCUUUCAAAUUUUCAUUUCUAUGUAAAUCUUGCAGGUAGGACGACACACCUAUCUUGGCAAUGUCGGGAUGUCUAGGCUUGGGUGGAGACGUGGUCUUAUGGAAGAGGUGAAGUAGCUUAGCUCGAUCUCAUUAGCUCUUAUCUGUUCUAUUAUGCUAAGAUCAAUAGUAAAAAGUUCUAUUGAUUUUAUAAUCAAAGAUACAUAUAUUAUAGAAACAGAGGGUAUAUAAUUAAUUUCUUGAUGUAAACAAUUAUAACUUGAGGAACCAUUUAAAGUAUUUUGGUAAUCAGCAUACUUAAACUUAAAUGUGAUAUAUCCGUUUAGUAUUUUUUUUAUACAGUGAUAAUACUUAAGUAUAAUUUACAUCAUAUAUCUUUUGAAGUACAUGAAACUAUGAAGAAAAUGAUAAACCAAAUCCCAUUCCAUCUCUGUUUGCUACUGCACAAUCACAAUCCAAUUCCAACAUGGAAUCCUCAGACGACAUGCCUACUGCAGAACAAGUUUCAUCCUGACUUAACUUAUAUUUAGUCCACGUCCUGUUUAGAUUGUAAUCCUAGUUCUACGUGUGUUUGUAUAGUACUCCUAUAAAUAUCAAUGAACAUCGCUCACUCUAAUUAAGAGUUGAGAUUCUGCAAAUCAUAUUUACUAUCUUUCAUGGUAUCACGAGCCAGCGUCUAACGACAACGGUUCCUAUUAUAAUUUUUUUCUCUUUUGCAGAUCCUAAACUAUGGCAUCUUCUUCCUCCUCCGCUGCUCCCUCCAUCACAAAUUUUCUUACGAUCAAGCUCGACCGCAACAACUACCCUCUUUGGCAUGCUCAGUUUCUUCCCUUGCUGCGCAGCCGCAACUUACUCUCUUAUGUUACUGGCGAAACUCAAUGCCCCUCUUUCUUCUUGAUGACAAUGGUAAAUUCACCGAUAAAGUCAAUCCAUUAUAUAAUGAAUGGAUCCAGACUGACCAGAUGAUCCUAUCUUGGAUUACGAGUUCUCUUACUCCCAAGGUUCUUGCUACGAUCGUCAACAAAAUUGAUUCGGCCUCUGCUUGGUCGUCAAACUCGAAUUAAUCUGAUUGUGAGGGUUUUGUUUUAUAUCAAUAUAUUGCAACAGAAGUCACACUUUGAAGAGUUCAUGCUGCACAGAAAGAUGAUGAAAUGCUACCCGUUGAGUCUAUCAUUGCUCCAUUGGAGACAGAGCUGAAGCUUACUGCAGGAGUUAUACAUUUGUUAUGCAAUAUGACCCCUUUAAUUUUAUUUUAAAACUGAUACAAAAAUACUACAAAAAUUUAUGUAGUAUUUUUGUAUCAGUUUUGAGUGUCUAUUUUGGCUUCCAUAUAUCGUCUGUACAUGUGAGAGGUAUAGUGUUCAAUAUGUAUUUGGUUUCUAUAUUGUUAAUGGAUCCUUUUUUUUUUUUUAAUUUUAAUAUAAUUUUAUUAAGGUAACCAAGUUGCAGGAUGACAUCAGAACACUUGAUCUGCAGGUAAACCUUCAAUUUCCAUAUGAAGUUUGCAUGUUCGUUGUUUCUGGAAUUUGAGUUUUUAUUAUUUCUCAAUUCUAUCACAUAGAUUACGAUUUCACAUAUGUGAUUAUUAAUGGCAAUUAUAUGAUAGAAGAAUUGGGAUUGGAAGAAGAUAUUGAGUUGUUUAUUUAUGGGGAUUAGAAAAUGAUUAUCAUACAAGUGAUAUUUAUUUUUGUGUGGAUUGUUAAUAUAUAAAACUAUAAGCUUUUGAGAUUGGGAGAUAAAACCCACAAAUUCAAAUCAGACAAAAUAAAUAAAAAAUUUAACUGACUUAAAGAUCAAACUCCAAAAGGGUAUUAAAAACAAGGCUUAUUUGAUCCAUUGAGUGUGAAAGUUUUGAGCUUUGAAGAAGCAUAGGAGGAGAGUUGUUAACCAAGCUGCAUUAUCCAUGUAUUAGGAUGUUGAGGGUAGGCAGGAAAAAUACUUUUUGACGCCAUAUCCAGAGGAGCAUAACGACAGGCCUGCAUUUUUGCAGCAAGGACCAAAACAAGUAGAAGUGAAGGCUUGACUGUUUGGGUAUUAAUCCUAAACCUAAUUAUUCUUAUUUAGGUUUAGGAUAAAUGAUUGAGUGUGUCUCGAUGAUUGUAUUACCAUGUUUGAUGAAUGACUUGAGGAGUUGGAAAUGGUUUAUUGCUUAUGUUUUUCUUAGGUGUGUACUUUGGUUAUUUCCGAGCUUUUCACGACUCUUGAUACCUAAUAGAGAAAAUGGAAACCCCAACUUUAAUUUUAUGAAUUGGUUUUGGUGCCUAAAAUGAAAUCUAGCAUAGUGAAAUCUUGCAUAAUGAAAUUAUGACAAAUUUCCCUUCAUCUUUAGAUUUUCAUUUAGUUCAAUUUGUAUGCAAUUUAGGGUUAUUCAAUUCAUGAGUGAUCAAAUUAUGUUUUUAAUUCCUUCUUCUUUUGAUUUACAGUUCAACAUUGUCGUACAAAAUGAAAAAGGUGCCAGUAACAUAGUUAUGGAUUUGGAUGCCUUUAGCGGAAUAAAACUGAAUUUUUUAACUUUGUAUAGUUGUAAACAUAAAAUACUCCAUCAGAUAGACUCAUAGCAUUUGAAAACAAUCCUUGAGGAUGGCAUAACAACAUCUCCAACUUUUGUCAUGUAAUGUAUGAAUGUAAAUAGCACUUUGUAAACAUAUGGAUGUAAUAUAUGUAUAUAAACAGUCUUUAGCAUGUAUAUUUUUCAAAACUUUCUACAUCUUCAACAAUGUUUCAAUGAUUUCUUGAUGUAAACAAUGAUAAUUUGAAGAACCAUUUAAAGUUUUCGGUAAUCAGCAUACUUAAGCUUAAAUGUGAUAUAUCCGUUUAGUAUUUUUUAUACAGUGAUAAUACUCAAGUAUAAUUUACAUCAUAUAUCUUUUGAAGUACAUGAAACUAUGAAGAAAAAACCCUAAUUAAUCUGAUUAUGGGGGUUUUGUUUUAUAUCAAAAUAUUGCAGCAGAAGUCACACUUUGAAGAGUUCACGCUGCACAGAAAGACGAUGAAAUGCUAUCUGUUGAGUCCAUCAUUGCUCCAUUGGAGACAGAGCUGAAGCUUGCUGCAGGUGGUAUACUUUUGUUCUGCAAUAUGACCCCUUUAAUUUUAUUUUAAGACAGAUAGGGUUGAAAAGAAUUUAUGUAGUAUUUUUGUAUCAGUUUUGAAUGUCUAUUUUGACUUCCAUAUUUGGUCUGUACAUGUGAGGUAUAGAGUGUUCAAUAUGUAUUUGGUUUCUAUAUUGUUAAUGGAUCUUUUUUUUUUGUUUUUUAGGUAACCAAGUUGCAGGAUGAAAACAAAACACUUGAUCAGCAGGUAAACCUUCAAUUUCCAUAUGAAGUUUGCAUUUUUGUUGUUUCUGGAAUUUGAGUUUUUUGCAGGAUGAAAACAGAACACUUAAUCUGCAGGUAAACACUUGAUUUGUUAUUUCCAAGCUUUUCACGACUUUCGAUACCCAAUAGAGAAUAUGGAAACCCCAACUUUAAUUUUAUGAAUUUGUUUUGGUGCCUAAAAUGAAAUCUAGCAUAGUGAAAUCUUGCAUAAUGAAAUUAUGACAAAUUUCCCUUCAUCUUUACAUUUUCAUUUAGUUCAAAUCGUAUGGUUUAGGGUUAUUCAAUUCAUGAGUGAUCAAAUUAGGUUUUUAAUUCCUUCUUCUUUUGAUUUUCAGUUCAGCAUUGUCGUAUUUUGGAUGCCUUUAGUGGAAUAAAACUGAAUUUUUUUAACUUUGUAUAGUUGUAAACAUAAAAUACUCCAUGAGAUAGACUCAUAACUUUUGAAAACAAUCUUUGAGGAGGGCAUAACAACAUCUCCAACUUUUGUCAUGUAAUGUAUGAAUGUAAAUAGCACUUUGUAAACAUAUGUAUGUAAUAUAUGUAUAUAAACACCACUCUUUAGCAUAUAUAUUUUUCAAAACUUUCUACAUCUUCAACAAUGUUUCAAGCCCCGCGGCAACGGGCGGGUACACUUGCUAGUAUACAUCUAAAAUUAUAAGACUAAAUCCUUUAGUUCUUGGAUUCAUCUAAGAACUACUUAUUCCAGCAGAUGCUAUGCUUGCACUACUAGAAUUUAUGGCUUGCCCUGUCAACUAUUGCGCGACAGAAGAUUUCGUCGGUUUCACCUUUUUUAACCGACAGAAUAUAAGUUUAGUAGGGCAAAAUCAGUCAACAAACUGGGUUGAUUGAAUAAAUUUACAGGAUGGCUAGAGUUCGUAGGUUAAGACAUCGGUCGUUGGGCAAACAUUUGGAGCGAAGAUGUGAGUGUUUUAACUGACGAAUAAGCUGGUCGUCAUGUAGAUCUUCUUUCCCGACGGACGGUUCAACAGGUAGCUCUUUGGAUAAUAAUUCAUCUUCAAGGGGAACAGGUUGCCCCUCAGAUGAAUGGUUAGAGGCAAUUGUGAGACUAUAAUUUUCUAGGGCCGGAAUAAAAAAUACAUAAACCCUCACCUAUUCUGUCUCUGUAACCAUCCACCAAAUACCCAUUUUUCCCUUUCUAUUUCUCUCCUAGUAAUUUCCCCUGACCGAAUCACACAAUCCAACCAACUCUCUUUAAGCCUCCCUCACUGAUUCCAUGGAUUUCAUGGACUUAUCCCACCCUCUCUCCUUCCUUCUAUAUAUAGCAAGUCCCCUUGCCUCAGUGUCCCUGGCAACAGAAUUUAUGGCGUUUCUUCGUUCUUUCAAUUAUUUGAAAGCUUCCCUGCCCUGCAAUCUUGUAUAAAGGCGUAUGGUGUUUCAUCAGUUCCAUUUGGUGGUCGGGUGGGAAAUGAAAUUAAAACACUGCAUUUCAAAUGCAUUUCAAAUGGUCUAAACCAAAUUGAAUCAAAUGUGAAGCAAAGGGCAAGAGGUGUAGAUUGAAGAACAAUGGCACCAAGAGCGAAAUUGAACUUGUUGACAGGAGGAAACCAAGUAAGGAUAACACGUCUAAAUCUUAUUUUGAAUCCAUUCAGCUCAUGAUGUUUUGAAUGAUGAUGAUCGGUAUACUCUGCUACAUGCUGUGAUUUUUCCGCUUUCAUGUAAUUAACGGCUUAUAUUUGUGGUAACCAUAUUGAUUAAAAAAGGUCGUACCCAGUGCACAAGGCUCCCGCUUUACGCAGGGUCUGAAAGGUGAAUGUCGGCUAGCCUUACCCCCAUUUUAUGGAGAGGCUGCUCCAAAGUCUCAAACCCAAGACCUACCGCUCAUGGGCGAAGACACUUGCCAUCGCACCAAGUGCGAUAUUGAUUAAUUUCGAGAAAUGACAGUCUAAUUUUUGCAACUGUCUUUUGCAGGCAAAACAAAGACGUUUGCAAGGGUGAGUUGUGUAGGAGCUUUGUUUCAUGUCCAAAGGACACUUGAGAAUAAAUGUUUACACUCAUGGAUAAUAUCUAUCUAUUUGCAGGAGUAACCCUGGGUUCAUUUGUUCUGUAACUGCUGGUCAUUGCGGCAUAUCACGCCUAUAGCACUGACAAAAGUAAAAAGAGAAUCGAAUGAAAUUUGAUAAGUUUUCAGCGGACUACAAAGAUCUUAAGCCAAGCAUAUAUUCCCAUGCAGAUAUUAAGAGGUUUACAAAUCAAUUCAAGUACAAGUUGGGCCAAGGAGCAUACGGAACUAUUUUUAAAGGAAUGCUUUUUUCUGAAUGCUUUGUUGCCAUGAAGUACUUAACAAUGGGCCAUAUUCACCAUGUCAAUGUGGUUCACUUGGUUGGUUUUUGUGCUGAUGGAUUUAGAUGAGCUCUGGUUUAUGAGUUCUUUUCCUUUGGUUCACUCCAGGAUUAUAUUUCAUCAGUAGAUAGAUUUCUUUCCUUGGUUGGCAUAAGUUACAAGAUAUUGCUAUCAGCAUAGCCAAAGGAACCAAGGAUGUGAUCUACAAAUCCUCCAUUUCGAUAUCAAACCCCAUAAUGUUUUGCUCAACCAAAAAAUCACGCCAAAAAUCUCUGAUUUUGGUCUGGCCAAGUUAUGUUCCAAGGAUCAAUCGGCGUGACUAAAGCAAGGGGGACUAUGUGACUAAAGCACCCGAAGUGUUUUCCAGGAAUUUCGGAAAUGUGUCUUACAAGGCAGAUGUCUUGAAUGCUGCUGCUUGAGAUGGUAGGAGAAAAGAAGAAUAUUGGUUCAACCAGAGGACACGACAAAUGAAAUCUACUAUCCAAAAUGGAUUUAUAAUCUUCUAGAGGAAGGAAAUGACCAACAGAUCCCUAUUGAGGAAGAAUGUUAUGGUAAGAUUCCAAAGCAACUUGCAAGUUUAGGGCUCUGGUGCAGCCAGUGACACUCAGUGGAUCGGCGGUCCAUGAAAACGGUGGUUCGGAUGUUAGGAGGAGGAGAAAACUUGAUGAUGCAAGCAACCCUAAAAGCCUCAUACAGUUAGAAGCAAUUGCUGAAUUAGAGUAACAUACGUAUAUGUAUACGCACCAACACAAGUCGUUCUUAGAUGAAUCCAAGCCAAACAAUUACAGACAAUAGUUAUUCACUAAAUCACUUUAAGGCAAGAAUUUAAUUAAUAAUACAUUACUGCACUUUCUUAACCAUUUGACUAUCACCUAGCUGACAAUGAACACGUUAGCUCCGCGUUAGAACAUCUUGGGUUCAAUUCAUUGUCUUGAAUAUCACCCACUGUCACAGGCGUCUUUUGGGGGCAUAGAGAAGGCCUGAGAGGCAUUUGCAGACAUUCAACAUCUCCUCCAAGCAUUUUGACAACUUUGGACAUCGAAGGGCGAUCACUUGGUUUCAUUUGAAUACACCACAAGGCGGUUAUAACCAUCUUUCUUAUUACUUUCUUUUCCUCCUCUGUAACAUUGUCCAUUUCCAAGUCAUUUCCUACAAUAUACUGAUCGUAUACCCACAUUGGGAAGUAGAUUUGGCUUGAAUGCUCUACCGUUGGAUUCAAAUUCCUCCUUCUGCUUGCCAUUUCCAUCAACAACAUUCCAAAACUAUAGACAUCUGACUUAUAUGAGACGCCUCCAAUAUUUUUGUAGAACAACUCAGGAGCAAUAUAUCCCAGUGUACCCCGUGCUGCUGUCAAAGAGACAAUGCUAUUAUCUACAUGAUACAAUUUUGCAAGCCCAAAGUCAGAAACCUUUGCUUUAAAGUUCUCAUCAAGAAGGAUGUUAUGAGGCUUGAUGUCGAAAUGUAGAAUUUGCAUUUCGCAACCUUGGUGUAGAUAUUCGAUCCCUUGAGCCACUCCAAGAGAAAUCUCGUACAUGUUCUUGAUAGUUAAGGGGACACUUCCUUCUUUGGAAUAAAUGUAUUUAUCAAGAGAACCAUUAGGCAUGAAGUCAUAGACUAGAGCGCGUUUUGAUCCCUCAACAUAGUAUCCAACAAGUUGCACCACAUUGGCAUGGUGAAUCCUUCCGAUUGUAGCUAAUUCGCUAAUGAAAUCUUGGCCAUCAGCUUUGGGCUUGGCCAAAACUUUAACUGCUACAAAUCGACCACUGCGUAGCUUUCCCUUAAAUACAGAGCCAAAGCCACCUUUGCCCAACUUGUCCUUAAACUUGCGAGUCAUUUUCUUGACGUCCGAGUAAGAGUACCUUAUAGGCAUGAAGUUGUUAUUGCAUUGCAGAAAAUCUUCUAUUGUGCUAUACAUUGAUAAAUGUCUUCUGCGCCAUGUGUAGAUUAGAAAUGCAGUCACAAUUGGAACUCCAAAAACAAAUCUGGCUAGGAAAAAUAACCCUACAUGCAUUGACAUUAAUAUGUUAGAUCCACUGCGUACUACUUUUUCUUCCCUUUCUUUCCAAAUUACUUUGUCUUUGAUGUAAUUAAAGAGAGAAUGGGAAAUGUACAUAUGUUGAUAAUACAAUCUCGUCUUAGUCCUUACCGAUGCAUAUGAGUAUAAACCAUACACGUACUGCAACAAAAUCAAUCGACUAUGAGUUUGAAAAGUGCAUAAAGUGAAAAAAAAAUAAAAAAAAUCAAAGGGUGCCUUUAUUGACAUCCAAAUUUUAGUUAGUUUUACUCAACUAAAAAAUUUUUGUCAUCAAACUUUUUAAUUUGCCGUCGAAAUUGAGUUCACCCAACCCACAAAGCAGCAACUACCACUCACCAAAAAAACCAACAACACACAGCCACCAGUACCAUUCACCAAUAGAAAGAGAAGGAACACACAGACCCACCAAGGAGCCGGCAUCGACGCGUCUACGAGGGAGGGACCGGAGGGUGGUGUAGUUUUGUUGGGCGCGCGGUAGUGGUUUUGUCUGUUCAUUUUCUCUUUGUUUUGGUAGGUGGAGGCUGGUGUGGAUUUGGGCGAACUUAAAAAUGAGGGGAAACUAUGAAGUUUGACAAAAUGUUUUAGUUAGGUGAACUUCACUAAAAUUUGGGUGCCGAUAAAGAUACCCAAAAUCAAAAGACUAGAUGGACUAAUUAAAUGAAGCUCUUACCCAUAUAUAACGAUGGACGCAACUUGCCAGCUGCUGCAGUACAUACCACGGAAAAGUGAGCAAAGACAUACAGUUACUAGGUUUAAGAAGUACAGAUAGAGCACACAAAAAAUAAAAGAAGCUUUUGGGAAGAAACUUCUUACGCAAAUAGAUUUUUUUCAUGACCUACAGUAAAAAAAUGUCAAGAAGAAUACACAACAUUAGCAAUAGCUCACCCAGUCUUCAAAAUUUAAAAAAUCAAGUUUGUCGAUCGAAAACUUGUAAAUAAAACAAAAAGAGGACCCCUUACCGAUUUGUUGCCAUAGAUAUUGAAAGAAACCUACAAGAACAAAGAAAGAACAAGACCACAUGCAUUAGAAUAACAAGUGUGAGGUGUAUAAGCCGUUAGAAAAUAAAUUUAAAAUUCUAGUGCUGUCAAUACAUUGAUAAUAUAUAUAUAUAUAUAUAUAUAUAUAUAUAUAUGUAUGUAUGUAUUAUUUUUUCUGAAAAUUUAACUUUUCCCGUCCAAACUCAUUUUUCUAGUCUCUAGCCCAACAUAUAAUAUUUAUCUGAAUAAAACCAAAUGAUUAGGAUCCAACUAAGAAACUUACCAAAUUAAGUUUGUGUGUCCAUUUUUAUAUUUUUUGGAUCCCUAAUAUACCCCAUCUAAGCCAGUAUGGAAAGGUCUUGUAAUUUUGCUUUAAGUGAUUACGUGCAUUGAAUUUGGCAAGGUCUUAUAGCCAUGAAAUAUGGUUCUAGAUGGAGGAAUUAAUUUGGAAUUUUUUUUAAUUUCGACAACAAAUUUCAAUUUGAAUAUACCUAAUUUAGUGUUUAUUUUCAACAAUAAAUGUGCCUACUUUUUAAAUUUGUAACAAAAUUAAUUUACCUACUUUUUAUGGUAUUAGUGACACACCCUGUCCCGAAGGAGGGCAUGCUGGCCGUCACGAGAGAGUGACGUAACCAUUUGCACAGUACGGAAGCUUUAAGAUACAAUUUAUAAGUUGAUACACCCGAAGGUGAGUCCUAAUUUUUGUCCAAUCUGUCAGAACACCGUCAAAUUCCUCGUAGUCACCACACCUUUGUGAUUCCUGAACCUGGAGGGGCGCAAAACCAAAAUUGAGUGGGUCAGUAAAACAAUUCUUUUCCAAAUCCAAACAUUUCUCAAAACGUUGUAACCCUCUCCGUAAAACUUGUAUACUUUCCCAGAAAUGUAAAAUAUAAAUAUACAUAUAUAUUCUCAAACUUCAUUUUUACUAUCUCAACAUUUUUCUUUAUCAAACAUGCCAUGCCAUGUCUAAUUCAACAGUUAAGUAUGGAUGCAUCAACAAUAAUCAUAUCAGGUGCAAGAAAGUAAUCAACCGGAGGCCCUCUAAUAGCCCUGUACGGUUGAACCUAGAGCUCAAAAUCUAUCACUCUCACUCUGCCGGGAGUCACCUCUGUGACCUGUCCGGCCUUCUGCACACAAGUUACGCUCUAGUGCUUUCUCAUCAAUCAUCUGUGCACAUAAUCUAAGGUCACCCACCAGUCGAAAUCUCACUAACACUCUUCGACUGGCCCGUCGCACCCACUCCGCGUGGACUGUGCGACCAGCAUCUACUUGGAUCCAAGGCGAGCGUGCGAUGCGGUGAAUACUAUAAGCACUAAACCAUGGUGCAGGAUUUGAGCUCAAUAUAUAUCAACAUCAUCAUAACAGUACUUAAAUACUCACCUGAUACUCACCUGUGCGUCCGCCGCACCAAUUCAUACAUAUGCAUCAUAUUUCAAUUCAUAUCAUUUCAUGCAUGGCAAUUCGAUUCACAUUUCUAUAUACAUUUCAUAUACUUCUAUGCAUGACCUUUCAAUUCACGUUUUCAUAUAAUUCUAUAUACCUUUCAUUUAAAACAUAAUUUCAUUCUAAUUCAAUUUCUGGGAAAACGUCAAGUAUAUAUAUACGGAAAACAAAACUGCCCACUCACCUGGAGUUCGUCCAACAACUCCCUAGCACCACACAUCAAGGCGUCAUGACGAUCGCCGUCUAGAACAGUAAUCAAAUCCAGCCUCAGAAUUCAUAUCGAUAGAACAUAUAACUUAUAUAAAAUAUGUCACUACGUAGAUCGAUCCGGAAGAUCUGCCACUCAGAUUUUAAAUCCAUAACUUCCAGAGGUCCACAAUAUAUCUCUAGGAUAACAUCCUAAAAUUUCAUUACCAUCCAACGGUCGGAUCUCCGUCAAUUUCCAAAACUAAGUGACGGUUAACAUUUUAUUUUAUGAACUUACAAUUCUAAUUCCGGAAGAUCCGUAACUCGGAUUCCCAAUCCGUAAGUUCCAAUAAUCCUCAAAUAUUACGUAUUACAACGUAUCAAAGUUUGGUAACGAUCCAACGGUCGGAUCAUCAAUUCACAUUUUCACCUAAUGCGAAAACUAUAAAACGUUAUUCGAACACCUAACCAACAAUCCUUAAUAACUUUCUCAUACGGUGUUCAAUUUGGGUAUAUGAAUAUACCACAGUGAUCUACUCAUUAAAAUAAUUUUUUACUGUAGCACGCGCCCCCACGCGCCAAGGAAGGCACGGACCUACGCGCCCCCACGCGCACCUUCUUCUUCCUUGGGUCGCCGGACUGGUUUUUCCGGCGGCCGUUUUUCAAAUUGCCAUAACUUUGUCAUUUCUCAACGAAAUCAAGUGAUUCAAAAACGAAAGUUGUAGCCCUUGAAGAGACAAAGAGAAUGGUACCUUGCACAACACCUAGUUCGCCGUGGUUUGGCCGGAAACUGCUUCGAAAGCCUCGGAGGUCGCCAGAAACUGGGUAUUUUUCAAAUCAGUAUAACUUCUUCAAUACUCAACGAAAUUGAGUGAAACAAAAAGGAAAGUUGUAGUACUUGACGAGACGAAGAGAUUGAUACCUACCUCGACUCCUAACUCACCGGAUAUUCGCCGGAAAAUGCCUCGAAAGCUCCGGCCAAACUUUGAACUUGUCGAUCUCCGUGUUCUUACAUCCAAAAACUUCCAACGAAGCACUCCGAGCUUCCUUGGGACCUCACUAAGCUCGCUAUGAUCUUGUUUUAGCCUAAAACGUAGUCAUUUAGAAGAUCAUGAACAAUACCAUUUCACGGGAACUUUGAAACUAGGGUUUUCCGAAGCAAAACUUACCUGAAAUGGAUACCAUCGUGAUCGUGGAGGUUCCAGGAGUUUGAUGGUGGUCUUAACUCUGUCGUUGGUGGAAGUUUAAGGUUGUUUUGUGGUUGGUUUGUUCGAACGGAGAAGAAGAGUGACAGAGAGAGUGAGAGAGUCGUGAGGGAAGAGAGAGAGAGACAGCAUGCAGAAAAUAGGGAGAGGAUUGAGGGGUGUGGGGAUCCCACGUGGUCCUUUUCCAAUCCCCAACUCCAAACCAUAAAAUUUUAACCUAAAAAUCUAAGUUCAAUCCUUAAUAAAUUCCAUUUUAUUUUCAAAACUUAGGAACCUAGAUAAUUAUCAACUUGAGCUUCACAUACUUAGUAUUUCUUAAGGGCAAUUUCGUUCAUUCACAGCCACGAAUGUAAUAUUUUGGAACGGGCUGUGACAAUUAGUAUACAUAAAUGUAGAAUAUAUGUCCGUAUAUAUUUGAUCCAAUUAGUAUUAGGGAGAAUGACAAGUCAUCCAAGUCUGCUACUGUUAAUAAUUCUGUUACUGUAAAUUAACUGAUUGUAUUAGUUGUGAUUAGUUAAGAUAGUUAUAAAGUAGUUAGGGGUAUCUAUGUAAAUAGCCAAAGGCUAUAUAUAUUCCUACACAAUGUGUAAAGUUCUCAGUCAAGUAAAUACAAUCAAGAAAACUUACUGUUGAAGUUUUCUGUUUCUACAUGGUAUCACGCCAUUCCGCUUCACAGCUUCGAUCUUUCUCUUCGCUUGCUGCAUCGAUCGACUCUUGAUCGAUUUUUCUUCUCUGAUCUUCUCUUCGCUUGCUGCAUCGAUCGACUCAUGAUCGAUUUUUCUUCUCUGAUCGUCACUUCUUCCCUUCCGAUCUUGUAGUAUUUUCUUGAUUUCUGUCAGUAAUGGCGGCUCAAUCGACUGGUUCAUCUUCUCCGGUCAUCUCCCCCUCGAGCCCAAACCCUAAUUUUCUCUGGAAACCCUAAUUCCUCUGGAAAUCCGAGUCCUCUGACUUCCUACACUUCUCUCUCACAAUUCAUAACAUCGGCAGCAUGGUGCCGAUCAAGCUCAAAAGAUCCAAUUACCUACCAUGGCGCGCCCUGUUUGGCCCGAUUUUCCGGCGAUACAAGCUUCUUGGAGUAAUCGAUGGUACUGACGUCUGUCCAUCGCCAUUUCUGCCUGAUCGUAGCAUCAAUCCUGCUUUUGAGGACUGGUAUGAGAAAGAUCAAAAUCUUUUUGAUCUGGUUGAAUUCCACACUUUCUGAGGAAAUCAUCCCGUUCACGGUUGGGGUUUCAUCCUCUCGAGAACUUUGGGUAAAGCUUGAACAGCGCUUUGGUGGAAUUUCAGAGGCUCAUAUCCAUCAGUUGCGAUCGCGCCUUCAAUCUGUUCAGAAAGGAUCGCGUUCUAUCUCUGACUAUCUUCAAGAACUCAAGGAAAUUUCAGAUUCUCUGCAAGCUGCUGGUGCUUCUGUCUCUGAUCGAGAUCUUAUCGCCGCCACACUACAUGGCUUGCCUGAUGAAUUUGAGUCUUUCAUCGACUGUAUCAUGCUCCGAUUGUCCUCUACCUCUCUGAUGAACUUCAUGGCCUCCUUCUCACAAAGGAAUUGUCUAUGGCCAGACGCAAAACUGUCAGUUCAUCUCCUGUCCCUGAAUCUUUUCAGGCUUUCUCGGUGCAGUCUCAGCCUCAUCUCCUUCCUACUCCAUCUGCUUUUGCUGCUCAGAAUCUCCCUCUUCAAUCUGCAUCUCGGUUCAACUCUAAUCGUGGCAGGAACACUAAGGGCCAGUUCUUUUCCAAUCGAGGUCAUCGAGGUAAUCGUGGUAAUUUUCCUAAUAAACCGUGGCAAUCGAGGUUAUCAAGGAUUUCGCAGCAAUCAAGGCUCUUCUCACUUCAAAGUGCUUUGUCAAAUCUGUGGUUCUACCAGUCAUGAGGCUAUUGACUGCUUUGAUCGUAUGAAUCCUGACAUCUUGUGGUCGUAUUCCUCCAGCUAAGCUUGCUGCCAUGUGUGCCACAACAUUCUGCUAAACCAUCUCAGCCUUGGUUAAUUGAUUCAGGGGCAACCUCUCAUAUCACUAAUGAUGUUGCUAACCUCACCUCUCCUACUCCCUACACUGGCGAGGAUUAAAGUGUAUAUUGGAGAUGGUAAAGGUUUAUCCAUCCUCAAUGUUGGUUCAUCUACUCUGCACACCUCUCAUAAUUCUUUUCAAUUGCGAAAUGUUUUACAUGUUCCCCACAUAACCCAUAAUCUUAUCUGCUUAUCAGUUUUGUUAAUGAUAAUAAUUGUUCAUUGACACUUGACCCUUAUGGAUCCUAUGUCAAGGAUCGUAUUUCGGGGAAGAUGCUUUUACGGGGACCGGUUAGAGAUGGCUUCUAUCCUCUUCAAAGUUCCAGCAAUCUUCAUCCUCUUUCACAUACCGCUUUACUUAGUAUUAAAGCUCCAGUUACAAUUUGGCACAAGCGUUUGGGUCACCCUUCCUCCUCCAUUUUUAGAAGGCUCCUUUCAUCCAAUAAUCUUGCUUUACAAGGCAAGUCUACUGUGGACUUUUUCUGUUCGGAUUGUGCUCUUGCCAAGAAUCAUAAGCUUCCAUUUAAAGCUGCUACUUCAUCAUCAACUCACAGCCUUCAACUACUGCACUGUGAUCUGUGGGGACCUGCCUCAAUCACAUCAAGUAGUGGUUUUCAAUAUUAUUUGCUCAUUGUUGAUGACUAUAGCAAAUAUAGUUGGUUCUUUCCUUUGAAAUCUAAGUCAGAUGUAUUUUCUACAUUUGUUGUCUUCAAAUCAUAUGUAGAAAAUUCACUUGGAAAUAAAAUAAAGGUUCUGCGUUCAGAUUCAGGGGGUGAAUUUACUAGUCACUCUUUUGCAUCAUAUCUCAGCAAACAUGGCAUUCUUCAUCAGUUCAGUUGUCCCCACACCCCUGAGCAAAAUGGUUGUGCAGAAAGAAAGCACAGGCACCUUGUUGAAAACAGCUCGCACUUUGCUUCUUGCAUUCUCAUGUCCCUCAUAUUUUCUGGGUUGAAGCAUUCUCCACUGCUAUCUAUCUUAUUAAUCGCCUUCCUAUUUCUGGCAUUUCACAGUCCCCUUGGCAGUUGCUAUUUCACAACCAUCCAGACUACUCUAAGCUCAAAGUAUUUGGUUGCCAAUGCUUUCCUUGGCUCAAACCUUACUUUCAUAGCAAAUUGGAUCCCAAGAGCAAAAAGUGUGUUUUCUUGGGGUAUAGUCUUCAACACAAAGGCUAUAGGUGCCUUGAUCCUAUCACCAAUCGCAUCUACAUCUCUCGUCAUGUCUGUAUUCGAUGAAAGUACUUAUCCAUUUCAGUUGUCCCACAUUCAACACUCUUUUCCUGUUCCAAGUCCUCCAUCUUCCUCACCAACAAUUUCUUCCUCUCUGGAUCUUCAUUUUUUAGCAAACACAUUCCUCCUGUUUUCAGUCAGCCAUCUACAUCACCAUUAUGUGCUUCUGUGCCUGUUCCUAUUUCUUCAUCUUCAUCUUCCCCUGCACCUGUCUCAGUUGGCUCUUCUUUCCAGUUUUGUUCCUCCUUCAGCACAUUCAUCUUUCUCCCAAAAUCAACAGAGUCAUCCUCCUGCCCCUGUUAAUUCUCAUCCAAUGAUUACUAGAUCCAAGGCUGGUAUACUCACGUCGAGAGCCUGUGCAGCAACUAAGCACCCACUUCCGGUUGAUAUGGAUUAUGUUCCUACAACAUACUUGCAAGCUUCUAAGCAUGCUCAUUGGAGGCAAGCUAUGCAAGAUGAAUUUAAUGCCUUGCUAACCACUGGUUACUUUGGUCUCUUGUUCCUUCUCACCAUUCUCAAAACUUAGUGGGCUGCAAGUGGGUUUUCCGGAUUAAGAAGAAGCCCGAUGGCACUGUUGACAGAUAUAAAGCCCGGCUUGUGGCCAAGGGUUUUCAUCAACAAGAAGGUAUUGACUUUUCAAGAAAACCUUCAGUCCAGUUGCCAAACCGGUUACAAUUCGGAUCCUUCUUACCCUUUGCUGUGCAAUAUAAUUGGUUUCUCAAUCAAUUGGACAUUAGUAAUGCCUUUCUUCAUGGAGACUUAAAGAGAGGAUGUCUACAUGCAACAACCCCCUGGUUUUGUUGAUCCCUUUACCCUACAUUUUGUAAGUUGAGGAAAUCGUUGUAUGGUCUCAAACAAGCUCCUCGAGCUUGGUUUGAUAAACUGUUCCAAGCUCUUCCUCUCUUGGAUUCACCCAAUCAUCCUCAGAUGCUUCUUUAUUUGUUCUCAAUGGUCCUCAGUUUAGUCAUUGUCCUUGUCUAUGUUGAUGACAUUCUUGUCACCGGACCCUAUCCUUACCUCUGUCAACACUUCAUUCAGCAACUUGGGGCUCAAUUUCCAGUAAAAGACCUUGGUCCUCUUCAUUAUUUCUUGGGAUUAGAAGUACAUCGAUCUUCCCAGGGUAUAUUUCUCCAUCAAACAAAGUACUUAUUGGAUCUUCUCAAGAAAACAAAUAUGGAGGGUGCAAAACCUUGUUGUACUCCCCUUGGCUCUAAGAAAUUAGAUCACAGUGGCCCUCUUCUGUCCAAUCCUACUGAAUAUCGCUCCAUUGUUGGUGGUUUACAAUAUCUUACUUGGACUAGACCCGACCUUGCUUUUGCUGUGAACCAAAUCUGCCAAUUCAUGCAUGCUCCCAGGGAACAACAUCUCCAGGCAGCAAAAAGGGUUCUCAGAUUUCUCAAAGGCUCUAUCUCACAUGGUGUGUGGUUCACUAAAGGCCCUGUCCAUCUUUCUGCCUACUCGGAUGCCGACUGGGCUGGUUGCACAAUUGACAGGAGAUCAACCACUGGUUAUUGUGUAUUUUUGGGUUCCAAUCUUAUCAGCUGGAGUGCCAAGAAGCAAAGUACUGUUGCCAAGGUCCUCUACAGAGGCUGAAUAUCGCUCCUUAGCUCACACAGCUGCUGAGAUAACUUGGGUUUGCAGAUUCUCAAAGAUCUGCACUAUCCUCUCUCUUACAUUCCCUACUUUUGGUGUGACAACAUAUCAGCAAUAUCUUUAGCAUCUAAUCCUGUCUUUCAUGCUCGAACAAAGCAUGUUGAGAUCGAUUAUCNGAAGUUUUCUGUUUUCUACAUGGUAUCACGCCAUUCCGCUUCACAGCUUCGAUCUUUCUCUUCGCUUGCUGCAUCGAUCGACUCUUGAUCGAUUUUUCUUCUCUGAUCUUCUCUUCGCUUGCUGCAUCGAUCGACUCAUGAUCGAUUUUUCUUCUCUGAUCGUCACUUCUUCCCUUCCGAUCUUGUAGUAUUUCUUGAUUUCUGUCAGUAAUGGCGGCUCAAUCGACUGGUUCAUCUUCUCCGGUCAUCUCCCCCUCGAGCCCAAACCCUAAUUUCUCUGGAAACCCUAAUUCCUCUGGAAAUCCGAGUCCUCUGGACUUCCUACACUUCUCUCACAAUUCAUAACAUCGGCAGCAUGGUGCCGAUCAAGCUCAAAAGAUCCAAUUACCUACCAUGGCGCGGCCCUGUUUGGCCCGAUUUUCCGGCGAUACAAGCUUCUUGGAGUAAUCGAUGGUACUGACGUCUGUCCAUCGCCAUUUCUGCCUGAUCGUAGCAUCAAUCCUGCUUUUGAGGACUGGUAUGAGAAAGAUCAAAAUCUUUUGAUCUGGUUGAAUUCCACACUUUCUGAGGAAAUCAUCCCGUUCACGGUUGGGGUUUCAUCCUCUCGAGAACUUUGGGUAAAGCUUGAACACAGCGCUUUGGUGGAAUUUCAGAGGCUCAUAUCCAUCAGUUGCGAUCGCGCCUUCAAUCUGUUCAGAAAGGAUCGCGUUCUAUCUCUGACUAUCUUCAAGAACUCAAGGAAAUUUCAGAUUCUCUGCAAGCUGCUGGUGCUUCUGUCUCUGAUCGAGAUCUUAUCGCCGCCACACUACAUGGCUUGCCUGAUGAAUUUGAGUCUUUCAUCGACUGUAUCAUGCUCCGAUUGUCCUCUACCUCUCUUGAUGAACUUCAUGGCCUCCUUCUCACAAAGGAAUUGUCUAUGGCCAGACGCAAAAACUGUCAGUUCAUCUUCCUGUCCCUGAAUCUUUUCAGGCUUUCUCGGUGCAGUCUCAGCCUCAUCUCCUUCCUACUCCAUCUGCUUUUGCUGCUCAGAAUCUCCCUCUUCAAUCUGCAUCUCGGUUCAACUCUAAUCGUGGCAGGAACACUAAGGGCCAGUUCUUUUCCAAUCGAGGUCAUCGAGGUAAUCGUGGUAAUUUUCCUAAUAACCGUGGCAAUCGAGGUUAUCAAGGAUUUCGCAGCAAUCAAGGCUCUUCUCACUUCAAAGUGCUUUGUCAAAUCUGUGGUUCUACCAGUCAUGAGGCUAUUGACUGCUUUGAUCGUAUGAAUCCUGACAUCUGUGGUCGUAUUCCUCCAGCUAAGCUUGCUGCCAUGUGUGCACAACAUUCUGCUAAACCAUCUCAGCCUUGGUUAAUUGAUUCAGGGGCAACCUCUCAUAUCACUAAUGAUGUUGCUAACCUCACCUCUCCUACUCCCUACACUGGCGAGGAUAAAGUGUAUAUUGGAGAUGGUAAAGGUUUAUCCAUCCUCAAUGUUGGUUCAUCUACUCUGCACACCUCUCAUAAUUCUUUUCAAUUGCGAAAUGUUUUACAUGUUCCCCACAUAACCCAUAAUCUCUUAUCUGCUUAUCAGUUUGUUAAUGAUAAUAAUUGUUCAUUGACACUUGACCCUUAUGGAUCCUAUGUCAAGGAUCGUAUUUCGGGGAAGAUGCUUUUACGGGGACCGGUUAGAGAUGGCUUCUAUCCUCUUCAAAGUUCCAGCAAUCUUCAUCCUCUUUCACAUACCGCUUUACUUAGUAUUAAAGCUCCAGUUACAAUUUGGCACAAGCGUUUGGGUCACCCUUCCUCCUCCAUUUUUAGAAGGCUCCUUUCAUCCAAUAAUCUUGCUUUACAAGGCAAGUCUACUGUGGACUUUUUCUGUUCGGAUUGUGCUCUUGCCAAGAAUCAUAAGCUUCCAUUUAAAGCUGCUACUUCAUCAUCAACUCACAGCCUUCAACUACUGCACUGUGAUCUGUGGGGACCUGCCUCAAUCACAUCAAGUAGUGGUUUUCAAUAUUUAUUUGCUCAUUGUUGAUGACUAUAGCAAAUAUAGUUGGUUCUUUCCUUUGAAAUCUAAGUCAGAUGUAUUUUCUACAUUUGUUGUCUUCAAAUCAUAUGUAGAAAAUUCACUUGGAAAUAAAAUAAAGGUUCUGCGUUCAGAUUCAGGGGGUGAAUUUACUAGUCACUCUUUUGCAUCAUAUCUCAGCAAACAUGGCAUUCUUCAUCAGUUCAGUUGUCCCCACACCCCUGAGCAAAAUGGUUGUGCAGAAAGAAAGCACAGGCACCUUGUUGAAACAGCUCGCACUUUGCUUCUUGCAUCUCAUGUCCCUCAUAUUUUCUGGGUUGAAGCAUUCUCCACUGCUAUCUAUCUUAUUAAUCGCCUUCCUAUUUCUGGCAUUUCACAGUCCCCUUGGCAGUUGCUAUUUCACAACCAUCCAGACUACUCUAAGCUCAAAGUAUUUGGUUGCCAAUGCUUUCCUUGGCUCAAACCUUACUUUCAUAGCAAAUUGGAUCCCAAGAGCAAAAAGUGUGUUUUCUUGGGGUAUAGUCUUCAACACAAAGGCUAUAGGUGCCUUGAUCCUAUCACCAAUCGCAUCUACAUCUCUCGUCAUGUUGUAUUCGAUGAAAGUACUUAUCCAUUUCAGUUGUCCCACAUUCAACACUCUUUUCCUGUUCCAAGUCCUCCAUCUUCCUCACCAACAAUUUCUUCCUCUCUGGAUCUUCAUUUUAGCAAACACAUUCCUCCUGUUUUCAGUCAGCCAUCUACAUCACCAUUAUGUGCUUCUGUGCCUGUUCCUAUUUCUUCAUCUUCAUCUUCCCCUGCACCUGUCUCAGUUGGCUCUUCUUCCAGUUUUGUUCCUCCUUCAGCACAUUCAUCUUUCUCCCAAAAUCAACAGAGUCAUCCUCCUGCCCCUGUUAAUUCUCAUCCAAUGAUUACUAGAUCCAAGGCUGGUAUACUCACGUCGAGAGCCUGUGCAGCAACUAAGCACCCACUUCCGGUUGAUAUGGAUUAUGUUCCUACAACAUACUUUGCAAGCUUCUAAAGCAUGCUCAUUGGAGGCAAGCUAUGCAAGAUGAAUUUAAUGCCUUGCUAACCACUGGUUACUUGGUCUCUUGUUCCUUCUCACCAUUCUCAAAACUUAGUGGGCUGCAAGUGGGUUUUCCGGAUUAAGAAGAAGCCCGAUGGCACUGUUGACAGAUAUAAAGCCCGGCUUGUGGCCAAGGGUUUUCAUCAACAAGAAGGUAUUGACUUUCAAGAAAACCUUCAGUCCAGUUGCCAAACCGGUUACAAUUCGGAUCCUUCUUACCCUUGCUGUGCAAUAUAAUUGGUUUCUCAAUCAAUUGGACAUUAGUAAUGCCUUUCUUCAUGGAGACUUAAAGGAGGAUGUCUACAUGCAACAACCCCCUGGUUUUGUUGAUCCCUUACACCCUACAUCUGUUUGUAAGUUGAGGAAAUCGUUGUAUGGUCUCAAACAAGCUCCUCGAGCUUGGUUUGAUAAACUGUUCCAAGCUCUUCACUCUCUUGGAUUCACCCAAUCAUCCUCAGAUGCUUCUUUAUUUGUUCUCAAUGGUCCUCAGUUUAGUCAUUGUCCUUGUCUAUGUUGAUGACAUUCUUGUCACCGGACCCUAUCCUUACCUCUGUCAACACUUCAUUCAGCAACUUGGGGCUCAAUUUCCAGUAAAAGACCUUGGUCCUCUUCAUUAUUUCUUGGGAUUAGAAGUACAUCGAUCUUCCCAGGGUAUAUUUCUCCAUCAAACAAAGUACUUAUUGGAUCUUCUCAAGAAAACAAAUAUGGAGGGUGCAAAACCUUGUUGUACUCCCCUUGGCUCUAAGAAAUUAGAUCACAGUGGCCCUCUUCUGUCCAAUCCUACUGAAUAUCGCUCCAUUGUUGGUGGUUUACAAUAUCUUACUUGGACUAGACCCGACCUUUGCUUUUGCUGUGAACCAAAUCUGCCAAUUCAUGCAUGCUCCCAGGGAACAACAUCUCCAGGCAGCAAAAAGGGUUCUCAGAUUUCUCAAAGGCUCUAUCUCACAUGGUGUGUGGUUCACUAAAGGCCCUGUCCAUCUUUCUGCCUACUCGGAUGCCGACUGGGCUGGUUGCACAAUUGACAGGAGAUCAACCACUGGUUAUUGUGUAUUUUUGGGUUCCAAUCUUAUCAGCUGGAGUGCCAAGAAGCAAAGUACUGUUGCAAGGUCCUCUACAGAGGCUGAAUAUCGCUCCUUAGCUCACACAGCUGCUGAGAUAACUUGGGUUUGCAAGAUUCUCAAAGAUCUGCACUAUCCUCUCUCUACAUUCCCUACUCUUUGGUGUGACAACAUAUCAGCAAUAUCUUUAGCAUCUAAUCCUGUCUUUCAUGCUCGAACAAAGCAUGUUGAGAUCGAUUAUCACUAUAUUAGAGAAUUGGUUUUGGCUCAACUUCUCAAAGUCAAGUUCAUCUGCAGUGAAGACCAAUUAGCUGAUCUUCACACCAAGUCUCUGUCUAAAACCAGAUUUAAUUAUCUGUGUUCCAAGCUUCCCAUUGGUCUCAUUUCUGAUCCCCCUUCUCGCUUGAGGGGGUGUAUUAGGGAGAAUGACAAGUCAUCCAAGUCUGCUACUGUUAAUAAUUCUGUUACUGUAAAUUAACUGAUUGUAUUAGUUGUGAUUAGUUAAGAUAGUUAUAAAGUAGUUAGGGGUAUCUAUGUAAAUAGCCAAAGGCUAUAUAUAUUCCUACACAAUGUGUAAAGUUCUCAGUCAAGUAAAUACAAUCAAGAAAACUUACUGUUGAAGUUUUCUGUUUCUACAGGUUUUGGAUUGGAGGAGUUGACACAAAAUUAUAAAUAUAUUAAACAAAUUUAUCUAUUCUAAAGUUGGAGGGAAAUUGGCCUGUACAUUGCUACAGUAAUUUUUUUUUACCCAAUUUCACGUUAUUUACAACAAAGCUAUCAGAUUUGGGUUGGGUUGGAGGGUAAUUUGUUAAAAGUUAGGAGGGUAAUUUUGUGCAUAGGGUUUAGGUGCCCUCCUAUACAUGACCCUUGAUUUUACUUUAUUUACACCACUGCCAUCAAAUAUGUGGCUGAAUUGGAGGGUAUUAUUAAAAGUUAGGAGGGUAGUUUGUUCAAGGGGUGAGGGCGACAUUCGCAGACAGAGAGCGAUGGGAGCCAUGGCCAUUGCACAGAGAGAAAGGGAGUGAUGGGGGAAAUUACAGACAGAAAAGGAAGGGAUGGGGGGGAUUUGAUGGAUGGUCACAGAGAGAGAUUGGGUGAGGGAUGUGAGAGGAGAUUACAGAGAGAUAAAUAAAAGGGAGGGAUCGGGGGAUGUGAGGGAUGGUCAGGGAGAGAAAUAGUGAGGGAGGGAGGGAUGGGGGGGCUGAUUUUCGGUUCCUCCUUCCAGAUUUGUUCCGUAAAAACCUGUUGGGUAGAAUUCAAUUUCCUCCCCCUUUCCCCUGAACGAAAAAUUCGAAACCUACAACUCAAAACUCACUCAUUUGUCGUCCCUCCUUGGCUUUCCGCUUUACUCAUCUCCCGGUGGUUCUCUCUCCAUACGAUUCCAUUUCGGUGAGUUCUUCGUUGCCCUCAUGAUUUCCCACUUUUAUUUUUGGGGCGUCCUUAGUCGUCGUUUUUAUCUGGGUUUACUGCAUUGUUGCUUUUAGUUUCUGGAUUUUUAUUUUUUUGGCACUUGGAUGAAUCGUGGUUAAUAAUUUCACAUCAUGGGAUUUUCGCACUUCUGAUGGAAUUGAGCGCGGGGAUUCGGGGUGGGGUUUUACUGAUAAUUUGUCUUCAUUCAAACGAAGGGUUAAAAUUUAUGAGUAUUAACAAAUUUUGUAAAUUAUUCUUAUACAUUUUAUUGAGGGAUCUAAUCGAUUUCUUUCUGUAGUGGGAUUGAAAUUGGGGCUUUGUGGUACUCUCUCUCGCUCACUCUCUCUCCUAUGUGUAUGAAUUGAGUUCUGCAGUGAGUUUGCAGGUGGGCGCGUUCACUAACUAAGCUUUCAAGGGAACCGAUCAACGGUUUGCUUGCUGGGGGAAUUCGGAGACUACCAGUGUAUGAUUUAGUUAUCAUUAAUUUUUUUACUUAAUUUUAUCCAUAUAUAAUAUGUGGGUAAAUUUAGAGGUCGCACUUGGUGCGAUGGCAAGUUCCUUCGCCCAUGAGCGGUAGGUCUCGGGUUCGAGACUUGGGAGCAGCCUCUCCAUAAAUGGGGGUAAGGCUAGCCGACAUUUACCUCUCCCAGACCCUGCGUAAAGCGGGAGCCUUGUGCACUGGGUACGAUCUUUUAUAAUAUGUGGGUAAAUUUAUACUAAACAAUUGUGAUAAGCCAAUAUGCUAUACGACUUUGAAAGCAUUGAUUUUGUGUUUAGUUUGCAUUUUUGCAUUGUGAAUGUUGAAUUUUGUGUUUAAUUUGGAUUUUUGUGUUUGAAUUUGUAGCAUGAUCUUCCGCUGCAGCAUCCAAAUUUUGCAUUUGUAAAUUGUCAAAGAAAAACGAAGUAUGAGGAAAUUAUAGGAGAUUGUGUCGGCUUUGGCCAUGAAGGGUAUCAGCAGCUUGUUCCCCCAUACAGGUGAUUAAUCGCAGUCUGUUCUAUUUGGAUGAGAAAGUGAUUGAAAAAUAUGAUUUUUUAUUUGUUGGUUGAUUUUGUAUAACUCCGCCGUGUAAGUUUAUCUUACAUUGCCGGUCCCAAGCCCGGAUAAAGGAGGAGGGGGAGGGCGUCAGGUAGUCGACAGCUGGCACUCCAUGAUCACGUCGAAUCCUUAUGAAAAUGAAUCCAGAACGAAAUCGCGCUAAAGCUAGGGCGUCACCCAUAAGUGGCGCGCUGUGUGGCCCGAGCACAGUGAUAAGUGAGCAAGGGUCGUUGUAUCUCCAUCGGCACCCGGAUGCAGUGUUAAAUGAGCAAGGGGCUAUAGAAACUUCUUUUCGAACGACUCCACUCAAAGUUGUUUGGGAGCAUAUGCUCCUAUCAACUUUACACGGGACACACAAAAGAAGUACUUUGAUCCUAUUAGACGGGGAAGGGUGAAGAAGCUAGGACAGAAGGGUAGAGUUCAAGAGAGCAAAAUGCGUUUAGGAACGUGGAAUAUAGGAACCUUGAACGGGAAAAUCUAUGGAAGUAGUAGAAGUUAUGGUGAGGAGAAGGAUAAAUAUUAUGUGCCUACAAGAAACUAAGUGGGUUGGUCGUAAGGCAAAGGAUCUAGAAAACUCAGGGUUUAAACUAUGGUAUUCGGGCACAAAUAGAACGAGAAACGGUGUUGGCAUCAUCGUGGACAAGACCUUGACACAAGAUGUUGUAGAUGUCAAGAGGGUAGGAGAUAGAAUCAUGGCAAUCAAGAUUGUAAUAGGACAAGAACUUAUCAAUGUGAUUAGUGCGUACGCACCUCAAGUAGGGUUGGAUACGAGUUCGAAGGAGAAAUUUUGGGAAGACCUUGGAGACUUGGUGCAAGGAAUUGCUCAGACGGAGAAGUUAUUUAUAGGAGGAGAUUUAAAUGGACACGUGGGCAGGGAGACAGGCAACUAUGGAGGUUUUCAUGGUGGCCAUGGUUUUGGGGAGAGAAACGAGGAUGGGGAAGCUAUCUUGGAUUUUGCAAUGGCAUAUGAUCUCUUCUUAGCCAACACCUUCUUUAAGAAGAGAGAAGAACAUGUGAUCACCUACAAGAGUGGGUCGUCAAAAACACAAAUAGAUUUUCUUCUAAUGAGGAAAGGGGAUCGUAUAACUUGUAAGGAUUGCAAAGUUAUACCAGGAGAGAGCGUGGCUAAUCAACAUCGCUUGUUGGUGAUGGAUGUACAUAUCAAAAGAGUGAGAAAAAAGAACAAGACUUGGAAGUGCCCAAGGACUAGAUGGUGGAAUCUAAAAGAAGAAAAACAAGCCAUUUUCAAAGAGAAAGUAAUCACCCAGUGUGUGUGGGAUAGAGAGGGGGAAGCUAACCAAAUGUGGGAUUCCAUGGCUAGUUGUAUCCGAAAAGUAGCAAAAGAGGUAUUAGGAGAGUCCAAGGGCUUUGCCCCACACCAAAAGGAAUCUUGGUGGUGGAAUGAGGAGGUACAAACAAAGGUGAAGGCUAAGAAGGAAUGUUGUAAAGCCUUAUACAAGGAUAGGACCGAUGAAAAUGGUGAAAGGUAUAGAAAAGCGAAGCAAGAGGCGAAGAAAGCUGUGAGAGAAGCUAAGUUAGCGGCUUAUGACGAUAUGUAUAAGCGACUAGAUACCAAAGAAGGAGAGUUGGAUAUCUAUAAACUAGCUAGAGCAAGGGAAAAGAAGACAAGGGACCUAAACCAAGUGAGGUGCAUCAAGGAUGAGGAUGGAAAGGUUCUUGCUACAGAGAACGCGGUUAAAGACAGAUGGAAAGGUUAUUUUCAUAAUCUUUUCAAUGAAGGACAUGAAAGGAGUGCUUCUUUAGGGGAGUUGAGUAACUCAGAAGAGUGUAGAAACUACUCUUUUUAUCGUAGAAUCCGGAAGGAAGAAGUGGUUGUAGCUUUGAAGAAGAUGAAGCAUAGAAAAGCAGUAGGCCCAGACGAUAUACCAAUCGAAGUGUGGAAAGUUUUGGGAGAGACAGGUAUAACAUGGCUCACUGACCUUUUCAAUAGGAUUUUGAAAACGAAGAAGAUGCCAAAUGAGUGGCGAACGAGCACUUUGGUGCCUAUCUACAAGAAUAAGGGCGAUGUACAAAAUUGCAUGAACUAUAGGGGUAUUAAGCUAAUGAGUCAUACAAUGAAGCUCUGGGAGAGAGUCAUUGAGCAUAGAUUGAGGCAAGAGACACGGGUUUCGGACAACCAAUUCGGGUUCAUGCCAGGGCGCUCAACCAUGGAGGCAAUCUAUCUCUUACGAAGAUUGAUGGAAAGAUAUAGAGAUGGGAAAAAGGAUUUACACAUGGUCUUUAUAGAUUUGGAAAAAGCGUAUGAUAGGGUCCCAAGAGACAUUCUUUGGAGGAUUUUAGAGAAGAAAGGAGUACGAGUAGCAUAUAUCCAAGCUAUACAGGAUAUGUAUGAAGGAGCAAAGACUGCCGUAAGAACUCAUGAAGGACAAACCGAAAGCUUUCCCAUAACUGUAGGAUUACAUCAAGGCUCAUCCUUAAGUCCUUACCUUUUUGCGUUGGUAAUGGAUGAGUUAACAGGACAUAUUCAAGAUGAUAUUCCUUGGUGUAUGCUUUUCGCAGACGAUAUAGUGUUGAUAGAUGAAACUCAGGAAGGGGUAAAUGCAAAGCUUAACCUUUGGAGAGAAGUGUUGGAAUCUAAAGGUCUUCGCCUAAGCCGAUCAAAGACAGAAUAUAUGGAGUGCAAGUUCAGUGCAAAUGGAGGCCAAAACGAGUUAGGGGUGAGGAUCGGAGAUCAAGAAAAUACCAAAGAGCGACCGUUUUCGUUACCUAGGAUCUAUCUUGCAAAAGAACGGAGAAUUAGAUGGAGAUCUCAACCAUAGAAUACAAGCUGGAUGGAUGAAGUGGAAGAGUGCAUCCGGCGUGUUGUGUGACCGCCGUAUGCCACUGAAGCUCAAGGGAAAAUUUUAUAGGACGGCAAUAAGGCCGGCGAUGCUGUAUGGCACAGAAUGUUGGGCGGUGAAGCAUCAACACGUACACAAAAUGGGUGUAGCGGAGAUGAGGAUGCUUCGUUGGAUGUGUGGGCACACGAGAAAGGAUAAGAUUAGGAAUGAGGAUAUCCGGGGUAAAGUAGGAGUAGCCGAAAUUGAAGGAAAGAUGAGAGAAAAUCGGUUACGGUGGUUUGGACAUGUGCAAAGAAGGCCUACUGACGCUCCGAUUAGAAGAUGCGACUAUGGGACAGAGGUUCAGGGCCGAAGGGGUAGAGGAAGACCUAGGAAAACUUUGGAAGAGACCCUAAGAAAAGACUUAGAGUACUUGGAUCUAACGGAGGACAUGACACAGGACAGAACACAAUGGCGUUCUAAGAUUCAUAUAGCCGAUCCCACUCAGUGACUUGGAUUUUCCAAGUCUCCAACCGAGAAGUUUUCCUCACUCGGGAAAUUAAGGGAACACUACCUCAACCUACAUGCUCCACUCACAAAGCUUCAACAUACAAGCUUCAACAAAAGAAAAUUCAAAGAACUUAGCGAAGAAGGCUUUGGUGUAUUUAACACAAUACGUUGAAAUGAAGGAAAGCUUAUUUAUUGAUAUCCCCGAUAAGUUACAAAUAUGUACAUAUACUUGAGUCAAAAUAAACAAACAAGAGGGAGCCUUCACAAAGGUUGCUUAGGAGAAGUCUCAGCAGUCGGUAGAGCCCCAGAAAGAGAAGGCACCGGAGGGGGAUCAUUCGGAGCCUCAGUACUGGACAGAACCCUAGAAGGAGGAGGCAUCAGAGGUUGAUCAUUUGGAGCUUCAUUACGCGGUACAGCCCCAGAAGACGAAGGCAAUAAAUGCCUUUGGAACAAACCCACAAAUCUCUGAUGAUCAAGUAAAACCUGACCAUCAGAUUCCUUCAUCUGGUCAAGCUUCCUCUUCAUGUUUGUAGCAUAGUCAUGUGCGAGCCGGUGCAACUGUUUAUUCUCAUGCUUGAGCCCUCUAAUCUCCUGUUUGAGACUCAUCACUUCAGCCGCCAAUGAUUCAACUUGGCGGGUUCGAGCAAAUAGGCGUUGGGCCAUAUUAGACACAGAACCUGCACACUGAACACUGAGAGCCAGAGAAUCCUUAACAGCCAACUCAUCAGACCGUUUGGAAAGUAGUCUGUUAUCUUUGGGAGUGAGAAGGUUCCUGGCCACUACCGCAGCGGUCAUAUCAUUCUUCAUCACGGAAUCCCCAACGGUAAGAGGACCAGUAGGGGAGACGAAGGAUGGGCGCCAUAUGUUGUCUGGAGAAGGCGGGGCUGCCUCUUCAACAAGGUUCAAGUCAAAACGACGGUCGGAGGGGCCAGACAUUUUCAAAGGUGUUGAAGAGAGAAGAGGUCGGACAAAUCAAGAUCUUAGAAGUGCAAGAAUGGAGCUUCUACUGGUGGAUAUUCAAGUGUGCUUUGGAACUUAAUGUCAGCCCCUAUAAAAAUCUGCACUCGACGAAGCUUCAGAAAUCGAAGAGGCGCCUGCUCAGAAAUCGAAGAGGCGUUUGCUUUCUCAAAAGCUGGGCUGCUCAGAGACCACGAGGGUCGAUCUCAGAAAUCGAAGAGGCGUUUGCUUUCUCAAAAGCUGGGCUGCUCAAAGACCACGAAGGCCGAUCUCAGAAAUCGAAGAGGCUUGCUUUCUCAAAAGCUGGGCUGCUCAGAGACCACGAGGGCCGAUCUCAGAAAUCGAAGAGGCACCUACUUUUCCAGCCUUGUCAGCACCUGUCACACGCACACUCAGCUUUGCGGAAAUUAUGGGCAUUCUGUCGAAGAUUUCUGGCGAAGUAGAAAGCACAUGAAUCGUACUGUUCAAUCACCCACUUCCCACACGCAACAGUAGCUCAUGGGUACCACAGAUAACUUUGCCAAAGUUCUCUGACAAAGUUGAGACACGUGAAGCUUGCAGCUCCCACUACAUCGCUCUGACCAAGAAGGGUAAAAGAAUUAGCAAAGAAACAACACUAACAAAGUUUAGACACAUAAAUUUUGAAGGUCUAGCUACCAUAUUAUUACCCACAAGGGUAAAGGAACAGUACCACUGCUGGAUAAUUGGAAAGUCCCGGUGUGUCAACCUCUGUGCUUCGUGGCAAGGUAGACUAGCAAACAUGCCCAACCUUUACUCACAUUCGAGAAAACACUCCCAACAAGAUUGCUUGCUCCAAAAUCGAAGAGGCACCGCCCUCCGAAUCUCGAGAGCCAGACUCCCAACAUGAUUACUUUCUCAAAAAUCGAAGAGAGGGUAAAGGAACAGUACCACUGCUGGAUAAUUGGAAAGUCCCUGUGUGUCAACCUCUGUGCUUCGUGGCAAGGUAGACUAGCAAACAUGCCCAACCUUUACUCACAUUCGAGAAAACACUCCCAACAAGAUUGCUUGCUCCAAAAUCGAAGAGGCACCGCCCCUCCGAAUCUCGAGAGCCAGACUCCCAACAUGAUUACUUUCUCAAAAAUCGAAGAGAGGGUAAAGGAACAGUACCACUGCUGGAUAAUUGGAAAGUCCCUGUGUGUCAACCUCUGUGCUUCGUGGCAAGGUAGACUAGCAAACAUGCCCAACCUUUACUCACAUUCGAGAAAACACUCCCAACAAGAUUGCUUGCUCCAAAAUCGAAGAGGCACCGCCCUCCGAAUCUCGAGAGCCAGACUCCCAACAUGAUUACUUUCUCAAAAAAUCGAAGAGACACCGCUCUCCGAAUCUCGAGAGCCAGACCCCCAGCAGGAUUGCUUUCUCAAAAAUCGAAGAGGCAUCGUUCUCCGAAUCUCGAGAGCCAGAUCCCCGACAGGAUUGCUUGUUCGAAAACCGAAGAGGCACCACUUUCCCAACUUCAAGAGCUGGAUCUCCUUGGAUAAAGCUUGUCUGUAAUCUUCACACGCAACAUCAGCUUUCCAGAUACCACAGACCACUUUUUCAAAGUGCUCUGACAGAGUUAAAACAUGUGAAGCUGGCAGCUCCCACUACCGUGCUAUGACCAAGCAGGGUAAAGGAAUAGCAUUAUUACUUGAUGUUAGGGAGACUCCUAUAUAUGUCGACCUCCAUCCCCAACGGACAGGCAGACCUGCAAAAAUGCUCAACCCUUCCUCUUAUCUGAGAGGGCACUCCCAACGAAGCCUUUCGAAAUAUUCAGCUUUCUUUCCCCCCGAUAAUACCUCUGUAAACAAGCUAUACUAGAGCAAGAAUAUCUCAUAUCAUCAGGGUUAAAAGCAAGAGUAUCCCAUAUCAUGCUUUUUCCCUGUCUUUUCCUUUGGCCUUGUUCUUACCUGCAAGACAAGGAGAAAGAGAGCAAUCAGUCAGCACUUGGAAUCAAGCUUCCAGCCAGGAACUGACUGCCUGGAACCCCUUACCUGAUUACUUACCUGGCAUUGCUCUCGAGUACUCAUCUUCAACAUCUUAUGCUUCCAGGGAAGAUACCGCAUCUGCCUGAGGAACAGAUAGGGCAAGUGAGAAGGAUACAAGGAAGCAUGUGGAGACAAGCGUAACAGCACACGUGCCGAUACAUCCAUUACUCUGUCAAAAGCAAAAGUAUCCCAUAUCAGCAGGGUCGAACGUACUCUAGAUUUGAUGGACUUGUUUUGACCCUCAAAUUCUUCAGUCGGCCUUAUACUCUGGAGGAAACCAGAAAACCCUCCAGCCCAGUUCAAGAAUAAGCCUGUGGAAAGUUACUUCUUCAAAAGCAAAAGUAUCCCAUAUCAUCUCUUCUCAUUUUUCUUCUCUUUAUCCUUCAUGCUGCCUGCAAGAUAGGGAGAAUGUGAACAAUCAGCCGGAGCUCUGAUUGCUUACCUUGUCUGUCACCUCUUUCAGCAGAUCCCCUAGCUCGGCGACUUGGGGGACUCCUACUACAUGGUUUGUAUCGCGCUUGACCAAGCCUGAAACUACAAGUAAGCUUCAAGUGACAAUUGAUACAUUACCUUGUGCAUCUCCACCAGUUACAGAUACCACCCCUGGAUGGAGGAAGAGUACUUCCAGAGAAGAUGCCACAUCUACCUAUGAGACAGAUAAGGAAAGUCAAGACGAUACCACACUCCGGUACUUAGAAGUUUCGUGGUUACGAGAUCAUUCUCCCACAAUAUUUCCUAAUGUCAUUUGUACUAAAUCAUUCACUUGUACUCACUAAAGGAGAGCUUGAACCUAUGUACUUGUGUAAACCCUUCACAAUUAAUGAGAACUCCUCUAUUCCGUGGACGUAGCCAAUCUGGGUGAACCACGUACAUCUUGUGUUUGCUUUCCUAUCUCUAUCCAUUUAUAUACUUAUCCACACACUAAUGACCGGAGCAAUCUAGCGAAGAUCACAAAAAAGUGACCGUUUUCGCUACCUAGGAUCUAUCUUGCAAGAGAACGGAGAAUUAGAUGGAGAUCUCAACCAUAGAAUACAAGCUGGAUGGAUGAAGUGUAAGAGUGCAUCCGGCGUGUUGUGUGACCGUCGUAGGCCACUGAAGCUCAAGGGAAAAUUUUAUAGGACGGCAAUAAGGCCAGCGAUGUUGUAUGGCACAGAAUGUUGGGCGGUGAAGCAUCAACACGUACACAAAAUGGGUGUAGCGGAGAUGAGGAUGCUUCGUGGGAUGUAUGGGCACACGAGAAAUGAUAAGAUUGGGAAUGAGGAUAUCCGAGGUAAAGUAGGAGUAGCCAAAAUUGAAGGAAAUAUGAGAGAAAAUCGGUUCUGGUGGUUUGGACAUAUGCAAAGAAGGCCUACUGACGCUCCGGUUCGAAAAUGUGACUACUGGACAGAGGUUCAGGACCGAAGGGGUAGAGGAAGACCUAGAAAAACUUUGGAAGAGACCCUAAGAAAAGACUUGAGUACUUGGAUCUAACGGAGGACAUGACACAAAACCGAGCGCAAUGGCGUUCUAGGAUUCAUAUAGCCGACCCCACUUAGUGGGAAAAGGCUUUGUUGUUGUUGUUGUUGGUUGAUUUUGUAUGGACGAUGUAUUAAUUUUUUUUUUUUUUUGGGAUUUUGUGUAUUGGGUAUUGUGUAGAACCAGCAAUGCAGGAUCUGAUCAGUCACGCCCGAAAAGGGGUUUGUUUCUCAAAUCACAUUAAUUAAUUAGAUUAUUAAUGUGCGUUGGAAGGCUCUUCAAUAUGAUUUCUAAUUUCUCCUUUCCAGCAUUCUCUUUUUGGUUUUUGGAGUAUGUAUGUGAUUUGUAUUUGAUUAUAGAAUAAAAAUUAAUAAAACACGAGAUGCAGCAAUUAAUUUGCAUCCUUAUGACAACACAUAUAUGAAAGUGCAUUCAAUUUCAAUGUGCGAAUGUGUGACAGGACAGGAUGUGCCUGCCUGCUGGUGGUGGUAUGCUUGCUGUUGUUUCUUGCGUUGUUAAUUUUUUGUGUGUUGAUUUGAUUAACAAUUCAAGCGUAUCUUAUUUUUUUUGUGUUGGUUAGCAGCCAGUUUUAUGGCCCCGAUCUAGUGAUGCUUCUCAGUGACUGGUAAUUGCAGUUCAUUGCCACCAGUUGGUCAGCUACCUGCUCUGAAAGAGCUCUACGUAGAAGGGAUGAAAGUUGUUAAGAGUGUUGGUGUUGAGUUGUACGGGGGAAAUCAACCAUUUCAAUGUUUAGAGAAGGUAAAGUUUCGGGAGAUGCCAGAGUGGGAGGAAUGGCAGCCUAGUCCAAGUGGAUGUGAAAGUCCAGACUUUCCUCAUCUUAAGGAGCUGAGGUUAUCCGAAUGUCCGAAGCUGAGAGGAAACUUGCCCACUCAUCUUCCCUCCUUGAAAACACUUUAUGUGAACAAGUGUGAGGUUCUACAUAAAAACAGGGCCAGUAAUACCCUGAACGUGGAAUCCUUACGAGGAUCUCUUGAAAAACUGACAAUAAAUGGAUGCCCGGGUCUCUCAUUGUUACUAGAGUCGAUGGAGACGCUGCCGUCGCUUCAGAAGCUUGAUAUUGAUAGUGUUGGUGGGAAAGAGUUGUUGGUGCAAAUGGUGCACAACAGCAAUCGUCUUCAAAGUUUUGACUUUAUAUAAAUGUUCCUCACCCUUGUCGUUCCCUACAAAUGGUCUGCCCACCACGCUGACGUCACCGAGCAUAACAGAUUGCAAGAAAUUAGAAUUCCUAUCACGUGAGAUGAUGGCCAAAUUGACUUCCCUUCAGUCUUUGCGUCUAUCCAACAGCUGUGAAUGCAAAGGCUUGAGUAAUUUUUGUGAGUCUGCUGUUUGGUUUUUUUUUCUUCAUUUUAGAGAUUUUUCUACUGUUUGGUUUUUGGGUUUUGUCUAAUUUUUGUGGUCUGCUUUAUAGAUUGUUCUCUUUGGAAGCUUCUUUCCAGCCUUGACCUUCUUCUUGCCUGGUGCCUUCUCAUUGAGUAUUGGAGGAGCAUUAAAACACAGGUGUGUGUGUUUUGUCGAUGUAAGAGAUGAACGACAUAAAAACAUCCGUCUUUGUAUUUUUUUGUGCUUUUUCUAACCCAUCAAUUUCUUUUGAGUCAACCAAAUAGUCCCAAAUUGCAACUUAUGUUGUGAGGUAUUAUUGUCUAAAAUUAAGUAUGCAUGUAUAUUUUAUGUUUGUGCGCGCGCACACCUCCGCAUGGUGUUAAUCUCUGUGGGUCAUCUAUGUAUAUGUAGACAUAUCUAUAUGUGUAUGUGUGGAAUGCAACAUAUCGGAUUUAGGUUAUACUGUGCAUAGUUUUAUUGCCUGUUAUUAUCUACGAUAUCACUAUGCCAUUUCUAUGCAGGCUCUGAAAGUUAUCCAUGAGCUUUAUAAGCACUUACCAUAAUUUAAGCAGUCUGUUUUGGGUUCUUUUUCAUUAGGUCAUUAGCUACAGAUUAAUGGAGAAACGAGGACCAUGCAACUGAUUUGGGUUCUUUUUCUAAUUUUCUGAUUUUGGGGUUUUGCAGGGAGUACUGAUGUACUGAUUUUCUGGGAUUUUUUUUGUCCUUGCAGGAUUUUUGGUCUUUGGAAUGGGUAUGUGUUGUUUUUAACGUUUCAGUUCUAGCUUGUUCCGUUCUUCGUUGCUUCGUGAUUCUCAUUUUUUAGUGUUGGGUGAUGGAAAUUUGUUCAAGUAGUUGGUAGUUUUUUUAGAAAGUUGGCAUUUUUAGUUAUAUUUUCUGUUUAAUCCUAAAUGUUAGACUGGAAAAUCAUUGAAAUGACGGUUUUUUAAAAACUCAUAAUUUUUUUGUUCUGGGAGUUAAAAGCAUCUUUUCCAGAUUGGUUAUAAGGGUUAUGUUCUCUUCAAUUGGUUCACCUAAUUUUGAUUAGUUUUAAGUUUUGUCCUUUUAAGUUUUGUCUUUUAAGUUUUGUUCUUUAAGUUGUCUUUUAAGUUUGUUCUCUAAGUUUUGUCUUUUAAGUUUUAUCUUCUGUGCUGUAAUGAGAGAUUUCUGUUGGCCUUUCGGAUUUUGGCAUGGGAAAGUUCACUUAUUUGUCUAAUUAGAUUGUGUAUGCCUUCGAUUCUUUAUUUAAUUGUUCUGUUUGUGUUCAGGUGUGAUGAUCUAAAUUUCAUAUGUUUGGAAUUAUUCACUUAACACCAAUUUGUUACAUUCAGAUCUCCACCCCACAUUUCACUAGUUCAAAUUCCAUAGAAGUCGGUUACUGCAGAUUGCGUCUACAAUUAGAUCAGAGAUCAACUGCUCUUUUGUUAUCCUGCAGAAGAUUGCUUUUGGGAAGGAUCUGAAGUAGUUUCUUUCUGUAAGUUUAUUCCCAUGUAGCUCUGUCUUUUCUAAUUGAUGGUGUUGAUAUUACACUGUAAUUCAUGAUGAUGAUUUAAUUGUUUAUUGAUUUGUAAUUGUUUGUGAAUAAUGUGGCAUAUAUGACUUGCAAUAUGUGUUUGUAUGAAAGGGAUGACAUAUUAUGUUGCUGACUUAAUUGUUUAUGUUUUUCAUAUUUGCGAAUGGUGUUAUGAUCAAUUAGGUGAUUGCUGACCUGUGACUUUGUUUGGAGCUCAAAUUUUGUGAGCAUUACAUUGGAUUGUUUUGAUGUUGUUUUGGUUGACAAUGCAGGGAUAGGAGAAACAAAGAGGAUGACACUUAUAACUGCCCUUCCCCAUCGGCCGUCUUCAAAUUUGGAUCACAAGAAGGGAGCAACAUAGGUGUUUUCCUUCUUCAUUUAGAUAUGGUUAGUGUAAAUAAUUGGACAAAAGAGCCAAACAAACCCUGUUCUCUCAAAUGGAGUCGAUGAUGUGGUCGAUGGCCACCAGCCCCAACUCAAGAGUUUGGCCUUCAUAUAAUUGGAUUGUAGUAUAAUUUUAUUUUGGUUCAUUUCUUUUUUCCUUUAUAUAAGUGCAGGUGUUGUGAUGUUUUGAAUAAAGGGUGAUGAAAGGUGGUUCACACACUUCCUCCUUACUUAAAGCAAGUGGAGAUGAUGGGUUGUAUAAAAAGAAAAACUUGCCAGGUACUUCGAUUUUCUAUUUUAUUAAUUAUUGUUUGGUUUUCCAAAUGUUGUAUUCACAAAGAGAGACCAAUGAUGUCUUUGAGAAACAAGUUUCUUUGUCUACAUUGCGAGAAUUUGCAGUUUGCAACUUUCAUUGGUUAUUAUAUUUGAUUGAGUUAAACUUGGAUUUCUGGAUUUUGACUUUUUCGUUUGUUUCUUUGUUGUAGAGUUGGCUUCAUUUCAUUCCAGUAACUCUAUUCCAGUAACUCUCUAAAAUAGGGCCAAGAACUCACUAAAUAGGUAGUCAAGAGGAAUUCAGUUUUGCCUUCAAUUUUUGCCUUCUGUUUACAUUCUUCCUGGAUGCACUCUCACCGCUUCUCUCGCUUACCACUUUUGUCUCACUCACCGCUUCAUCUCUUCUGUUGCUUACAAGGUCGUGUCAUAUAUUUUUUUAAUUUUUGUGUGUUUAAUUUAUUGAAUAUUUGAAAAAAGAGAUAAAAUUUUCAAUUUACAAUUACUGAUAUGAUGUUUGUUUUGAAAAUCAUUAAGGUGAAUGGAGAGAUUUACAACCAUGAAGAGCUGAGGAGCCGUUUGCCAAAUCAGAUUUAUAAGGUCUCAUCAAUUAUAAAUAAACGACUUUUCAUUCCCAAUGACCUUUAUCGUUUUUCUUAAUGGGUUAGCUGAACAUGAGGUAGAUGCUGACUUUAUAAAAUAUGAGAAUGUUUUAGGAUUUCAUUCUAAUUUUUUGGCUGUUUGAUUACUUUGCUUUUCGUAAUUUGUUUUGCUUAUCGUCAAUUGGAUGGGACAACAUAUUUUUGUAACCAGUUUGUACUUUUUUUUUUUGUGGAAACUAACCAGUAUGUACUUUUACCAUCUCGGUUUUGAUGGAAUUGGAGCUUUCAGUAAUGGGUUCUGAGGGAAUUGGAGUUUUGAGUAAUGGGUUUUUUAACAACUAUAGUAUCAUUUGUGAUUCUUUUAUUUAUAAGAUAUUAUAUAGGAAACUGUUAUUAGCACUCUAAUAAUCUUAUUCUACACUCGCGACAAGUGUAUUUUUCUUUCUAAUUAUGGAAAGUUUGGAGUGCAAAAUGAGAAUUUUGGAGUGCCAAUAACAAUUCCCUAUUAUAUAUAGCUCUACUAAGAAGGCGACUGUAUAUGUCUUCAUCCUGUUAAAUUGUAUAUGGCUCUUGAUGUCGGCUGAAUUAAAUCAAAAUGAAAACCAAGCUGCUGAUCUUACCAGCCCAUAUCACUUAUCACUUAUUUAAAUUAUUUGAAGAUGCAUACGUGGAUUGGUGAUUUUGUUGGAUUCACUUAGCUCAAAUAUAUGUUAUCUGAGUCGCUACAUUUGAGAAUGUGAUUCUGUUCCUACCACCAUUUUGCCCACUUUUUGUGGAAAUUAUUCAUUCCUGUUGUGAAUAAUAUCCCCGGCAGCGAAGUGCGGGCGCAUUUUCUAGUUUAAGUUAAAUCACACAAUGGGUCAUCAAUAAUGACAAACUCGUCAUUUAUGCGAGUCAAACAUGAGACCACCUACCUACUAGUUUAGUGGAAUACCACAAGUGACAUGUUGAUACCUUUAAAUCUCAUAUAAUGGAUUGCAGAAUUAGGAUAUACCUAGUCUAAUUUAGUCAGUGCGUGAACCCGAACAAUUAACCAGGGUUUUAUUCUUGCUUGAAUGUUUGUAAUAUGUUCCUAGUUUGACAAGGCAAUUAUAUUUCCGACUACAAAAGUUAUUAAUUUAGUCGAGAAUUGACGCACCUGAAAUGGUGUGAGGAAAACAUGUAGACACAUCAGACGCGGUCCAUCCUGAGCAUUGUGUAUUAAGGAUAAAGCUCAAAGCCAUACAUGAGGGCAUUGUGUAUGUCUUUAUAAGAGAAGUUGCUGUAGUCCUCAACGUGGCCGGCAGCCAAACUCAUCCACUCUACACUGCAACCCUCAUCCAAAUCCCAUGCUUCCAACCUGCCCCCGACAUAGUCAUCGACCAUGACAUAGCUAUACGUUUUUGGUUGACUCGAAGAAGAAGAAGAAGAAGAAGUAUUAUUCAAGCAUGGAGCAGUGUCCACGUACAGAGAAGAAUUCGAUGGAUUCGAACACUUCAAGUAAUAUAUAGAUAGAGAAUUGAUGUCAUAGGUGGGCCAAUAUAGAGAAUCGAUGUCCUCGAUGGGCGGAAUAUUUUGAGACAUGGAAGAGCAAUUGUUGUUGUCAAGCCCAGGAUCUAGAAGUCGGAUUGUUUUGUUAAUGUAGUUGAUUGCCUGGACAUAGUAUUUUCCGGAAGAAGGUAGGUCUAGUACUGUAAUGUUGCUCUCACAGGACAGAGUAAACCUUACGUCGCCACAGUACUUUGGAUCAUCGUUCAGUCGAAAAGGAUGGCUUAUGUUGUGGAUAUGGCCGCAGGAUGAAGUGCAGGACUUGGCACUACUGUUGUCAGCGUUACAAGUUUCACUGCAAAAGCAAAGAAGAAGAAAGGCUAAACUUAAGGUGAAGGACCUGGUUCCACUGAUUUCCAUUGCUCUGAGAGAGAGAGAGAGAGAGAGAGGGCACUAUAGCUUAAACACCAAGGAGUUAUAUAAUAUGGGAGGGGUUAAAGCACCUCGCUUAAAGUUGCAGUAAGCCCGUCAAAUAUCCUAGGGAAAAGUCGGUCAAUGCUGUCCUAUAGAGAAAAGUCGGCCUUGAUGUUUGACACGGUCACACUCUCUCUCUCUCUCUCUCUCUCUCUCAUUGACGAGGGACACUGUAAUUGAAAAAAAAAAUUGUUAUUCAGAGAUAGAUCUUGAAAUUCUUAUUUUAUAUAAAAAAAAGGGGUAUUUAGAUUUUAGGACCUAUAUAAGAUAAUUUUUAGAUUAUAAGGUUUCAAAAUCUUAUUUUAGUCCCUAAUUUAAUAUUCAUCGCCACAUCAUAUUAUAAGAUACCUCUAUUACCUACCAUAUUUACAAACUUUGCCAUUUAAAUUGUCAACCUAUUCUAUAAUUAAGGCUUAAAUAUAUUCCGUUAAUAAACCAUUCGUCAAUAAGAUAAAUCCAACUAUGGUAAAUUAUACUAAUUUAUACUUGCUGACAAACAAAUUAAGUCUAUAGUAAUUUUAGGUCAGUCACCUUAAGAAGUCGAAGAUGAAAAAAUCAAAUACAAAACAAUAGGUUAAAAAAAUUAAAUAAUAACCCUUAAUAUAUAUAUAUAUAUAUAUAUAUAUAUAUAUCACAAAAAAAAAGUAUAACAACUCCUUAUUGUCUAUAUAUAGGAAUUGCAUAAGUGUCGGUACAUAUGUGUAGGUACAUACAUGCACAUAGGUACGGAAGUAUCGGUAUGGAAGUGCCGGUACAUACGUACACAUAGGUACGAAAAUAUUGAUACGUUAGCAUCGGUACAAAAGUAUCGGUGCGGAAGUGUCGAUACUUAUGUACAUAUAUAUAGGUACGCAAAUAUUGAUACAUAAACAUCAAAAGAAAAAAUCGGUAGAUUCGAUGUAUGAGAAGGUAAAAAUAAAUCAUCAACACUAGAAAAAAAUGAUAAAAGUAAAUCAUGCACUAUUAGAUGCAUAAGAAGAAGAAAUAUUAGAUGUGGAUGGUGGCCCUAGCCCUCUCUUCUAACACGGUUGAAGAUAAUUUUUUGGGUUGGACAAAAAGUUUCAUUUUUAAGGAGAACCAUUUAUGUUAGCAAUAAAACUGAAAAGUUAUAAAUAAAAUAAAUAUAAGACAUUAUAAUUCACUCAAGGAUAAUAUAGGAAGAAAAAAAUUACAUAAAAGGAAUUAACUCUGACAUUAAAUAUAAAUGCUGACUUGGACAUAAGUCAAAGGACUAUAAUUAGUUUUUUAUCUUGGUUAAGGUUUUAGUCUAAAGAUAAUCUUUUUCAAGGAUUAAUAUCUAGUUUCCUAUAAAAAAAAACACCUAAUAUUAAUCAUUCAAAUGAAAUUGUUAAAAUUAAGUAUAAAUAAUACAUAAUGAAAACUGAACACAUACAAUCAACGGUCACGACCAUGAAAUCCUCCGGAUCCUCAGAAAAAAAUCCGACGAUGAUCUUUUUCUGUGUAAAAUAAUUUGAGGGUAUAAUACUGGAUGUGCGAUUAAACCGAAGAACCCACCCACCUCCAUCUUCUCUGACCAACUUGAACCCAGCCACUACUACAUGUCAUCCCGACAACCCACUCUCAGCUUCCCAAACCGCCAUUUUUCACCCAAUGGAACAUUUAAAGAAAAAAUCCAUCUGCAAAUCGAAAACCACCGAAAAAAAUUAAAUCAGAUACAUUGGAAAAAACGCAAAACUCAAUGGAACAACACUGGCGUGGAAGAGAAAAAAAGCAGAAGGUGAGAAUGGAGAGAAAGAAGCGAACGGAAAGAAAAAGCAAAGAAGAGGUUGGAAACGGAACAACAGAAGAACAAUAGAAGAACAGAAAUGGGUAUGGGAAACGGAACAACAGAACAAAAAGCAGGCGGUGUAUAGAGCAAGAAAAGCAAACCUCACGAUGACCAACACGUGCUAAGAGAGGCCCCGGUUCACUGUGUAUCACAUUUUUUAAUAUUUUUUUUGGUCUUCCCACCGGCUAUACAUGGGAUUCCAAAAUUAAGAAGGUAUAAAUUUUUAUUGUUUCUUGUGCCACAAACCAUGUGGCCCAGUCUUAAUCACAUUUUUUAAAUAUUUUUUUUGCUCUUCCCAUCAGCAGUACAUGGGUUAAAAAAAUUAGGAAAGUAUAAAUUUUUAUUGUUUGUUGUGUCACAAACCACGUUGCCCGGUUUUAAUCACAUUUUUUUAAUAUUUUUUUGUCUGCCCACCAGCUAGGUUUAAAGAAUUAAAAAAGGACUAAAAGAAAGACUCCACAGAUGGAGGAACAUGGGAAUAGAAAGGGCAAAUUUGGGAUUUUACUGUACAAAAAAGACAAAAAGUAACUGCUGAAGACUAACUUGAGGGGCAUUUUGGUCUGCACACUGCCCUAGAACAGUAACCAUCGGAUUGGGUUUUAGUAUAUAUAGAAUAUGUUUAGAUAAGGACAAUAAACUUAGAAUUUUGCCAAAAGUCAGAAUUUAUAAAUUGAUACAAUCAAUUCAUUUGUUUGGAUUCAUAAACAUAGAAAUUUAGACUUUCCGCGUGAGAAAAAACUUGGAAUUUGGGACCUUCAAUUCUCAUGUUUAAAUUUCAUGUAAAUAGGUGUCAUUUAUAAAUUUCAGUAAGUGAGAGUUUAAAAAUAACAAACAUGUAUUCAAAUUUCAUUCCUCCUUUGGUUAACCAAAAAAGAAAAUUUAUAAAUUCUAGAAAAUAAAAUUUCUUUAUUUUAAUUUCUGUUAUUUUAAAAUUCUUAGGGCUUGUUUGGUAUUCUACUUGAAUCCAACUUUUUAAACUAAAAAAUAAUUUUCAAGUUUUAGGCCUUAAAAACUUAUUUGGUAGAACUAUUUAAAAAAACUGAACUUAAGACUAACUAAAAAAUAUAAUAUAUUAUCUAAAAACACAAAAAAUGAGUUUUUAGAAUUUUUAAACUUAAAUUCACUCAUUUCUUUUCUCUCCCUCCUCCCCUCUCACUCCAAAUCUCUCUCUCUCUCUCUCUUUUCUUCUUUCUCUCUCCCCUUCUCUUUUUUUUAACCUUUUUUUGUCUCUCAUCUAAUCCGCUCUCUUCAUUUUCUCGGUUCUUUCUCUCACUCAUAUUCCUCUCUAUCUCCUCCAAUUCUCUCUCUUCAUUCUUUUUCAACCAAUAAUUUCUUACUUUUUUCCUCUUCUCUCCUCUUGAUUCUCUCUCUUCAUUCUUUUUCAACCAAUCAUUUUUUACUUUUUUUCCUUCUCUCCUCUUUCUCCCUCGACUUCCUCUUUUUGGAUCUCUUUGUUCAGUUUGAGCUGUAAGAUUUAAAAUUAUUUUAAAUCGUAUACCAAACAAGUUUUUGAGUCUUAAAGAAAAUUGUUUUUCAAAAAAUGUUCUUAAGAAAUGUUUUGAGAAAUGAUAAAAAAUUUCAAAUAAGAUACCAAACAAGCCCUUAAUAAUCUUAAAUUUUCCCAUCCAAACAAAAAAUUUUCUUGUCAUAGAACUUUCAAUUGGAAUCAAAGAAGACAAUCUUUUCACAACUAAUUAUUCUCACCAAAAGCAAUUUUUAUUUUAAAGCAAUCAAUACCAAACUGCAAAAGCAAAGUAGGAAGGCUAAAAUUAAGGUGAAGAACCUGCUUCCACUAAUUUCCUUAGGAGGGAGAGAGAGAGGGGGAGAGAGAACCAAGCGAGCGAGCAGAGAGAGAAAACACCAAGUAGUAUUCUAAUGUUGGUGGGGUUAAGUCACCUUCCGUGAAGUUGCAGUAAGGACUUCUAUCCCAGAGAAAAGUCAGUAAAUGAUGUUGACACAGUCAACGACAAAGACAGAAUUGUGUAACCAUAAUUCUCUCUCUAUCUCUUUUUCAUUAUCGGAUGACAGUGUAACACUACUACGUAUAUAUCUCUGCUCAAUUAUUGAAAAGAAAAAUCCAUGUGCAUUAUUUUUAUUAUUAUUAUCUCAGAAAUGCAGAAAUUGAUCAUCUCUUCCUUUUGCAUAUUGAUACUGGUUUUCUUCAAACUAGUUGAAGCAAGUCAAUAUGUGUGCGCGAAAUCCAACUGUAGCAAUGAUCAAAGCGGGGCUAUCCAUUUCCCAUUAAACAUCAGGCGCACACAUCAUUGUGGUAAUUCUGGGCUUGAAUGCAAUGGGAGAUAUGAACAGCAAAUACUAAUAAAAUUAUUUGUCAAAGACAUAGAUUACAAGCGUCAGGAAAUCCAAGUCUAUUCCCCAAGUAACUGCCUGCUGCUAAAGCAUGUUGAAAUCCCAAACAUGCCACCCUCUCCCUUCAACGUGUCAGUCGAUGACUACAUGAGUAACCUUACCUUAUUCAGUUGUCCUACUUCUUUUGCAAGACGAGAUACGGAUGUGUAUCAAGUCCCCUGCCUCGGCGACCGUGGCAAGAGAACUUAUGCCAUUUAUUCUGAUUAUGGUUUUAGAACUCUCUUCCGGAAUCUACAAUCUUGUACAAAAAUGUAUGAUGUUUUAUCAGUUCCAAUACCCUCUGAAUAUUAUGUUCUUCGUUUCAAAUGGUCUAUACCAAAUUGCAGAAAAUGUGGAGAGGGAAAGAGGUGUGAAUGGCAGAACAAUGAAAUUAAAUGUAUUCAAUGGAGGAAACCAAGUAAGGAUAACAUAUGUAUUCAUUGCUAGUUUUAAACAUCUUUACAUUUGUUUCUCAGUAAUUAUUGUUUAAAACAUGUCCAAUCCAUUUUUACUAUGAAUAUUAACUGACAGUCUCAUUUGAAUUUGCCUUUAUCUUUUACAGGCAACACAUGGAAAUUAGUGGUCACAGGGGGAAUCCUGGGUUCUUUGCUUCUUGUUCUACUGAUGAUUGCAGCAUAUCGGGUAUAUAGCGUUGAUAGAAAGAAAAAAGAGAUUCGAUUACGAAUUGAAAGAUUCUUGGAGGAUUACAAAGCACUCAAACCAAGCAGAUACUCGUACGCAGAUAUUAAGAGGAUUACAAAUCAAUUCAAGGACAAGUUGGGCAAAGGAGCCUAUGGAACUGUCUUCAAAGGAAUGCUCUCUUCUGAAUUCUUUAUUGCUGUCAAAGUCCUCAACAGUUCCAAGGGAGAUGGGGAAGAGUUCGUAAAUGAAGUGCGAACGAUGGGUCAUAUCCACCACGUAAACGUGGCUCGCUUGGUUGGAUUUUGUGCUGAUGGAUUUGUACAAGCUCUUGUUUACGAGUUCUUCCCCAUUGGUUCCCUGCAGGAUUUCAUUUCAUCUGCAGAUAGUAAGAAUUCAUUUCUUGGUUGGGAUAAGCUGCAAGAUAUUGCCCUAGGCAUAGCCAAAGGAAUUGAAUAUCUUCACCAGGGAUGCGAUCUACGAAUCCUGCAUUUCGACAUCAAACCCCAUAAUGUUUUGCUAGACCAAAACUUCACUCCAAAAAUUUCUGAUUUUGGUAUGGCCAAGUUAUGUUCCAAGGAUCAAAGCUUGGUGUCCAUGACUACAGCUAGGGGGACCAUGGGCUACAUUGCACCUGAAGUGUUCUCCAGGAAUUUCGGAAAUGUGUCUUACAAGGCAGAUGUCUAUAGCUUUGGAAUGCUGCUGCUUGAGAUGGUAGGAGGAAGGAAGAAUAUUGGUUCAAUCACGGAUAACACUACAAAUGAAAUUUACUAUCCACAGUGGAUUUAUAAUCUUCUAGGGGAAGGGGAUGACCUACGAAUCCACAUUGGGGAAGAAGGAGACGGUAAAAUUUCAAAGAAACUUGCAAUUAUAGGGCUAUGGUGUAUCCAGUGGCACCCGUCGGAUCGUCCUUCCAUGAAAAUAGCGGUUCAGAUGUUAGAAGGAGGAG